GCGAAAGCAGGAGAACUAAAGGCUAAAAAGAAAUCUGCAACAGGCGCAGAAAGAUUAGAUGCCUUUAGGAAUGCAACCUUUAAGACUCCCACUAGAUCGAAUGGAGAAGGGCUGGAGUGAAAGCUCAAUCCAAGACAUGAAAGCGGAAUCACAACUAACAACUGUCGAAGGUUGUAGGUCAAUGCCAAUGAGAAAGACAAAGGUUUAGCCUAGAAAAGUCCUAAGGAAAGCAAAUGACAUAGAAUAAGAUGUCAUCUCAUGCCCUCUUUGAAUGGCUUGUUCAAGAAGGGAAGGGAUUGCUGCUCAACGAAAGAAAAAGCUCUUGGUGAAUCCGGACAAAUGCUAUCGAAUCAGCUGCUUGAGAAUACCCUCCUGAUGGUUCAGUCAGUUAAAAAUAAAAGAAUCGGUUGCUAGAGGAAGACAGAAGCAAGGGAAGGAGAAACUAUUCUUGCUUGAGUGGAAUCAGUUUUAUUUGUAAUUCCACUUAUUUUACGAUCAUAUCUCUGUAAACUGGAGGAAUUUCUUUGAAAGAAGAGACAAGAGCAGUUACGCCUUUUUCUAAUCCCGGAUAAGCAACUAAGAGCCUUUCAAUAGCGUAGCGGAUCUUGCUAACAUUAGAGACUCUACUUAGUAAGUUGCCUACCUUCGCUGGUGGACUAGUUUAGUUAGAGGAUGGGACGAUAGAGCUCAAAUCAAUCUAAUACCGUUCGUGACCUGACCCAGAGCCACUAGGAUCAGUUGGUCAGUCUCAUCCCGUGCUUGGAUUGGGGCACGAAACGAUAGCUAUUCCUUGCAUCGUGUUGAGUUAUGGCUUACUUCUAGGCUUUCGGGGAAGGGAAUGUCAUUCUUCUGUAUUCUAUAGUUGUAUAAGAGGGGAUAGAAAAAGAGAGAAGAGCACUUAUUCCAUCAACGUGCCAAGCUAAAGGGCGGAAUCGAUCAACUACCUUUUCCUUUUGUAUCAAAUUCCCAGAAAAAUGGUUGAAUGGGCAGACUUACGACUGAACUCUUAUUGGGAUGGGAGGCCUUACCUUACGACUGCUACGGGUAGCUCUCAACACUAUCUGGCUAUCUCUCAAGAGUGAAACUCAAUUCCCUCACUACUUGCCUGUGAACCAGAGCUAAUGAUUGUGGAUCCUCUACCUCCGUUGAAUUCACACCAACUUACUCUAGACAAAGAGAAGAUAACGAUUUGGCGAUUUGAAUGCCAUAUAUGACUUGACUCUCUCAAUUCCGGAACCCUCCAAAAAGAAAGAGAUUCCACUUGAGCUAUUCUCGUUCUAACGACAGAAGCGGAUUCAAGCAUUCGUUCCGAGUCGCCAAGAGACAGAAGAGCUUAUAAAAAGUAUUCCCCUUGAGGCGGGAAAACUCCAACAUCAUUUAACUGGGUAUGAGAACUCCUCCCUUAUAGUAGAAAUUCUUCCAAGAACGUAUUCUUCUUAAUGUUGUUGAUUUGAGAACAUCUGCUGCUGAUUUCAAUAGCCAAGUCAAGCUUUCCAGCAGGCGAGACAGAUGCCGAUUCUACCUCUGCCAACUCCCUCUUUAUAGCAGGAUUUUCUUAACCAAGAGCUAGCUUAUGGAUAUCAGAUAUCGAUAUCGGAAGAUCAGGCCCAUCACUUCUUCUUGACUUUUAUGAUUUGCCUGCUGGAGGAUCAUCGAAGGUUGGAGAAAGAGAUAGAAAGCUGACUAGAGUAGGGGGUAGAGGGGCUGUGUAUAUCUAUUCCAAUCGGGGUGAUAGCUCGACUCGACAAAUGGGAGAGAGAUCAAAUCGCGCGGGAGAGGGGGUCCCCCCAUCAUCUAGAUUCAAAGUCAAGGUGUUGUUCGGAUAUUGAUCGUAGCAAACGUCACUUCCUUCAUUGGAUGGGUUCAGGCUUGCUUGUCUCGCUCUCAUAUUGGAAGGCUCGGUUUGGAACCCUCUAGGAACUGAAUCGCUAGAAAGAUCUCUUCUUUCGUUUAAACCAAGUAGGCCCUAAACCAAAGCUUUGAUCGCUGUGCUUUCCCCUUAUUGUUAGUCCUCUUACCAUACACCACUUCGAAUGGUUACUUCCCCCCUUACUUAACAUAGGCCGAUUCACAUCGUUUUUAUAGGCAAACUCUGCAGUUGGAAGAACUUAUUCCCACUUGCUCGGUCUCCCUUGCACUAAGCUCCUCAGAAAGUCUUCCAGUAAACCGACGACUGGAGUCUGGCCGUCCUGAGUGAUAAGCACUGCUAAACCUCAGUUCAGUGCCUAAUUUAUUCCGUAGCACCCUCUAUUAGGGGGCAGACUGGUGUCUUGAUCGGACGUAAUGCUCCCCUUUCGUCAUAAGGCGUGCUUUCUCACCACCUAAUGAUGAUAUCAUAUCACGAUCAUGGGGUAGCCCGGUUCGAAUUCCAUAUGCAGAUUCUAAUUUCAAUCAAAAACCCGAAGCUUAUUUAGUUCCAGAUGAUGCAAAGCCAAUUCUAAUUCCGGAUCCAAUCCCAUCUCCCCCUAUACCUAUAACUUCUUCAAAUGUAGAUUUGCCCGAACUUAUUUAAUAAGGCGAGAUGGAGACCUUGAUUUGGACCCUCGUGAUCGAGCUUUUGAUUGUAAAGAACGCGGAGCCAUAGUCAAACGAUCCAAACCAGGUUGAGAGCGUCGAAGCUUAUCCACCUGAAGCGCUCACUUCUACUCCUGUCCUGCUGUGGAAGCAGUGGCCGGAAGCUUCACUGUGGAGGCGGGCGGUCUGAUGGAGCUGAUUAGAUCCACAACCGAGAUGGAGCCAUCCCUGGAACCCAGGAGCGAAGCUAUCCCUCCCGAGACUGGCCCACAAGAAUCCAUUUCAGGAUUAGAACCUGCAAUACAAAGACUAAGCAUGGAGGUCACUGAAGCUGCUGAAUCGACCUCUGAGAAAGAAGAAGAACAAGAACUACUGCGGUUGAGGAACAAGCCGUCGUGGCUGCACCUGUCAAGUUACACGAUCUUUCUCUUUGCCCGCUUUGAUUAGGCUUUAUUCCCGAGCGCUCUUUUUAAAUGCUCUGGUGGAGCUGGAGAAGCAAGACUAGUCCUUAUAUUAGUAAAGCUUCGGCCCUGCCUUUCUAAUCGGCAUCUUUUGAUCGUUUCACUGUCAUAAUGGGACCACUACACUGGCCCGAGAAGGUGUGUAAACGGUCACUCUAUAACUAGUUGGUCUCAAUGGACACUAUUUUCAUUUAAAAAAAAAAAGAAAAUAGGGACCUAAUAAGCACAAAGCUAUUACACAAUCAAAGCCUUUUGAAUCUCCUGCGAACAGACGCACAAGAUAACCUUUGAUACACGCCACUAGCUGUUUAACUACUUUACCGAGAACAGUCAAAUCACACAAUUCAUUGGCUUCUCCUCUAAGGAAGUAAAAAAACCCCACAUGCUCUUUCUCAUAUCACCUAUACGAAUCCGAAGCUAACCCCUGCACCUGAUUCAUCCCCUUGAAUAACGGGUUUGCCUGCGAGUCUUUCUUUGAAUUUAUGAUGGAGAGACGGGGAAGAUGAAAACAAUAGAUGUGAUCUAUCGAAAAAAAAAAAGGUAGAGGAGGCCUGUUGCCGAGACCCCGUCCUCUUGCAGAGGAGGCAAAGCACCGUAACCAUAAUGAAAGUUCAGAUCAAGUGCCAGAAGAAAUGGUCGACUCUGAAUCCGGAUUGGUUUGAAUCGAGAAUGAAAGAUUUUCUCUAAACUAGAAAACCGUCAAGAAAGGAUCCAUCAACAUGAUGGACACUCGAAACCAACUCUAUCUGGUUUGUGUAAGGAGGGAACCGAUUUGACCUUUUCAGUAAAGGGGGAAACAAAUAAAGUAGGAGACGAAAGACUAACAUAGCGCUUCACGCCCAGAGGAAGAUGCUUUCUUUUAGCCUACGCCUUUCCCCUUUUAAUAAUAAUAAGGUAAGCAUCCAGCUCUCGAUCCAGAGCUACUGUUUCAACAAUCAACUAGCUAAGGAAGUCUGUCACGUCCCAAAAUUAAGACGUAAUACAAUCAUAUUAUUUUUAAAAAAAUUUUAAAGUAAUACGAAGUCUUUUUUCUUAAAUAUUUUAAAAUUUUUCAAUAAAAUAAUCUAUAAAUAAAAUUCAUAUCUUUAAUCCAACUGAUAAUAUAUCUUUAUAUAUCCAAAUACAAACCAUAUAAAAUAUAAAAAUACCUCUUAAAAUUUCGUUGGUCAACAUAUUCUUCGACAAUUAAGUAAUCUUACCCAUUUCAUCUUUUAGCUUCACACAAGACUAAUCAAACUUAUCAUUUAAUCAUCUGUAAAGAAAAAAAUAAAAAGAGGAAUGAGCAAACCACAGCUCAGUAAGUAUAAGCUCACACACCUUACCAGAUCAAGCAUCGUUUUCUUACGUAUCAUAUAGAUCAUUUAAAACAUUCAUCAAAUCAUAAUAUCAAAACAUUUCAAGGUCAUCGUUUUGUCAAAUAUUUCAAUAAUUCAUAAAUCAAUGUCAAAAUAUGUCAUUUCAUAAAUCAUAACAAAAUAUACUAUCAUUCAAAUAUCAUAGUCAAACCAAAUCAUGGAUCAAUCAUUAAAAAUCAUCGCAAAUCAUCAUCAUCAUCAUAAAUCAUCAUUAUUAUUGGUUUAUCGUUAGCUACAGUCACUACUAUAACCCGUGACAUUGGUCGUAUCGACAAUUUCAUUCUCAUAAUCAUUGCUAACUAUUAUAACUCGUUAACCAGGGCUUACGCUAACUACUAUUACUCGUUAGCCAGGGUCGUAUGAUCAUGUCUUUGCUAACUACUAUUACCCAUUAGCUAGGGUCGUAGAACUAAGUUCUGGUGUCGAUGAUCCUACUUCCAAGGGAUGUAAAAAUGUAGCCAUCAUAAAAUCAUUCUUUAAACAUAAAUCAUUUUCUCAUUUCAUUCAUAAGCAUGAUUCAUCAUUUAUAUAGAGAAACACAAAAUAAUCAUAUGCUUGAUCCUAUUUUUAUAUAUCAAAAAUAAAGAAAUAAAACAUUCUUUCAUUUAGAAACAUAUAUAUACAUAGAUUCAAAAAUAAGCAAAGUGUGUGAGAUUCUAAAUACCUCCAUUCGAUUUCACCACUUAGUUUUUCUCCCAAAAUAAUUAAUGACCUAUCCAAGAUCAUUUCAAAAAAUCAAAAUUUAAUCAACCAUUUUUUAGACCAUUUAUACAAAAAUCAACUAAGUUACACAAUGGUUAACUUAACUAAUUAAUACUAGCAGCCUGACCUCUUUUCAUUAAAAUAGUCAUGUCUCAACAUAUCUAAAUCGGAAUUAUGAUCUUUUUAAUGCGUUAGAAGCUAGACUUGAUAAGCUUUCUAACCAUAUAUGGCACACAUCGUAAUUCCUUGUAGAUUAAUUAUAACAAUUUUUUGAAAUCCAUGUCAUAUACUACUGCCAAACAGCCUGUAUGCCUUCUAAUAAAAAUUAUAUAUUUAUUCACAGGAAACUCCAAAUUCAAUUCCGCUUAUUUUAUUGGAAAGUAGACUCAAUAAGCUUUCCAAAAAUAUAUGGCUUAAUCUGUAAAUCCUUGUAUACAAAUUAAGAAGAAUUUCGUAAUUCAACUCUGAUGCUGUUGUCUCACAACCUGCAUAUCCUUAAGUUAAAAUUAGACAACUCUUGAUGGAAAACUCGGAUUUAACUUUCGUUUAUUUCGUUAGAAAUUAGAUUCAACAUGCUUUCCAAUGAUAUAUAAUAAUCACAGCAAAAAUCUAUCCAUUAAUACAAAAUUCUAUUUUAAUUCAUUAUUACAGAUCACAUCUCAUCCAAAAAUAGAAUUUCUCCUUCAAUCUUUAAAAACUCAAAUCCUUACUUUCAGCCUUCAAACUCCAUUCAAUAAUCAUCAAUAAAUCUUAAGAACAUGAAAUAAAUAAAGCCCAGUAAUUUAUCCAAAUAGAUCAUCAAGAUUAAUGAAGGAUUUCGUGAUUUUUCUUGGUUUUUGCUUUCAAAACUUCAACUUCAAAUAAUAGCAAUCAACUUGAUAUUUCUUUUUAAAUAAAAAGAGGGUAUGUACUCACUUUUAAGAGAUUAACUUGAUUGUAGUCUCUGAUUGUGAAUCUUCAACUUGAUUUUUCAUAUUAUCUAACCCUAAGGAAGAUGAGAAAGAAGAACUCUAUUUUCUUUUUAUUUCACAAUAGUUAAGUUUUCUUUCAUCUAAUACUUCAGCCCUUUUUUUUUUACUAAAUAAUGUCUUAAUAAACUGAUGGGCUUUAGUAUUAGUCUAGCCCAAUUAUUAUUUGAGCUAGGGUAUUACAUUCUCCCCUCCUUAUAAGAAGUUUCGUCCUCGAAACUUGAUUUACAUCCACAUCUCAUUCCUCUAGUUUUGCAAUCAUAUCUCUUACCGUAUGAUUGUUUCAUUGAACUUUGAAAAAAAAAAUCAUCUUGCCUCAAAACUUGUUCUUUCUAAUCAACCAUUCAAAAAAAAAAAUAUUUCAAUAUGUUAAAACUUAUAUCAUCUUGAAUUUCUAAAUACUCAUAUCCAAUCACAAAGCUUUUGCUAAGAUAUUCUCUUAACAUAUAUUCAUCAUAUACACUAAACAUUAGAGGUGACAAUAUUCUUUAUUUAUUAAAGGUUCAUCACUUUCUCAACUAAUAAUAGUACAACAAUUUAGAACUUAAAAUCAAUUCAGGCUUCCACUGCACACUCUUGAUAUUUCUUUCCAAUAAAAUUCAAACAAAUUAACUUUCGUAACAUCGUUUUGUAACAAGAAAAGCAUGUGUCCACAAACUCCUUGUAAUAUGCUUCACACCAUGUGUUUAUAACCAUAACAACCUUGAAUAACAAUAUCAACAAAUCAUUUUGUCACCAAAAAGAUAUCACAUAGUACUUUAAAAUUUCUUUUCUUUUCCACCGACAACAUAAAAUUUGCUAUCAAUUAACCACUAGAAUACAUAUGAUAUGAAUGCAAUAGAUCAUAUCCAUAAAUUUAUAUCAUAUAAAUUCAAACAUAAAUCUUUGGUUACCUAAGUUGUCUCCAAUUUCGAAUAUUGUUCUUUCUAAUAUACCAGUUAUCCUAUAACAAUUGAUUCUUCAUAAUCCCCACAAACAUCAUAAUGUCUCAAAUUGUCUUUUUAUCAAGUCUAUUGCUAUCAUCUUCAUGUCAAAGUUAAAAACUAUGCAUCAUAAUCCAUAAAAAAAAAUUUUUUUAUAAAGUUUGAACCAAUAAGAACUCCAAACACUUGAAUUCACACUAAAAGUAUAAUUAUGAACAAUAGCCAAAUACAUCACAUUAUUUCAAUAGUUCUCUCAAAUUUCUCUAAAAUCGAAUACAUGCUCAACAUCACCAAGUACACAAAAUCAUCACUUGUAAGAUUUCAACCAAUCAUUUGCCCUUGUAAAAUUCAAAUAAUCAUUUUGCACUUGUAAGAUUUCAAACAAUCAUUCUUAACCAAAACAUGCAUUUUUUUUUGUAAAUCGAUUACUCUUUUAAAACCAACUUCCUUACUAAAUCAUCUAGAUAACCAUAAUUUUAAUUUCUUGCUAAAUACACAACCCUAUACCACAAUAGGCCAUGUUCUCCAUAAAUAUAAAAUUCGAAAGAAUCCAAUAUGAUACUUUAAUUAGAAACUAUAACCACAAAUUAAUCACUUUAGCCUUUAAAAAUAUCAGUACACCUUAAAUAAAAAUUUAAUGAUCAAACUUUAAAUUAACUAUACAAACAUCCAACUUGCAUGAUCAAACCUUAAAUACUUUCUUAAUAAAAAUGUAGAACCAAAUCAAGUGAACAUCUUUCUUUACAUAUGUAAAGCUAUUUACCACAAUUAUAACAUUUUGGACUAAAUCCAUCAAAAUAAAUUCUCCAACAUUAUAAUAUAUAAAUAAUUGCAUUAAAAUUUCAACAUAUCAUUUCAUUCCAACUCCAAUAUUUUAUACUUUUAAUUCCAACAAUGUACACUCCUAUUUCAAUCGUAAUCCAUGACUAAGGAUUCACUUUACACUUAUCAAAUACUUCAAAAUCUCAUUAAGUCGAAAGUCUUUUCUCAAACUCAUAGGAUCUCCAACGAUCAAAUUGUUCUUUUAAAUAAUCUUUUAACUUAUAAAAUAUAUCUCAUUACAAGUGGCGUAAAAAAUCUCUUCAACUUAUAAAAUCGCACUAUAUCAAAGUAAUUACACUUUCUCUUAACUAUAAGAUCCAAAAGUAAUAUAUAAAUAUCAACAAAAUAACUACACCAAGAAUCCAUUGAAUCAUUGAUUCCUCAAAAUUCAUUGAAACUUUAACUACUCCAAAAUUCAUCAGAAUCAUUUACUUGUACUCACCACUAAUAGUCUAUGGAUCAAAGUUAUGUCCUUCAAAAAUUAUCACAUUAUUCAAAGGUCAUCAUCUAUUCUUAAAAAUCUUCACAUAAUAUAUAGAUUGUAACCAUACUCAUAGAAUAUCUCUUUCAAUUAAAGGAUCAUAAACUAUAUUCUUUGAAAAUCAUCGUUAAUCUAUUUAUCAUAAAUUAAAUUCUUAAAAAUCUUUAAAGAUUAUAAUCAUAGUUCUUAGAAAAUUCUCAAAAUCAUAUUAUAAGCUCUUUAACAUCUCACAUAGUUUAAGGAUCAUAACCUGAACUCUUAGAAAAUCUCCAAGAAACAUCACUUAAGCUUUUAAAGAAAAUCUCAAUAUAAUAUACAAAUCAUAUCUAUUUCUUAAAAUUUUUCAAAGAUCAUAACUUAAGCUCUGAUACCAUUAUUGUCAUACCCCGAGAUCAAGACGUAACACGACCAUAUUACCUUGAAAAAAAUCUCAAAGUAAUACGAAGCCUUCUUUCUUAAACAUUCUAAAAUUCUUCAAUAAAACAAUCUACCAAGUAAAAUUCAUAUCUUUAAUCCAACUGAUGAUACAUCUUUAUAUAUCCAAAUAUAAAUCAUAUAAAAUAUAAAAAUGCCUCUUAAAAUCUCGUUGGCUAAUAUAUUCUCCGACGAUUAAGUAAUCUUACCCAUUUCAUCUUCUAGCUUCACACAAGACUAACCAAACUUAUCACUUAAUCAUCUAUAAAGAAAAAUGUAAAAAGAAGAAUAAACAAAUCAUAGCUCAAUAAGUAUAGGCUCACACACCUUACCAGAUCAAGCAUCGUUUUCUUACGCAUUAUAUAGAUCAUUCAAAAAAUUCAUCAAAUCAUAAUAUCAAAACAUUUCAAGAUCAUCAUUUUGUCAAAUAUUUCAAUAAUUCAUAAAUCAAUGUCAAAAUAUGUCACUUCAUAAAUCAUAGAAAAAUAUGCUAUCAUUCAAAUAUCAUAAUCAAACCAAAUCAUGGUUCAAUCAUUAAAAAUCAUCGUAAAUCAUCAUCAUCAUAAAUCAUCAUUAUUAUUGGUUUAUCGUUAGUUACAGUCACUGCUAUAACUCGUGACAUUGGUCAUAUCGACAAUUUCAUUCUCAUGAUCAUUGCUAACUAUUAUAACCCGUUAGCCAGGGCUUACACUAACUAUUAUUACCUGUUAGCCAGGGUCGUAUGAUCAUGUCUUUGCUAACUACUAUUACCCGUUAGCCAAAGUCGUAGAACUAAGUUCUAGUGUCGAUGAUCCCACUUCCAAGGGAUGUAAAAACGUAGCCAUCAUAAAAUCAUUCUUUAAAUAUAAAUUAUUUUCUCAUUUCAUUCAUAAGCAUGAUCCAUUAUUUAUAUAGAGAAACACAAAAUAAUCAUAUGUUUGAUCCUAUUUUCAUAUAUCGAAAAUAAAGAAAUAAAACAUUCUUUCAUUUAGAAACAUAUAUAUACAUAGAUUCGAAAACAAACAAAGUGUGUGAGAUUUUACUUACCUCCAUUUGAUUCCACCACUUAGUUUUUUCUCUAAAAUAAUUAAUGGCCUAUCUAAGAUCAUUUCAACAUAUCAGAAUUUAAUCAACUCUUUUUGAGACCAUUUAUACAAAAAUCAACUAAGUUACACAAUGGUUAACUUAACUAAUUAAUACUAGCAGCCUGACCUCUUUUCAUUAAAAUAGUCAUGUCUCAACAUAUCCAAAUCAUAAUUAUGAUCUCUUUAAUGCGUUAGAAACUAGACUUGAUAAGCUUUCUAACCAUAUAUAUGGCACACAUUGUAAUUCCUUGUAGAUUAAUUAUAACAAUUUUUUGAAAUCCACGUCAUAUACUGCUGCCAAACAGCCUGUAUGCCUUCUAAUAAAAAUUAUAUAUUUAUUCACAGGAAACUCCAAAUUCAAUUUCGCUUGUUUCAUUGGAAAGUAGACUCAAUAAGCUUUCCAAAAAUAUAUGGCUUAAUCUGUAAAUCCUUGUAUACAAAUUAAAAAGAAUUUCGUAAUUCAACCCUGAUGCUGUUGUCUCACAGCCUGCAUAUCCUUAAGUUAAAAUUAGAUAACUCUUUAUAGAAAACUCGGAUUUAACUUUCGUUUGUUUCAUUAAAAACUAGAUUCAACAUGCUUUCCAAUGAUAUAUAAUAAUCACAGCAAAAAUCUAUCCAUUAAUACAAAAUUCUAUUUUAAUUCAUUAUUACAGAUCACAACAUCUCAUCCAAAGAUAGAAUUUCUCCUUCAAUCUUUAAAAAACUCAAAUCCUUACUUUCAGCCUUCAAACUCCAUUCAAUAAUCAUCAAUAAAUCUUAAGAACAUGAAAUAAAUAAAGCUCAAUAAUUUACCCAAAUAAAUCAUCAAGAUUAAUGAAGGAUUUCGUGAUUUUUCUUGGUUUUUACUCUCAAAACUUCAACUCCAAAUAAUAGCAAUCAACUUGAUAUUUCUUUUUAAAUAAAAAGAGGGCAUGUACUCACUUUUAAGGGAUUAACUUGAUUGUAACUUCUGAUUGUGAAUCUGCAACUUAAUUUUUCAUAUUCUUUAAUUUUAAAGAAUAUGAGAAAAAAAAUUUAUUUUUUUUCUGUUUCAUGAUAGUUAGAUUUUUUUUUUAUCUAAUAUUUCAAUCUUUUUUUUAUUAAAUAAUAUCUUAAUAAAUUAAUGAAUUUUAAUAUUAAUCUAACUCAAUUAUUAUUUAAACUGAGGUAUUACAAAAUCAGGUUAAGACGUCGACUUAUACAAGGUCUUUUCCGAUAAGAUGAAAAACAAUUCCUGUCUUGAAAGGUAAAUCCCACUAAACAACACUUGUACGCUUGACAUGAAAAGUAGAGGCAAGCAGAGUCAAAGGCCAAGCCUCAACCAGCAAAGGGGGACAGCCAUGCCAAUCCAAGCAGAGCAACUAGAAGCCCACUCUACCUUUCUUUCUUUAUCUUAGACUUCGUUAUUCAAGGAGACCCAUGUGCAUUUCCUCUGUUCUGUGCUCUUGAACUCUUUCUUCCCUUGUGACUUUAGUUGAAGUAUAGGUCGUCGAUUCAAUCUAUCUUGAUGGGAUUUUUGCUUUUGUUAAGUGGUAUAGAAGGGAUUCCUCUAGUAAGUAGCGACAAGAGGCUACAUCAAUAGCUGAAACUUGUUUUUGGGUAGGGUAGGCUCGGAGUCAGAAGUCCUCUCUUUCCCAACCAAAUAAGCAUUUUUGGAAAGUUCAUCUUCCCGCGGUCAAAACUAAACAACACUUGCGGAUAACAAUCAGAUCUUACACGGGACAGGGACCAUACUAGAAAACCUAAUUAAAAAGAAUUCGGCUCAAUUCACAUCUAUGAGCGAUGAUUCCUCUUUCUCUUGCUCGCUUCGAUCGGACUCUGACAGCUUAGGGAAGAAUGAAGGGUCGCUAACAAGGCCCCUAAAUGACUGCUCAGAAGGCCUACCUAUUUUUUUUCCUAAUUCUUUUCUUUCUACUAAUUCUUACAAAAUAAAUUUGUAGGAAGUAAACGAAGUCUUUCCUUCCGAAAGAAACUCCUGAAGUCACGUCUUUCAGUAAUGGGACUGAAGUCAAGUACUUUCCAGUUGCUCUCUGCCCAAAGUCCUCCUUCCAACUUAAACAACUAUAAAUAGCUUUAGCAUCUCUUGAUAAGAAAACAUCUUUCUAGAGCUAAGGGGAAGGUUUGGAACCCUAGUAGCAGAAUGGAAUCAGUUUACCGGGCUGACUUCCAUGCCAACACGAGUAGUUUAACUCAUCACUACCUCAUAAGGGCGUUGAGAAUUGUUUUUGCUUUCUUGUUCAAAUUCUUAAAAAAGUCAACAAAUAGCCCUUGCAUAGUUUACGAAUUCUGCUUAGUAGGGACCUAAACACAGGAAUGGUUUUUCUCAAAGUCAGACCACGCCUUAUGACAAAAGGGGGAGAAAGGACGGGUCACCUGUCGAUCUAUGAUCAAACAAAACUCUACCUGAAGAAUGGGAUACAGAUUGACCAGCACAAAAGCCAUCUCUAUCAAUCUACGCUCAUUGAUGAGACGGCGACAUAGAGAAGAAAGUAUACCGUUUGUCACCCCCCUUGUCACUUAAAAGUAAAGAAGAGAUACAAAGGAAUCCAAAUUUUGUGGGAUCGAGGAUGGAAUCGAAUAGCGAAUGCACUUGCGGUUAAGACAGGUCCUGCAUCUCCUACCUAAUGCAAUUGACCGACCCGGCAUCUCUUUCGUUCAAUAAUGCCUUUGCUUCAAGACGCUAUUUACCAGGCCUUUUUGAAUUGAAAAAGCCGAAGGGGCGAACGAGCGCUGCGGUAACGAGCCGUAAGAAAGAUGAGCAGAGCAUUCCUUCCACCGGCCCUUAUAGGAGUAGGGGGCGUGGUGAGAUAGAUAGACGUCCAAUCUUGCAGCAGCUAGUUGCUCGGCCUUAGUCUUGGGCUGAUCUCAUACUUCAAUCAACCCCUUCGUACUUCGAUCCAAUCAAUCGAUCGAUCAAGAGGCUAAUCUCUUUUGUUUAGGUCGGUAACUAAAAAAAAAAAGAAAAGAAAGUCCUCACUUUCUCUUGAACAAGAGAAGGGCAGCAUAGCAUUAGCUUCAAUUGAACAAGCUCAACCUUGAAAAAAAAAAAAAGCAGUAGGUCGAAGAAUUGUUGAACGCUUCAACUUGGCCACUGAAAGGUGAAAGCUGGGCGAGAGACUAGGCCAAGUUACUUCUUACUGCCAUGCCAUGGUUGUUGCUUUAGGCUCCAUAGACGGAAUUAUGUAUUAGGUAUUAGGAAGGGGAGGAGAGAAAGAAUGCAUGCAUGGAGUUCUGUCUCUCGGAGGUUCGAGAAUCUAUGAAAGGACAUCUAAGACUAAGAAAGAAUGAAAGGAAGUCCAUUACUGAGAGAAGUGGUGAUCUCGUCUUGCUUGCUGGGAGAAAGGAAGCUUCCGGACCACCUUUUCCAGCCAGAUAGCGAGCGAUCACUCAGCAAUGAACACUAACUGAAAGCGGCCGGGAAUGAGUACCUAUCCCUUACGGGAAUCGAACCCGUGUCUUCGACAUGAAAAGACGAUGUCCUAACCACUGGACGAAAGGGACCAAAAAGCCAUUCUUCAUAUACCUCAGCUCCGACAAUAGAAGUGGUUCGUUUUGUUUCUAUACGCAAUUCAAGAUUUCGUUUGUGUUCAUGUUGGCGAUUUCUUAUGUGAAUUUUGGCUGGUCGUCCCCCCUUCCUAUGGGUUCCCCACCGACCCAGUAACACACCAACCAUGCCCCUUCCCUUUCUUCGAUCGUAAAGCCCCCUGAUCCAUUUCUUUAUCUUUCAUCCCCCCUGAACAGAAUAAGUACGGCCCUAAAAAAAAAAAAGAAAAAAAGGGGCAAAACGCCAAUUUAAAGUGGCGAAGGUCUAUGCUAAAAUAAGGCCCUAGAAAAAAAAAAAGAAAAAAAGGGGCGAAACGCCCGUUUAAAGUGGCGAAGGCCUAUGCUAAAAUAAGAAAGAAAGUACGUUAAGGUUACGAAGUCACUUAGUUGAACUAUAAAGAAAGAGAGGCUAAGCUUACUUCGUAAGGUCAACUGGUUAAGGAAAGCUCAAAUUAUGAAAUCGUUUAGCCGUUAAUUAAUGUUGUAAUAGUAAAGCAUCAGUACGGAGUUGCGUCAGCUGUAGAUAUAGACUAGGCUAAGGGAUAGAGCCUGGAACUGUGGACUGGGACUACGCAAAAGGUAGAACACCAUAGAAACUUCGCUUAUUUCUCAUAAACCUUGAUUUCGCUACGAAAAAUAAGAACCCGAAAUAGCUCCAAUCGAUUCGUGUUUCGCUUUCAAAGUAAGUUGUCUUUGCCCAACUGUGAAUUGCAGACAAGUCUCCAGUGGUUCCAUUCCUUCUUACUUGAUUUUUGGGUCAACCCAACCUGAAUGGGAAUAAGAGGGUCAGCCAAACAGUGGUCCACUUUGUACAUUUUUUGAGACAGGUUUAGAAAAGGGAAGAGCCAAAGGAGACAGCAGGAAUGAAGGCAGGAAAAGCUACCGCUUCUAGAAUGCAAAGCUUAUCCUUGACUUUUUUUAUAGCUCUAAAAAAAGUUUUUUGGAUGAAGUAAUUGGAGUGACAAAUGGUUACGAUUGCAAAAACCAGAGAAAGUCGGGAACCGUCGGUUACCUUUUGAAUCAAAGUAGCGACGAGCCGAGUACUACGACUACAGGGGGGGCAAAGCUUCUACGACAGCUUCGCUUCCUCGUCGCUUCUUUCUGGCGACUAGCUUCUCAAGUGGGUGGCUUGGUAAGCAAGCUACCUUCAGCAUCGGUCAAAUCCCUAUCAAUAAUAGGCCGGAAUGGUGGGGAAGGAGGCCCCCCCUACUUCAAUGGAAAGGGGGGAAUCGCCGUUUCACAGCCGCUCCUCUACAACUACCUUUCGCCUAACAUGAUCACGAACGAAGACAGAGAAUUGCGUAGAUAGGAGGACGAAACGAACCAACCCACUUGUCCUGAUCGGAACGAUUGAAGAAAGAAAGAGAAUGGUGGCCCCUUUCGCCCAGGGGCCAUCGUCGGAGAACAAUGUCGGGGACAGGGCGAGAACCUUCCGUUGGUUACGCCCUUGUUGGGUUGGUUCUUCCAUAUUUAGAUAUGGAGAUAGAUCCAGAUAGAGAUCUAUAUCUUUCUAUUUAUCGAUAGAAAGAACUAUUGAAAAAUGGAUAUUGAUCUGGUUUCAAGAUCUAUAAACAAGAGAGAUCCCCAAAUAUCCAUUUGAAAAAAGAGAUGAAUAGAUAGGGCGGAGCCAGCUGAAGGAAGGUCGCGUUAGCGCCCCCGCAAUCUUUCUAAAGCAACAAGCGAGAAACUUGACAUUGAGAAAGAAGCGCCAACUAUUCUAAUAUUAGUAAAGGCGCGUUAGCCUAUCUAUAGGUUGGGGCCUUUUCUUGCUCGUUAGCGACCCCUUACCCCUAUUCUAAACGUUUAGUCAUAAAGGAACUCAAGGAAAGCCUUUUGACAACCUUACUAAUAGAAAGGGAAAAGAUGCGCUCAAGCAUGCGAAGAAAGCUCUUCGAGCUUCCCAACUAUUAUGGAAAGGUUUGUAGAAAGGGGCUUCUUAAAAUAUCCCAUAAAGAAAGUAGGGGCUUCAAAGCUUGUAGUUUAAGGGUGCGCAGGUAUAGAAUCCUAUACAAACAAGGGGCUACCGUGUAAUGGCUUUCUUUGAUAGGGGCUCGCUUCUUCAAGUGGAGUGUCAUGGACUAAGCUUUCUCUCAACAAGCAAUAGACCGUGCGGCACUUGAAUGGGUGCUUCCAACCAAGUCAGCCUUCAAUAGAUCGAUAUCUGAACAAAUAACCAUAAGCCAUGGUUAGUCCCAAGCAUUCACAAUAAGACACAAUAUAUCGAGAUCAAUCUCAAGCACACACACAAUAAGGCAUAUUCGCAUCGAGAAAAAUAAAAAAAAGCACAUCGAGGCAAUAAUCGAGACAUUCAAUCGGGGUGAGUUUUAUUAUACUCGGGAAUCAUACAUCGGGACCUCCCACCAUCACCAGGGCCAGGGGGGUAGCCCUUGGUGGGUGGCCUAAGCUCGCAUAGCAACCAGUAAGACAACCUAACACUACGCUGUCGGCUCACCCCCCUAAAGAGCCUUAGAGAUUUUAGAGCUAUGCUACUAGUAACCAUUACAAUGUUUGAAAUGGGGACACUUUUUCUAACACAAGGGAUCUACCCGACCAUGGCCCUAUACAUGGGUGGCUCAUGGCAACCUAAGUCCCAGUCAUGGCCCUAUUCAAGGUUGGCUCAUGACAUCCUCUCCCACCUAUUCUAUCGACGUCCUCGUCGACUUGCUGGCUUGAAAUUCUUUGAUCUUCCUUUGAAAUCUCUAGAGGUCGUGUUCUCUCUCCCAACUGGUUUCUUCUAGUCCUAAUCCCUCUCACUUCACUAAGUACUCCCGAACUAGUCUUUGAGACAUCUUGGUUUCCCUGUUAGCUAAGAUCUCUUCGACUCGACGCUCUGAAGGUGGCUUCAUGGUGAUGGCGGCUCUGGUUGGCUCCUUUCGGCUAGCAUCUGUAGGAUCUGCAUGAAAAGGUUUUAGGUUGCUCACAUGAAAUACUGGGUGCACCUUCAUCCACUUUGGUGGGUCGAUUUUAUAAGAAACAUUCCCCACCUUGGAAAGGACCCUUACUGGACCUUCAUAUUUGCGCACCAGUCUACGAUCUCUCUUUCUCAAGAACCUGGUUUGUUCAGGAACUAGUCGGACAAGAACCAAAUCACCAACUUAAAAUUGUUGAGCCCUACGACCCUUGUCUGCCCAUUUCUUCAUCCGCUUUGAUGCUUUCUCCAGGUAGGCUUGUGCAAUCUCUAUGUUUUGUUUCCACUCCUUGUUGAGAUUGAAGGCUCUCGGAUUUUUUCCUCCAUAUUAUUCCAAGGAAGUGUGGGGUAGCCUUGGUAAUUAUCCGGUGACCACCUCAAAUGGGCUCUUAUUGGUGGAAGAGCUUUUGUUGAAAUUAAAGCAGAGUUGAGCCACGUCCAAUAAUGAAGGCCAGUCUUUUUGAUUGGCUUGAACAAAGUACCUCAAGUAUUCCUCUAAUAAUUCGUUGAACCGUUUCGUCUGACCAUCGAUUUGAGGGUGAUAGCUUGAGGAGAUGUUGAGUUGAGACCCCAAUAUCUUGAAAAGUUCUCUCCAGAAAGAUUUCGUGAAUCUAAGAUCUCCAUCGCUGAUAAUAUUUUUAGGGAGGCCCCAGUAUUCGACCACAUGUUUGAACAAUAGUCGAGCUGUGUCUUUCGCUGUGUAAUACUUAUGAGCGGGAAUGAAUGUGGCAUACAUAGAGAACCGGUCAAUUACCACCAAAAUAGCUCCAAGGUCACCAACCUUGGGUUAGGCUCGAAAUAAAAUCGAGAGAGAUGCUUUCCUACGUUUUGGCGGGUACAAGUAGUGGUUCUAGCAUGCUUGCAGGUUUCCUCCUCUCAACCUUGUCUUGUUGGCAAAUGAGGCAAGUCUUCGUAUAGUCUAUCACAUCUUGUCACAUGUGAGGUCAAUAGUAUCCCUAUUUCAAUAACGCCAAAGUGCGUUGUCGGCCCGAGAGUCCCGCCCAUGGUGUGUCAUGACAUUCCCUCAUCAGCAUCUGUCUCAGACCUUCUGCUCUUGGCACAAACACUCAAGGCCCCUUGAUCCAUAAGACCUCAUUUUCUUGCGAGAAGUACUUGGACUUCCCUUCUUCCACUAGCUUUAGGAUGGCACAAGCUUGCGGGUCCUUCCCUAACUGAUCUCCAAUCAACUUGUGAAUGUCUGUAGUGGCCCUGUUAGCCGCCAUUGGGGCAAUUCUACUAAGGGUCGCUAAAUCUGCUCGUCUGCUCAGUGCAUCGACCACUUGAUUGGUUUUUUUAACGGUGUGCUCAAAACAAAAGUCGAACUCUGUUAAAAAUUCUUGCCACCUAGCUUGUUUUACCGUAAGCCUUGGUUGAGUGAGAAAAUGGCUAACAGUUGCAUUAUCUGUCUUCAUGACAAAGUGGGAACCCAAUAAGUAAUGUCGCCAAGCCUUCAAGCAAUGAACCACUGUCAGGAGUUCUUUUUUCUGGGCCGUAUAUUUCUUUUCAACUUCACUUAGCUUCCUACUUUCAAAUGCUACCGGGUGAUGUUGUUACAAAAGCACUCUUCUAAUUGUAAAAUCAGAUGCAUCCGUCUGAACUUCGAAAGGCUUUUCAAUAUUAGGGAGAGCUAAGAUGGGAUCCUUCAUAAUAGCAUCCUUCAAUCCCUCAAAGGCCUCUUGGCACUCACUCGUCCAACACCAUUUAUGCUCCUUCUUAAAUAGCUCCAUGAGGGCCGUGCUCUUACGAGAGUACCCUUCCAUAAACCUUCUAUAAUAGUUGGCUAGUCCCAAAAAUGAACGGAGCUCACUAACAUUCUUCGAUGUUAUCCACUCCUUGAUGGCCCUAACUUUUUCCAUGUCCAUUCGAAUAUGGCCACGUUCGAUAAUGUGACCGAAAAAAUGGAUUUGGGUUUGAACAAAUGCACACUUCUCCCUUUUUAAGUAUAACUGGUGGUCUUGUAAUCUUUGAAGUACCCGACGUAGGUGUUCUUGAUGUUCUUCUAAGGUAUAGCUAUAUACCACUAUAUCGUCUAAAUAGAUGACUACAAAUUUGUCUAGGUAGUCAUGGAACACCUGAUUCAUCAAUGUAUAAAAUGUGAUAGGAGCAUUGGUCAGUCCAAAAAGCAUAACAAGAAAUUCAAAUGCACCAUACCGUGUCACACAAGUGGUCUUUGGCUCAUCUUCCUCAACGAUUCUGACCUGAUGGUAGCCAGAUCUCAGGUCUAAUUUGGAGAAGUACUUGGCUCAAUUCAAUUGAUCAACCAAGUCUGCUAUAAGGGGGAUGGGAUAUUUAUUUCUUACGGUGACUUUGUUCAGGGCCUUAUUAGUCAACACGUAAUCGUAAGCUUUCAUCAUGCUUCUUCUGAAAUAGCACUAGUACUCCGAAAAGAGCCUUUGAUGGUCUGAUAAACCCAGCUUGUAACAGCUCAUCUAACUGUUUUCUUAGUUCUACCAACUCUGACGGAGCCAUGGGGUAAGGAGCUCUAGCAGAGGGUUUCGCUCCUGAGAAGAGCUCAAUUUCAUGGUCCACUACUCGUCGAGAGGGUAGAACCUUAGGCAAUAUCUCUGGCAUCACCUCUUCGAAUUCUUCCAACACUUUUUCCACACCAUCAGGUAUUGGUUCUACUUUCGACCCUUCUUUGUAGAUCGACACAGCCACAAAGAAAAGUUCCUCUCUCUUUACCCCUUUCUUGAACUGUAAAGCUGAAAUCAUUUUUUUCCCACUCUUUGGUAAGAUGUUGGCUGGCACCACACAUGGGUGUUCCCUUAAAAACAACAAGCAGCUCGCGACGGGGAUAGGGAUGACCUGAGCCAACAUCGUGAAGUUCAAUCCGAAAACAACAUCAAAGUCAUCCAUGGGGGAAACUGUGAAGUUUACCUUUCCUUCCCAUGGCCCCAAUCGGGUUGUCACACUCUUGGAGCUUUCACUGAUCGCAAAGGCUGGCGAAUUGACCGUCUUCAUUCGUCCACAGUCUUUACUAAUCUGAAGGCCACACCUUUUUACUUCUUCUGAUGUGAUGAAGGUGUCAGUUGCACCCGUAUCCAUCAUGGCCUUAGUGGCUUUCUCAUUGAUCGUCAAGUUCACAUAUGCCUCUACUCUGCUCUUUCUUUAUAGUGUUUAAUUGGGUGCGGAGGGCAUUGAGAAACCUUAUUAAACCCAUCCUGGCUGGUUCUUCUUCAACUUUUUCAACGUUUUCUGGCACUUUUGCAGACUCUUGAGAUGAGGUCGUUAAAGCAUUAAGGGCUCCCCUGUGUGGGCAUUCAGCCACCCGAUGUGGCCUUUUGCAAAGAAAGUAAGCUAACGGUUGCCUAGGCUUAAAAAUUCCUGCGUAGCUUGUCUUGGGUUGGGUGCUAUCUCGACUAAAAGACCUCCUGUCUAAUCCCCCACUGAAGGGUCGGACCAACCUAGUCAUCUUUUUCCCACUCCAAAAUUGAAGCUACUGCCAGCUGAUGGAGGAGUUUUUCAUUUUAAGGAGCCAUCAUUGUAAUCGUGGAAACGUUCAGCUGCAGCUAUGGCCGUGGCCAUGUCUUGUAUUUUCUGUCUUUGUAAUUCUAUCCUUGCCCAAGGCUUGAGGCCCUCAAGAAAAUAGAACAUCUUGUCCUUUUCGGACAUGUCUCGAAUAUCUAACAUCAGGGUAAAAAAGCUUUUUACAAACUCUCGCACUGUUCCUGUUUGCACUAGUUCUCGAAGUCUCAUUCGAGCCAUAUACUCUACAUUUUCAAGGAAAAAUUAGUUUUUCUAGUCUCGUUUCAAAUCCAUCGAAGUCUUAAUUGGGCACUCAUCAUUGAUAAACUUAGAACGCCACCACAGCUUGGCAUCCCCUGCGAGGUACAUCGACGCCAUUGCUACCUUGUCUUUCUCUGAAUCUGUGUGUAUAGCUUGAAAGUACUGCUCCAUGUCAAACAAGAAAUUUUCAAGUUCUUUGGCAUCUCUUGCCCCCUCAUAACAUCGAGGCUCCGACACCUUGGGCCUUUUUCCUCUUUCCAUCGAGUUUGAAUCCGAUCUGGCCACAACCAUUUGUAGGAUGCUCACCUGUGCUCUGAGCUCCUCAAACUCCUUUUGGAGAAUGUUCAAGGCAUCUCUAGCCUUUUCGCUCACGUUGUGGAGAGUAUCGGACAACUCUCGCUGGGUUGUCUCGAUCUCCCUCACUCGAUCUUUAGUCGCCAUAUGAGUUUUCAUUGCGGCCACCGCGACCUCAGUUCCUUUUGUUAAUGAUUGGGUCUACCACUUGUGGUCAUUUCAUUCAUUUUUCUAGCACUUCUCAACCGUGCUCUGAUACCACGUAUCACAGACUAAGCUUUCUCUCAACAAGCAAUAGACCGUGCGACACUUGAAUGGGUGCUCCCAACCAAGUCAGCCUUCAAUAGAUCGAUAUCUGAACAAAUAACCAUAAGCCAUGGUUAGUCUCAAGCAUUUACAAUAAGACACAAUAUAUCGAGAUCAAUAUCAAGCACACACAUAAGAAGGCAUAUUCGCAUCGAGAAAAAUAAAAAAAAGCACAUCGAGGCAACAAUCAAGACAUUCAAUCAGGGUGAGUUUUAUUAUACUCGAGAAUCAUACAUCGAAACCUUUCACUAUCACUAGGGUCAGGGGGUAGCCCUUGGUGGGUGGCUUAAGCUCGCAUAGCAACCGGUGAGACAGCCCAACAUUACGCUGUCGGCUCACCCCUCCUAAAGAAUCUUAGAGAUUUUAGAGCUAUGCUACCAGUAACCAUUACAAUGUUUGAAAUGGGGACACUUUUCUUAACACAAGGGAUCUACCCGACCAUUGCCCUAUACAUGGGUGGCUCAUGGUAACCUAAGUCCUGGUCAUGGCCUUAUACAAGAUUGGCUCAUGACACGGAGCUUGCUGCUUGUUAAAGUCAUAGUUGGCUGUCUACUAAACGAGCCUUCACUGCUUGGUCGACCCUUAUCUUUAAUCUUAAGUAAAGUGAAGUCAAAUCAAUGAAGUAAACAACCCAACCUCUUUGUUUGAAGCUUUUCUAUGAAGUUUCUACUUGUUGAAGCUUUUUUUCCCAAAACACAACAAUAGACUCGCGUAUAGGAAAAAACUUCUCUUUGAUAGCGGUCAUAGGGGGGUUCAGAAAGGAUCUGAUCGUAGAUAGAGACUGAAACCUGUGUGGGGGUAGGGGCGGAUGUAGCCAAGUGGAUCAAGGCAGUGGAUUGUGAAUCCACCACGCGCGGGUUCAAUCCCCGUCGUUCGCCCAUCAAUAAAUGGACCAUUUGUUACGGAGACACAAGACAAACCUAGAAAGAAUUUUUUCUGCAAGUAAUCUCGAGGCUUUCAAACGCAUCUAAGCAAUUGGUAUCCGAUUGAAACAUAAAAACCAUAGAUUCGCGUCGCCUACUUACUGAAAGCAUAAAUGGAAUGGCUGAUCAUUUAUUGUAUGAAGUUUUUAAGACCUCAUUAAUCAGCCAACAACUUUUGAGUCAUAAUGAUUGAAAUGAACCCCCAGAUGAACAGAAAAUCUCAUUUCUCUUUUACUAAACCAUCGGAAGUCCCAAGUAGUUUACCAGGCAAAUUUAGUUGUCGUGAUAAUACCUUUCAAUGUGAAAGAUUGAAAAAAACUUAUCUUCAUCACGAGACUGAUCGGAUCCAUCGUAGAUACCCAAGAAACCCUCAUAAGGCAGGCUAAAAGAGUAAGAGGACAACAAGCAAAGAGUUAUGCUUUCAUUUCUUUGUUGAGAUUGAAAGAAAGUUAUUUGAAAAAGGGGUAGGUAUAAUGCACGCAGGCCAAGUCAAGAAAAGGACUUCCUUACUUUUAUUUCAUAGUAGUCUUAAUGACUAGUAGUUUGAAGCCUUUUUAAAGCGGUUUUUUUAGGCACUCGAUUCUUUUGUCUUAAGUCAAGUUCAGUUUACUUUUUGAUUUAGAGCUCUUAGUUGAGCUCAUGGCAAGAUUGAUUUUUUGUUCAAGGUUCAAGAGACAAGAGAGAAACCACCUCCCAAUGAUGUUUUUAUGAAAGUACGAUCAUCGGUGGUGAAUACCUUCUCGACACUACAUAACCUAAAAUCCACUUUCAAUCGCUCUUUUUAUUUUUUUGAGAGGAAUUAUUUUCAUAUCCUCGACUUUUUGAAUGCAAAAAGUGCCCUAUUUACCUUGUUGAGAUAGGGGGCAAUGCCAAUUAUUUAUUUUUAAGUCAAGCUCCGUAUCCCUCUCUUUUUAGGUUGGCAUAACAAAGAAAGAGAGUGCCAAGAAACAACACAUACCCAUCACUUUUGGUUGGAAGGUUUGGGAUCGUCUGGGAGCUCUUUUGUUGUAAGUCCAAAGUUCUGCCGCUUGAAUUCACAGGUUCAUUCAUUUACCAGCACUAGUUCGUACCUUAGCAAGCAAGCUACCGUGACCUCCGGUCUACAAGCACCUCUGGUUUUAAGCACCCCCGAUCUCCAGGCUUAAGGCAACAGGGAGACAAGCUUCAAAGCCAUACUUGCACACGACACUUGCUCGUUUCUUUCUGAUUUGGUGCUUUUAGUCUUGUCAAAAUUUUUUUUUCACUUUUUUAGUUUGUGUAAGCCUUUAAAGCAAGUGAAAAUAGAGAGCGUUUUUCACUGAUUUGAUUGGUGGAUCGGUUUGGUUCUUGCUUUAGUUUUUUUCUUGAGCACUUGACCAUGGGAUGGUUGAGUGCCCUAUUAGAGAAGGUCAAUGGAUAGACCUAAUAUCUAUCAGUACUUACGAUCUAAAGAGUACCUAGGGAACAAUUAAGGCCUCUACAUUGAGGGAAAACAUGCUCUACGUAAAAAAAUAAAAAGAGAAGUUCACUUUUGCAUAACCUUUGUUUUCUUUUCCUUGGGCAUUGGAACAAUCACAAGUGCAAGAAAUAACUGGUUGAUAGUUGAAGAUCUCUGACCAUAUGGUCUUAAGUUGAGUAUAGUACUCAACAACAGUCAUAUCCCCCUGACUAUGAUUUGGGACUAAUUAUUCUAGCUGGAAUAUCUUAGCUUCAUUUCCUAUGGAAAAAAGAUCAUGGAGAUAAAGGACCAUACCUGUUUUACCGAUGCCAUAAACAUAAGACUGGUAGCAAUUGUAGGCUUAAUUACAUUGAGAAGCCAUGACAUGACCAGUUUCUUUAUGGCACUCCAAUCAGCCAUCUUGGUCUCACUUAUAUUGGUGAUCAGAGAUAGAAUGACAGUGUCACGGACUAAACUUUUUUUCAAUAAGCAAUAGAUCAUGUGGCACUUGAAUGGGCGCUUCUACCCAAGUCAGCCAUCAACAGUUCGAUAUCUGAACAAAUAAUCAUAAGCCAUGGUUAGUCCCAAGCAUUCAUAAUAAGAUACAUUAUAUCGAGAUCAAUCUCAAGCACACACAAGAAGGCACAUUCACAUCGAGAAAAAGAAAAACACAUCGAGAUAACAUUCGAGACAUUCAAUCGGGAUGAAUUUUAUUAUAAUUGAUAAUCAUACAUCAAGAUUUUCCACCAUUACUAGGGCUAGGAGGUAGCCCUUGGUAGAUGGUCUAGGCCCGUAUAGAAACCGAUGAGACAGCCUAACAGUACGCUGUCGGCUCACCCCCUAAAGAGCCUUAAAAAUUUUAGAGCUAUGCUACCACUAAUCAUUACAAUGUUUGAAAUGAGGAUAUUUUUUCUAGCACAAGAGAUCUACCUGAUCAUGGCCUUAUACAUGGGUGGCUCAUGACAACCUAAGCUCCGAUCAUGGCCCUAUACAAGGUUGGCUCAUGACAUCCUCCCCCACCUAUUCUAUCGACGUCCUCGUCGACUUGCUGGCUUGAAAUUCUUCAAUCUUUAUUUUGAAUCUCUGAAGGUUGUGUUCUCUUUUUCAGCUGGUUUUUUCUAGUCCUAAUCCCUUUCACUUCACUAAGUAUUCUUGAAUCAAUCUUCAAGAUAUCUUGGUUUCCCUAUUGGUUAAGAUCUAUUCGACUCGAUGCUAUGAGGGUGGCUUCAUGGUGAUGGUGGCUCUAGUUGACUCCUUUCGGCUAGCAUCUGUAAGAUCUGCAUGGAAAGAUUUUAGGUUGCUCACAUAAAAUACUGGGUGCACCUUCAUCCAUUUUGGUGGGUCAAUUUUGUAAGAAGCAUUCCCCACUUUAGAAAAGAUCUUCAUUGGACCUUUAUAUUUAUGCACCAGUCUACGAUCUCUCUUUCUCAAGAACCUGGUUUGUUUAGGGACUAGUCGAACAAGAACCAAAUCACCAACUUAGAAUUGUUGAAUCCUGCGACCUUUGUCCGCCUAUUUUUUCAUUCGCUUUGAUACUUUCUCCAGGUAGGUUUAUGCAAUCUUCGUGUUUUAUUUCCACUCCUUAUCGAGGUUGAAGGCUCUCGAAUUCUUCCCUCCAUAUUAUUUUAAGAAAGUGUGGGAUAGCCUUGGUAAUUGUCCAGUGACCACCUCAUAUGGGCUUUUGUUGGUAAAAGAGCUUUUGUUGGAAUCAAAGCAGAGUUGAGCAACGUCCAAUAAUGAAGGCCAGUUUUUCUGAUUGGCUUGAACAAAAUACCUUAAGUAUUCCUCUAGUAAUCCAUUGAAUUGUUUCAUUUGACCAUCGGUUUGAGGGUGGUAGCUUGAGGAGAUGUUGAGUUGAAACCUCAAUAUCUUGAAAAAUUCUCUCCAAAAGGACCCCAUGAAUCUCGAGUCUUUAUCGCUGACAAUGUUUUGAGGGAAGCCCCAGUAUUUGACCACAUGUUUAAACAAUAGUCGAGCUGUGUCUUUCGCUAUACAAUACUUAUGAGCGGGAAUGAAUGUGGCUACUUAGAAAAUCGAUCAAUCACCAGUAAAAUAGCUCCAAGAUCACCAACCUUGAGUAGGCUCAAAAUGAAAGCGAGAAAGAUACUUUCCCACAGUCUGGUGGGUACUGAUAGUGGUUCAAGCAUGCCUGCAGGUUUUCUCUUUUCAACUUUAUCUUGUUGGUAAAUGAGGCAAGUCUUUGUAUAGUUUAUCACAUCUUAUCGCAUGUGAGGCCAAUAGUAUCCCUGUUUCAAUAACUCCAAAGUGUGUUGGCAGCCCGGAUGUCCGACUCAUGGUGUGUCAUGGUAUUCCCUCAUCAGUAUCUAUCUCAGACCUCCUACUUUUGGCACAAACAAUCGAGAUCCCUUGGUCUAUAAGAUCCCAUUUUCUUGCCAGAAGUACUUGAACUUCCCCUCUUCCACUAGCUUCAGGAUGGCACUGACCUAUGAGUCCUUCCUUAGAUGAUCUUCAAUUAACUAACGAAUGUUUGUCGUGGCUCUGCUAGUCGUCAUUGGGGUAAUUCUUCUAAGAGCCUCUAACUCUAUUCGUCUGCUCAAUGCAUUGGCCAUUUGAUUGGUCUUUCUAGUGGUGUGCUCAAAACAAAAGUCAAACUCCGUUAAAAAUUCUUACCAUCUAGCUUGUUUUGCUGUAAGCCUUGAUUGGGUAAGGAAAUGGCUAACGACCGCAUUGUCUAUCUUUACGACAAAGUGUGAACCCAACAAAUAAUGUCACCAAGCCCUCAAGCAGUGAACUCUCGCUAGGAGCUCUUUUUUUUGGGUCGUAUAUUUCCUCUCAGCUUCGCUUAGCUUCCUACUUUCAAAUGCUAUCGAGUGAUGUUAUUGUAAAAGCAUUCCUUCAAUAGUAAAAUCAGAUGCAUCCAUCUGAACUUUAAAAGGCUUUUCAAUAUUAGGGAGAGCUAAAAUGGGAUCUUUCAUAAUAGCAUUCUUCAAUCCUUCAAAGGCCUCUUGGCAUUCACUCGUCCAACACCAUUUAUGCUCAUUCUUCAAUAGCUUCGUGAUGGCAUGGUCUUACGAGAGUACCCUUCCAUAAACUUUCUAUAAUAGUUGGUUAGUCCUAAAAAUGAGCAAAGUUCACUAACAUUCUUCGGUGUUGUCCACUCUUUGAUGGCCCUAACCUUUUUCAUGUCCAUUCGAAUGUGACCACGUUCGAUAAUGUGAUCGAGAAAAUGGAUUUGGGUAUGAGCAAAUGCAUACUUCUCCCUUUUCACGUAUAACUGGUGGUUUUGUAACCUUCGAAGCACCUAGCGCAGGUGUUCUUGAUGUUCUUCUAGAGUGGAGCUAUAUACCAUUAUGUUGUCUAAAUAGAUGACUAUAAAUUUAUCUAAGUAGUCAUGGAACACCUGAUUCAUCAAUGUAUAAAAUGUGACAGGAGUAUUGGUCAGUCCAAAGGGUAUAACAAAAAAUUCAAAUGCACCAUACCAUGUUACACAAGUGGUCUUUGGCUCAUCUCGCUCUACAAUUCUGACCUGAUGGUAGCUAGAUCUCAAGUCCAAUUUGGAGAAGUACUUGGCCUGGCUCAAUUGAUUAAACAAAUUUGUUAUAAGAGGGAUGUGAUAUUUGUUCCUUACGGUGACUUUGUUUAGGGCCCUAUAGUCAACACAUAAUCAUAAACUUUCAUUAUGCUUCUUCUGAAAUAGCACUGGCACUCCGAAAAGAGUCUUUGAUGGUCUAAUGAACCUGACUUGUAGAAGCUCAUCUAACUGUUUCUUUAGUUCGACCAACUUUAGUGGGGCCAUGAGGUAAGGGGCUCUAGCAGAGGGUUUUAUUUUUAGGAGGAGCUUAAUUUCAUGGUCCACUGCUCAUCGAGGGGGUAAAACUUUAGGCAACAUCUCUGGCAUCACCUCUUCGAAUUUUCCUAACACUUUUUUCAUGCCAUCGGGUAUCGGUUCCACUCUCGACCCUUCUUUGUAGAUUGGCAUGGUCACAAAGGAGGGUUCCCCUCUCUUUACCCUUUUCUUAAACUGUAAAGCUGAAAUCAUUUUCUUUCCACUCUUUGGCAAGAUAUUGGCUGGCACCACACAUAGGUAUUCUCCUAAGAAUAACAAGCAGCUAGCGACAGGGAUAAGGAUCACCUGAGCUAAUAUCAUGAAGUCCAAUCCGAAGAUGACAUUAAAGUCAUCCAUUGGGGAAAUUAUAAAGUCUACCUUUCUUUUUUAUGGCCCCAAUUUGGUUGUCAUACUCUUAGAGCUUCCACUGAUCACAAAGGCUGAUGAAUUGACCGGUUUCAUUCAUCCACAGUCUUUGCUAACCUGGAAAUCACACAUUUUUACUUCUUCUAGUGUGAUGAAAGUAUCGGUUGCACCCGUAUCUACCAUGACCUUGGUGGCCUUCUCAUUGAUCAUUAAGUUCACAUAUAUCAGGCCUCUACCCUGCUCUUUCUUUAUUGUGUUCAGUUGGGUGUGAAGGGCAUUGAGGAACUUUAUUGAACCCAUCCUGGCUGGUUCUUCUUCAACUUCUUUAACGCUCGUUGGCACUUUUGUGGACUCUUGAGACGAGGCUUUUAAGGCAUUAACGACUCCUCUAUGUGGGCAUUCGGCCACCCAAUGCGGCCUCUUGCAAAGAAAUCAAGCUAGUGGUUGCCUAGACUUGAAAGUCACUGCGUUGUUUGUCUUGGGUUGGGUGCUAUCUCGAUCAAAGGACCUCUUAUCUGAUCCAUCGCUAAAGGGCCAAUCCAACCUAGUCAUUUUUCCCCCACUCUCAAAGUUGAAGCUACUACCAGCUGAUGGAAGAUUUUUUCAUUUUGAGGAGCAAUCAUUAUAAUCGUGGAGACGUUUAGCUACAGCCAUGGCCGUGGCCAUGUCUUGCACUUUUUAUCUUUGUAGUUCUAUCCUGGCCCAAGGCUUGAGGCCUUUAAGAAAAUAAAACAUCUUGUCUUUUUCGGACAUGUCUCAAAUAUCCAACAUCAGGGUAAAAAAGCUCCUUACAAACUCUCGCACUGUUUCUAUUUGUACCAAUUCUUAAAAUCUUCUUCGAGCCAUAUAUUCCACAUUCUCAGGGAAAAACUAGUUUUUCAGUUCUUGUUUCAAGUCUGUCCAAGUCUUAAUCGGGCACUCAUCAUUGAUAAACUUGGAGCACCACCAUAGCUUGGUAUUCCUUGUAAGGUACAUCGACACCAUUGCUACCUAGUUUUCCUUUGAAUCCGUGUGUAUAGCUCGAAAGUACUGCUCCAUGUCAAACAAAAAAUUUUCAAGCUCCUUAGCAUCCCUUGCCCCUUCAUAGCAUUGAGGCUCUAGCAUCUUGGGCCUUUUUUCCCUUUCCGUCGAGCUCGAACCUGAUCUAGCCACAGCCAUUUAUAACAGUCAUUUGUAAGAUGCUCACCUGUGCUCUAAGCUCCUCAAACUCCUUUUGGAGAAUAUUCAAGGCAUCUCUAGCCUCAUCGCUCACGUUGUGGAGAGUAUCGAACAACUCCUGCUAGGUUGUCUCGAUCUCCCUCACUCGAUCUUUAGUCAUCAUGUGAGUUUUCAUUACGGCCACCGCGACCUCAAGUUCCUCAAUUCUCUGUUGAUAAUUGGGUCCACCAUUUGUGGCCAUCUCUUUCAUUUUUUAGCACUUCUCAACCGUGUACUAAUACCACGUGUCACGGACUAAGCUUUCCCUCAAUAAGCAAUAGACCGUGCGGUACUUGAAUGCGUGCUCCCACCCAAGUCAGCCUUUAACAGUUCGAUAUUUGAACAAAUAACCAUAAGCCAUGGUUAGUCCUAAGCAUUUACAAUAAGACACAUUAUAUUGAGAUCAAUCUCAAGCACACACAAAAAGGUACAUUCACAUCGAAAAAAAGAAAAACAUAUCGAGAUAACAUUCGGGAUAUUCAAUUGGGGUGAAUUUUAUUAUAAUUGAUAAUCAUACAUCAAAACUUUCCACCAUCACCAGGGCAAGGAGGCAGCCCUUGGUGGAUGGCUUAGGCCCGUAUAGUAAUCGAUGAAACAGUCUAAUAGUAUGCUGUCGAUUCACCUUCUUAAAGAGUCUUAAAAAUUUUAGAAUUAUGUUACUACUAACCAUCACAAUGUUUGAAAUGAAAACACUUUUUUUAAUAUAAAAAAAUUUAUCCGAUCAUGAUCUUAUACAUAGAUAAUUCAUGAUAAUUUAAACUUCGAUCAUGAUCCUAUACAAAAUUAACUCAUGACAGAUAGCGUGUUGAUACAUGUUGUUUCGUAAACGCUUUCCUUCAAUGACCGAUGAAAGGCGCGUUAAUGCCCAUUUGCUUUCAUAGACCCUACUCCCCUCGGCUUCGACCCAGAAGUUGAACUAAGUAGAAAUGAUUGGUUCGUUUGCGUAAAGCUGUAAGUUCAGAUUCACUCAGAGAUAGAAAACGCUCUUUCCCAUGCCUUCUGUAAAGAGCAAGGCUUUGACUGAACUAAUAAAAUAAGGCUUUUAAGUUCGAAAAUCACAUCAAUCAUUUCUAGCACUACAACGUGUCUUAUAUUGUUACGUUUUCAAAUGCGUAGCGAAAGCUCUGAGCCCAGAUAUUCUCUUUUAUCAACCAUAGGUAUAGGUCUCUUACCUGUUUAGCUCAUUUUUUCAACUUAAAAAAAAAGCAUUGUCCUUCCUCUAAAAAUGUAGCAGGGGAGUAACUGAAAAGCAGACCAGACCUUUUAUCUCUUUUCGAGUAUCCGAUUUAGAUUCAAAUCAUAGAAUCAGCUCUUUCCGGAGUAUCCACUUUGGGAUAUUAUCUGCCGCCCUCGGAGAAGUCUUAAGUUUAAAAGAUGUGAAGCGCUAGUGAUUUCAGAUAUGGAAUGGCAUUCUUACUUUCUACGAUUCUUAUAGCCGUUCUUUUUACAAGUAAGUACAUGGGCUUCGCUUUUUUUUCAUAAGGCAAGUCAGUUUUCACUUUUCACUCUGCAGGGCUUUAGCAAGGCGACCAAAGGGAGGUCGCUACAUGCCUUCGUUAAAUCCUAUUCUCUCAUGGCCGGUCCAGAACGUCACAUCAACUACUAAUCUGAUUAGGGAUAGUCUUUAUCAGCAAACUCUUUCUCGUGAUAUCUAUUUCACUCGUUCUCUUAUGGGCUAGUGAAGGCUUGCUUCGCACAGGCAACACAAGCCAGGAGCGAGAGGAACGAAGCGACUGAAAGGAGAGGAAUGGAACUAGAUAACGAAAGGAAAGAAAAGAACUGGAAUACAAUUAUCCUUCUUUCAGAUAGUUUCAAUUUCUUAAAAAAAAGUUCACUUUAGUAUUCUGGCAGACUUUAUUAUCAUCGUAGAAAAGAAAAGAUAAAAGAGUUGGCUUUUUCCCAGGUUAGAGAACUUUCCCCUUCAAACCUCUCCUUUUCGUCCUUCUUUGGUUAGAAGGUUCCGGGUUAGAUACCCCGCUGUGAGAAUUUCCAUUGCUUAAAGUUAUCUUCCCUCAAAUCAUAUAGUUAUUGUUAAGUGCUAUCUUUCUUCAAAAAAGAUCUUAGCCCCGGUGAUCGAUUUUGCGGGACCGCCAUUGGGCCUAGUCCAAUCUUGGCCUCUUUGGAAUGGGGUUUGUCGAUCACAACUUUCAGAAAGAAAGAAAGAACGUAUUAUGAAACUAUCAACCGAUAAUGAAGUUCGAUGAAACAAGAAGAUUAUUACUUACGAUAUUCUUAUGAAACUUCUACGAUAUGAAACUAUUACGAUAUUCUUAUGAAACUUCUACUUCUUUCGAACGUAUUAUGAAACUGAUUCUCUUACGAUAUUUCUAUCUUCGUCUUUGAUUGCAUUUUCCCAUCUCUAUUUCUUUUUCGAUGAACUUUGUCUCCUUCUCUUCCUCCACCACCGGUUAUAAGACCAAGAGCAGAUAGGAUAAGAGCUGCUACGGUUAGAGCGGAUUCUAGCACAACCGAUUCUACUCUCACAUUUGAAGUCGAAGCAGAGGGCAUAGAGUCACCGACUAAAGCAAGACAGGAAAGGUAAUUGCUUACAGACAGACCAGAUUUUAGAAUAGCAGCUUCCUCUCAAACACCGUAUGGAGCCAAAAAAAAACCAUUUACUACGCAAACAAAACUGGCAACUGGUUGAGUUGAUAGGAUCACAGAUGAUAUUUACUCGAGCGUCUAUGGCUAAAAGACUAGCAGCAGAUUCUUCUUCAAUUACGGGAGGAGAUCAUUCUUCUUUCUUUCAUUUGCACCAGGAGCUUCGUCAAGAACAGUAAGAGCAUUAAAGCAGUCAAUCCAGUAGGCACUAACAAGAGUGGCUACUUAACAGCUGAUUCACCAGUCCCUUGUUUUUAUGUUGGUGGAUAGUGAGCUAUUGAUGUGGAUGGGCUUGAUGAGGCAAGGUGUUUACUACCCUCUCUCUGCCCGGUAACCACAAAGCCUAUGCUUCUGCUACUCAUGUUCUUUGCUGCUUUUCUUACUUAGAUGAUGUUGAUAAUUGAAUCCAUUCUCUGCCCUGUCUGAUAUGAAUAUAAUUAGAAUUGAGUUAGUCUGCUUUUUCGCUAGAAAAAGUCUCCUCUCUGUCAACGCUUGGCCACUCUAUUGCUAUUGUCGCCUGCCAGCUUGCCCGGUCUUCACCAUUUCUCCAGUAGCCCAUCCUCCAUCAUGAGUUUAGAGUCGACAAGAGCGAACAGAUAAGAGCUAUACCAGACACCUGCUGUAUUCUUCCUUCAACCCAAAUUGAAGGUAUUAUCGAAAGAAAAAAGCAAUUCAACUUGAGCAAUUCGUAUUAUUAUUCCGAGAGCAGAAGUCAAGUCUUUUUUCACAACCAUGCUAACACUCCUACCUAUAGUUGAGCAAUCCUUGUCAAUAGCUGAAACAAGUCCUACUGCCAAGCUAGUGGAUCGAUCUCUUCUACUAUUUUUUGUUAUUGUCUUUCCUCGGUUAACUAUGGAUUCUAAACCUUGUCUCAUUCGAUACCAUCUUCUUUUACUAAAAAACCUGCUGCUCUACGAUUCACUUCCGGCUCCCCGGACAUUCAGGCAGGAAAUAGCUAGAUUCUCAAGCAGCUUAUUCUGAUUGAAUUGCUUACACCGGCAACUGUAAGAGCAGAUUCUACCCCCACAUCGGAGAUUGACGGGUAUGAAUUUGAUUCUAAGUCGAAGAAUGCCCAUGAAGAGGGUCUUAUUACAGAAUCCGAAGUUUUGAAAGUAGCCCUAGACAGAUCAUUGCUAAGAGCAGAGCAGGGAAAGCUUUUUCUUGCUAAUCAGGUGCUAACAUCGUAUUAUAAUAAUCAUCUCAUUUGUCUUUCUGCUUGAAAGCUUGAACUUAGUUUGUGUAGCCUUUGCGAAGCAAGCUUACACUAAUUUUGGAAUCGGUAUUACCGCAGCUAGGAUAGAUGCUCUUUCUCUUGUUUAGUUGGGACCAAAAAUUGCCAUAGAGGAAAGAGAGCCCAAGCUUCCUUGGUCCCGACCUGACUGGCUGGGCGAGGAAGAAAUGAAUGCCUUUAGAAUGCCCUACCCACCAAGACCAAUGGCCCUUAUUCCAAUAGAUUCAAAGCGGGUAGACCUAACGAUUAGGACAAUUACUAUUGCUGUACUAAAGGCUAAAGAGGCAAGAAGAAGAACUUCUUAUUCAACAAGAGUGAAAGAAGAGAUGCGCCUAGCGGAUAGAGAAAGCUUUUCACAUUCUCCGAUCUAUGGGUACAAAGAAAAAAAAACCAAGAAAAUAUCGACCUCGACCAACUCAAGUAGAAGCCAAGGACUAUCACCGGAUUCGUUCAAAAGAGCAGAUGCCAGACUUUCACUAAAUCAGUCUCUUUCUCUUUGCAGUAGAGGAGGCGACUCUGAUCUUCACGUUACGAGGGCACCCUAGAACCAGGACCCAAUCGACAAAGAAAGGUUACUGAGCCACUUGGCUUCGUUCUCUCCUAAAGAAGUGAAUCCCGAGAAGUUCAGAGUUCAUGCUAAUGGUAGGAAUGCAGUCUCGGUCGGUGCGUGCCAAGCUUCCUCACAUCAUGGGCGCGUUGCUAGAGGAUUCCCUAUUCCCCUGUUUUAUACAGUAGGCAGAGACAAGGCAAAUAGCCUAUAUACAUGAAUCUUACUCAACGAAUCUUUUCAUGCCCAAGCCUUCUAGUGAUCCACUCAUGAGAUCCUUAUCGGAUUGAUGCCGCAAAUCGGAUGCUUUUUAAUCUAUUCCUUAAGCGAAAGCAGAAGAGGGGAUUUAUUUGGGGGAAUAACCGGGAUUAGCCUUUUUUGCCACUAGUGAAAUUAGAAUGCAAGCUGUUUUUGUUCGAGAAUCCACUGCACAUCCAUAAGCUAUUAGUAGGGACGGCAAUCAAACCCGUCUUCACGAGUUUCGGUUCGAUCCGAACUUAUAGAGUCGAAUUUUUUUUUUUUAUUUUGCGUUUCAGGUCGGGAUCGGAUCGGAUAAAAUUAAAUAAUAAUUAGGGGCGGUUUGAGUUCGGAUAUGUCUAAAAUUCGAUCCGAUAUUAUUAAAAAAUUAUUUUUUAAUUAAUUAAUUAAUUAUAUAUAUUUAUAUAAUGAUAUUUUUAAAUAUUUAUAUUUAAAAAAUAAUAUUUUAUAUUUAAAAAAUAAUAUUUUUAUUAAUUUCGAAUCAGAUCAUAUCGAAUACAAUUUAUAUAGUAUCGGAUCAAUCGAAUUCAAAUAUUAAAAAAAUUUGAAUCGAAUCAAAUUCAAAUUUAAUAAAACAUAAAAUUAAGUCGAAUUCAAAACAAACAAAACUCCCCCGAAUCCGACUUGAUACCAUUCCUAGCUAUUAAGGAGGGUUGCGCAAGUGAAUGAAGAAGGCCUAGGGCAUUCAUUAAAAGAAGACAGACUUUCGGGGGUUUGCAUGGAUGUCUUUACUUGUUGGGUAAGCCACUCUAUGGCUACGUUGGAUAUUGCCUUCUAGCAUUAAAUAUCCACGAGCAAAAGAGGAUUCCCAACAUGGGACAGGUGAGGGAAUGAUUGCUGCUAACUAGGGAUUGUGGUAGGGGAGAAAGGCAUCCAAUGCAAUGAAGAAGACAAUACGCAAAGGACUGCUUUCGAUUCAUUUUGUCUAUGGGAUUCUGUUGAGAAGAAAGGACAACCAUCCGACUCGAAGACUGCAAAUAAGAAUCAACUUUCACUCAAGAUAGCAGAAGGCGGGGAAGACCCUUAUUUACUUCGCUCUCCAGAUCGCAAGCAAGAAUUGUUAGAUGUGCAGAGGGAAACUUCCCUAAGAAAAGAAUUUCGGCUCUCGGAAGCUAUUGUUUAUUCGUACGCACGGGAUAUUCGAUUUGUUCUCCUAACCUGCUUAUUGAUUGGAUUUUCUGUUUGGUGGUUCUAUGUACCGGUACAACAUUAGAGAGCCAGAUUGGAUAAGUGCUGACGACGAUGAAUUUGGCCUUUUUUGUUUGUUCCUUGCACUUUAUUACUCCAUUCUGGACGAAUUCUUCGAAGUUUUUUCUUUACUGGUGAGAAUUCUGACAUGACUGGUAACUUGUGCACCACGAUCUUGGUGUCUAAUCCGGACAUAUCCUCAUUUGACCAAGCGAAGACAUCUUGAUAUUCUGUGAGGAAUCUGAUCAGAUCCUUUUUCGGUGAAAAGCCGCUAAGCCCUUGUCACUCUCGGUGGUUUGCCUCGGUUCCCACAGGUCUCAGUUUGUUCAAUGUUUGGUAAAGAUCUAGUCUCGAAACUUCCUCAAUAAUUUCAGCAGGUGGUUCAUUAGCUUCUUUAGUCUUGUCAACCUCAAUUCUCAUCGCAUCAAAAUCAUUCAUAAUCAAUAAUCUCAAAAUAAUCACAUUCAUUCGAUCAUAAGAAAGAGAUUUUUAACAUCUUAAAAUUAAAAAAUAAAAAAAUAAUUUUUAAUUAAAUUUAAAAUAAAAUUUUUUUAUUUAAUUUAUAAUAUAAUAAAACAUAAAAAAUAUCCUAAAAUAAAUUACAAAUAAUCGAUUACUAAACAUUUGACCAAAAUCAGGCUCAUUCCCCUGAACAAUGGACACAGUCUCCCGGUUUUGAAGAGCCUCGGUAGAGUGAACAGAAUGGUGGAAGCAUCACAGUCAGCUUCUUAUAGUGACCAUCACAUCAGUCUCAGUCAUUGAAGUCUCAUCUUCUUUGAACAGCUCAGCCAAUGCUUCCUUAGGGAUUCCCACGGUGAUCCAGUCAAUGUGUGGAAUUCAAAUAGCAGGAUUGUCUUCUUUCGCUCCAGCUCCAGGGCAUAGAAGACUAUUUUGAUAGGGUUUGGUCUGCUUGAUGUGUGGUAUACUUUUAGUCAUUAUCUUCCCAAACCUUCCUCUCCUUUCAGUCGAGCGUCUUUCGAACCUGUGCUUCUCUUGAUUGAGAAGGACUUACACCAUCCGGGGACCGGCUUUGCGAGACCAUUUCGGUCACACUGGAUAAGAAUCUUCCUCUCUCAGGCUAGGCUCAUUGGGCGCAGGUUUCUCGAUCCACUUUCUUAGUCAGUUGAAGAAGAGAGUUCACCAAGACGAAGAAAGACUUUCUGAUCUUGUACAAAGAACACCAAGCCACUCUCGUCUCGAUGAAAGUCGAAGCAGGGAAAGCAAAAAUCAGUCUAAAACCCAAUAUCCUAACUGCACACUCGCUAUACACACAGAGUGGAAAUAGUGUAGAAAACCACUGCAAAAACUCAACCAACUAACCGGGAUCGCAAGGCAUAGCAGCCGUUGAUUCCGAACCAAGCUCAGAACAACCUCAUUCCAGGUCCGACUCUCCUAGUCCAGUUUGACCGAUCUUUCGUCCUCAGCCUCUCCUGGCGAAGCGUAACCCUCCGUUUCUUUCAAAAUCCCAAUCUCCCACCUGAUUCCACUCCGGGAACUACCGUGCCCAUUAGCGAAGGAAAGGCGAGGAUCGAAGCAGGCAAUCGGUCGCUGUUAUUAUUUCUAUAAGAGAAUGCCCAUGGAUCCCGAGCCCAGGGGAUCAAAAGCAAUGAAAGCAACGAUGUAUUCUCAAUCUUCCGAGGGGUACGGAGCGGCAUUUAAGCCUUCUGAUUCAUAUCCUUUUCCCACUCCCAAGUGCCAAGAAUUUCGUAGGUAAGAAAACGAGUGGCUAGUUCGUUUUGGUAUCUACGGGUACCUACUUUAACGUUGUAGGCUUCCUACAGAAAAGUCCGACAUCCUUCGUGUCAUCCGCUGGCUACAGCGAAUCCGGACCCGUUCCAAUGGGUCGGGCAGAUAGGUCAAAUAAGGGGUUAGCUAGACCAUGGAAAGGAAAGUAGGGCGUGAAGGGUAAAGACCCCUUUUUUUUGGCAAGAUCCUACCUGGAUCUAACCCCUCGAGAAAGCACUCUUGCCUUGAUUUAGUCCCUUUCAAGGGAGUUGAAGUUCUGUUCGGAAAUGAAAGCAGUGAAAGUUGCCCAGUUCGGUUAGCCCUGCUCAACGUAAGUCAGCAUUCCAUUUUGUCUCCUUCCCUUCGUUGCGCUUUACGGAAAGUAUGGAGGAAGAGUCCGCUGUGGUAUGCUCCAUUUGAGUAGACUUUUUCGAUGACACGUAGGGCCCUUCCCAUUUAGGCUCUAACUUUCCCCUGGUCCGUCGGUUGAUAAUAGGAGGCGUACCACUCAGACGUUGUUUCCCUUCUUGAAAAAGCGGAGUCUGACCCGUUUGUUGAAGGCACUGGCCAUUCUUUGUUGAGAGAUCUCCAAGCUGCACUUGAUGCCUCCUUGAAUCGAGAGUUUCGAGCUCCGCGAGUCGGAUUAUUGCGCUUUCCUCUUCCAUUAGGUAUUCCUAGAUUGCUACCCGAAAAGAGGUUUUCUUCGAUGGGCAUAACUUCCUCUCCUCCGAAGACCUACGAGUAGGGUGUCGGAGUCCGACACCUAGUUCGGUAUGCCCACAAGGCCUCCGGGGGCCGCUCAUGCCAAUCGUUCUUGUUUUUGUCAUAGAAAGGAUUGGAUUAGAGACCUUUGUUGAACGCUUCUGCUAGCCUAGGCCUAGUAUGAAAGGAAAGGGUUGGAUUCAUAAAGAUAGGAUGUUGUGCUUGCAGGGCUAAGAAAUUCCCUUUUCUCAUGAUAAAGCGAGUGAAGAAGCAAGCUGUAACGAAAGAGAAAAAGGUAGUCGAUUCCGUCUUCAUUGAUCCGGAACAAGAGGUCAUGAUGCGAACAUAUCGUUACUACUAUUUCAUUCACACCUGGUCGAACAUAAAAAGAAGGUUGUCUAAUCUAGACGGAUUGGAAAGCCCUUUACGCCAUAAUUGAUUGAAGUGGAUCCCGAAAGUUGCGGUCUAUCCCGUAGCAGCAGUCUCUCUUUAUUCACCCCAAGAAUGAACUCUCCUUUGUUUCAUGGGAUGGAUUUCAGUAACACGGAUAGGAAUUGUUGAUUGUUGAGGAAAGACCAGAUGCAUAGACUGGUACUUUUUACUGUGUUGAGGUGUAUAGCGCGGGGUUUGAGGGAUAUUGAAUCUAUGUAACUAUGGGUUAAUUCACUUAGGAAGCAACCGGACUCGCCUCAACAAGAUAAGCUGCAUCCCGUAAGUAACGAUAGCAGAAAGAGAAGGGCUGCUUUGACUUGACUCUCCCCUUAAGUCACUUUCUUUUAUGCUUUCAGGGAAAACUUUGAAUCUUUUUGCUUUGCUUCUUCCUUGCCGCGGAUCUUUCUCACCUUCUUGUUGGAGGUUCUUCUUGACAUCCACCGUUUGAGCUUUCUAGCCAAUCUUCGGAUGUGUGUACUUAUGAACUUUCUAUCUUAGACCGGCCUCGCCGAUUGAGAACACGAUGUCUGCUUAAUCAAACUCAAGAUAAACGCCCCUAACUAAAUCGGAUAAAGAGUUAUGUUUGCUGCCCGGGUAAAAGAGUUCAUUACCUCAAGCAAGGAAGAGAACUACAAUUGAAAGCUCCACUGCUUCUACUGUCACUGAAGACCCCACCUACCUUUCCGAACCACAGAUCCUUGAAUCCCUUGAUAUGCUUGAGCGGUUGAAGUCCUAUCUCCCCCGAACCGUGCAGCCAGUCGAGAAAGAAAUGGAGCCAUAAGCAAGAGUGAUAGGGGACGAAAGCAGCCGGGCCGGGUGAACGCAGAUAGACGGAUCGGACUGGGAGAGAGUUGCUGCCAAGCCAUCUCCGACUCCUUGAACGAGGGGAUGAAAGAGCAAGAAAGAAUCUCUAAACCGACGGACUGAUCUGAUAAAUGAGAUUGGUUAGCUGCUCCCUCCCAAUCUCGCUUCAUUGACCGGGCAUCGAAAUCUUCGAACCAUCCAGCCCGAGGUUCCCAAAAAACCGAUUCCUCUGGAAUCGAAGAUUGGCAUUGGAUCCGACUUUGAUCGGAGAAAGCCUCUGGAAUUGGAACAGAUGUGGUUCGUCUGGUUGAAGGACGGACGAAGCUGGGGUUCCAUCCGCUUUUGGUAGGAACUCGGUCUUGGUGCUACAAAGAAGACUUGGCGGGAACCAGGUAGGCAGGGAAGGGCCUCGUCGAAAUCAUCGGCUCUCUGCCCAAGGCCGUGGCCCGGUUAUUGAAGAGACUUUCUCAGCGGUGGAUCGAGUAGCAUAGGCUGAGUCUAAUUCACCAUCCCGGGAUUGAGUUCUGACCAAAAAAUGCAACUAUCAUGCUUGGAUGGAAGAAGCAUUCAAGACUAUCGAGGUUGGACGGAGGCACCUCUUAUAGGUCGGGAGUGAGUUGUGAAUUCUGGUGAGUUGGCUUGGGAUGCUCGAUCUAAGAUCUUCGGAAUCAAGAUCCGGAUAGAAGAGCAUUUUUGCCUUUCUCAAUCCAAUCUCGUCUUUGAAUCGAUAGACUCCCCCUGCUGCUUUCUCUUCUCUUCUUUCAAUUUAGGGACACGUGGAUGCCGCGCUCAUCCCUUCUCUAAGAAGAUUCACUGCUUCUCCGAUAAUCGUAGAUUGAUCACUGAACCUCCCCGGCGUUGAAAGACACUCGUGCUCAGUGUCACGGUCCACGCGAUCCUCUUACUGAAAUCACGCGACCGUGCGGCACCAAGACUAAUCCUAGUCAAGGUCAGCCUUCUAUCGUGUCCAUUUUUCCGCGGACAGACCAUUUCUGAUCCUUCAAGCCACAUGCCCGUUAGCCUUUUCUGGCUUUUGACCCCGUAGGGUUGCUCAUUCCAAACUCCAUAGAGAGGAACCCAUCUCUCAUCGCACAUUGGCCCACGGUUCUCCAAUUAACCAUGAGCACCCAACUCUGGCCGCAAAGCUUAAUGCUUCGAGCACCGACCCUCAGAUCUCGUAGGGGCACACAGCCCCAGUUCUCAUGAUGUUAUUACAUCUUGGCAUGGUGAGGACCCAACACCAUGCCCGCCCGUAUGAUACGCAAGCUCCCGUAUCAAGUUUACGCAAGCACCCCAACUAAGCUGAUCAGCAGCCAGCUCUGAGCCUUUAGGCUCAUCUCGUCCCACGGGACUCGGUUCUUAGGGCUCAGGCCCUUAGCAUCAGUAUCGGCCGCCCGCACGCAUGAUUGACACCCCACAUCAUGUUAGUCCCGCAAGGGGACUUGGGUGUACUGCCCCAGCAGCAGUAUACCAGCCCGACUGGCCACACGGGUCUAGCAGCGUGCCUGCCUGCUAGCCCGCACAUCCCUCUGGCUUGAUGGCGUCCCUCCUACGCAACACCAUCACAUGAUCCUUCCGGCUCGAGGAGGGGAAACCGAGGGGCCUAGCAAUCUCUACCGCCAAACCCAUGGCUCAACGCAAAGGCGCGAUACGAGGCCCGCUGACCCCAACCGUCCCCGAGUUUACCUUACUCGAGGAAACAUCGUGCCACACUCGUGACCCUACGAUGCCCGCCCACCUAGACACCACGAGUGCCUAGGAGUAGCUCACUUCAGACUAGCCAGGCCCCCGCCUGCCCGCUAGCCAAGGGGGUGGUGGAGAGCUGACACCAGAUCAUCCUCCUAUAAAGAGCGUUAGAGAUUUUCUCACUAUGCUACCAGUGACCGUAAGAAUGUCUGAAACGGGGACACUUUUCUGCCCAGCCAUCUUAGGGCCUUUCUCCGGCUCACUCAGGGCCCCGUAACCUUCCUCUUGGUCACCAUUGCUCCUUGAUGCUGCUCAUUACUCCACCAACCCACUCGAAGGUGCCCGCACAUGACUUCGACCGACAGCACCCGUCUAGCUAGCUGGUUCCAGGGCACCGGCGUAAUGCCUCAUACUUACCUGCUUAACUCGGGGUCUAGGACAUGGACUGUCCACACACAAUGUCCUCAACAUAUUCCCCUGCUCAGAACGCCCGCACACUGCUUCCACUGCUGGCACCCGCUAGGCUACUUGGCUUGAGGGUGUCCGACCACUGUCCCGAACUUUCCCGCGUAUCUCGCGGCCCGGGGCUCCCAUUGCCCCCACAACAUGUUAACAUCUUGUUCCAAAGCUCGGAAUGCACGCCCACAUCUCGUAGAACCACUUUCCCGCCAGCUCGGUCUCGACCGCUGCUUGGUUCGGGAUCAGUCAUGGCAGGACCAAGGCCUGGCCAUGACACUCUCCCCCACUUACUAUGUCGAUGCCCUCAUCGACGGCAAGACCACACCCAACUAUCUUGUUGCACACAGCUGACAUUUCCUCAUAUGUCUCUCACUUGUGCCCUCAAGGAUUGGGUCGAGGUCCCGUCACAUGAGGUACCGUCCACAGUACUCGUCCAUUGUUGGUGUAGAUUGGUCCCAUUGUUGCUCAGCUUUGUUGUAGUUUGAACCGCCUAACCUAUCUUGGUUGUACUCAUAUGGGCCAUACCAUGGGUUCAUCCCUUGAUCCUUGUUAGGUUGCGACCUCGAGGUGCCCUCAUUGAUUGAUGACCCUCAGUAGAAUGAAUGACCACAGCUUUGCCACUCAUUUGGUGCGUCCCACCGGACGUGACCCCUCACACCAACUGCACGCUUGCAGCAUCAACUCACUGAUGCGCCCCUCUGGACGUGAUGCUUGGGUCAACCGCAUUCAUACGGCACUCUACAUGAUGACCCUAGCACAGUGGCAUUCAAGCACUUUGGUCAUCUCCCAACUUGGGUCCUCUCGGCCCCUCCAAGGUCACCUCUCUAGCUGUGGCCCUCAGGCCAACCGCCCCCAAGACGGCACCUUAAAAACGCGCUAACUCGGUCUUUGCCUCCGGCUUGAACACUAUGCUCCAUCGUCCAAGCUCCUUUAUCUUGGCUCAGUCUCAUGGGGAAUUGACAGGUCUCCCCCACUUUUACUCGAAACUCGGCACAGCAUUAUGCGCAACCCUGUCUCCUCGAUGGUUCUAUUGCUCGAUAGUUUUGACUCCAUCCCAGUUCCUAGGGCAUCCCAAAAUCCGCUUAUACUCAGAGAUCCGCUGAUUUGCUUAACUCGGGGAUUCACCCGCUCGAUCCUCAAGGUCCACUGACCUGCACGUCUGAGGCCUUGUCAACUGGCCGUUUCCCUUUUCUCGUUCCACUGGAAUACAUCCUGUCGUGGCCCACUGACCACCACUACUCGUGAAACCUUCCCUUUCGGCCAAUACAAGUUCGAUAUCCUAGUUCACACACACACUCUCGUGAUCCCCUGACCAUAAGAACUCACGGUCCACUGACCAACGCAGCUCAUGGUCCACUGACCACCUCGCUUGUGGCUUCAAUCUUUAGCCACUUCAUACUCUUCUGUGUAGUAGUCUCAUGCUCGGACCCGAAUACUUCGGCUUGCACCCCCGCUGGGGCACCUGCACCAUACAGCAAGUGCACACAUUAGUAAUUAAUCUUGCAACUCGACACCUCCUGCCCCUCAGGGCAAGGUUCGCUCGGCCCACGUGGCCUUACGCAACACCAUUUCAUGGUGUAAGCCCCUUUUCGCAUCUCGGUCUCAAUACGGUUCCUUCCACCGUGAAGGCAUUACAUGCCGCAACAUAUGCCAACACCUUUUCUAGGUGAGGCUAGACUCUGAUGCCCUUUUGCUUGGCAUCCAAGAGCCUACUCGAGAGCUUUUUCACAUAGGCCCAAUAUUUCCCGCAGCAUGCAUCGUUGGCUCUUUCCCGAGCCCCCAUAGGCACAAAACCCGCAUCUGUGUCUCGAUAGCUCCGUUUGAGCCUGGCAUCACCUCGAUUUCGCAUCACUAGACCCACACAUGGGGUCGCGUAACUCUCGCCACUGAGCCAACCUAGGCUCUGAUACCAAAAUGUCACGGUCCACGCGUUCCUCCUACUGAAACCACGCGAUCGUGCGGCACCAAGACUAAUCCUAGUCAAGGUCAGCCUUCUAUCGUGUCCAUUUUUUCACGGACAGACCAUUUCUGAUCCUUCGAGCCACAUGCCCGUUAGCCUUUUCUGGCUUUUGACCCCGUAGGGUUGCUCAUUCCAAACUCCAUAGAGAGGAACCCAUCUCUCAUCGCACAUUGGCCCACGGUUCUCCAAUUAACCAUGAGCACCCAGCUCUGGCCGCAAAGCUUAAUGCUUCGAGCACCGACCCUCAGAUCUCGUAGGGGCACACAGCCCCAGUUCUCAUGAUGUUAUUACAUCUUGGCAUGGUGAGGACCCAACACCAUGCCCGCCCGUAUGAUACACAAGCUCCCGUAUCAAGUUUACGCAAGCACCCCAACUAAGCUGGUCAGCAGCCAGCUCUGAGCCUUUAGGCUCAUCUCGUCCCACGGGACUCGGUUCUUAGGGCUCAGGCCCUUAGCAUCAGUAUCGGCCGCCCGCACGCAUGAUUGACACCCCACAUCAUGCUAGUCCCGCAAGGGGACUUGGGUGUACUGCCCCAGCAGCAGUACACCAGCCCGACUGGCCACACGGGUCUAGCAGCAUGCCUGCCUGCUAGCCCGCACAUCCCUCUGGCUUGAUGGCGUCCCUCCUACGCAACACCAUCACAUGAUCCUUCCGGCUCGAGGAGGGGAAACCGAGGGGCCUAGCGAUCUCUACCGCCAAACCCCAUGGCUCAACGCAAAGGCGCGAUACGAGGCCCGCCGACCCCAACCGUCCCCGGGUUUACCUUACCCGAGGAAACAUCGUGCCACACUCGUGACCCUACGAUGCCCGCCCACCUAGACACCACGAGUGCCUAGGAGUAGCUCACUUCAGACUAGCCAGGCCCCCGCCUGCCCGCUAGCCAAGGGGGUGGUGGAGAGCUGACACCAGAUCAUCCCCCUAUAAAGAGCGUUAGAGAUUUUCCCACUAUGCUACCAGUGACCGUAAGAAUGUCUGAAACGGGGACACUUUUCUGCCCAGCCAUCUUAGGGCCUUUCUCCGGCUCACUCAGGGCCCCGUAACCUUCCUCUUGGUCACCAUUGCUCCUUGAUGCUGCUCAUUACUCCACCAACCCACUCGAAGGUGCCCGCACAUGGCUUCGACCGACAGCACCCGUCUAGCUAGCUGGUUCCAGGGCACCGGCGUAAUGCCUCAUACUUACCUUCUUAACUCGGGGUCUAGGACAUGGACUGUCCACACACAAUGUCCUCAACAUAUUCCCCUGCUCAGAACGCCCGCACACUGCUUCCACUGCUGGCACCCGCUAGGCUACUUGGCUUGAGGGUGUCCGACCACUGUCCCGAACUUCCCCGCGUAUCUCGCGGCCCGGGGCUCCCAUUGCCCCCACAACAUGUUAACAUCUUGUUCUAAAGCUCGGAAUGCACGCCCACAUCUCGUAGAACCACUUUCCCGCCAGCUCGGUCUCGACCGCUGCUUGGUUCGGGAUCAAUCAUGGCAGGACCAAGGCCUGGCCAUGACACUCAGCCUGUAACAAAGUUUUGUGGGUUCGCUUACCAAUCUAGAUCUCGACGACUCGUGAAUCGUUUAGCAAGUUCCCUUCGAUCCUUACCUAUGCGAAGGCUAUCACACUACGUACGAUUCCUCUUAUCUGUAACCCAGAAGGUGUUCGGGGGUAGGGAAGGGUGAGUUCCUUUUCCUUCCACCUGCAUUUUGAAGGACACUGUGGCAUACUAUUCUAUACGAUGAAUGUGCAGCUAGGGGAGUUGCAGGACUCAUUCACUUUCCAAAGCUAUCAGUCCUAGACUUUCAAGGGGAUUGGGUUGGUCUUAAGUCAGUUCCUUUAGCAGCCCCUUUUUUCAAAGAGCCUAUUGGGCAAGGCAAGAACAGCAUAGAUUCCUCCAAGAGCACCUCCUCCUAACCUAAAGAGGGCAUUCGACGCCUAGUCUUCAAUCGACGGUACGAAAGUACGCUAUUCAAAGCAUGACGGAAUCGACGGUGGUCAAUCUUCCUUAGAUGUCGCCUGGCCUGGCGAUGUCCCAAUAAAGGCUCUUUCAGGCAGAAUGGUGUUAAAGGCUUACUUUCUCUCCCCUACUGUGCGUUGUCUGCUUAGCUCCAUCUUCGUCUUCGUAUAUUCCAUUCGCAUCUCGAAAGAAAAAGAGAAGAUUAGCAGACGAUUCGGGGAUAGCUUUCUGUCCUCUUCGGGCCCCUGAAACUCGUGUUUGAAUGCCGCCUGCUAGAGUUAGUACAGAUAGCGGAUGUGCCAACUCUUUUAUGUGAUGUUUAGCCCUCCCACUCCUACUUCUAGCUGCCGUCCCGCUUUCGAGAGCGGAGAAAGCUUUUUUCUUUUCUUGGAUAGGAGCUUGGCUAGCUACUUAUGAUAACUAUAAGAGAAGAAGUCUACUUCUACUCAUACCGGGUUCUUUCACUCCUAGUAUGUUGAAAGAAGUGCCAGACCCUAAGAAAAAAAAAGACUGGCUUAAGGUGCUAAGGUGCUAUAGUGUUUUUUAUAGGUGAGUGAAAAAGAGUGCAAAAUAGAAAUACAAAGAUAGCCUUUCCUCCUCGUCAACGAGAAAGUUGACUUGAAAGGCCUCACUCUUGAAAUUAUCCGUAUGUGACGUAUACUUCAACCUUCCCCAUUCAUUUCGAACCUCCGACAGUCGAAUAGCAAACCUGUCUGUCCUGUUGGUAAGGCAGGACGAGAACUCGAGUCUAGGACUGGAACAGCAGUGCUCUAAUUUCUCAUUCUCCGGUUGAAACCACUCUUGCCUGAUCCGGAACCUGCUCUAGCUACUUUUCCAUCUCCUGAACCUUCCAUCUCUUACAAAAGCUCCUUCUCGAGCAGCAAGAGGGCAUUCGAGAACAAGCCCAUCAACACAGUAGACUCUGAUCUAUCAAAGAGCUUGGGCAUCUUUCUAGGUCAGGAAAGAGACUCCAGGCGAUUCUCCCUAUGUAGUUAACCCUGAGGGAGAAAACCUUGGGCAAGUAAUCCCUCUCCCGUUGGUCGAGUCACUUCAACCCUUUCCUUUCAAUCGAGUGUCUUUGAACCUUUUGCUAUCACUCGAGCCUCUUUCAAACCUCUCCCUUCAUUCUCAUCCUGCCAAGCUGAGGUUGCCAGCGCAUUGUAUCUAACCACACUGUGGCAAAUCGAUACAAGUAGCUAAACAGCUUGCUAUACCAUACAAAGGCAUCUUCGACCGAAUGGUUAGGCAAGACAAGACUACGGCGCCUAGGCAUUUACCAAACAAGACGUCGAGAGUUUCACUUAACCAUUCCCCUCCUGCAAGUGAUAGCGGUUGUAGAUCGGUAAUGUAUAGAAGAGAGUAAGCUUUCUAUGCGGAUAGGGCGUAUCAACACCUUUUGCUGAGACUGACUUCCCAACGUGCCUCUGUUGCUGCUUCAACUAGAUCGAUUGAUUGGAUUGAUGAAGCUUGCUUUAAGCUCUCUUUUGCAGUUCCUAUGACUAUACCGGUUAUGGGUUCCUUUGUUUUAGCGCCAGUAUACCUACUUUUAAUUUUUCCCUAUUCGUUCUAUCAGCGCGUCAAUCGAGUAUCUAAAAGCGAUUAAAGAUUCAAGUUGCCAUCCUCCGUUGUUUGAAAACCGUUUACUUUUUAUGUUAUUAUUAUGGUUGGUUAUUGCGUGUAGCUUCUUUUCUCUGGUUUCGCCAGCUUAUCGUCAAUGAAAGCUGCCUCUUUAUUCUAUUUAACCCUUUGAGUCGAGUUGCUUAUAUUGCACAUCUGUUUAGUGCCCCAACCCGUUCUAUUGAAGAAUGAAGAAAUGACUCUCUUAGCAAAUCCUAGUAAGCAUAAGUAACAAGAUACGGCUUAAUAGUAAACUAAUAGUAAACUAGCUCUACUUAAGAAAAUAGAUCUACUGACUUGGUGAAACUAGCUUAUAUUUAAUAACCUUUCGGAUCCUCACCUGCUAACCUCAGUAAAGUAGCCUCUUCUGUUACACUACACAUUUUAUUAGCCGUGCUGUGCUCUCUUUCUUUUCUUUUCUUCUUAGGGUUUUUGCUUAUUAUUAUCUUAUUAUUAUAAGGGUUUCUUCUCCUUUGACUUAGCUAGUGUCAUUGGCCUUCGACUCCAUUCCUUCUUUUUCCUUUUCUUGUCUUCGAACGUGAUAAUAGAUGGAAGAAGGGACAGUUUGAUCUUGGAAAUGGCUUAUCCUCUCCUUGCUGUAGAAAUAGAGCGCUAAGAUCAAGGUAGUUCUAAUGUCCUACAUUGAAAAUAAGAGGCCGGGGUGAUACAGACAAGAAGAAGAGAAGAAAUGCCUCCAUCUCUAGGCAAAAGAAUCGGGAGUUCUGAACUUUACUUCCUUCGUUCCUGUACCCCUCUAUCCUUCUUCUUUGGGAGAACCACUAUCCCAUCAAAAACCAAAAAUGAAAAGAGAACAGAAUGGAUACAGGGACAGUUAGGGUAUCCAUUGCCCUUGCUUUGGGAAACUUUUCGAUUCUUUGAUUCUAUUCUUAUUAACGUAAACGAACGGGUCCCUCUAGCCAAGUCAAGCUUUUGCAGCUCUAUAUCUAAUUCCUACUCUUAAGUUAAGAAAAAUUGCCCGUCUUCAAGCUAGUCGAACUAGAGCAUUAUGCCAAUGAGAACCAAGAGAAGAAGGAAAUUAGAUUCCCAAAGACACAUCUAUAUUAUGCUACUCUUCGAAUUUUUUUCAUUCUUCCUUUUGAAAAUAAAUUCUAUGCCCAACUGUCUGUGGUAAGUCAGUCUGGUUUGCCUGUGGAAUCCAGCUUUCGAUCGCUUACUUUACUCUCUGUUCUAUCUUGCCUUGAGCUUACACCUGGUAUUCAUUCUUUUAUGUCUUUCGCCCGAGAGUCCCUUCCGGAUUCACGCUAUUUCCUAAUCGAAUGCUUCCCACGGACUGACUAAAGCACCACCAUCGGCAACUUUUUGAUGAAACAAGAAAAAUAAGAGCCGUCCCAUCGGUUAUUCCUUCAACGGCGAAUUCAAUACCAGCUUCACCACGACUCGAGCUAACAGCAGUGGCUUGUAUGCGCGGCCCAAGAGCUGCAACUGAAGCAUUCGUGAAUUGACUAAGCUAACCAUUUGUUCAGAGUCGAGAAGAGUUCAAAUCUGAUCUUUCAAAGACAGCAGGCUGGUCGUAGAUCAGGGAUUCGUUCAAAUAGAAGAGCGGAUUCUCUACUUUACUUCAAGCUUAGACUAUGCCUUUUAUUCAACUAUAGGCAUUCUUCUUUGAAUAAAAGCUUCACCCAUUCCUACAUAUGCUACAGACUUGGCUUCCAAGCUAAAAGCAGCCUUUCUAAACUAUACGAGACUGCCGAACCAAAGGCUGUUUAAGAAGCCAGGGUAAUCACAGCAUUCCUCCUAUCGGGUGACUUCACUCGCUUAAGCCGAAUCGCUUUCCUUAUGGCAUCUGCUUUCAAUGUCAGUUGGAUUGCCUAGUUGAUUGUUAGUUCAAUUUUAACUAGUUUCAAAGGCUUUCUGCCCCGGCUUGGGACUCACUCUUCCUUCUCACCUCAUCGCGAAUUGCAAGAGAGAAUCUAGAGUUACCAAGACAGAUAUUCUUACCACAGCUUCACGCUCUACUUACUGCUUUCCCUAAGGCAAGGAAGGUAAGAAAAGCAAGGUAAGUGCAAGCUAACUAAUGGCAAGGGCCGGAGAUAGAGAGGGAUGAAGGGGGAAUUGCAGUCAUUUUUCUCUAAUGAAGAAAGACAGAAUUCCUAGAUUCAUAUAUAGAUUAUAGAUACCACUUCUUCUGUGAUCAAUGAAUGCAUCAAAAUAAGGGAUUGAUCUAAUAGAUAUUCAAAGCUUGACUUCCAGUGCUCUUCAUUAAAGAAAAAAUAGUGGAAAGUUAUUCUAUCCAUUUGAAUAAUUUGAUUGAUUUGAUGAGAAUCUAGGUCGUUUUGGGUCAUCCUAGGAGCGAAAGACUAAUUGAAGAAGAAGAGAAGACGCAAAGAUGGUAGAUUUGGGCACUGCUCUGAACCGAAAGAUUCUUCAUGACAUCGCCUUUCAUUCAAAGUAGCUCUCUAAUUGAGUUCUUCUUAAAAAGCCACUUGAGUUCAUGUGUCCCAUGCUCAGUGAUGAUGUUCUCGGCAUCUAUCUCCUUUUGUUCCAAGUGCUUUUCAUCAUUGGUCCGAUGUUUUGGCUUCACCAAAGGAAAGAAGAUGAACAGAAGCUAAGCCUUUCUCAAUGGCUGGUUGAGUUCUUAAAGAACUGGCUUUGGUCUUUGGCGCUCGUCCUACGAAUCAACCUACCUAGACUCUAAAAAAGAGCCUUUGGGUACCAGAUCAGCUUCAAAAGGUAGUGCAUUAGGAUCUAGUUCCCUCCCUAGUUUAAGAUAUUGGAGUCGAAGCAAAUCUCAAUGCUACUUGCCUUUUCUUUUAGUAAAUCGUGGAGGUAAGCCUCUAGCUUAUUACGUAAUUAGUUCAACCUUUAUCCGGUUAAGCCUGACCCGAAUAGGAAGAGAUUUUAUCACAAAUUCACUUAUAUAUAGGCUAGGCCGAAUCGAAUAAGCAUAAGCGAAUGCGGCUAUUUCAUCCGCAUCUAUUGUUGUUGAAGGAAUAUGGGCAACAAGAAUAACUAUUUUCGCUCUUGGAGAAAGACUAUUUUGAAUGUACGAGCAGAGGUUGUUUCGGAAUAAUCGAUGUUAGCAAGAAGGGGAAGUCAAGGCAUUGACAUAGUUGAUGCAGAGAAUCCAUGGUUGUUGUUCCAGGUUGAGAGUCAGGGGUAGCAUAGCUUCUUCCACCACAAUUCUAUUUGCUGCCACCUUAUGCAGUAGAUUGUAGCUGCCAGAACGCUUUUCGGCUCGAUCCAAUCUUUAAUAAGAAGUAGCUUCAAAUCCAAUUCGUGAGACCAGAAGAAAGGUAAGUGUAAAAAAGCGUGGUCAGUGAUAGUCUUCCCCCGAGCGUAUGAUGGCUACGCAAUCUUCCUUCUUAUAUUAAAAGUUUCGUUCCUAAUGAAACUACUUGUCACGCCCCGAAUUGAGGCAUAACACGGUCGUAUUACCUUGAAGUAAAACCCUAAAGCAAUACGAAGCUUAAUCCAUAACCAUUGAACAACUCUCAAAUAUAAAAGAUUCUCAUUAAGUAACAUAGCUAGAUAACAAGUCUUCAAAGAUUCAAAGUAAAGUAUUACAACUAAAAUAAACAAUACUUCAUAAAAUCUUAUAUUUCUAAGUAGUUCUCCAAUGCUCGAUUCUUCUAGCUUUUCUCAAGCUAAUCAUACUUAUCAUUCAUAACAUCUGUAAAAGAAAAGAAAAUUGGGAAUGAGCAAACCACAGCUCAGUAAAUAAAGGCUCACACACCUUACCGGAUCAAACAUCAUUUUCAUACAUGUCAUAUAGAUCAUUCAAAACAUUUAUCAAAUCAUAAUGUCAAAACAUCUCAAUAUCAUCGUUCUGUCAAACAUUUCAUAAAUUCAUAAAUCAUUGUAAAAUAUGUUAUCAUUCAAAUAUCAUAGGCAAACCAAAUCAUGGAUCAAUCAUUAAAAAUCAUCGUAAAUCAUCAUCAUCAUUCAAAUCGUUAGCUACGAUCACUGCUAUAACCCGUGACAUUGGCCGCAUCGAUAAUUUUAUUCUUAUGAUCAUUGCUAACUAUUACAACCCGUUAGCCAGGGCUUACGCUAACUACUAUUACCCGUUAGCCAGGGUCGUAUGACAUGUCUUUGCUAACUAUUAUUACCCGUUAGCCAGGGUCGUAGAACUAGUUCUGGUGUCGAUGAUCUCACUUCCUAGGAAUAUAAAAACGUAGCUAUCAUAAAAUCAUUCUUUAAACAUAAAGCAUUUUCUCAUUUCAUUCAUAAGCAUGAUUCAUCAUUUUUAUAGAGAAACGCAAAAUAAAAAUAUGUUUGAUCCUAUUUUCAUACAUCGAAAAUAAUGAAAUAAAAUAUUCAUUCAUUUAGAAACAUACAUAUAUAUAUGGAUUCGAAAACAAGCAAAGUGUGUGAGAUUAUACUUACCUUCCUCUGAUUUCACCACCUAAUUUUUCUGCCUCAAAAUUUAGUGGCCUAUUCAAGAUAAUUCCAACAUAACAAUAAUCAAUCAACCCAUUUAAGGUCACUUAUACCAAAACAAUUAAGUUAAACAAGUAAUAACUCGAGUAAUUAAUUCUGGUAGUCUAUGCUACUUUCACUAAAACGACUAUAACACAAGAUAUCCAAUUCAGAAUUAAAAUCUUAUUAAUGUGUUAGAAACUAGACUUGACAAGCUUUCUAACCAUAUAUGGCUCAUCUCGUGAUUCUUUGUAAAUUAAUUAUAACAAUUUUUGUAAUCCACGUCAUAUGCUGCUGCCAGACAGGCUGCAUACCUUUUCAUAAAAAUUACGUAUUUAUUCAUAGGUAACUCCAAAUUCAAUUUCGUUUAUUUCAUUGGAAAGUAGACUCGAUAAGUUUUCCAAAGAUAUAUGGCUUAAACUGUAAAUCCUUAUAUAAAAAUUUAGGAAAAUUUCGUAAUUCCUCUUUACUGCUACUACUAGGCAGCCUGCACAUCCUUAGGUAAAAAUUAGAUAACUCUUCAUAGAGAACUCGAAUUCGACUCUCGUUUGUUUCAUUAGAAAGUAGAUUCAACAUGCUUUCCAACCAUAUAUAGUAAUCAUAGUAGUAUUUAACCUUUUAAUACAGAAUAUAACCUUAAUUCAUCACUACAAACACAUGAUUCAUAUCAGGAUUUAUACGAAACAAAGAUUUGCCUUUCUAUUCCCAUCAAAUUUCUGUUUCAGCAAUAAAUUCACAUUACCAACUUUCUUAACACUUAAUUUGACUCUAAUUAAAGUCUAAAUCAUCUGCCCAAAGAGCGAUAAUGGAAACCCUAAAAUUUUAGGGUUUCUCGAUUAUAAAUUACACCUUAAGACUUAACCAUCAAUACUCCAAAAUUGAAAAAGAUUAUUUACUCACCUCUAACAGAUAAUUUCUCCUUGUAGAUUUGUUCUUCCCUUCACUUGGAAUCCUUCAAUUGAUCUUUUCUGUAUAAGAAACAUAUGAGAAAUAAGUUUCUAUUUUUAUUACGGCUAAUCGUCGACUGAAAACUGAAAAGUUAACUCUAUUAAUAAAAAAAAUUAGGUUAUUUAUCAAUAAGUCCUCUGCACUUCUCAUUCUUUAUUAAAGAGUUCCUUCACUUAUAAAAAUACUUAAAAUAGUCCCUUUUUUUUGGGUAUUACAAUCCCCUCAACUUAUAAAAUAUUUCAUCCUCGAAACUUGAUUUACCUUCAUUUUCGAAUAACUGAGGAUGUCGUUUCUUCAUAUCAUCUUCCAUUUCCCAAGUAGCUUCUCUUGAUGUAUGAUUGCUCCAUUGGACUUUUAUAAAGGAAAUAGUUCUAUGCCUUAAGACUUGCUUUUUUCGAUCAAUUAUUCGAAUAGGAUAUUCCAAGUAUGUUAAAUCUUCUUGAACUUUUAAAGGUUCAUACUUUAUCACGUGGCUUGGGUUAGAGACAUACUUUCUCAACAUGGACACAUGAAAACAUUGUGCACACUAGAUAGCUGAGGUGGCAAGGCUAUCCUAUAUGCAACUUCUCCCACUUUAUCAAGAAUUUCAAAUGGACCUAUAUAACGUGGGCUUAGCUUUCCUUGCUUCCCAAACCGCAUAACACAUUUUGUGGGUGACACCUUUAAAAAAAUAAAAUUCCCUUGUUGAAAUUCUAUCUCCCUUUUCUUUUUAUCUGCCCAACUUUUCUGACGAUCUUGUGCUGCUUUAAGUCUCUCCUUAAUCACCUUGAUCUUUUCUACAGUCAAUUGUACCAUUUUUGGCCCUAGGAGUUUUUUUUCCCCAACAUCAUCCCAACAUAAAGGGGAUCUACACUUUUUACCAUACAAGGCCUCAAAAGGAGCCAUCCCAAUACUAGAUUGGUAACUGUUAUUAUAAGCGAACUCCGUUAAAGGUAAGUAAUCAUCCCAACUACCUUUUAGAUCAAUCACACAUGCUCGAAGCAUAUCUUCUAAAAUUUGAUUUGUUCUCUCUGUUUGCCCAUCUGUCUGAGGUUGGAAAGCUGUAAUCAAUUUCAAAUUUACCCCCAUAGCUCGCUGUAAGCUUACCCAAAACUUAGAAACAAAUCUAGAAUCUCUAUCUGACACAAUACUCAUUGGAACUCCAUGCAAUCGGAUAAUUUCACCCAUGUACAAUUGCGCUAGUCUAUCAAGUGGAGUAGUCGACUUGAUAGGUAGAAAAUGAGCUGAUUUAGUGAGUCUAUCAACAAUUACCCACACUACAUUAUUCCCUUUAGAUGACCUAGGCAACCCCAUCACGAAAUCCAUAGAGAUGUGCUCCCACUUCCAUUCCGGUAUCUCCAAAGGUUGUAACAACCCUGAUGGUCUUUGGUGUUCAGCCUUAACUUGCUGACACACUAGACAUUGGGACACAAACUGAGCUAUGUCAUGUUUCAUAUUAUUUCACUAAAAACUUCCUUUCAAAUAUUUAUACAUCUUAGUACCUCCAUGAUGUAUAGUGAAUCGAGACCCAUGUGCUUCCUCCAAGAUCUCUCGUUUUAGAUCAAGAUCAUUUGGGGCACAAUCUAUUUUUAAAACGUAAUGUGCCAUCCUCAUGAAGAUUAAACUCUGACCGUAAACCAUUAUGCACUUUUGUCUUAAUUCUGUCUAACUCACUAUCUUCUUCUUGUGUAAAUUUUAUCUUUUCGAUCAAAGUUGGUUGAACCAUCAAACUAGCCAUAACAACACAUUUUCCCUGUAUAAUCACCUCGAUUGCUGCGUAUCAAGUUCCUCCAACAAUUUUGGUUGCAAAGUAAGCAAAGCAGCUAUACUUCUAAUGAACUUUCUACUAAAAGCAUCAGUAACUACAUUAGCUUUGCCCGGAUGAUAAUUGACGGUCAAAUCAUAAUCUUUGAUUAAUUCCAACCAUCUUCUCUGUCUCAUGUUCAACUAUUUUUGUGUAAACAGAUACUUUAAACUCUUUGAUCCGUAUAAAUUGCACAAGGCUCUCCAUACAAAUAAUGUCUCCAUAUUUUCAAAGCAAACACAAUGGCAGCUAACUCUAAGUCAUGAGUCGGAUAAUUCUGCUCGUAGGUUUUUAAUUACCUAGAAGCAUAAGCAAUUAUCUUAUCAUUCUGCAUUAACACACAACCCAACCCCUUCUUGGAAGCAUCACUAUAAAUGGUAAAACUACCAAUAUCAGAAGGUAAAGUAAGGAUAGGUGCUAACACCAAUCGUUGCUUUAGCUCUUGAAAACUCUAUUCACAUUCUUUAGUCCAUUCAAAUUUUGCUCGCUUUUGAGUUAAACAAGUCAAUGGCACAGCAAUUUGAGAAAACCCCUCAACAAAUCUUCUAUAAUAACCUGCCAAGCCUACAAAACUUCUUAUUUCUGUCACAUUUGUCGGGCAAGGCCAAUUCACCACUGCCUCAAUCUUUUUCGAAUCAACUGAAAUCCCAUCUUCAGAAAUAACAUGACCAAGAAAACUAAUACUUGUCAACCAAAAUUCACAUUUGCUAAACUUUACGAAGAGUUGUUUAUCUCGCAAGAUCUGAAAUACAAUCUUCAAAUGUUUCUCAUGUUUCCCAUCACUCUUAGAAUAAAUAAGAAUGUCAUCAAUAAAAAUAACAACAAAUUGAUCCAAAUACUGUUUAAAAAUUCUAUUCAUCAAGUUCAUGAAUGUAACAGGUGCAUUUGUUAAUCCAAAAGGCAUAACCAAAAAUUCAUAAUGGCCAUACCUAGUUCGAAAAGCAGUCUUGGAUAUAUCACCUGCCUUAAUCUUCAACUGAUGAUAUCCAGACCGUAAAUCAAUCUUUGAAAAGACCUUUGCUCCUUAUAACUGAUCAAACAAGUCAUCAAUUCGAGGAAGAGGAUAUUUAUUCUUCAUAGUCACUUUAUUUAACUCCCUCUAAUCAAUGCAUAAGCGCAAACUCCCAUCUUUCUUUUUAACAAACAAUACAGAAGCUUCUCAAGGUGACACACUAGGACGAAUAAACUUUUUCUCUAAUAGUUCUUGGAGUUGCACAUUUAAUUCACGUAACUCAGAUGGAGCCAUGCGAUGAGGAGACUUAGAUAUUGAUCCAGUUUCAGGGAUAAGAUCGAUUUCAAAUUCAAUUUCUCGAUUAAGAGGUAAGCCAGGCAAAUCCUCAGAAAAAAUAUUAAAAAAAUCUCUAACAAUCGAAAUAUCUUAUAAUCGUGAGCCUACAUUCAUUUGAGUGUCUUUCAUAUAGGCGAGGUAGCCUAGACACCCUUUCUUUAGAGAUUGCAUGGCACUUGAGAUUGACACAAUCUGACACGAAAUGCUUAAAUGAUGACCUUCAUAUACAAGUUCUUAUUGUCCUGGACACUGAAACACUACUCUCUUUCUGUAGCAAUCAAUAACUGCAUGAUGUAUAGAUAACCAAUUCAUCACUUCUCCUGUCAAUUCUUUUCCUUCGACCCACAAGGUCUGCCAAUGUCUCAUUUUUACCACUCAUUCUUACCUAAUUUAAUACCAAUAAAAAAAUCGUAAGCGAUCAAAAUAAAAUAAUUGAAUCUUAUCAGUGUAAAUGCUAAGAAUACUUAAGUUUUACACUAACUAUAACUCAAUUUUUUCAUUUCUUGGAUCUUAAAUCUUCGCUCUGAUACCAAUUUUGUCACGUCCCGAAUCGAGGCAUAAUACGAUCGUAUUACCUUGAAGUAAAACCCUAAAGCAAUACGAAGCCUAAUCCAUAACCAUUGAACAACUCUAAAAUAUAAAAGGUUCUCAUUAAGUAACAUAGCUAGAUAACAAGUCUCCAAAGAUUCAAAGUAGAGUAUUACAACUAAAAUAAAUAAUACUUCAUAAAAUCUUAUAUUUCUAAGUAGUUCUCCAAUGCUCGAUUCUUCUAGCUUUUCUCAAGCUAAUCAUACUUAUCAUUCGAUCAGAAGAAGGUAAGUAUAAUCUCACACACUUUGCUUGUUUUCGAAUCCAUAUAUAUAUAUAUAUGUAUGUUUCUAAAUGAAUGAAUAUUUUAUUUCAUUAUUUUUGAUGUAUGAAAAUAGGAUCAAGCAUAUGAUUAUUUUACGUUUCUCUAUAGAAAUGAUGGAUCAUGCUUAUGAAUGAAAUGAGAAAAUGAUUUAUGUUUAAAGAAUGAUUUUAUGAUAGCUACGUUUUUAUAUUCCUGGAAAGUGAGAUCAUCGACACCAGAACUAGUUCUACGACCCUGGCUAACAGAUAAUAGUAGUUAGCAAAGACAUGAUCAUACGACCCUGGCUAACGGGUAAUAGUAGUUAGCGUAAGCCCUGACUAACGGGUUAUAAUAGUUAGCAAUGAUUAUGAGAAUGAAAUUAUCGAUACGACCAAUGUCACGGGUUAUAGUAGUGACCGUAGCUAACGAUUUGAAUGAUGAUGAUGAUUUACGAUGAUUUUUAAUGAUUGAUCCAUGAUUUGGUUUGCCUAUGAUAUUUGAAUGAUAACAUAUUUUACAAUGAUUUAUGAAUUUAUGAAAUGUUUGACAAAAUGAUGAUAUUGAGAUGUUUUGACAUUAUGAUUUGAUAAAUGUUUUGAAUGAUCUAUAUGACAUGUAUGUAAAUAAUGUUUGAUCCGAUAAGGUGUGUGAGCCUUUACUUACUGAGCUGUGAUUUGUUCAUUCCCUAUUUACUUUUCUUUUACAGAUGUUAUGAAUGAUAAGUAUGAUUAGCUUGAGAAAAGCUAGAAGAAUCGAGCAUUGGAGAACUACUUAGAAAUAUAAGAUUUUAUGAAGUAUUAUUUAUUUUAGUUGUAAUACUCUACUUUGAAUCUUUGGAGACUUGUUAUCUAGCUAUGUUACUUAAUGAGAACCUUUUAUAUUUUAGAGUUGUUCAAUGGUUAUGGAUUAGGCUUCGUAUUGCUUUAGGGUUUUACUUCAAGAUAAUACGGUCGUGUUAUGCCUUGAUUCGGGGCGUGACACUACUCUAACUAAGAAUUUAGUUCCAUCCGUAUAGGUUUUGCAUAAUUAUCAUCUAAGCAUGGGCAAGGGCAUUAUUGGGUACAGUGAGCAUCCAAGUGAGAUUUCCACCAUUUAAUUGAUACUGUAGCUAUUGAAUCAAUAGUGAAGGAGAAGAAAGAAGAAUCUAAGGCUGAUUUACUAGUUUUUUAUUAAAAAAGGCUCUCUCUUAAACAAGAGAUACAAGAAUAAAGUACCCCCAGACCUACGAUGCAAGAGUUUAAUCACAAGGAUUCAACCACCUGGUCGACCCAGAAAGAAAGGAACAUUGAUUACCGACUUUGGCACCUUAACUAUCUGUAGAUUGACAUCUCUCCUUGUGGGGCAUACAUCAGAAAAAGAACAAAUUUAGAAAAGAGAUAGAUCCCAACCCACUGAGCGAAGUAAAUUGUCUCACUUGUAUGUCGAUUAAGCUUUUUAUGGCAGGAUUGAAAGAUCUUCCACCACCCUGUUUCGCUUAGCCUCAUAGGAUUUUUUUGAUAAUUUCGUUCACUUUCUCUUUCCAUUAGAUUGUUAGGCUUUUUAAAUCCUUAAUGAACCAUUGGAUUUAAACGAAGAGAAAGGUCGUCUUAGUGAAAGAGCUAGCUCUAACUACAAAUAUCUUUGUAUUCAUAGUCUCCUAUCUUGGUCUCCUUCAAAAAGCUAAUAAACUUCAUGCACAAAUCCAAUACCUGGCUAAGGUAGGAUCAUGUUUGCUUUACGCAAUUCAAGUAUUAUUAUAUUGGUUAAAAUAAAACAAUCGGGGCAGAGCCUGGUAACUGCUUUCUUCUUUAAAGGACAUCCAAUGCCCACAUCCAUUGAAUAGGUCCUUCACAAUUUGAAUUUUGCUUUCUGUUAUUGCUCAUAUCGAAGUUGUUUAAUCAUUUAUGCAGUAUCAAUAAGAUGCAUAGCUCGUUUCAAUAAUUGACCAAAAGACAUGUAUGUAGAAUGUUAGCUACAAGAAGCUGUUGGUGGGAUCCACUAAGAUCAGAUUAGCUGAACAAAUAAAUGGGGUAGAAGCUAUUCAAAAAGUCUCAUGUAAGGACGUGAUAGAUCCGUUAUAUCCGUCAGAGCAUAUGCACAAGAAGUGUUAAGGCGAUGAUUGGCCCAAAAGUCAAAUAAAGUUUUGAUAAGAAUUAGUAAGACCUGCCUUACGAAUUGUCUCACCUGAGGCGAGAACUUGAAUCUAGUAGGAUGGGUACUUUCUUUUAUACUAAUCGGCUCAUGACGAGUUACUUUCGAGUUAUCCAUCUAUUUAUUACAACGAUUAGAUGACAAUCUUCCCUUCCUCUUUUUAAGGAGGCAAAAAACCUCUCAACCUCACUCCUAGAAUGAAGUAGUAAGAACCGGGGGCGAAAGAUGAAAGUUUGAUAAACCAAGAAUACUAUGACGGUGAAGAGCCUGAAUUAUAUAUAUCACUUCCUUCUUCUGAAAAAAGAAUUGCUCAAAAGCUUGAUGAAGAAACAAAAAGAGUGUUUUUUCUUAACCGCAUAAGCAAAAUGGAAACAAAAAUGCCUAUAAAACAAACUAACCUCUGGUCGAGACUAAGUCUUCGAUAGAAAAGCUCUGUUACACACCAACCCCUUAUCUUUACCUUUAUCGUCUUUUACCUCCUACCUCAGUCCUUUGCUGGCAUGGCUUGAAUGAGAGAAAAUGGAUGGCCAACGAUGUCUAUUACAGGAAUUCAAUUCUUCCAAAGAAACUAAAACCAAUACUUUCUCUAAUCCAACAGAGAAAAAAAAAAAAAAGAGUUGUGCUGCUGCAUCAUUCUUCAAUUGAUCGAUGGCAUUUCCCAAAGGAGAGGAUGGAGUGCUAUAUACAAAAGGACAGGUGCCCUUAUUGAUGUUCCCAAUAGUGGUGGACACUCUUUUUGCAUAGAAGCUUUGAAACCUCACGAUGGCUAUCAAGAAGGUCAGGUGAUGCGGUAAUGAGGUUGACUAGAUAGGGGAGGCUUGCGUCUAAAUAAGGCUCGACAGAGACCUAUUCUUAUUCUUAUUAUUCUAUAUUAUACUAGAAUAAAAUAAAGUGAGCUCAAUCAGAGUAGUAUUUUUGUCAUGGCCCAAGAUCAAGACGUAACACGGCCAUAUUACUUUGAAGAAAAUCUCAAAGUAAUACGAAGCCUUCUUUCUUAAACAUUCUAAAAUUCUUCAAUAAAAUAAUCUACUAAGUAAAAUUCAUAUCUUUAAUCCAACUGAUGAUAUAUCUUUAUAUAUCCAAAUACAAAUCAUAUAAAAUAUAAAACUGCCUCUUAAAAUCUUAUUGACCAACAUAUUCUUCGAAGAUUAAGUAAUCGUACCCAAUUCAUCUUCUAGCUUUACAUAAGACUAAUCAAACUUAUCACUUAGUCAUCUGUAAAAAAAAAAGUAAAAGGAAAUGAGCAAACCACAGCUCAGUAAGUAUAGGCUCACACACUUUACCAGAUCAAGCAUCAUUUUCUUACACAUCAUAUAGAUCAUUCAAAAUAUUCAUCAAAUCAUAAUAUCAAAACAUUUCAAGAUUAUCGUUUUGUCAAAUAUUUCAUAAAUUCAUAAAUCAAUAUCAAAAUAUGUCACUUCAUAAAUCAUUGUAAAAUAUGAUAUCAUUCAAAUAUCAUAAUCAAACCAAAUCAUGGAUUAAUAAUUAAAAUCAUCAUAAAUCAUUAUUAUCAUUCAAAUCAUUAGCUACGGUUACUGUUAUAACCCGUGACAUUGACCGUAUCGACAAUUUCAUUCUCAUGAUCAUUGCUAACUAUUAUAACCCGUUAACCAGGGCUUACGUUAACUACUAUUACCCGUUAGCCAGGGUCGUAUGAUCAUGUCUUUGCUAACUACUAUUACCCGUUAGCCAGGGUCAUAGAACUAAUUCUGGUGUCGGUGAUCCCACUUCCCAGAGAUAUAAAAACGUAGCUAUCAUAAAAUCAUUCUUUAAACAUAAAUCAUUUUUUCAUUUCAUUCAUAAGCAUGAUCCAUCAUUUAUAUAGAGAAAUACAAAAUAAUCAUAUGCUUGAUCUUAUUUUCAUACACUGAAAAUAAUGAAAUAAAACAUUCUUUCAUUUAGAAACAUAUAUAUAUAUACAUAGAUUCGAAAACAAACAAAGUGUGUGAGAUCUACUUACCUCCAUUUGAUUCCACCACUUAGUUUUUCCCCUAAAAUAAUUAAUGGCCUAUCCAAGAUCAUUUCAACAGAUCAGAAUUUAAUCAACCCUUUUUUAGACCAUUUAUACAAAAAUCAACUAAGUUACACAAGAGUUAACUUAACUAAUUAAUACUGACAGCCUGACCUCUUUUCAUUAAAAUAGUCAUGUCUCAACAUAUCCAAAUCGAAAUUAUGAUCUCUUUAAUACGUUAGAAACUAGACUUGAUAAGCUUUCUAAUCAUAUAUGGCACACAUCGUAAUUUUUUGUAGAUUAAUUAUAACAAAUUUUGAAAUUCACGUCAUAUACUGUUGCCAAAUAGCCUGUAUACCUUUUAAUAAAAACUAUAUAUUUAUUUACAGGAAACUCCAAAUUCAAUUCCGCUUAUUUCAUUGGAAAGUAGACUCAAUAAGCUUUCCAAAAAUAUAUGGCUUAAUAUGUAAAUCUUUGUAUACAAAUUAAAAAGAAUUUCGUAAUUCAACCCUGAUGCUAUUGUCUUACAGCUUGCAUAUCUUUAAGUUAAAAUUAGACAACUUUUCAUAGAAAACUCGGAUUUAACUUUCAUAUGUUUCAUUAGAAACUAGAUUCAACAUGCUUUCCAAUGAUAUAUAAUAAUCACAGCAAUAAUCUAUCCAUUAAUGUAAAAUUCUAUUUUAAUUCAUUAUUACAGAUCACAACAUCUCAUCUAAAAAUAAAAUUUCUCCUUUAAUCUUUAAAAACUCAAAUUUUUACUUUCAGCCUUCAAACUCCAUUCAAUAAUCAUCAAUAAAUCUUAAGAACAUGAAAUAAACAAAGCUCAGUAAUUUAUCCAAAUAGAUCAUCAAAAUUAAUGAAGGAUUUUAUGAUUUUUUUUUGUUUUUCUUUCAAAACUUCAACUCCAAAUAAUAGCAAUCAAUUUGAUAUUUCUUCUUAAAUAAAAAUAGGGCAUGUCCUUACCUUUAAGGGAUUAACUUGAUUGUAGCCUCUGAUUGCGAAUCUCAAACUUGAUUUUUCAUAUUCUCUAACCUUAAGGAAGAUGAGAAAGAAGAACUCUAUUUUCUUUCUGUUUUAUAAUUAGAUUUUUUUUCAUCUAAUAUUUUAUUUUAUUUUUUUACUAAAUAAUGUUUUAAUAAAUUUAUGAACUUUAACAUUAAUUUAAUCUAAUUAUUAUUUGAGUUUGAAGUAUUACAAUUAUUUUUCAUUAUCUACUAAGCAAUCCGAGUACUAUUUGCUUUCCAAAACUGUACUAACUCAUAAGUGCAAACACCCACGAGGCUAUCUUUCUAGGGCGGCCCCCUUUUCGAUCCCUGUUCUCGCUAGAGGAGGAGCAGCAGGCCCUAAGCUGUGUGACGGGGUCAUGAAAAAGAAAAGAAUAUGCUUAGGCAGGCGCAUAAACGUAGAAUGCAGACACUGAAUCAAGAGACGCAAAUAAAGAAAAUCAAUUUAUUUUUAUUUAUCCUAUCUGCUCACUCAGGUCAUCGAUAAGGCAUCCAAACCAACGAGUUCGUGCACCAGCCGCCAAUGUGUUUUGAUGUUAUUCCUCAUUGCAAGUCAAAGGAAAGCGAUCGAGGAGAGGAUUCUUAGCUUGAAUGCGCCACGAGUGACGGAUGGUUGAAUCGCACCUACUACGAAAGUAGCCAUGGAUGUGAUGAGUGGAGGAAUGGCUAAACCGACCAACCAUUUAUAUAAAGAAUAUACUCUAAUUUACAAAUCAAAUAAGGGAUAUAGAAUUCUUCUCUAUCGUCUUUCAACCUUUGCUCUUGCCUUGGCUUCGCCUUCCACCUUAUUAAGCUUUGGACUUCCACCUUCAGUUAAGCACCUAACCCGUGGGACGGGACCUUUGGUCUAGCCUUUUUUCGGGUAUGGGAUCGACCUUCUCUUUUUCCCUGUCUCUCGCGCCGAUAUUGGUGGCUGAACCAUCUCCCCCCCCCCCCCCGUCAGAUUGGUUCUCUCUCUCCAAUUAGGAAAGGCUGAUAAGAAAUCGUAUCAAAUACUAUUCCCCGCUUAUCCAUCGGAGAGAGGAACUGUCCUAGCUGAGCUUUAACUCCUCGAUUCAAGAAGAGCUCGGGGAUAGGAGGAGAAUAAGAGGUUAGCAAAGUACGAACGUUUUCCAAGCGAGCCAUAGGAGUCUAGGUUUUGCGAGCUAGUCCGAAAAAGAGGCAAGCCUAUUUAAAUUAAAGGUUUAGGUCCAAUCAUUCUCCCCAUGUGCUAUCGGGCGUGGGGAUUAGGGCAUAACUACCGUUGUUUAAGGGUAUGAGGAAUGGGGUGGUUAAGAAAAAAAAGGUUAGCCGAGGUCUUACUAAGAAAAUGUCCUAUUAUUGACUUAUUGACUUAAAGCUUUGUCCUAUACCGAUAAGAUAGCGAGGUUAAUCGUUAAUAUCCACGUAGGUAGGAGAUUGCCCGUAUAUGCUCUUCGAGAAGUAGCGACUAUAUUAAUAAGCUGAGAAUGCUACCUUAACUUGUGUUCAUGCAAGCGCUACUCCGAAGGUUGUCAUCAUAGGAUUGAAGAGUUCAGCCAAUUGUCCGGUUUGGUUCAUUUGUCUUCCUAGUAUAUCUCAUACCGCCAUCCAUCCUUGGCCUAGUCCCAGAGCACUACUAAUAGCCACCACAUGAACUCGAGACGAUGGAGGGCUCGGGUGUCCUAAAAACGAGGGAUUUGAAAGAAAAAAGUCAGCUCUUAUCGGUUAGAGAACGAAUUAUUUGUUUGAAGCAUGUGACUUUGAGUGACUUGUAUCAGACGAGUUAGCCUUCCUUCAGAUAAACGAUUAGGCAGGAUGAAGCCCCGAGCUUUUACCAUGUCUUCUGAACACGAACUCUUAACUUAGAAAUUGCGAAAAGAAGGACAUAUAAUGGUGAGUCGAAUCAUGUGCAGUAGACUUUCCGUCAGACUUGACGUGCUUCACAAAUUCCUUUCGGUUGGUUCUUUCCGGGUGUAGAGACAGACAAUCCCAUGUGUUUGUGUACCAAGAAUUCUCAAAGCUUUUUCUAAGACAUGUUUUGGACAUCACUAGGACCAGAAGUCUUAAUUUUUGCUUGAGACGAAGGUAGGAAAGGGCUCAGGGUGCAGAAUAGGUAUUUGGCUUGGCUUGUUGUAGGGCAGUUUGGAAAGAAAAGACGGAGAAGCUACAGAAGGAGAAAAAGAAGCUAGGUUCGUUCGAACAGUAGUAGAAAGAGAAAGAAUACAACCAUAAGAGUUACAUCUCGCUCAUGUGGGAAAGCCGCUUAUUCCAUAAUUCAGUGGAGGAGUCCUUAGCUGCAUUCACCAUCCCCUUCGGACUCUCUCCCCUUUCGUCAUAAGGCGUGGUUCAGUCAUUGCCGUUCCAGGCUCCCGAUUAGGAUAAGCCCUUAUGCAUGGGGCAGGUGGUAGCAGUGCAACACUAUACAACUCUGAUCAUUUAUUAAGUUCAAUGAAUAAUAAAUAGUGCUUGCACAGCCAAUUCCUAAUCCUGCAGAGUCCGUUCGAGAACCAGUACCCGCGUAUCCAUGUAUUCUAAGCUAAGCUCUUUGCCCUGACAACAUAAGAUUGCUUUCGUGAAGCUCCAGCAACUUUCCACUCAAAUAAUCAGAGGAUUCGGUGACAAUGAGUUUUCCCAGUCCAGUCCGAAUCUCAUUCUCUUUGUUUUGUCUCUGUGGCUGCUAGAAAGAUAAGUGAAGCUUCUUUUUCGACAUUGACAUGAAGACCCCCAACUAAGCUAAGCGGCAAGCUUAUAAAGCAAGAUUCUCCGCAUCCUGAAUACUUGUUUUGUUUGAAGCCUAGUUUCCUUCUCUCGAGGGAAGAAACUGCGCCAUCCCCAUCUCCUACUGAAAGCGAAGGGGAGAAAAAAAAAGAAAAGCUUACUACUAGGUUGACUCUACGAAUGGGAAGAAAAAAUAGAAUAAGCUUAGAACUAGGAUUCCUCUCUCUAGGCAUUCUAGAACACCCCUCUUCGGGAUAACUUAUAGACUAUUAGUAACACAAGGAAUGUUUACAGACAGAAGAUCCAGUAACUGAUAGGAAAUCUAUAUAGGUUUUGCCAUAUACAGAAAGAAAGCAAACAAAGAAAGACAAGCUUGACUUCUGAUAUCACAAGCUUACGAAGCUGACUAUUUCAAUCAUUUAAUAUUUAUCUAAAGACAGACCAAUGACACCCAAGCUUACGGUUACUCUUUUAUUGUAAUCUUUUAUUGUAAAGUAAAGGCUUCUUGGCCGCUACACUAGGCUGCUUACUGUUCUCAUUAGUAUUCAUCCUAUAAUCGUGGGUCAAACCUUCCAGUUGAGCUUCUUCCUCUAGGUUACCCCUUCCAGAAUGUAAGGAUCAGUGGCAUCUUACUAUUUCAAGAAAAGACCAGCGACAUCCGAAGCUGGCUAUUCAGAUAGAAAGAAAGGGUAGAAAAACUCUUUUCUUUUCCGUUAAAAGAUAGGCUUCUCUCUAGGCUUAAGGGCCUUAAUCUUCUGGUUUUCACUAUUUUCAUUACUAUUCUUCCAGCUAGGUUGACCCUUCAGGUCUAGGAACGGGCGGCAAAGCCCCCAAAGAAAGGAACUCAAACCCAGUUUCCCCCGCCUUUCCUCUUAUGGAGGUAAUCUUCUAGCUACAAAAAGGAAGAAGCUUUUCUAAAACAGAAAGGGUUUUAAGGGAAGCUUUGGAGCUCAGUUUCCUCUCCCAGUAGUUUUAGGUAAGGCCCUCAAACAAAGACAAUAAAGAAAGACAAGGGAACAUCCAUACUGACUAGAAAUCUCUUGCGAAUCAUCCCCUUCAGGAUAGUGUCCCCGGGGUGCAUUCGUAAUCAAAGUCUCAAAAAAAGUUAGAUGUUAUAUUCCCUUUAGGCCUCCCAUUCUACGUUCCACUAGAAGUCUUAUAGCUAUCCCAGAACGGUAAAAUUUAAAGGCAAGCAAGAAAAAAAGGACUAAUUUCAGCUCUCACUGACUAUUCUACUCUAGGCUUCUUAAAAGGCUUAAUCUCAUCGUCAAUAGAGUUUCAAGUUGGUCAACAGGCCUCAACCGACAGAAUCUCUAGUUUAAAUUGGGCCCUCGUUUCUUUUAAAAGGCCUUUUUCGAAGUGAACGCCGGAGAAGGCAAAUCAAAAAAAAGAAAAAUUCCUCUCGAUUUCUUGCCUUGUUCAAGUUUCCCCAAAAGGAUGUACGCCAGUAAAUCGGCUCCCCAAAAGUAAAAUGUCAACGCUUCCAAAUGAAAUCAGCCUGAAAAAAAGAAGCGAAGUCUUCAACUAAACCGGUGGUGCCAUCUCUGCGCUUACUUCCGUUCCGAUUCGAGAGGCUUCUUCCGACUAUUCUAUUUUUGGGCGGCUUGCCGCUUACUCUCAGAGUGUAGAGUGACUCUUCUCCGGAAGCUUCUAGCCAGUCUGGUCUGACUAUUUAUUCUAAAUAGAUAGGGGUCAAACAAAUACCGGAACAGCGGGCAAAGCAGUCCUUUCUUCAACCACUAUUGUGGUAGGAACACAUUCUUCGAGCGGGAGAACAUUCUGACUUGAAAUAAAGUCUAGGCUAGCUGCAGUGCCAUCUUAAUCUUAUAGUUGUUUUCACUUUUCUAGUUGGAGUUGAUUCCUACUCUCGAACGGAAAGCAAGUAAGCCUUUAAAGCUUUGAAUAUUCGACUCGAAAUCUUGCUUCUAGCUUUGGGCACGUAAACAGAAAUAGCACAUAUAAAGGAAUUCAGGUACCUCAUACCUGUUUCACUAGUCGGUUAGACUAAAAUUCUCACCAAUUAAUAAGUACACUGAGGUAUCAUAGCUCCGUAACAUAACGUAUGUAGCAAUUGUUUAUCAAUUUCAUUUGCCUAUUCCCAUCAGAAGCUAAAACCAAUGGCAUGGGUCAUCUUCCUACGCAUCGAUCAAUCAGGCAUCACUACUAGUUUUGAGCUCCACGGAGACGGAGCGCGGUAAUCAUUCGAUUUCGUCCCGAGUUUUUUUUUUGCCUACUGUGUAGAUUCAGGUACGUAUUGUCUUGGUCUUUUUCUCCUCUUUAUCUUUUGACUGACUGGAUACUUUAAGUGUGGGGCGAUAGCAAGACAGAGGUGAUGGCUAUUCACAAGAUUAGCAAUUGAAAUAGGACUGAGGUCCACAAAAACAAAAAAGCCUCUCACUCGGAACCGCUUAGCAAACUCGGCUGAGCGGAGAUCAACGACUUUUGGGUCGAGAUCGUGACCCCCAAAUCUUGUAAAGCUAGCUUAUAGACUUUAGCUACAGACUCAUCAGCUAUGAGUAUAUCAUCACCGAGUACUGCAUACCUAAUAAAGUACCUGGGUACACCUAUUUGGCCAACCACCGCACCACAUAAUGGUGAGUGAGGGCAAAGACAGGCCACGAUGCAUAAUAACCGAAAAUGCCCGCUCCUUCGUCGUUGGGAUUUUCUAUUUUUUUUGUUGGAAAAAAGAAGCAGCCAUAAGCCAGGCUCAGAACUAAGAAGAAAAGCAAAUACAAAGAAGUCUCAUUAGACCUUUUAAAAACGAAGAAAUAUGCCAUUUGAAGUGAUCGAAAACCUUAUUUACUUCUAUAAUAAUUCGAAUUCUCGUCUUCAAAGGUUAAGGUCCAGUCGUCCGUCCAGUUUCAGCAAUGUAAGGUCCCAUGAACCUUCAGCCACAAGCCUUCUUUCGUCAAAUAGAACGAAUCGUUGGGUUCCACCCGGAGACGAAAGCCUACUUUUUGUCUUGUCCUGUAGUGGUCUAGCCCUGCUUCUUGUUCCGCCCCUGCGGAUAUAUACCUAUUUUUAUCAGAUUCGUCUUACGCUUUAAACAUUGGAGCACUUUCUAAAGCCAAAACUUGGUUUGUCACACUCGCUUCGGUGGGUGUAAACUCACCACUGUAGCAUCAAAACCAAAAGCUCCUGUUCCCCCCUAAUCUUAAGUUAAGAAUCCGAAGCUUAAGCCAAAUCUGAAGCUAGAAAAGAGGGGAAUAAAUGAUUCCAGUAGCCAAGCCAAUAUGGGGUCUAUAACCACAAUAAGAAUACCCGUGAUCCGGGGCAUUCCGCAGUUAAAGUUGAUGAUUUGUUUUCAAAUUUUUCGUCCGUCUGUGUGAAAAGGGGAAAAGUAUGUAAGAUCCGAUCCACCUUAAGUUACGUGGCCUGAGCCUGUUCCUAAAGCAUAGGCUAUAGUACCAAAUCCAAGGUAUAAAGAAGCCUAAGCCGACGCCGAAUCUGCACCUGCAGAAUAAAAAUAAUCUUCAAAAUCAGAAAAUGAAUAGUACGUAAAGAAAGGGCUUUUUGAUCCCCGAUCUGAGUCUCGUCUUUCGAAGGGUCUCGUUCCGUUCAUAUGCCGCUCAUUUGUAGCAGGGUUUUUGUAUGUUUUAGAUAAGUAAGACAAGCGCUUCAUUACGCGUGAUUCUAAUUCUAGCAUAUGCUCAGCUGCUCCUACCAAACAUUAAAGGCAAAAGGAUGCUUAUCUGGAUCUGGAUCAGCCUACUUCUUCUAUGUUACGUCCGUCCCCUUGUAUUCAGUAGGUCAGGGAGGUACCCGCCCGCGCUUUUUCUUACCCGGAAACACGUCGCUAGCCUAAGGCAGGCUUCGCUAUCCUCCCGAAGCUGUCAUUUUCCAAUGUAAUGGUUUUUCACUUAUAUGGGUACAAGGGGCUUUACUAUAUUUUACUUUAUGUAAUUAAGUUUAGCUGUAGUUAGAGUGGGUCGAUCUAGCCGCCUUAAUUGACCCGGUUGAAGAUCACAUUACUAAAUCCGAAUGAUGAUUUCAUAAUCAAUCAUAGAGGUGUGAAAUGGCAUCUUUUCAGAAGUCAGAUAGACCGUUGGAAGGUUAGCGCACAUCAUUUUUCUAUUUAGCUCCGAAGGCAACCCGUCGCGCCCUCGUCGCGGCGUUAGCAGCCAUUGACGAUGUAUUGAAGACUAAGCGAGCCGGCCUAGAACGGAGCACAUGCUACUUCUUCGAAAUCGCGAACACCUUACCUUUCUUCUUUUCUUAGUCUGAUCCGGACACUCCAGACCUCGGUUCUUGGCUUUGAUCCAAUUCCGAAGCUCGUUUGCUCACUAGCCGAUGUUAUUUUCAAUUUUAUUAGUUAGAAAAAAAAGUAUUGAGAUACCGUACCGCCUUAAACAAGCGCCAGGAAAAUAGAGCUUACCGCGCUGAGUUACGUCGUAGGCGAAGCUUUCGAUUCGACAAAUGGUUGAUGCUCUUAUGCAUUUAAAUUGUUGAGCUCAUGUUUUUAGGAUCAGUAGGUCGGGUGUCAUGGGCUAAGCUUUCUCUUAAUAAGUGAUAGAUCAUAUGGACGCUCCCACUUAAGUCAGCCAACAAUAACUCGAUAUCUGAACAAGUAACCAUAAGUCACAGUUAAUCUCAAGCAUACACAAGAAGACAUAUUUAUAUCAAGAGAAAAAAAAAUACAUCAAGACAACACUCGAGACUUUCGAAUAAAAGAUGUAUUUUAUUAUUAUCGAAAAUAAUACAUCGAAACUUCACACCAUCGUCGGGGCCAGGGGGUAGCCCUUGACGAGUGGCCUACUUUUGUACCUUAACCAAUGAGACAGCCCAAUAGUAUGUUGACUGCUCAACUCCCUAAAGAGCAACUGAGAUUUUAUAGCUAUGUUACCACUAACCAUUACAAUGUUUGAAAUGGGUAUACUUUUUCUAGCCUAAGGGGUUUAUCCUUCCCUUUGGCACCUCUACCUGGUCAUGGCCCUAUACAUGAGUGGCACAUGAUUACCUAAACCCGAUCAUGGCCCUAUAUAAAAGCGUUGUCUCAUGACAUCCUCCCCCACCUAUUCUAUCGAUGACUGCAUCGAUUUGUUAGCUUGAAAUUCUUCAAUCUUCCUCUUGAAUACCCGAAGGUCGUGCUCUAUCUCUCAGCUAGUUUCUUCUGAUCCUAAGCCCUCCCAUUUCACUUAAUAUUUGUGAACUAAUCUUUUUGAUACUCUGGAUACUCUGUCGGCUAGGAUCUCUUCAACGUGGUGCUCUGAUGGUGGCUUCAUGGUGAUGGCAACCCUGGUUGACUCCUUGUGACUUGCAUCUCUUGGAUUUGCAUAGAAAGGUUUCAAGUUGCUCACAUGGAAUACUGGGUGUACUUUCAUCCAUUUUGGUGGGUUUAUUUUGUAGGCAGCAUUUCCCACCUUGAUAAUGAUCUUCACUAGGCCCUCAUACUUUCACACCAAUCUACAGUCUUGCUUUUUCAGGAACCUAGUUUGUUCGGGCACUAAUCUGACUACAACGAGAUCACCAACUUGGAAUUGUUGUGCUCUCCGACCUUUGUCUGCCCACUUCUUCAUGCACUAGGAUGCCUUUUCUAGGUAAGCUCGUACAAUCUCUGUGUUCUGUUUCUAUUCUUUACUGAGGUUGAAGGCUUGAGGAUUCUUUCUUCCAUAUUGCUUAAAAGAGGUAUAGGGUAGUCUUGGUAGUUGUUCUGUGACCACCUCGAACGGACUUUUGUUGGUGGAAGAGUUCUUAUUGGAAUUGAAACAGAGUUGGGUAAUGUCUAGUAACGAAGGCUAGUUCUUCUGAUUGGCUUGAACAAAGUGCCUUAAGAACUCUUCCAAUAGCCCAUUGAACCGUUCAGUUUGUCCAUCUGUUUGAGGGUGAUAGCUUGAAGAAAUAUUGAGUUAAGAUCCCAAAAUCUUGAAAAGUUCUUUCCAAAAUGAUCCCGUGAAUCUUGGAUCCGUGUCACUGACAAUGUUUUGAGGAAGGCCCCAAUACUUGAUCACAUGUUUAAACAUUAGUUGAGCUGUAUCUUUCGCAAUACAAAACUUAAGGACGUGAAUGAAUGUAGCAUACUUCGAGAAACGGUCAAUAACCACCAAGAUCGACCCAAGAUCACCCACUUUAGGAAAAUUUGAUAUGAAAUCAAGAGAGAUGGUUUUCCAUGAUUGGGUGGGCACUGGUAAUGGUUCGAGCAAGCUUGCUAGUUUAUUCUUUUCAACUUUAUCAUGUUGGUAAAUAAGACACAUCUUGUUGUAGUCCAUCACAUAUUGUCACAUGCGAGGCCAAUAGUAGCCUUGUUUUAAUAGAGUAAAAGUACGUUGCCAACCUGAGUGACCUGCCCAUGGUGUGUUGUGGCAUUCCUUCAUCAGCAUUUGUCUCAAACCUCCUGCUUUUGGCACAAACAAUCAAGGGCCCUUUGUCCAUAAGACCAUAAGUACUUCGACUUCCUUUCUUCAACUAAUUUUAGAAUGGCACCGACCUGUGGGUCCUUUCCCAAAUUCUUUUCAAUUAACUUACGAAUGUUUGUUGUAACUUUGCUAGCUGUCAUUGGGGUAAUUUUUCUCAGGGUCACUAAUUCUACUCGUCGGCUCAAUGCAUCAACCACUUGAUUGGUUGUUCCCGCAAUGUGUUCUCAAAGCAAAAAUCAAACUCAGCUAAAAAUUCUUGCCAUUGAGUUUGCUUCGCUGUGAGCCUUGGUUGGGUGAGAAAGUGACUAACUGUCGCAUUGUCUGUCUUUACUACAAAGUGUGAGCCCAACAAAUAAUGUCACCAAGUUCUCAAACAGUGAAUUACUGCUAGGAGUUCUUUCUCUUGGGCUGUAUAUUUUCUCUCAACUUCACUUAGCUUUCUACUUUCAAAUACUAUUGAGUACCGCGCUUGUAGGAGAACUCCCCCAAUAGCAAAGUCAGAAGCAUCUAUUUGGACUUCAAAGGGUUAUCGAUGUCGGGGAGGACCAAGAUAGGAUCUUUCAUAAUGGCUUCCUUCAGUCCUUCAAAUACCUCUUGACAUUCGCUCGUCCAACACCAUUUAUGCUCUUUUUUUAAUAGUUCUGUGAGGGCUGUAGUUCUAUGGGAGUACCCUUCUAUAAAUCUUCUGCAAUAGUUGGCCAAUCCCAAAAACGAGCGAAGCUCACUAACAUUCUUAGGUGUUAUCCACUCAUUGAUGGCUCUAACCUUUUCCAUAUCCAUUCGAAUGUGGCCUUGUUCGACAAUGUGACUUAGAAAAUGGAUUUACGUCUGAACAAAAGCACAUUUCUCUCUUUUCACAUACAACUGGUGGUCUUGUAAUCUUUGAAGCACUAGGCAUAAGUGUUCUUGGUGUUCUUCCAAAAUAGAGCUAUAUACCACUAUGUCAUCCAAAUAAAUCACCACGAAUUUGUCAAGGUAAUCGUGGAACACCUGAUUCUUUAAGAUACAAAAUGUGAUGGGAGCAUUGGUUAGUCCAAAAGGCAUAACAAGAAAUUCAAAUGCACCAUAUCGGUUACACAGGUAGUUUUUGGUUCAUCUCCUUUCGUAAUUCUGACUUGAUGAUAGCCAGACCUCAAGUCCAAUUUGAAAAAGUAUUUGGCCUGACUCAGUUGAUCAAAUAAAAUAACAAUAAGGGAAAUCGGGUACUUGUUUCUCAUGAUGACCUUAUUUAGGGCUUUGUAUUCGACACAUAAUCGUAGGCUUCCAUCAUGCUUCUUUUGAAAUAACACAGGUGCUCUAAAGGGUGCUUUUAACGGCCUAAUGAACUCGACCUGUAAGAGUUCAUCCAAUUGUUUCCUUAGUUCAACCAAUUCUGGUGGAGCCAUGCGAUAUGGGGCAUUAGCAAGGGGUUUAACCCCUAGGAGAAGUUUAAUUUCAUGGUCAACCAAUCUUCAAAAAGGUAAGACCUUAGACAAUUGUUCUGGCAUCAUAUUUUUAAACUUUUCUAACACCUUUGUCACCCCAUCGGGUAUUGGAUCUAACUCUAUCCCAUCCUUGUAGAUCGGUAUCACCACAUAAGAGAGCUCUCCUUUUUUUAUCCCUUUCUUGAAUUAUAGUGCUAAGAUCAUCUUCUUUUCAUUUUUCAACAAGAUUGUGGUUAGCACCACACAGGGUUACUCCCCUAAGAACAACAGAUAACUAGCGAUGGGGAUUGGUAUCACCUGAGCCAACAUCAUGAAGUCUAAUCCGAAGACAACAUCAAAGUCAUUUAUGAGGGAAAAAGUGAAGUCUACCUUUCCUUCCCAUGGCCCUAACUUGGUCACACAUUCUUGGAGCUUCACUGAUUGUGAAGGCUGGUGAGUGGAUCGCUUUCAUUUGUCCGUAGUCCUUGUUCACCUUAAGACCACACCUUUUUGCUUUCUCAGGUGUAAUGAAGGUAUCAAUUGCACCCAUAUCAACCAUAGCCCUUGUGGUUUUCUUAUUGAGUACUAGGUCCACAUACAUCAAGCUUCUACUCAGUUCUUUCUUUACCAUGUUAAGUUGGGUACGAGGGUAUUUAAAAACGUAUGGAGCCCAUCCUGGUCGGUUCUUUUUCAAUCUAUUCGAUUGUCUAUGGUGCUUUUAUGAAAUCUUGGAACGAGGCUCUUAAGGCAUUAAGGGCCCCUCUAUGAGGGCACUCAGCCAUUCAAUGCAGCCCCUUGCAUAGGAAACAAGCUAACGGUUGCCUAGGCCUGAAACUUGUUGCAUGGUUUGCUCUGGGUUGGGUGUUGUCUCGACCAAAGGGCCUUUUAUCUGAUCCCCCACUUAAGGUUUAGUCCACUCUGGCCAUCUUUCCCCCACUCCCAAAGAUGGAGUUACUACCACCUAAUGGAAGAUUUUUUCAUUUUGAAAAGCUAUCAUUGUAAUCAUGAAGGCAUUCGGCUGCAGCCAUGGUCAUGGCUACAUCUUGCACCUUUUGCCUUUAUAGUUCUGUCUUGGCCCAAGGUUUAAGGCCAUCAAGAAAAUAAAAAUUUUAUCUUUUUUGAAAAUGUCUCUAAUGUCCAAUAUUAGGGUAGAAAAGCUCCUUACAAACUCUCGCACUAUUCUCGUUUGUACCAACUCUCGAAGUUUCCUUUAGGCUAUAUACUCUACGUUCUCAUAAAAGAACUGGUUUUUCAAUUCCUGCUUCAGGUCCAUCUAAGUUUUGAUAGGGCAUUCAUUAUUUACAAAUUUUGAACGCCACCAAAGCUUGACAUCCCCCGUAAGGUACAUUGAUGCCAUUGCCACCUUGUCUUCCUCUGAUUUCGUACAUACGGCUCGAAAGUCUUGCUCUAUGUCAAACAGAAAGUUCUCAAGCUCUUUGGCAUCUCUUGCCCCCCUCAUAGCGUCGAAGAUUUGGCCUUUUGGCCUUUUGUCCCUUUUUCCCCGAGCUAGAACUCGACCUAGCCACCGCCACUUAUAAGACACCUACUUCGGCCCUAAGCUCCUCAAACUUUUUUUGGAGGACAUUCAAAGCAUCUUUAGCCUAUUCACUCAAGCUAUGUAAAGUAUCGGACGACUCCCGCUAGGUCAUCUCAAUCUCCUUCAAACGAUCGGUUGUAAGCAUAUGAGCUUUCAAAGUGACCACCGCGGCUUCAAGCUCCUCAAUUCUCUGUUGAUAGUUAAAUCCACCAUUCAUGGCCAUUUUUUCAAUUCUCUAGCACUUCACACUGUGCUUUGAUACCACGUGUCAUAGGCUAAGCUUUCUCUCAACAAACGAUAGACCGUGCAGCACUUGAAUGGACACUCCCACCUAAGUCAGCCAACAAUAGCUUGAUAUCUGAAUAAGCAACCAUAAGUCAUAGUUAAUCUCAAGCAUACAUAAGAAGACAUAUUCAUAUUGAGAGAAAGAAAAGCACAUCGAGGUAACACUCGGGACUUUCGAAUAAAAGAUGUAUUUUAUUAUUAUCGAGAAUAGUACAUCGAGACUUCACACCAUCGUUGAGGCCAGGGGAUAACCCUUGACGGGUGGCUUAUAUUCGUACUUUAACCAGUGAGACGGCCUAAUAAUAUGCUAACUGCUCACUCCCCUUAAAGAACAAAUGAGAUUUUAUAGUCAUGCUACCACUAACUGUUAUAAUAUUUGAAAUGGGGAUAUUUUUCCUAGCCUAAAGAUCUUAUCCUUCGAUUUGGCACUUCUACCUGAUCAUGGCCCUAUAUAUGGGUGGCACAUGACUACUUAAACCUGAUCAUGAUCCUAUACAAAAGCGUUGGCUCAUGACAUCGGGCCUACCGUUCUAAUGAUUCCGUAGAUACAGAAAGAGUCAGUCUCGGCUUUAUAUUAAAAAAUAAAAAAAUAGAUAUUAGAACGUCAACUUUAGGCUUUGUGAAUUAAGGAGGACUCAUAUGAUUCUCCUUCCUCGACUUCGGUUCUGUCUCCUGAAAUAACCCAGAAACUUGCUUAGUCAGGUCUUCCUUUUAUGUGAAUUCGUAGAGUAGGCAGAGACCCUUAUAUACGAUCGGAGUUUAAACACUUAAACCAUGGGUCCCCCGAAUAUCCAUCCAACCCCCUUUCCUGGCUUUUGUUCUACUAGCAGUAAGCUCUGCUCCCUCCAGUUCUAUUAAUUCCGGAUUUUCAUUUUUUUACCUGACGACCAUCCAAGGUUUCAUGAGUGCUCCUAUUCUGUUAGUUAUGACUUUUCGUUUGGCAUUUUAGUGGCAUUUUAGCUGAGUCCGCUUGGGCCUGCGUCAAGCCUGAAGCUUUUGUUUAUUCAGGUGUCUAUGCCGAUUUUUUUGGGGGUAGAUUGUGGCUUUGAGACAACCUUCUUCGGUAAAUGCUAUCCCGGGAAAAUGGAUCCGUUGUUGGUUCCAGAGAAGCGGCAGGAUAUCCUUUUUAAACAAAAACCGGGUUGGUAGAACCAGGGCCCGUUGUUUCAGACGAGACCUCCUUCAGGGCGGAUGAAGCAGCCCUUGCUUUAUGACCUGUUUCAUACCUGGAAGAGUUGAAAGAUCAAGGCCAUUACUUCCACGAUACAGCCCCCCCUGCUGAAUCUUAAGCUUUCUCAAUAGCGUAGCCUCUUUAACCCCACCGCAUCAGCUAUACACCGAGGACCGGUACCGAGACCCAUACCCCCCUAGCUACAUGGUGGUACUUUGCGGCUCCUCACAAGUAGUUUUGGUCGGACAUAAUAUCUACCGAAGUGGGACAAAGGGCCUUAUAAAGAGAAGCGAGGCGGGGGACUAGAAGCAAGCUAGUUUUCGCAAGACGGCUUACUUCACCAACGAACGGGGUGUGGGCCAAGACGACGAAAGUUUUGAUUCAACAACUGAUAACCCCGAAAGGCAAACAAAGUCAAACUGAAUAAAAGUUGACUUACGAUAAAAAAAUAAAGGAAUGUCUCUUUUACUUUUAAAAUGUGAGAUAGCUUUACUUUUGGUCCCGUUUGGAUGGUUUCAACUAUCUCCUAGAAAGCCAGGAGACGAGACAGAAGAUGUAGAGAAUACUAUGAGAGUGUAUCCUAUGUGACGGAGUAGAGAAGGGAGCACCUUCAACCGACAAAGCACUUAUUCCUGCUCGGUCAAGAUGUUUAAACGGACCUUCUUCAAAAAUGUCUCUAAAGGUGGCUAAUGGGACUACUGGUCUGCUGCUUUGACUUUUUUCAAUUACUGUGAAAGUAAAGAAACUCAGCUUCUUACAGGUCUUAAUAAGCAAUAAGCGGGCAACUAAGGUCUACUCGUCAAGUAAAGCUUCACUUUUUCGAUGACAGCUAAAGCCGAUUUAAUCAAUGCGACUCUGGCCCACCGAAAGGAAUAUUCUGAGGCGGGCAGGUAAAGAAGGGCCAAGAUAUAAUCUUCUCAUUCAGAAAAUGCCCUCUUAUGCGCUAUCCGAUCUCGUGAAGCCAAUGGGUUAGCAAUGAUCCUAUCAAUUGACAGUUUCGGGACUUCUCCUGAAGAAUGACCAAGGGAACCGACCGUAUCAAAGUAGUGUGAUCUCUUGGCAUAGCUGAAACUCGAUGUCAGAAAGCACGUUCCUCGCUAUGAAGCCCGAAGACGAAGGUCUGAUUCAGCGAACGGGUUAGCUUUCCCACUCUCCUUGCUUUCAAUCUGUCUUGUGCCACUCCUCAAGCCAUUCUUUGAACUUUGAACUUACUUAAUAGGGGCGACCUUCACUAUUGUUGGUGGAAGUCCCCCUUUCCGAUUAUAGAUCUAAGAGUUUGUUUUUUCCCUCCUAAUCUAGUUGAAAGAACUGAUAGUUUUUAUUGAUUCAAGGAAACUGACCAAUCUAAGAAAUUUAGAAUAGAAUCGUUGAAAUUGUUCAUAAUUGUUCUAUCUAUCUUCAAGGUUUUUCAAGUCUUUUAGGGCUCCGGGGAUCGACUUCGCAGGACCAUUUCGGUCCACUCUUGGUUAGGCUCUAUCGGGCGGAGCUUUCUCAAUCAACUAUCAAGCGAUAAUGAAGAAAGAAAGUUUUAUGAAACUUUUACUUCUUUCAAAUGUCAACUUCUUCUCUUAUGAUAUUGAAUUUCGAAUUACCUAUUCUACUUCACAUUGGCCAAUUUCACACCUUCUAAAUGUGUCAUUUGACCGAAUGUGACAACUAAUCAAAAGACACCAAUUCAUUUUUAGGAACAAAAGAAAUGAUGGGGUAGGGUCUUUUAGCUAAAGAUCAAUCUAGAAAGCAGAGUCCAAGGUACAUGUGUUAAGCAUAUUCUUUCCUUUACCCGGGAAAAGUAGAUCCUUAAUAGCCUCAAUUUAGAGUUUAGCAUUAAAAGCAAAAGGCAUACAGCCUCAAUUUAGAGUUUAGCAUUAAAAGUAAAAGGCAUGCAUAGCGUAUAGAUUGCUCGAAGAUCCAAGUCAAAACCUACUGCGUCGACACCUUCACAUUUUAAGUAAGCCUCUAGCAAAUGAGAAGGUGUCACGGACUAGGCUUUCUCUCAACAAGCAAUAGAUCGUGCGGUAUUUGAAUGGACACUCCCACCCAAGUCAGCCCUCAAUAGUUCGAUAUCUGAACAAAUAACUAUAAGCCACAGUUAGUCCCAAGCAUACGUAAUAAGACACAUUUAUAUCGAGAUCAAUCUCAAGCACACACAAGAAGGCACAUUCACAUCGACAAAAAAAAAAACACAUCAAGGUAAUAUUCGGGACAUUCGAAUCAGAGGUGAAUUUUAUUAUAAUUGAAGAUAGUACAUCGAGACUUCCCACCAUCACCAAGGCCAAAAGACAGCUCUUGACGGAUGGCCUAGACCCAUAUUACGACCGAUGAGACAACCCAACAAUACGUUACCCGUUCACUCCCCUAAAGAGCCUUAGAGAUUUUAGAGCUAUACUAUCACUAACCAUUAUAAUGUUUGAAAUGGGGACACUUUUCCUAGCACAAGAGAUCUACCCGGUCAUGGCCCUAUACAUGGAUGGCUCAUGAUAACCUAAGCCCCGAUCAUGGCCCUAUACAAGGUUGGCUUAUAGCAUCCUCCUUCACCUAUGCUAUCGACGUCCUCGUCGACUUGUUGGCUUGAAAUUCUUCAAUCUUCCUCUUGAAUCUCCGGAGGUUGUGUUCCCUUUCCCAGCUAGUUUCUUUUAGUCCUAAUCCCUCCCAUUUCACUAAGUAUUCACGAACUAGUCUUCGAGAUACUUUAAUUUUUCUGUCGGCUAAGAUCUCUUCGACGCGACACUCUGAGGGUGGUUUCAUGGUGAUGAUGGCACUGGUUGGCUCCUUUCGGCUAGCAUUUAUAGGAUCUGCAUGAAAAGGUUUCAAAUUACUCACAUGAAAUACUGGGUGCACCUUCAUCCAUUUUGGUGGGUCAAUUUUGUAUGAAGCAUUCUCCACAUUGGAAAAGAUCUUCACUAGACCCUCAUAUUUGUGCACUAAUCUGCAAUCUCUCUUUUUCAAGAACCUGGUUUGUUCAGGGACUAGUCGAACAAGAACCAAAUCACCAACUUGGAAUUGUUACGCCUUGUGACCUUUGUCUGCCCAUUUCUUCAUUCGCUUCGAUGCUUUUUUCAGGUAAGCUUGUGCAAUCUCAGUGUUUUGUUUCCACUUUUUGUCGAGGUUGAAGGCUCUCGAAUUUUUCCCUCUAUAUUGCUCUAAGAAAGUAUGAGGUAGCCUUGGUAAUUAUUCGGUGACCACUUCAAACGGGUUCUUAUUAGUGGAAGAGCUUUUGUUAGAAUUAAAGUAAAACUGAGCAACAUCCAAUAACGAAUGCCAGUUCUUCUAAUUAGCUUGAACAAAGUGCCUUAAGUAUUCCUUUAGUAAUCCAUUGAACCAUUCCGUUUGACCGUCGGUUUGAAGGUGGUAGCUUGAGGAGUUGUUAAGUUGAGACCCCAAUAUCUUAAAAAGUUCUCUCUAAAAAGAUUCCGUGAAUCUCGGAUCUUUAUCGCUUAUAAUGUUUUGAGGAAGGCUCUAGUAUUUGACCACAUAUUUAAAUAGUAAUCUAGCUGUGUCUUUCGCAAUACAAUACUUAUGAGUAGGGAUGAAUGUAGCGUACUUAGAAAAACGGUCAAUCACCACCAAAAUAGCUCCAAAAUCACCAACAUUGGGAAGGUCUGAAAUGAAAUCUAGAAAAAUGCUUUCCAAUGGUCUAGUGGGCACCGGUAAUGGUUUAAGCACACAUGCAAGUUUCUUCUUUUCAACUUUGUCUUGUUAGCAAAUGAGACAAGUCUUUGUAUAAUCCAUCACGUCUUAUCACAUAUGAGGCCAAUAAUAUCCACGUUUCAAUAAAGCCAAAGUGCGUUGUCAGCCCGAAUGUUCAGCCCAUGGUGUGUCAUGACAUUCCCUUAUCAACAUUUGUCUUAGAUCUCCUGUUUUUAGCAUAAACAAUCAGGGCCCCUUGGUCCAUAAGAUCUCAUUUUCUUACCAGAAGUACUUAGACUUCCCUUCUUCAACUAGCUUCAGGAUGGUACUAGCCUACAGGUCCUUCCCUAAAUGAUCUUCAAUUAACUUACGAAUGUCUGUCGUGACUCUGCUAGCCACCAUUGGGGUAAUUCUUCUAAGGGCUACUAACUCUAUUCAUCUGCUCAAUGCAUUGGCCACUUGAUUGGUCUUUCCAACGGUGUGCUCAAAAUAAAAGUUUAACUCUGCUAAAAAUUCUUACCAUUUAGCUUGUUUCGCUGUAAGUCUUGGUUGGGUGAGAAAAUGGCUAACGACCGCAUUGUCUGUCUUCACGAUAAAGUGUGAACCUAACAAAUAAUGUCGCCAAGCCCUCAAGCAGUGAACUACAGCCAAGAGCUCUUUUUUUUGGGCCGUAUAUUUUCUCUUAGCUUCACUUAGCUUCCUACUUUCAAAUGCUAUUAGGUGACGUUGUUGUAAAAGCACUCCUCAAAUAAUGAAAUCAGAUGCAUCCGUCUGAACUUUGAAAAGCUUUUCAAUAUCAGAGAGAGCUAAGAUAGGAUCUUUCAUAAUAGCAUCUUUCAAUCCCUCAAAGGUCUCUUGGCACUCACUUGUCCAACACCAUUUAUACUCCUUUUUUAAUAGCUUUGUAAGGGCCAUGGUCUUACAAGAGUACCCUUCUACAAACCUUCUAUAAUAGUUGGCUAGUCCCAAAAAUAAACGAAGUUCACUAACAUUCUUUGGUGUUGUCCACUCCUUGAUGACCAUAACAUUUUUCAUGUCUAUUCGAAUGUGGUCAUGUUUGACAAUGUGAUCGAAAAAAUGGAUUUGGGUCUGAACAAAUAUACAUUUCUUCCUUUUCACAUAUAACUGGUAGUCUUGUAAUCUUCAAAGUACCUGACACAAGUGUUCUUGAUAUUCUUCCAGAGUAGAGCUAUAUACCACUAUGUCAUCUAAAUAGAUUACUACAAAUUUGUUUAGAUAGUCAUAGAACACCUGAUUCAUCAAUGUAUAAAAUGUGACAGGAGCAUUGAUCAGUUUAAAGGGCAUAACAAGAAAUUCAAAUGCACUAUACCAUGUUACACAAGUGAUCUUUGGCUCAUCUCCCUCAGCGAUUCUGACCUGAUGGUAGCCAGAUCUCAAGUCCAAUUUGGAAAAGUACUUAGCCCGACUUAGUUGAUCAAACAAAUUUGCUAUAAGAGGGAUGGGAUAUUUAUUUCUCACGGUGACUUUGUUCAGGGCCUUGUAGUCAACACAUAAUCGUAAACUUCUAUCGUGCUUUUUUUAAAAUAGCACUAGCGUUUCAAAAGGAGCCUUUGAUGGUCUAAUGAACCCGACCUGUAAAAGCUUAUCUAAUUGUUUCCUUAGUUUGGCCAACUCUGACGGGGCCAUGCGGUAAAAGGCUCUAGCAGAGGGUUUAACUCCUAAGAGGAGCUCAAUUUCAUGGUCCACGGCUCUUCGAGGAGAUAGAACCUUAGGCAACAUCCCUGGCAUCACCUUUUCUAAUUUUUUAACACUUUUUCCAUGCCAUCAGGUAUCGGUUCCACUCUCAACCCUUCUUUGUAAAUUGAUAUGGCCACAAAGAAGGGUUCCCCUCUCUUUACCCUUUUCUUGAACUGUAAACCUGAGAUCAUUUUCUUCUCAUUCUUUGACAAGAUAGUGGCCGACACCACACAUAGAUGUUCCUCUAAGAACAACAGGCAACUAGCAACGGAGAUAGGUAUCACCUGAGCCAAUAUCAUGAAGUCCAAUCUGAAGAUGACAUCAAAGUCAUCCAUAAGGGGAAACUGUAAAGUCUACCUUCCCUUCCUAUGGUCUCAAUUUGGUCAUCGCACUCUUGAAGCUUCCACUGAUCUUAAAAGCUGGCAAAUUAACUGUCUUUAUUCAUCCACAGUCUUUGCUAACCUGAAGACCACACUUUUUUGCUUCUUCUGAUAUGAUAAAGGUAUCAAUUGCACCCAUGUCUACCAUGACCCUGAUGGCCUUCUCAUUGAUCAUUAAGUUCACAUACAUCAGGCCUCUACCCUACUCUUUCUUUAUUGUAUUCAGUUGGGUGUGAAGGGCAUUGAAAAACCUUAUUGAACCCAUCCUGGCUGGCUCCUCUUCAACUUCUUCAAUGAUCUCUGGUGCUUUUGUGGACUCUUGAGAUGAGGCACUUAAGGCAUUAAGGGCUCCUCUGUUGGGCAUUCAGCCACUCGAUGCGACCCCUUACAUAGAAAGUAAGCUAGUGAUUCCCUAGGCUUGAAAAUCACUGCAUUGUUUGUCUUGGGUCGGGUGCUAUCUCGACCAAAAGACCUCCUAUCUGAUCCUCCACUGAAGGGCCAGUCCAAUCUAGUCAUCUUUUUUCCAUUCUCAAAGUUGAAGUUAUUGCCAACUGAUGGAGGAUUUUUUCAUUUUGAGGAGCCAUCAUUAUAAUCAUAGAGACGUUCAGCUGCAGCCAUGGCCGUGGCCACGUCUUGCACUUUUUAUCUUUGUAGUUCUGUCCCGGCCCAAGGCUUGAGGCCCUUAAGGAAAUAAAACAUCUUGUCUUUUUCGGACAUAUCUCGAAUAUCUAGCAUCAGGGUAGAAAAACUCCUCACAAACUUUCGUAUUGUUUCUGUUUGCACUAAUUCUCGAAGUUUUCUUCGAGCCAUAUACUCCACAUUUUCAGGGAAGAACUGAUUUUUUAGUUUUUGUUUCAAGUCCGUCCAAGUCUUAAUUAGACACUUGUCAUUGACAAACUUGAAGCGCCACCAUAGCUUGGUAUCCCCUGUGAGGUACAUCGACGUCAUUACUACCUUAUCUUCCUCUAAAUCCGUGUAUACAGCUCGAAAGUAUUGUUUCAUGUCAAACAGAAAGUUUUCAAGCUCAUUGACAUCUCUUGCCCCCUCAUAGCAUCGAGGCUCCGACACCUUGGCCUUUUUUUCCCUUUCUGUCGAGCUCGAACUCGAUCUGGCCACAGCCAUUUGUAUGAUGCUCACUUGUGCUCUGAGCUCCUCAAACUCCUUUUGGAGAACAUCCAAGGCAUCUCUAGGCUCCUCGCUCACAUUGUGGAGAGUAUCGGAUAAUUCCCGCUAGGUUGUCUCGAUCUCCCUUAAUCGAUCUUUAGUCACCAUGUGAGUUUUCACUGCGGCCACCGCGGCCUCAAGUUCCUUAAGUCUCUGUUGAUAAUUGGGUCCACCACUUGUGGCCAUCUCUUCCAUUUUCUAGCACUUCUCAACUUAGCUCUGAUACCACGUGUCACGGACUAGGCUUUCUUUCAACAAGUAAUAGACCGUGUGGCACUUAAAUGGACGCUCCCACCCAAGUCAGCCCUCAAUAAUUUGAUAUUUGAACAAAUAACCAUAAGCCACUGUUAGUCCCAAGUGUACGCAAUAAGACACAUUCAUAUUGAGAUCAAUCUCAAGCACACACAAGAAGGCACAUUCACAUCGAUAAAAAGAAAAACACAUCAAGGCAACAUUCGGGACAUUCGAAUCGAAGGUGAAUUUUAUUAUAAUCGAUGAUAGUACAUCGGGACUUCCCACCAUCGCCAGAGCCAAGGGGACAGCCUUUGGUAAAUGGCCUAGGCCCAUAUCACGACCGGUGAGACAACCCAACAAUACGUUGCCCGCUCACCCCCUAAAGAGCCUUAGAGAUUUUAGAGCUAUGCUACCACUAAUUAUUACAAUGUUUGAAAUGGAUAUAUUUUUUCAAACACAAGAAAUCUACCUGGUCAUGGCCUUAUAUGAGUGGCUCAUGAGAGCCUAAACCCUGAUCAUGGCCCUAUACAAGGUUGGCUCAUGAUAGAAGGCCUGUGGACAAAUCAAGUAAUGGAGCGAGGUGAGUUUGGUUUCCAAUAGCCAUUGCUGCCGGUUCUUAUUGGAAUAGGCUUCGGGCUAACCGGCUAGCAGAACAGACCGAUCAAUCGUAUUCGUUAGCUUAAGUGCUAUCCUCGUCUACUCUUUGCGAAGUUGAUUAUUUUUAAAAUAAAUGAAUUCCAGAUCAGCGACAUCUGUUUUAGGAGUUUGCUUUGUGUUGAAGACUAAUAGGCUUUCAAGCUUGGAGUUUAAAACUCGGUCAAUACAUCAGGAGCUAAAGGAGAAUAGUGAAAACUAGAAGGUAGAAGACUAAGGCCUAGAGACUAGAGAAAAGAAAAGGGUGUUAUAGGAAAAGAUGGCGCCUUUCAUCCCUUCCCCGGGGUUUUCAGGCUUGUUCAAAAGAAAAAAAACGUGGGUGGCAUUAUGCUUUUUAAUGCUGAGGGGAUCAAAGGUGUCAGUUAUAAAGGUUCUUACAAUGUUCGUUCAAUCCAAGCAGCAUUCUUGUUGUUCUUAACUUAAGGAGAGGGAGGAGGGACUUCUAAAGAAGGGCUGGCUUGGAACCUAUGAGCGGAACAACACAACAAACAUGAAGAAAUGAAAAAGAAUGAACGGGAGGCGUCGGAGGAAGGACUGACGAACUACUUACUUGUUUACUUGUGUUUUUACUGACUUGGGGUUCUUUCUCGUAAGUGGUACACCUACACCCUGCACGCACACUCAUCUAUAUACAUUGAUAGCCUUUCGCAAAAAGCCCCUCUCUCUACUAAAUACAGUUGUUUCAGGUAUUAGUAAUUAGUAGGCCCGGAUCCAGCUGAAAAACGGAAUGGAAUACUCUAAGAUGCUUCAUAGCUUCAACAAUCCCCUUUAUUAGAUUAGUAAGAUAGGGGUUCAAAACCUGCGCUCCAGCGAAGAAAACUACAGGGCGAUCGUAAGAUGGUUGGCUCUUUAUUCAGGUGCUCUUCUGUCUUCAGGUGCCUACCGCUUAGUUAGCUCUUGUUUUAGGUGUACUCUUUUCGACUUCUUUCUUCUUGUAGCUAUUGCCUUAUUCCCUACUGCACAGCUUUGUGUUGUCCUUGUGCUAAGGAAGUGCCUCCCCCUAUUCCACCCAAAGCUGGUUCCGUGGCCAAAUCAGAUCUUUCUUUAUUAAUCUUCCUCUCCUUAAGCUUAAGUUAAAAAGGUUGAGCCAGUUUUCACUUCCUCCAGCCCUUAGACUUGUUACGUUUAACGACUUCACUCGAAAGAAAGCGCUUACGUAUACGAAUGCUUAAAGAGUUCGGACUUUGGGGAUACCGGAGUGGGGACAUUGGUACAUGGGGAGUUUACUGUAUUCAGGAAUCUCAUGUAUAGAAUCAAUCUCUCGAACCCUCGGGUGAAAUACGAGAGGGACUAAGUGCGGAAUGAAGGCACCGAAAGUUAUAAUCCUAUUCAUUCAAAUGCCAGUGAUUCAAAAAAGACCUUACUUCGACUAACAAAAAAGGUCUACUUCCCUACUCAUGUUCUGAGUAGGGCUAGGGCGCGACGCUAAGGCUAAGGCUUUCGAAAAGACAGAUGAAUGCCGUCGAGCAACUCCUUCGUUGAGAUAGAGUGAGUGUGCGUGAAGGACAUAAAAUGCUAAUCUCCUUCAUUGCUUCAUGGAAAAGGCCGAGUGAAAACGUUUUUUCAACUUCUUAUAAUGAGGAUUUUUACAAUGCUCAUUUCCUCAUGGGUGAUCACUCGCUCUUUAUCUAAAAAUCCUCUAUGAAAUGACUUGACUAAUUGAUAGCCUGCAUGGACUCGACACCUCCUCUCCACGGGUCGCUUUGACUAAUCAACUCGGGUCAAGCUAUCAAUCCCGCCCCCCGGAGCAUACUACCAAGGAACCAGGCCGCCUCUGUCUUUUAGCCCAACCUCUCUGUUAAAGAGCCUAUCUAGUCGAUGGGAAUCCCCAUAUUUUAUAUUGUUUUCUACCCAAGUGGAAGGGAAAAAGUCAACUCACAUACAACUAUCUGAAAUCAGUGAUUGAAUUGAAGUGGGAGAGUGGGCUUGGAGUUUGGCCAAUUGCUCUCAAAGACCAGCUAGGCGAGAUUCAGCUUUUGUUGCUGCCUCUGUGACUUCUUUAGCUGCUGCUGCUUUCUCUCCAGCUAUAUUGAGUAGCUGGUCCAACUCCGGUGGUUUAAGUUUGCUGCAAUAUCCUUGGAGCAGAGCAUGAGCCUUGGGAGCAGUUGUACAAGCCUUCUGUCAUCUUCACAAAGUCCCGGUACAACUGACAGCUCUACAACGAGAUGAGAAAGCUCAUGUGGCAUGUCACUUAGAAGCAAAAAAAAGAAUCCAAGGCAUCAUUGCAGCUUUAAUCUCUUCAGCAUUCCUGGUUACCCAGUGUCCACUUCCUGAGGUUCCGUCGCCUUCGCCUUCAUUUGCUACCAAUGCUUAAUAAUAUAACCUCAUCGCCAGGUUUGAAAAUAUCUGGUUCGAAAGAGCCAGGAAACUAGCAAGCCUUGAGGAAGGAUAAGUUAUUUGCGCCGAAUAUGUGCUUCGUGGUCAUUGCUCCGGAGAUGCAUUGUUCAUUGGCAACCGAAGAAGGAGGAAGCUAAAAAAUGAAAAAAAUGGGUCUUUCUUUGCUCGAGUGUGGGGAGUUCGUUAACUUCAGUAUUAACAGCACUCAAAAGAGAGGUUUUUUUUAAGCUUUCCAGCGGGUAUUUCAAUUACACCAAUGCCAGCGGAGUUUUCAUUUCAGCCAUUCCCUUUUGUUUUGUAUAGAGGAGUCCGUGUAAGCUAAUGCUAAGGUAUUCUGUAAGAGAAAAGAAAGCGGUAAUACAGGCAGUCUAUCUUAUGAUUCUUCUUAUCAUUAGGAAGAAGCUCUUUAGUAGUUUACUGAAAGCUAUAGUAUUCUAUAUAGAAUACUUUCGUUUGAAUACAAUUCAAUCCAUGAGAUCUUGAAGCGGUGUUGGUGAAAGCAGUUUUUUGUCCUAUUUCAUCAGUUGAAGACACAUAUCUAUUUGCUAAACCUAUUUCCCUGAUAGCCUGUAGCCUGUAGAUUGAUCAAUUGAAACUUUCCCUUAUCCAAAACCAGCUCACUAGCUAAAAAGAAAACGAAAAUGGCUUAUUGAAUCCUUUCCUUAUGUUUUUUGUCUGUCUUUAUCUAGAAGCGGGGGAGUUGGGAACUAGACUUCGCUUCUCUUAAUAGGAAAUGGAUUUUCUCUUUCCUGCUCGGCGAAUAAGCCAGUACGCGAGGAAAGCUUAUCAUCCUUGCCUUUCAUCCUACUCGAAUCGUAUGAGUCCUGGCCUAAUCCUUUCAUUGUUGGUUAUCAACCAGUCAGUCAGUAGACUUUUCUUAUGAUCCUAGUUUCGAUUUCAUUGGCUAUGGGUCACGAACGUUCUAACAUAGGAAUUAGGGUGCUGCUCCUCUCUUCUCUUGCUUUCUUUCUUUUGCCUCAAAAACAGGUUUUUUUUCAUCCAAUGUGGACUUUAGUGCUUUCGAGUAGCAAAUGGAAUGAGUCUACUUAACUUAUACGGACAGAAUUUCCUAACCAUAGAUAAAAAGUUGGGGGGAGAUAGUCACGUUACACUUUCACCAAGGUUAGCGCACACAGUACUUUAUCAGCUUGCUGGCUCGAGCGAGAGCAGUACUCUUACUUUCCUUUCUUUUCUUUCAGAGAGGCUAAGGAGAUAGAAUAAAACUCAUGUACUACAGUAAGGGACUCUAUAAAAACGAAGAAUAGAGCAUAAGUCGACUCUACUCUAGUAGUAGCAGUAAGCGCUUACUUCCUGCAGUAGGGGUGAUAUAAAAUAGAAUAAGAGAGAAGCAAGUCUACUCUAGCUGCUGCCAUUGCUUUUUUCAGCUUUUUCGUUAGUGCGGAUUUCUCAAUUUCUUACUUUCGGCGCAGAAAGAGAAAACAGGGCAUAAAACAAGAGUACUUUAUAGUGAGACUACAGUGAAGUAUACCCUUCCUUCUGAAAUUUUUUAGUGGUGGCUGACUUUCACAGCUUUCUUAUAGCCCACUCGUAACUCUAACUCAAUAAAGCACCAUUUCCCCUCAGUGUCCCACCCUUUCUUUGAACAUUGUCAAUGAUCGAAGAUAUGAAAUGAGUGUCAUUUGAUGAGUAACUGAGAACAGGGGUUCAUCUUCGAGAUCAACAACUUCAUUAUCAGGGUAAGAAGUUCAUAAUUGCAUCAAAGGAGUCUUCAACCUUCUCAAUCAAUAGAGGCUAGAUCGGACUAAGGUAAGAAGAGAGACGAUUAAAUGCGAAAGCGAAAGCGGAAAUAUAGGCUUAGUUAAAUGCCCAAUGAGAAUACGUACAUGAGUAAGGAAAAAUCCGAAUGACUAGUGGCCAUAACUCAUUAACCUUUUUUCGCUUAGCCUUUCCUCUCUCUACCGUUACGAGGAAGCUGCAGUAUCCUCUUACGUCUUUGCACGGCUUUCGACCGGGAAGAGGUUCCUCAUUGCAUCUUUCUACACAGCAUUGGUUCCGUCCCUUAUCGCCCGUUGGAAUAAGCAUGAAGAAAACUUUGCAUUAGAUCCUUAUCUAUCGUAUUUUUUUGCCACAACAAAAAGCCCAGAGCAAGGGCUGGUGGAAGAGAAAGCAUUUCCGGAGUCUCAAUGUUGCCCCACCAAAAGACAAUAACCCAAUGGCAAUCGCGGAUCUUUUAGUGGACAGAGCAGCUGGGCAAUAAAUUCUGUCAUUCAUGGACGUGGGGUAUAACCAUUUUUGAAUCUCAAGAGAGGACGAGGCAAAAAUUGCAUUCCGUUGUCCUGGUGCUGUUGGACAGACAGACAUUCUGCUGGCAGGUGAUUCCCCUCGGUAUGAAUAAGGCUAGAGUUACAUAGCUGUGAGCAAUGAACCUCAUCUUCCAUUACUUUCUUUAUUGUAAACAUCGUGGAAGUGGUGUAUAUUGAUGAUGUUUUAAGUCUUUCCCUGUCUUUUGUCUGAUCUCAAGACAGUGUUUGAGUGCGAGAGCGCGGAUUGAAAAGAAACCCGUAUUUGGCGUAAUAGCAGGAAACUUCCUGAAGUUUUUAGUGCACAACAUUUAUUGUUGUAUUUUUUGAAAUUGAGAAGAAUAAAUCUAGGGUAAUCAAGGAAGCACCUCCCUCGAGAAGGAAAAAGUGCGGCAGCUUUAUCAGCUUGUAGAACAUUGGCUGAAGAGCUCACUGAAAUGCGGUUUCUAGCUCCUAGGAUCCUUGCAUUCAAUCAAAGAGGGUCAAGCUCGAUAUUUUCUUUCUCGGUUGAUACCAGCACACAAAGAUCCUCCCUAUGAACAGAACUGGAGGCAAGAUUUCGGCAGCUCCGAACUUUGACCACGAAAGAAAGAACAAGCAGCUUUCUUCACUUUGAGAUCCUAGUGUGAGUGGAUGCGUAGUUUGAAAGUAUUGCCAACUGAACCAGGGCUUCCACGCCUUUUGAUGGCUGACGUUCCUUUGUAAGCCCUGGACUUAGAAUGAGGAAGUAAAGCAUGGAAUUCCAUGUGUUCAGCAUUGAUUUCAAGAUGAGGAAUAGCACAAAAGAGGAAGCGUCUGGCAUUAGAGAUGGCUUCAGACUCGACCUUGAAGGUGCCAGUUACAUCUAUUGGACCAGACGGAAAUACAAGCUUUGUUGUAGCAUGGAUGGGUUCGAAAACUGUAUACUUUUUUUAAUUCGACUAGAUCCCUUCCCGCCUAGUAGUUCUCACUGGUAGGCUAUCGGGGAAAUUCGGUUGAGCCGCUGGUAGUUCUUUGUCUUUUUGGCCCUUUGUUGACAUCAUAUUCAACCUCUUCUCUUUAUCCAUUUCACAUUUCAUUUUCUAUAAACUCCUUAUAAACACCUUAUUCUGUGUCUCGCACUUUUCAACUUGAAUUCAAUUCCCGUAAUUCUUUUAAAAAACUACAUACCUUACAUUAAUAUUAAUAUAGUAUAAUAAUAAAAGAUAAUAUAGAGACUUACUAAUUAGUGGCCUUUCAGGGACUUUUGGGUGAGACUGGAAAGCUAGUAGAGUAUCGGUAAUAGCGUUUCGGGAAAGCAAGAAGGAUUAUACCUUUCCCUCCAUGCCCCUCACCCGAGGUCCAAGAACCUACUUCCUCUCCCUUUGAUUUGAAGACGCAUCUUAUCUCUUUUCGGGAAGUUAACAAAUAAAGCUUUUGGCCCCCUUGCCUCUGUAUGAGCCUUUUCGCUAAUAUGCUUGGAAAGUAGCGGUUCCUUGCUUGUGGAGUUACUUCUUGGAUCAAGGGAGUACAGAACCAAGCUCCUCUGCCUUUUUGGACGUAUGAUCCACCGUCUUAUUUUGAAAAGAAGAGGGUCCUUGUCUCUUUUUCUUUUUUUGUGUGUUUUGGUCUUCUGGUCUUCUGGGGCUGUUAAGCCGGGCGUUCGAAACGGGAAUGAGUUUAGCCUUGUGGGCUUUUGCCUUUCUUCCAACUUACUGGUUCUCUCUAUACCCUUACCUUAAAAAGCUUCAACAGCUUCCGACGGGAAAGGAAUAGACCUAAAAUUGGACUUCCACUGAGGAACAAGCCAGGUGUUCUCUCCCAUUAAGCAAUUUAUAGAAAUUCAUUCAAGGCUUGCUUUUAGAGCAACGAAGCUGAAAGGUGAAUUGAGAAGAUCCAGAGCGAACUAAUGAGUUUGAGUUCACGAGGUUUCAUGCGUAAGAGUCAGACUACUACUAUAUGAUAUAUAUGAUAAAAGAAGUGAAGUAAGAAUCUAGAGACUCUUUCGGCAGAUCUAGUUCUUAUAAGAAAUAGAUGGGCCUCUCGCCGUAGUAAAUAAACAGUCUUAUGAAAUCGGUAUUGAGAGAGGGAAUCUUUGCAUUGGUUAUCCCAAUAAAUAGUAAUACGCUACGCUCCUUAGACAGCUCUUUAUUAGAGUGCUUUCAGAGUUCAAUUUGAUACUUCUCUAGUCCGGAUCGAGAUGCUAUGCCUAAAAGCUCCUAGUCAACGGAAUACUUGACUGGACUUUACCGAAUCUCCUGGGAGGGGAUAAUGAAGGGCUAUGUCUUCAAUGUCGACGUAACAACUGUUUUUGUCGUCCUUCCGAGAGCGUAGCGUUCCAACUGACUCGAGCUACCUCCUGACCUUUACAGUAAAGGUUUCGGGAAGCAUCUUUCCGGUUAACACGCCUUUAAAACACACUCUUAUUUAUUUAAGACGAUUACGCGCAUCUGAAAUGAGAAGGAUAGAAAGAUCUUUCACAUGCGGAAUCGAAAACAUAGCCUUUCCGCCUGGUUAUUGAACAAGAUUCCCACCCAUAUUGAAUCUCAAAUCUAUCUAAUAUAAGUAACCGCUUCGAACCUUCACUGCCUUCUUUCUUCGCUACACGAAAAGAAAAAGAAGCAUCAACUGUGUGCGGAAGGAGAAGUGUUAUAAGCCUGUCAAUAGGUUCUGUUCUUAUUCCUUGCCGCCAGGUCCCAUUUCCACUGUUAGAGAAUGAAUGGUCAAUCCAGCCUAGAGGCUUUCUUACUAAGCUUUCAGGUUCGUAGCGGAAGUCGCUAGACUGCUGGUCUAUUGCUAGUGGACUGACAGAGCGAGCUGUAGUGGAAUCCCAAUAAGUGUGUUUGGAAAAGGCGUGGUGUCACGGUCCGCGCGUUCCUCCUACUGAAAUUACGCUACCGUGCGGCCCUAAGAUUAUUCUUAGUCAAGAUCAACCUUCAUCAUGUUCAUUUUUUUUCAUGGACGGAUCAAUUUCAGUCCUUCGAGCCUCAUGCCCACGAGCCUUUUCUGGCUUUUGGUCCCGUAGGGUUGCUCAUUCCGAAUUCUAUGGGGAGGAACCCAUUCCCAUCAUACAUCGGUCCACAAUCCUCAACUUAGCCCCCGAGCACCCAGCUCUACCCGCAGGGCCUUGGGAUCUUGAGCCCCGAUCCUCGUCUACUCAUAGGGAUGCACAGUCCCGGUUCUCAUGGCCUUGAGGCCUCUUGACAUGGUGAGAGCUCAAUACCAUGCCCGCCCGUAUGAUACGCAAGCUCCCGUAUCAAGUUUACGCAAGCACCCCAAUUAAGCUGGUCAGCAGCCAGCUCGGAGCCUUUAGGCUCAUCUCGUCCCACGGGACUCGGUUCUUAGGGCUCAGGCCCUUAGCAUCAUUAUCGGCCGCCCGCACGCAUGAUUGAAACCCCACAUCAUGCUAGUCCCGCAAGGGGACUUGGGUGUACUGCCCCAGCAGCAGUACGCCAGCCCGACUGGCCACACGGGUCUAGCAGCGUGCCUGCCUGCUAGCCCGCACAUCCCUCUGGCUCGAUGGCAUCCCUCUUACGCAACACCAUCACAUGAUCCUUCCGGCUCGAGGAGGAGAAACCGAGGGGCCUAGCGAUCUCUACCGCCAAACCUCAUGGCUCAACGCAAAGGCGCGAUACGAGGCCCGCCGGCCCCAACCGUCCCCGAGUUUACCUUACCCGAGAAAACAUCGCGCCACGCUCGUGACCCUAUGAUGCCCGCCCACCUAGACACCACGAGUGCCUAGGAGUAGCUCACUUCAGACUAGCCAGGCCCCCGCCUGCCCGCUAGCCAAGGGGGUGGUGGACAGCUGACACCAGAUCAUCCCCUUAUAAAGAGCGUUAGAGAUUUUCCCACUAUGCUACCAGUGACCGUAAGAAUGUCUGAAACGGGGACACUUUUCUGCCCAGCCAUCCCAGGGCCUUUCUCCGGCUAACUCAGGGCCCCGUAACAUUCCUCUUGGUCACCAUUGCUCCUUGAUUCUGCUCAUUACUCCACCAACCCACUCGAAGGUACCCGCACAUGGCUUCGAUCGACAGCACCCGUUUGGCUAGCUGGUUCCAGGGCACCGACGUAAUGCCUCAUACUUACCUGCUUAACUCGGGGUCUAGGACAUGGACCGUCCACACACAAUGUCCUCAACAUAUUCCCCUGCUCAGAACGCCCGCACACUGCUUCCACUGCUGGCACCCGUCAGGCUACUUGGCUUGAGGGUGUCCGACCACUGUCCCGAACUUCCCUGCGUAUCUCGCGGCCCGGGGCUCCUAUUGCCCCCACAACAUGUUAACAUCAUGUUCCAAAGCUCGGAAUGCACGCUCACAUCUCGUAGAACCACUUUUCCGUCAGCUCGGUCUCGACCGUUGCUCGGUUCAGGGUCAGUCGUGGUAGGACCAAGGCCUGACCAUGACACUCUCCCCCACUUACUAUGUCGAUGCCCUCAUCGACGCCAAGACCACACCCAACUAUCUUGUUGCACACAGCUGACAUUUCCUCAUAUGUCUCUCACUUGUGCCCUCAAGGAUUGGGUCGAGGUCCCGUCACAUGAGGCACCACCCACAGUACUCGUCCGUUAUUGAUGUAGAUUGGUCCCGUUGCCGCACUCAUGCCGCUCAGCUUAGUUCUUGCUCGACCCGUCUAACCUAUCUUGGUUGUACUCAUAUGGGCCAUACCAUGGCUUCAUCCCUUGAUCCUUGUUAGGUUGCGACCUCGAGGUGCCCUCAUUGAUCGAUGACCCUCAGUAGAAUGAAUAACCACAGCUUUGCCACUCAUUUGGUGCGUCCCACCGGACGUGACCCCUCACACCAACUGUACGCUUGCAGCAUCAACUCACUGAUGCGCCCCUCUGGACAUGAUGCUUAGGUCAACCGCACUCAUACGGCACUCUACAUGAUGACCCUAGCACAGUGGCAUUCAAGCACUUUGGUCAUCUCCCAACUUGGGUCCUCUCGGCCCCUCCAAGGUCACCUCUCUAGGUGUGGCCCUCCGGCCAACCGCCCCCAAGACGGCACCUUAAAACGUGCUAACUCGGUCUUUACCUCCGGCUUGAACACUAUGCUCCAUCGCCCAAGCUCCUUUAUCUUGGCUCAGUCUCGUGGGGAAUUGACAGGUCUCCCCCACUUUUACUCGAAACUCGGCACAGCAUUAUGCGCAACCCUGUCUCCUCGAUGGUUCUAUUGCUCGAUAGUUUUGACUCCAGCCCAGUUCCUAGGGCAUCCUAAAAUCCGCUUAUACUCGGAGACCCACUGAUUUGCUUGACUCGGGGAUUCACCAGCUCGAUCCUCAAGGUCCACUGACCUACACGUCUGAGGCCUUGUCAACUGGCCGUUUCCCUUUUCUUGUUCCACUGGAAUACAUCCUGUCGUGGCCCACUGAUCACCACUACUCGUGAAGCCUUCCCUUUCGACCAAUACAAGUUCGAUAUCCUGGUUCACACACACACUCUCGUGAUCCUCUGACCACAAGAACUCACGGUCCACUGACCAACGCCGCUCAUGGUCCACUGACCACCUCGCUUGUGGCUUCAAUCUUUAGCCACUUCAUACUCUUCUGUGUAGUAGUCUCAUGCUCGGACCCGAAUACUUCGGCUUGCACCCCCGCUGGGGCACCUGCACCAUACAGCAAGUGCACACAUUAGUAAUUAAUCUUGCAACUCGACACCUCCUGCCCCUCAGGACAAGGUUCACUCGGCCCACGUGGCCUUACACAACACCAUUUCAUGGUGUAAGCCCCUUUUCGCAUCUCGGUCUCACUACGGUUCCUUUCACCGUAAAAGCAUCACAUGCCACAACAUAUGCCAACACCUUUUUCUAGGUGAGGCUAGACUCUGAUGCCCUUUUGCUAGGCGUCCAAGAGUCUACUGGAGAGCCAUUUUACAUAGGCCCAAUACUUCUCGCAGCACGCAUCAUUGGCUCUUUCCCGAGCCCCCAUAGGCACAAAACCCGCAUUUGCGUCUCGAUAGCUCCUUUUGAGCUUGACACCACCUCGAUUUCACAUCACUAGACCCACUCAUGGGGCCAUGCAACUCUCGCCACUGAGCCAACCUAGGCUCUGAUAUCAAGUGUCACGAUCCGCACGUUUCUCCUACUGAAACUACGCUACCGUGCGGCCCCAAGACUACUCUUAGUCAAGGUCAGCCUUCAUCAUGUCCAUUUUUUUCCAUGGACGACCAAUUUCAGUCCUUCGAGCCUCAUGCCCACGAGCCUUUUCUGGCUUUUGGCCCCGUAGGGUUGCUCAUUUCGAACUCUAUGGGGAGGAACCCACUCCCAUCAUACAUCGGUCCAUAAUCCUCAACUUAGCCCCCGAGCACCCAGCUCUACCCGCAGGGCCUUGGGAUCUUGAGCCCCGAUCCUCGUCUACUCAUAGGGAUGCACAGUCCCGGUUCUCAUGGCCUUGAGGCCUCUUGACAUGGUGAGAGCCCAAUACCAUGCCCGUCCGUAUGAUACGCAAGCUCCCGUAUCAAGUUUACGCAAGCACCCCAAUUAAGCUGGUCAGCAGCCAGCUCGGAGCCUUUAGGCUCAUCUCAUCCCACGGGACUCGGUUCUUAGGGCUCAGGCCCUUAGCAUCAUUAUCGGCUGCCCGCACGCAUGAUUGAAACCCCACAUCAUGCUAGUCCCGCAAGGGGACUUGGGUGUACUGCCCCAGCAGCAGUACGCCAGCCCGACUGGCCACACGAGUCUAGCAGGGUGCCUGCCUGCUAGCCCGCACAUCCCUCUGGCUCGAUGGCAUCCCUCUUACGCAACACCAUCACAUGAUCCUUCCGACUCGAGGAGGAAAAAUCGAGGGGCCUAGCGAUCUCUACCGCCAAACCUUAUGGCUCAACGCAAAGGCGCGAUACGAGGCCCGUCGGCCCAAAUCGUCUCCGGGUUUACCUUCCCCGAGAAAACAUCGUGCCAUGCUCGUGACCCUACGAUGCCCGCCCACCUAGACACCACGAGUGCCUAGAAGUAGCUCACUUCAGACUAGCCAGGCCCCCGCCUGCCCGCUAGCCAAAGGGGUGGUGGAGAGCUGACACCAGAUCAUCCCCCUAUAAAGAGCGUUAGAGAUUUUCCCACUAUGCUACCAGUGACCGUAAGAAUGUCUGAAACGGGGACACUUUUCUGCCCAGCCAUCCCAGGGCCUUUCUCCGGCUAACUCAGGGCCCCGUAACCUUCCUCUUGGUCACCAUUGCUCCUUGAUUCUUCUCAUUACUCCACCAACCCACUCGAAGGUACCCGCACAUGGCUUCGACCGACAGCACCCGUUUGGCUAGCUGGUUCCAGGGCACCGACGUAAUGCCUCAUACUUACCUGCUUAACUCGGGAUCUAGGACAUGGACCGUCCACACACAAUGUCCUCAACAUAUUCUCCUGCUCAGAAUGCCCGCACACUGCUUCCACUGCUGGCACCCGCCAGGCUACUUGGCUUGAGGGUAUCCGACCACUGUCUCGAAUUUCCCCGCGUAUCUCGCGACCCGGGGCUCCCAUUGCCCCCACAACAUGUUAACAUCAUGUUCCAAAGCUCGGAAUGCACGCCCACAUCUCGUAAAACCACUUUUCCGCCAGCUCGGUCUCGACCGCUGCUCGGUUCAGGGUCAGUCGUGGUAGGACCAAGGCCUGACCAUGACAUAUGGCCUGUUAAUUCAGAGACUCGUUAAGAGCCUCGCCAAGGCACGUAGUCUUGCUCUUUUCUGUAAGAGCUAGUAGAUUCAAGCAAGACAGGAAUGAGAGUCUCAUCACACUAGUCUUUACAUAGUCAUAUGAAAAUAGCCGACGGAUCUAAUUUCUCUCUCGGGCUGAACUCACUCCUUAUAACAAAAAGAGGGGCUUUAUUACCUGUAGAGAUCUGCACCCAACUUGCGAGGUAUUGUCCGCUUUGACCCGAAGGUCUCACGGUUUUGUCUCACAAAAGACGCCUCUCAAGUUUGGGAUUAAGUCUCUUCAUAUAUAUCAUUUUUUAUCCACACAUCCUUCUGAUGUGGGAUUGGAGGCGUUACAAUCUCUCCACCUUUAAUGCUUGAUGUCCCUGUCAAGCCGAGUCCAUCCACAGGACCAAGAUCACACUAGACCAUCGUGUAGCACUUAGUGACUCCCACGGCUGCACCGUGUAGCACUUAGUGACUCCCCACGACUGCGGACCGGUGACCGCUCUGAUACCAUUUGUAGAGACCCGCACCCAACCUGCGAGGUAUUAUCCGCUUUGACCCGAAGGUCUCACGAUUUUGUCCCACAAAAGGCGCCUCUCAAGUUUGAGAUUAAGUCUCUUCAUAUAUAUCAUUUUUUAUCCACACAUCCUCUUAAUGUGGGAUUGGGGACGUUACAUUACCUGUUUCAUUUCUAAGACUGUUUGGAAAUGUAAUUUGAGUAGCUAUUGCCGAGAUCCCUUUUCUUUUGCUUUUAUGAUAUACUGCUCACAGGUCAGUCCAUCUCUAGAAUAAGGGCAGAAUGAAAGACGGGGAUAGAAGUUCAGUGCUCGAUGGCCCAGGGUGAGGAUUGCCUAUCUUGACUGAAGAAGGAGUGCUCUCUUAAGUAUAGGAUAUGCCAGGUUAUAAACAAAGGCUCUUCCGUUCUCUUAGAGAUCCAGAUCGGCGAUUACAGAAGCCUUAAUUUUAUGUGAUCGACGCCCCAGUGCAGUACAACGUACUCUUGGAAAGCGUAUGGAUACACAGGAAGAUGUGUGUGCCAUCGAGCCUCGACCAGUGCAUCAUGCUAUGGCAUAACAAUUACGUUAAAGUUUUCCCCGCCUCUGAGAAUGAAGACUGACUAGGGGAUUGGCCACAGUAUAAGUAUGUACGAUCUGCCAUGUGAGAAUUGCAACAAAAAAUCUCGAGAAAACGCAAAAUGUCACGAUAGAACAAAAACUUAGGAAGGAAAUCCCAAUAGCAACUCAAAAUACGGGGAAAGCGCAAAAGAAAAAUCAAUUACUUUUUCUUAGGAUUGAAAUCGGAUAAUAGGAAGCGAGUAUAAAAAAAGACCUCUGUAUUAGGUUAGGAGAGCCAUCAUGCAAAGAGUCUUUUAUGAACGAAAAUAAGAAAUCUUCUUUCUUUCGCACAGUCACUCAAGCACAAGACACAAGCAAGAGAAAGAAGUCAAGUGAUUCAGUCUUGGGUCGAAGCUGUCCCCCUCAAUUUGAUAGCAAUCCGCGGGCGCUAACAAAGAGGCAGCAGUGUAACCAUCUCCUCACUCUAGGCGCAAAGCAGUGAAGCCCAUGAAAGAUUUGCAUAUUAAUCAAGCAAGUUAAAGUUUGUGUCCUCCCCCUACAUGUUCAAUAUUGUUUUAGCGGUUUAACUAGAUUGAUUGCUUUCCCGAUGGUUAGUGUCAGUAGCGACUGUGUGAUCAGAUAGUUUUUUUAUAUGAUGUUUAGACCAAGAUUAAAACUUUUUAAACCAAUUUGUUUUAUAAAUCUCAUCUGAUUUGAUAAGUUGUAAUUCUUUUAUUUUAUCAUCAGAGAUAAAAUAAGUUUUUCUCGUAAUAUUUUUUAGUUUAACCAUACUUUCUUCAUUGGUAGUUGUUGUACCUGUAGAAGAGGUUACUGAAAGAUUAUCUUGGUUAGAUUCAGUAUUCAGUAUAAAAAUAAAAUCCGAUUCAUCUUCAGAAGAACUAUUAUCAGUUUCUGAAAAAACUUCAUAAUAAAUUUUUUCGUCAGAUAAUUUAUCAGCAAAAUAAAUUUAAAGAAAAGCUUCAUCAAGUUUUUUGAUCAUUUUCUUCGCACUUUUUUCUUUGUUAGGACAAGCAUUUGCAUAGUGACAUUCUUGAUCACAAAGAAAACAUUUACAAUUGUUUUUAGAAGAUUUUUUCUUUUUUUUAACAACAAAUUUACCUUUUUUAGGUUUAAAAGUUAUGGGUUUCCAUUUUUUCCAAAAAUAUUUUCGUUUUUUCUUAAAACGAUGUUUCUUUGAAAAAGAUUGUUUAUUACAACCAAAUUCAAAUUCAUUUUUCAAAAUCUUUGUACAUUAUUUAUACGAAAGUUUAGAUUUUACCUGCUUUGCAGCUUUUUGUUUGAGGUAGUAUUCUGUUACCUGAUUUUGAACGUAGUGUAUUCACAUCCAAGAGUAUCAUAAAGUUUGAUACUGGGAUUUGCAACGUGAACAGUUUUGAGUUUUAACUCAAGGUAAACAGGGUAAUUUUGUGAACAUAAUUCAUCUCAUGGUGAGGGAAGUUUAAGAAAAUAUUGUUGUAACCAAAAUUUUGAAUGUUUUUCAUCUAAUUUUUUAUAUUCAAAAAGAUAUUUUUUAGAAAAAUCAUCUAAAUAUUUAAUAUCACAUAAUUUUUAUUUUGAUAAAAUAAAUUGAGCUUCUUGAGUAGGAUUCAGGGAUUCUGUAUUACCGUAAAACUCAUUUUUCAAGAUUUGGGUUAAAUCUUUCAAAAGUUAAGAUAUAUUGCCUGUAGCUAACAAAGAGGAUUUAUGUUGUUCUCCGAGGGUUGUCUUUUCUCAUUUUUUGAGAAAUUGAAAGACAUCACCUUGUCAUAUACCACAAAAGUAGUUGAGGAAUCUUUCUUUGCUCCAAGUCUCUUUUGUAACUUGUGACAACAAUAGACAUAGAUUGUGCCCAAUCAUCUAUGAUUUUUCCACAGUGUUGAAGAGGGACUUUGGUUAAGUCUAAAUAAGUACCACCUUAAGAAACCGUUCAUUUGUUUAACGAAUCGAUAACAGGGGUUUCGUUCUGAACCUGACUUGUUUGGCCAAAAUCAGAAGUUUGUAAAAUCUCAUCCUUGUUUAGGUGAGAAUAUUUUUCCUUUAAAUGAGGAAGAUGUUGUAAAUUUGGAAAAUGUCUCAGAUCAUCAAUAUCUGGGUUAGAUAUUGCUUCUGCUUUUCUCUUCCCACGCGUCUCUAUUUAAGGGGUUGGAAUUUCCUUUGGUUUUGGAUCUAUUUGAUCAUCAGAACUAUCUUCGUCAUCAGAUGUGGUUGCAUUUGAUGAAGGUGGUUCAUCCUUGACUACUGGGUUAGUAGCAAGAAUUUCAAAAUUAUCUAUUACUAUAUCAUCAUUUGCUUCUUCAUCACAGACAUUGGUUGUGUCAUAGUUAAGCAUAUAAUGAUAUUUAUAUUUAAUAAAGAGUUCUUUAUGUUCUUCAUAAAGAGUAUCUAUAGCCUGAAAAUAAUCAAUCUGUUGUUUCAAAUCAUUAGUUUUUUUCAUUUUAUCUUUAAAAUUCUCAAUAAUAUAUUUAUAAGAGUCGAAAUUAAGUUGUUAUUAUUUCUCCUUUACUAAGGUAGAAGAUGAGAGUGUGUCAUCGUUCAUCAUAAUAUUGUCAUAAUAAAGUAGUGCAAAAUCAGUUAAUGUAUUUGAGGGAACAUACUUUUAGUCUAUCUUUUUUAUAAAUAUAUCUACUUUAUCUUUAAUAUUAUCAAUAUUUACAAAUUUAUGAAAAAAAAAAUUAAAUCUAUUAAACCAUUUAUAAUUUUACUUAUGUUAAUAUUGCUAAUACUCUAAUUAACUUGUUAAAAAUACGUUAUAUUUUAUUUUUAUCAAUAUUUUUUAUGAUAUUAAAAUAAUAUUAUUUUAAAUUAACGAAAAAACUAAUUAAAACAAGAUAAUUGUUAAAUAUAAACUAAAUUAUAAUAAUAAUAAAAUAAAAGUUAAAACCUUUUAAUUCUAAAUUUAAAACUAUUCAUAGCUAGCUCUAGCUAAGAAGUAAGAGUCUAAUCGGAUUGAUAAUAAUUCCAUUAAUAGGAUGUAAUCCUCCCAGUCAUAAUAGUUCUUCCAGGCGAGUAUAAGAGUGAAAACGGGCAUAACGUGUUCACGGCCUAUGGCCCUAUUCUUUAUCUAUUGCCUUCCAAAAAAACGAGCUACAGCGGGAUUAUAGGUCAAGCCUGAAAGCGAGUGCAGUAAGCUAGCUUUACCAGCCCUAAAAGUCAUUAUUUUGACUUCCUCUGAUGAGUCCCUCUUAGCUAGUAGGUGAUAGCUUCUCAAAAGAUUAAGGGACUUUCACAUCAUAUACGAGUACACCUUACCCAGUAAAAAAGAGAAGAUAAACGCUAUCGUCAAUAACUACUUUAAGCUAAGCCUUAAAUGUAAACUCAGAAAAAAUAAGAGUCAUUUCGCCUGCCAGGGAACCUUUACUAAUGCACUUUUCAACUCAAGCUCUUUUCCUUUAUUAUUCAAUUUUGAUUCAAAAAUACUCUUUAUUAAAAACUUGCUUUAUAAUACCCCUGCUCUCUCACCAGUUGGUUAGCUUGACCUUUUUACGCCCCCCGCUGGCGCUGGAUUCACUGACUUGGAUGAUCAUUCUAAAAAGAUCUCCCACGCGUAUUGAAAUAAGGUCUCUCUCACUCAAAUCGUAAGCUCUGCUCACUUUACUAAUAUGGACGGAGAGUUCAUUUACUUGAAAAAGACUCAUUUGACUUCCUGCUUGCCUUAAAAGAGUAUAAUGGCUUUGCUUGCUCACAUGAAAAGGAAAAACAGUUACUACUAACUCACAGGAUGUAACACAGAAUCGGGAUUGGCUUACCGCUAGAGAGAAACUCAGACCUAUCAUGAAAAGAGAAAACCUCACAAGUAAAAAAAAAAAAUAUGAGAGCUGUUCCAGGUAUCCAGUUCGACCCCCGAGGUACAGAUAUCCAUCCAUGUUAGCCACCCUUUCCAUUACCGAUCUAGUCGCUCUUGCUGGCUAACCCGCCACUUUCUAAAAACUGUCAUUGGCUUCUAAAAGGCUCCAUUUUAGGUUUGCCCAUUACUAAGGGAUUGCCAUUGCCUACUGAAUUUUGCCCUAUAAGCCACUUGCCUAGUUGGCUUGAAUUGUAUUCUACCUCCAUAUGCAAUCUUUAUCUUUAUUUGAACAGCCAUUUAGAACGUACAUAAGACCAACCCAACCCUUAGAGUUUCCACGGGAUAGAAAAGAUAAAAGAUUCAAAAAGCACUCUAUUAUAAAAAGAUGUGUUCUUAGGAUUAGUGUCACGGACUAAGCUUUCUCUCAACAAGCAUUAGGUCGUGCGGUACUUAAAUGGACGUUUCUAUCCAAGUCAACCUUCAAUAGAUCGAUAUUUGAACAAAUAACCAUAAAUCAUGGUUAGUCCCAAGCAUUCACAAUAAGACACAAUAUAUCGAGGUCAAUCUCAAGCAUACACACACAACAAGACACAUCCACAUCAAGAAAGAAAGAAACGCAUCGAGCCAACGAUCGGGCAUUUAAUCGAGGUGAAUUUUAUUAUAAACGAAAAUCAUACAUCGAGAUCUUCCACCAUCACCAGGGCCAGGGGGCAGCCCUUGAUGGGUGGCCUAAGCUCGCAUAGCACCCGAUGAGACAGUCCAACACUACGUUGCCGGCUCACCCCCUUUAAAGAGCCUUAGAGAUUUUAGAGCUAUGCUACCAGUAACCGUUACAAUGUUUGAAAUGGAGACACUUUUCCUAGCACAACGGAUCUACCCGGCCAUGGCCCUAUACAUGGGUGGCUCAUGGUAACCUAAGUCCCGGUAAUGGCCCUAUACAAGGUUGGCUCAUGACAUCCUCCCCCACCUAUUCUAUCGACGUCCUCGUCGACUUGCUGGCUUGAAAUUCUUCAAUCUUCUUUUGAAAUCUCUAGAGGUCGUGUUCUCUCUCCCAGCUGGUUUCUUCUAGUCUUAAGCCCUCCCACUUCACUAAGUAUUCCCAAACUAGUCUUCGAGAUAUCUUGGUUUCCCUGUCGGCUAAGAUCUCUUCGACUCGACACUCUGAGGGUGGCUUCAUGGUGAUGGCGGCUCUGGUUGGCUCCCUUCGGCUAACAUCUAUAGGAUUUGCAUGGAAAGGCUUCAGGUUGCUUACAUGGAAUACUGGGUGCACAUUCAUCCACUUCGGUGGGUCAAUUUUGUAAGAAGCGUUCUCCAUCUUGGAAAUGACUCUUAGUGGACCUUUAUAUUUGUGCACCAGUCUGCGAUCUCUCUUUCUUAAAAACUUGGUUUGUUCAGGAACUAGUCGGACCAGAACCAAAUCACCAACUUGGAAUUGCUGAGCUCUGCGAUUCUUGUCUACCCAUUUUUUCAUCCGUUUUGAUGCCUUCUCCAGGUAGGCUUGUGCAAUCUCUGUGUUUUGUUUCCACUCCUUGCUGAGGUUGAAAGCUCUCGGAUUCUUUCCUCCAUAUUGUUUUAAGGAAGUAUGGGGUAACCUUGGUAAUUGUCUGGUGACCACCUCAAAUGGGCUCUUGUUAGUGGAAGAGCUUUUGUUGGAAUUAAAGCAAAGUUGAGCAACAUCCAACAAUGAAGGCCAGUCCUUCUAGUUGGCUUGGACAAAGUACCUCAAAUAUUCCUCCAACAAUCCAUUGAAACGUUUCGUUUGGCCAUCGGUCUGAGGAUGGUAGCUUGAAGAGAUGUUGAGUUGGGACCUCAAAAUCUUGAAAAGUUCUCUCCAGAAGGACCCCGUGAAUCUCGGAUCUCUAUCGCUAACAAUGUUUUGAGGGAGGCCCCAAUAUUUGACCACAUGUUUGAACAAUAAUCGAGCUGCGUCUUUCGCUGUACAAUACUUGUGAGCGGGAAUGAAUGUGACAUACUUGGAGAACCGAUCAAUUACCACCAAGAUAGUUUCAAUAUCACCAACCUUGGGUAGGCUCGAAAUGAAAUCGAGAGAGAUGCUUUCCCAUGGUUUGGUGGGUACCGGUAAUGGAUCAAGCAUGCCCGUAGGUUUUCUCUUUUCGACUUUGUCUUGUUAGCAAAUGAGGUAAGUCUUCGUAUAGUCCAUCACAUCUUGUCGCAUGUGAGGCCAAUAGUAUCCCUAUUUUAAUAACGCUAAAGUGCAUUGCCAGCCCGGGUGUCUCGCCCAUGGGGUGUCAUGGCAUUCCCUCAUCAGCAUCUGUCUCAAUCCUCCUGCUCUCGGUACAAACACUCGAGGCCCCUUGGUUCACAAGACCCCAUUUUUUUGCCAGAAGUAUUUGGACUUCCCUUCUUCCACUAGCUUCAAGAUGGCACAAGCUUGUGGGUCCUUCCCUAAAUGAUCUCCAAUCAACUUAUGAAUGUCUGUAGUGGCUCUACUAGUUGCCAUUGGGGCCAUUCUUCUGAGGGCCGCUAACUCUGGUCGCCUACUCAAUGCAUCCGCCACUUGAUUGGUCUUUCCAGCGGUAUGCUCAAAAUGAAAGUCAAACUCUGCUAAAAAUUCUUGCCACCUAGCUUGUUUCACCGUAAGCCUUGCUUGAGUGAGAAAAUGGCUAACGGCUGCAUUGUCCGUCUUCACGACAAAGUGUGAACCCAACAAGUAAUGUCGCCAAACCCUUAAACAAUGAACCACCGCCAGGAGCUCUUUUUCCUGGGCCGUAUAUUUUCUCUCCGCUUUGCUCAGCUUCCUACUUUCAAAUGCUAUCGGGUGAUGUUGUUGUAAAAGCACACCUCCAAUAGCAAAAUUAGAUGCAUCCGUCUGAACUUCAAAAGGCUUUUUAAUAUCGAAAAGAGCUAAGAUGGGAUCCUUCAUAAUAGCAUCUUUCAAUCUCUCAAAGGCUUCUUGGCACUCAUUGGUCCAACACCAUUUAUGCUCCUUCUUCAAUAGCUCCGUGAGGGCCAUGGUCUUGUGAGAGUACCCUUCCAUAAACCUUUUAUAAUAGUUGGUUAGUCCCAAAAAUGAACGGAGCUCAUUAACAUUCUUUGGUGUUGUCCACUCCUUGAUGGCUCUAACUUUUUUCAUGUCCAUUCUAAUGUGGCCACGUUCAACAAUAUGACUGAGAAAAUGGAUUUGAGUCUGAGUAAAUGUGCAUUUCUCCCUUUUUACAUAUAACCGAUGGUCCUGCAGCUUUUAAACACCCGACAUAGGUGUUCUUGAUGUUUUUCCAAGGUGGAGCUGUACACCACUAUAUCGUCUAAAUAAAUGACUACAAAUUUGUCAAGGUAAUCAUAAAACACCUGAUUCAUCAAUGUACAAAAUGUGGCAGGAGCAUUGGUCAGUCCAAAGGGCAUAACAAAAAAUUCAAAUGCGUCAUACCGUGUUAUACAGGUGGUCUUUGGCUCAUCUCCCUCAACGAUUCUGACCUGAUGGUAUCCAAAUCUCAGGUCCAGUUUGGAGAAGUACUUGGCCUGGCACAAUUGAUCAAACAAGUCCGCUAUAAGCGAGAUAGGAUAUUUGUUUCUUACGGUGACUUUGUUCAGGGCUCUGUAGUCAACACAUAAGUGUAAAUUCCCAUCAUGCUUUUUUUGGAAUAGCACAGGCGCUUCGAAAGGAGCCUUUGAUGGUCUGAUGAACUCGGCUUGUAGAAGCUCAUCUAACUGUUUUCUCAGCUUAGCCAACUCUGACAGGGCCAUGCGAUAAGGAGCUUUAGUAGGGGGUUUUGCUCCUGAGAAGAGCUCAAUUUCGUGGUCCACUGCUCGUCGAUGGGGUAAAACCUUGGGCAACAUCUCUGGCAUCACCCCUUUGAAUUUUUCUAACACUCUCUUCACAUCAUCGGGUAUUGGUUCUACUUCUGACCCUUCUUUGUAGAUCGACAUGGCCACAAAAAAGGGUUCCCUUCUCUUUACCCCUUUCUUGAAUUGCAAAGAUGAAAUCAUUUUCUUCCUACUCUUUGGCAAGAUAUUGGCUGGCACCACACAUGGGUGUUCCCUUAAAAACAACAAGCAGCUAGCAAUGGGGAUAAGGAUUACCUGAGCCAACGUCAUGAAGUCCAAUCCGAGAACAACAUCAAAGUCAUCCAUAGGGGAGACUGUGAAGUCUACCUUCUCUUUUUAUGGCCUCAAUUUGGUUGUCACACCCUUAGAGCUUCCACUGAUCACAAAGGCUGACGAAUUGACUGCCUUCAUUUAUCCACAGUCUUUGUUAACCUGAAGGCCACACCUUUUUGCUUCUUCUGGUGUGAUGAAAGUAUCAGUUACACCUGUGUCCAUCAUGGCCUUGGUGGCCUUCUCGUUGAUCAUUAGGUUCACAUACAUCAAGCCUCUACUUUACUCUUUCCUUAUAGUGUUCAGUUGGGUGUGAAGGGCAUUGAGAAACCUUAUUGAGCCCAUCCUGGCUGGUUCCUCUUCAAUCUCUUCAACGCUCUCCGGUGCUUUUACAGACUCUUAAGAUGAGGUUCUUAAAGCAUUAAGGGCUCCUCUGUACAGACAUUCGACCACCCGAUGUGGCCUUUUACAAAGAAAGUAAGCUAGCGGUUGCCUAGGCCUGAAAGUCACUGCAUUGUUUAUUUUAGGCUGGGUGUUAUCUCGAUCGAAAGACCUUCUAUCUGAUCCCCCACUGAAGGGACGGUCCAAUCUGGUCAUCUUUCCCUCACUUCCAAAGUUGAAGCUACUACUAGCUGAUGAAGGAUUUUUUCGUUUUAAGGAGCCAUCAUUAUAGUCUUGGAGACGUUCAGCUGCAGCCAUGGUCGUGGCCAUGUCUUGCACUUUUUGUCUUUGUAGUUCUGCUCUAGUUUGAGGCUCUCGAGAAAAUAAAACAUCUUAUCCUUCUCAGACAUGUCUCGAAUAUCCAACAUCAGGGUAAAAAAGCUCCUUACAAACUCUCGCAUUGUCUCUGUUUGCACCAAUUCUCGAAGUCUCCUUCGAGUCAUAUACUCCACAUUCUCAGGGAAAAACUGGUUUUUCAAUUUCUACUUCAGGUCCGUCCAAGUUUUGAUCGGGCACUUGUCAUUGACAAACUUGGAACGCUACCAAAGCUUGGCAUCUCCUGCGAGGUACAUCGAUGCCAUUGUUAUCUUAUCUUCCUCUGAAUCCAUGUGCACAGCCCGAAAGUAUUGCUCCAUGUCAAACAAGAAAUUUUCAAGUUCUUUGGCAUCCCUUGCCCCUUCAUAACAUCAAGGCUCUGGCAUCUUAGGCCUUCUCCCCCUAUCCGUCGAGCUCGAACUUGACCUGGCCAUAGCCAGUUGUAAGAUGCUCACCUGUGUUCUGAGCUCUUCAAACUUCUUUUGGAGAAUAUUCAAGGCAUCUCUAGCAUCUUCACUCACGUUGUAGAGAGUAUCGGAUAACUUUUACUGGGUUGUCUCGAUCUUUAGUCACCAUGUGCAUUUUCAUUGCGGCCACCGUGGCCUCAAGUUCUUCAAUUCUCUGUUGAUGAUCAGGUCCACCACUUGUGGCCAUCUCAUCCAUUUUCUAGCACUUCUCAACCGUGCUUUGAUACCACGUGUCACGGACUAAGCUUUCUCUCAACAAGCACUAGGUCGUGCGGCACUUGAAUGGAUGCUUCCACCCAAGUCAGCCUUCAAUAGAUCGAUAUCUGAACAAAUAACCAUAAACCAUGGUUAGUCCCAAGCAUUCACAAUAAGACACAAUAUAUCGAGGUCAAUCUCAAGCAUACACACACAACAAGACACAUCCACAUCGAGAAAGAAAGAAAUGCAUCGAGGCAACAAUCGGGCAUUCAAUCGAGGUGAAUUUUAUUAUAAACGAGAAUCAUACAUCGGGAUCUCUCACCAUCACCAGGGCCAGGGGGCAGCCCUUGGUUGGUGGCCUAAGCUCGCAUAGCACCUGGUGAGACAGCCCAACACUACGCUGUCGGCUCACCCCCUAAAGAGCCUUAGAGAUUUUAAAGCUAUGCUACCAGUAACCAUUACAAUGUUUGAAAUAGAGACACUUUUUCUAGCACAAGAGAUCUAUCCGGCCAUGGCCCUAUACAUGGGUGGCUCAUGGCAACCUAAGUCCCGGUAAUGGCCCUAUACAAGGUUGGCUCAUGACAACUAGCUUACACAUGCUUAAUGUCAUUAUCAGGUCUUGGUGUGUCUUGGUCCUGUCAUGACUAAUCUUAAGCUAAGCAGCGGUCGAGAUCAAACUGACAAAAAAGUGAUUAUAAGAGAUACGGACGUGCAUUUGAAGAAUUGGAAUAGGUUACUAAUAUGUUGUACCGGAAGUGGGAGCCCUAAAUCGUAAGAUAUAUGGGUAAGUUUGGGAUAAUGGUCAAGCACCCUCAAGCAAUUAGUCGGACAGGUGCCAUAAGUGGAAGCAGUGUGCGGGCAUUUUAAGCACAGGAAUAUGUUGGGGAUAUUGUGCGUGAAUAGUCUGAGUCCUAAACCCCAAGAUACGCAGGUAAGUGUGAGGUAGUGUGUCGGUGCCUUAGGACCAGCUAGCCAGUCAGGUGCUAUCGAUCGAAGCCAUGUGCGGGCACUUUCGAGUGGGUUGGUGGAGCAACGGGUAGAAUCAAGGAAUAAUGAUGACCAAGAGGAAGGUUAUGGGGCCCUGAAUUAAUCGAAGAAAGGUCCUGAGAUGCUUGGAGAGAAAAGUGUUCUCAUUUCGGACAAUCUUACGGUUAUUGGUAGGAGAUUAAAAAAAUCUCUUACGCUCUUUAUAGGGGGAUGACUGGUGUCAGCUCUUCACCACCCCUUUGGCUAGCGAGCAGGCAGGGGCCUAGCUAGUUUGAAGUGAGUUACUCUUAGGCACUAGUGGUGUCUAGGUGGGCGGGCAUCGUAGGGUCACGAGCAUGACAUGAUGUUUUCUCAGGUCAUGGUAAACCCGGGGGUAGUUGGGGUCGACGAACCUCGUAUCGUACCUUUGCGUUGAGCCAUGAGGUUACAUGGUAGAGUUCGCUAUGCCCAUCGAUUUUUUUUCAUUGAGCCAGAAGGAUCAUGAGAUGGUGUUUACGUAGGAGGGACGCCAUCGAACCUGAAGGAUGUGCGGGCUAGUAGGCAGGCACGCUGCUAGACCUUUGUGGCCAAUCGAUAGAGGUGUGCUAUAACUAAGGCAGUCCACCUAAGUCCCCCUUGCGGGACUAGCAUGAUGUUGGGUGUCAAUCAUACAUGUGGGUAGCCUACACUGUAGCUAAGAGCCUAAGCCCUAAGAACUGAGUCUCGUGGGAUGAGAUGAGCCUAGAGGCUUCGAGCUGACUGCUGACCACUUAAGUGUGGCACUUACGUAAACUUGAUACGAGAGUUUACGUACGAUACGAACGGGCAUGGUGUUGGGUUCUCACCAUGUCCAAAAGUAAUAAUAUCAUGAGAAUCGAGGCUGCAUGCCUCACGGGUAUUUGAGGGUAGGUGCUCGAGACCUUAAGCCUUGCGGGCAGAGAUGGGUGCUCGAGGCUACUUUGAGAAUUGUGAGCUGAUGAGUGAUGGGAGUUGGGUUCUUCCUUAUAGAGUUCAGAAUGAGUAACCCUACGGGGUCAAAGCCAAAGAAAAAACUCUUGUGUAUACGACUUGAAGGAUUAAAAUUGAGCCGUCCAAUGAAAAAAUAGACUUACGGAAGGCUGACCUUGACUAUGAGUAGUCUUGGUGCUGUAUGGACAUGUGGUUUCAGAGUAAAGAACAUGUGGAUCGUGACAUGUGGUAUCAGAGCUUAGGUUUAGCUCAAGUGGCAAGAUUAACAUGACCCCAUGUAUGGGCCUAAUGGUGGGAAAUUGAAGUGGUACUAAGCUCAAAAGAGCUUUCAAGAUGCGAAUGCAGUUUUGUGGCUAUGGGGGCUCGAAAAAGAGCCAAUGAUGCGUAUUGUGGGAAAUUUUAGCCUAUGUAAAAAACUCUCGAGUAGACUAUUGGAUGCCAAGCAAAAGGGCACUGAAGUCUAGCCUCACCUAGAAAAAGGUGUUGGCAUGUUUUAGGGCAUGUGAUGCCUUUACAAUGGAAGAAAUCGUGGUGAGACCAAAAUGCGAAAAGGGGCUUACACCAUGAAAUGGUGUUUUGUAAGGCCAGUGGGGUCAAGUGAGUUUUGUCCUGAAGGAUACGAGACAUACGUAUCAAGACUAAUUACUAAUGUAUGCACUUGUUAUAUGGUGUAGGUUCCCCAGCAAGGGUGCAAGCUGAAAUAUUCAAGUCCAAGAAUGGAGCCAUUACACAGAGGAGUGUGAAUUGGCUGAGGAUGAAGCCAUGAGUUGUGAUGGUUGGUGGACCAUGAGUUGCGUUGGUCGGUGGACCAUGAGUUCUCGUGAUUAGAGGAUCACGGGAGUGUGUGAGUAAGGGAAUCAAGUUUUAUGUUUGCCAAGAAGGAAGGCCUCACAUGUUGUGGUGGUUAGUGGACCACAAUAGAGUGUAAUCUAGUGGAACAAGCAAAUGGGAAUUGGCCAGUUGACAAGGCCUUCAGAAAUGUAGGUCAAUAGACCUUGAGAAUCGAGUGGGUGGUUGAAUCCCCGAGUCAAACAAGUCAGUGGAUGAGGUGAUUGGUUAGAUCAGUGGUAUAGAGUGAACUUUGAGAUGCCCUAUGAGCUAUGCUAGAGUCAAGGCAGACGAGCUGUAGAACCAUCAAGGAGACAUGGUUGCGUAUAGUGUUAAACCAAGCUUCGAGUAAAAGUGAGGGAGACGUGAUUCCCUAUGGGACUGAGUCAAGACAGAGAAGCCUGAACAGAUGGAACAUAGUGUUCGAGCUAGGAGUAGAGAUCGAGAUAGCGCGUCUUAAGGUGCCACCUCGAAGGUGGUUGGCCAGAGGGCCACACCUAGAGAGGUGACCUUAGAGGGCUAAGAGGACCCAAGUUAUGAGAUAACCGAAGUGUCUAAAUGCCACCAUGCUAGGGUCUAUCGUGUGUGGUGCCGUAUGAGUGCGGUUGGCCUAAACACCACGUCCAAAGGGGCGCAUCGAAGAGUCGAUGUAGUAGGCAUGCAGUUGGUGUGAGGGGUCACGUCCAGUGGGACGUACCAAUGAGUGGUAAAGCAGGUGGUCAUUCAUUCUACUAAAGGUCAUUAAACAAUAAGGGUGCCUCAAGGUCGCAACGGGAUGUGAUCAAAGGAAGUAGUGUUAUGGCACAUAUACAGCAACCAAGAUAGGGUGAAACAGUUCGAGUAGGAACAGAGCGGAGGUGCAUUGGUGCUGGGAUGUGACCAAUCUACAUCAACAAUGGACAAGUACUGUGGGUCAUGCCCCAUGUGACGGGACCUCGACCCAAUCCUUGAGGGCACAAGUGAGAGACAUAUGAGUAAAUGUCAACUGUGUGCAACAAGAGAGUUGAGUGUGAUCUUGGCGUCGAUGAGGGCAUCGACAUGGUAAGUGGGGGAGAGUGUCAUGGUCAGACCUUGGUGUGCCUUGGUCCUACCUUGACUGACCCUGAGCUGAGCAGCGAUCGAGAUCAAGCUAGCAAAAAAAUGGUUCUAAAAGAUGCGGGCAUGCAUUUGGAGCAUUGAAACAGGUUACUAAUAUGUUGUGCGGGCAGUGGGAGCCCUAGAUCGCAAGAUAUGUGGGUAAGUUCGAAACAGUGGUCAAGCACCCUCAAGCCAAGUAGCUCAGCGGGUGCCAUCAAUGGAAGUAAUGUGCGGGCAUUCUGAGCAUGAGAAUAUGUUAGGGAUAUUGUAAGUGGAUAGUUUGAGUCCUAAACCCCAAGAUACGCAGGUAAGUGUGAGGCAGUGUGCCGGUGCUCUAGGACUAGCUAGCCAGUCAGGUGCUAUCGGUCGAAGCCAUGUGCAGACACCUUCGAGUGGGUUGGUGGAGCAACGAGUAGAAUAAAGGAAUAAUGGUGACCAAGAGGAAGGUUAUGAGACCCUGAGUUAGCCGGAGAAAGGCCUUGAGAUGGCUAGAGAGAAAAGUAUCCCCAUUUCGGAUAAUCUUACGGUUACUGGUAAGAGACUGAAAAAAUCUCUUACGCUCUUUAUAGGGAGAUGAUUGGUAUCAGGUUCCCACCACCCCUUUGGCUAAUAGGCAGGCAGGAGCCUGGCUAGUUUGAAAUAAGCUACUCCUAGGCACUAGUGGUAUCUAAGUGAGCAGGCAUCGUAGGGUCACGAGCGUGACACAAUGUUUCCUUAGGUCAUGGUAAACUCGGGGGUGAUUAGAGCCGACAGGCCUCAUAUCGCUCCUUUGCAUUGAGCCAUGGGGUUACAUGGUAGAGUUCGUUAUGCCCCUCGAUUUCCCUUCAUUGAGCCAGAAGGAUCAUGAGAUGGUGUUUGUGUUGGAGAGACGCCAUCGAGCUUGAGGGAUGUGCGGGCUAGCAGGCAGGCAUGCUGCUAAACCUUUAUGGCCAAUCGGUAGAGGUGUAUUGUAGCUGAGGCAGUCCACCCAAGUCCCCCUUACGAGACUAGCAUGAUGUUAGGUGUCAAUCAUGCGUACGGACGACCUACACUGAAGCUAAGGGCCUAAGCCCUAAGAACUGAGUCCCGUGGGAUGAGAUGAGCCUAGAGGCUUCGAGCUGGCUGCUGACCAGCUUAAGUGUAACGCUUGCGUAAACUUGAUACGAGAGUUUGCGUACGAUAUAGGCGAGCAUGGUGUUGGGUUCUUACCAUAUCAGGAAGAAUCGAGGCUGCGUACUCCAUGGGUAUUCGAGGGUCGGUGCUCGAGACCUUAAGCCCUGCGGGCAGAGAUGGGUGCUCGAGAUUACUUUGAAAAUCAUGGGCUAAUGAAUGAUGGGAAUUAGAUUCCUCCCUAUAGAGUUCGAAAUGAGUAAUCUUACAAUAUCAAAACUAAAAAAAAGAAUCAUAUGUAUACGACUUGAAAGAUUAAAAUUGAACCGUUCAAUAGAAAAAUGGAUUCACGAAAGGUUGAUCUCGAUUAUGAGUAAUUUUGAUGCUGUAUGAAUGUGUGGUUUCAGAAUAAAGCAGGCUCGGACCACGACACUUAACGUAAGACGGACUCCUACCUCCAAAAAAAGAAAUUACCAAUUAAAGUAAAUGUAAAGGCUCGCUUGCUUAAAAAUGUUACAGCCCUUCAAUAAAAUAUUAUGUAUGUAAGAAAAAGAGUAAACAUCGUAUAUGAGUAGGAGAAGUCCGGGCUUACCUUACCAUAUAACGAUACCUACCCUAUAUAAGAUAAGCCCUGUCAAGGGAAUAAAUCAAUUCACCGGGUGACCCUACAGAGAGAAGGACUGAAACUAGAUCGCUUCUCAAUCUUUCUCGUUUGAAGGCCAGAGAUACAUAUUAAACAGGCUCGAAGAAAGAACAUCCUAUUUGACUAAAUGGGAAAAGCAUUUUAAAGAUAAAUUGACUGCUACCCUGAAGAGAACUCUUUUGGCUUGACUUCCAUAUAUUGACUCCUCGUAUGCUUCCAAGGGAACCCAUGCUCUUAACUAGGGGCAAGCAUGUUCUAAAUACUAAAUAGAAGAUAACUCAAUCCCUUUCUGAAACCAUUCCCACGGUCCAGGGGAAAAAAUUAGCCGUCCACCUGGUCAAACCCUUAAGAAGAGAACUCCAAUGACAACUCAAACCAGAAGGACUAUAACUAAAUAUUAGAUUUUGGGUUCUAAGCAAAACUACAAUAAGCAAUAAAACUCGAUCCAAAGCAGAAUGGAACUCAAAGCAAAGCGAAAGCGAAGGAAAAAGAAGCACUCGCUUUGUGGCUUACUCUUUUGACUAGAAAGAAAUGGCUAAGAGAGACCUUAAAAUGCCACUGUCUGGAAAAGGAGAUGGACGAUGAUUAGUUAAGAGGAAAAGCUUAGGAGAACACUAGAGCGGAAGCGGAGGCUAAAAGAAGAAAAGAGGGCCGAGUAGCUCGACUUCAAGGCAAGGAGAGGCACUUUCUGGCCAGUAGAGAGGAAAUUCCUCGACUUUAUCACAUCUUAUCAAUUCAAUUUAAACUAAAUAGUACUUUACUUGACUGCAGGCGCAAGCUAAUGAUAGAGGAGCUUGAAAUAAUAAUUCGUUCAUAGCUUGAAUUGAAAUUAGGACCUUAGGGUGAGAAAGGAAUAGCUGCUUUCUAGAUAUAGAUAGAGAGUCGGAUUUUUAUUGACCCAAGAUAAAACUUUUUAUUUAAUAAAGUUAAAAAAAAUGUUUUCAAAUUAACUUGCUAAAAAUCAUCCUGCCUUGCCUUUCUCUCUAUUUUAUUCCCGUAUCCAAGCCAAACUUGAACUGCAUUUGUUCCGCAUAUGAAAAAAGCCUCCCUAUCUCCAUAUGCAUGGAGUAACUUGAGUAUUUUCUCUUCUUAUCAAUUCUUUCAUAGCAUUCAAACCUUGGAAAUGUAACAAAAGUCAGAUGCAGAACACACGCAAGAAAAGAGACCAAGCAAGAGAGACAGGAAAACUAGAGUAACUUGCUCGUUAUAGCCAGCAAGAUGAUAGGCAUUCCUUUAGGAGUAGCUGGGACUUUCAAUAGAGAAGACAGUCUCAGCAGUAAAGUGCUAACACCGGUAACGUAGCUAGGGGAGUUGCAGGACUCAUUUCAAAGGCUAGAAGUCCUAAACUAGAAAGGAGAUUGCUUUGGUGUGAAGUCAGCUGUACUAGAUGCAGUUGCCCGGCAUCCAAUGCAUCACUAAUUCCAACUAGAACGGAAUGGGAUGACUGAGAAUACCAAAGGGACUCUUUCAUGUACCUGUCUGGUACGGCUUAUUCCCUUAUGGAUAGGGAAAGAGCUGAGACUGAAAAAAUGAAUUCGUGGACGAGAGGUUGGACUACAAAUGAGAGAUUGGAGAAUAGAUUCCUUUCACCGAUGCUUCGAUCAGUUCUUUACCGGGACUUGACACAAGACAGACGGGCGGUGAAAACUGGAAUUAGAUCUUGGGAAAGAUCGACUCAAAUAGAUGCUCGUCCCUUUCCGACUCACUCCAGCUGGAAUGAGUACCAUACCAAAUCCCCAUUAAGCUUGUCGAUUUAUGUGAGAAUGGCUAUACGACUUUGGUAUAUUUUUAUACAUAUGUGUUAUAGAGUAUAGUCGGGCCCUGGGCUCUUUAUCCCAUAUAUAGGGAAGAGAUCUUGCGAUAGCCCGCUUUAUGUCAUCGAGAUAUUGAAUCUCGAUUCCUCGAGGCCUUUUUAAUUCUUCUGUCCGUUGGUGGAUAUCCUGGACAUACUGGUGGCAUCGUUCGAGGUCCCGUUCCGGCCGCCUAUAGUCUUUUGACGGUUCUAGGUCUCGAAACCUAUGAGCGUCUGUCAAAAAUCUUCCCCUUUCUAAAAAGCUUACUCUGUUUCAUCCCCUUUCCACUGUCUAGUUUCGAUUUGCCUUCGCUCUUAGCUUGCCACUUUGGGCCAGGUACUACUCAAGGCAAACGUACUAGACAAGCAAAGAAAGAUAGUCAUAUAAAUGAGCUACCACGUGCAUGCUUUCCUUGAUAGGCUUCCUUCCUUAAUAUUAAUAAAUGGCACUGCGCUCUUCGAACCUAAAUUUGAACUAUAAGAGACCUCUACUCUCCAAUCUCUAUCGAAAGCAUUAGUGGUUGUACUCCACUAAUGAGCUACGCGUAGCUGCAGUACGAUCCAUUUGUCUUCCCAUCGUGUAAUGAAAGCGUGCCCCAUGGUUCUCCCAUUUUUGGCACAAGAUCCCUCGGGUAUUUUAUUUUCACUCACUUCUACUUUAAACUUGAACACUUUCUUUAAGCGAUAUUGCCACAGACUUCCAUUUCUUCUGAUUAGAAUACUUUCAUUCUCUUGAUCGAAUGGCGGGUGAAGAGCGACCCACGUCUUCCUCGUCAUACAGCACAGAAGUCUUACUUCCAACUCACAUGCAGCUUCUUAUUGACAAAUUGCAACGUGAGUUUGCCAUGACUGAUCCUAGUUUUCUCAAUCACAUCGAGAGAAUAAGCCAAGGCCCCUCUACCGGAUUACGCUUUCCAAUAGCCAGGAUUUUCAAUUAGAAAAACAAUAAUGUUUUGGCCUUGGUCCAUUGGUACGUUACUCUCCAUACUUAACAUAUGUUGCUUGCCUCUCACCAUCUCUUCGGAAUGGCACUGAAUUCGUACUCCCCAGGCUCCGCACUCAGGAGCCCCCUUAAUCGAGUAUAAUAGCGGCCGUUCACGUCAGGAAGAAAAUAAACAGGGGGGAGGGUCUCCACAAGUAGGUCUUGUCUCCGCCAGGCGGGGAAACCUAUCUGGAAUUUUCUAGGUAGGCGCUGAACUCGUUGACCAUCGACCGUCGUUCAAAACUAUUAGACCUAGUCCCAUGCGUAAGUUUGUGACAUCAAUCUUAUUCGCAUCAUAAUCCGUGAAUGAGUUUACGAAUGAAGGCAACUUCCGAGUAUAAUAUGGUAUCCAGAACAGAUGACAGACUGCCAAUCAAAGAUGGUUAUGCCUUGACUACUGACUACCGUUCUUCGUCUAGCCGUCACUGCUCACUCCAUGAGAUAAUCCUCCAUUUUUUUGUCGUCGCCCUCCUUUUUUAACCUCCUGGAAAUAACGACUAGAAAAAUUCAAGACCUAAAAAGAGAAGGUAAGAGGGAAGGGCAGUGGAUCGGUCAAGGUGGGCUAGGUCUUUGUUGACAUCGGACCACUAUAACUUUGGACAACCUUUUCAUCCCCAUUGCUGAUCACACUCUAAAGUGUGCGCUUUAGUUUGAUUCGUCCCUUACUCCACAGCUGCUAUUAUUCAGCACGGUGCAGCGUACAAAAACACCACCUAACCUAUAGUUGACCAUACUCGUUAAGGCAAACGAUGCAAUAGUUUGCUAGGAAACUGUGCGGAGCGGUCUCUCUGCAUCAGGCGCUACGAGAUUUCUGUCUGCGACCGACCGAGACUCUUUCUCAAGUCAAAAUUUUUACUUAGCUCUCUACAUUUCGUGAUCACCGUGCCGAUGGCUUCGAUCCUAUCUCUACGCUACAGCUCAUGCUUACAUAGAGAGAUAAUUAUGCUCCUAAUGUUUCGGGGGGUAUCCCGACAAUUUCAACCGGCCGGCCAUGAAGGGACGUCACGACUAUGCUUUCUGGUAAACACAUAAGGCUAUUUUUUUCAGCCAUCUGCUUUAUGCAUGAUCAAACCUUCGGAGCUCUUUUAGUCCGCCCGACACGCCUCGAUCUAUACAUGGAACACACGCAGCAAGAUACUUCCCGGUUCUAUAAUGGUUACAAUUAUCUACGUUUUCAGUGUGCCUAUGAUGUAGCACCAGGCGAAUUGUUAGUUAAUGUGUAUCAUCUUACGAGAAUAGAGUAUGGUGUAGAUCACCCAGAAUAGGUAUGCAAAUAAGUCUUUGCCAAAGGGAAGAAUCGAAACCUAGAAUCCCGUCUGUUUUUUGGAUUUUGAAAAGUGCAGAUUUUCAAGAACGAAAAUUUCUUAUGGAUUUCAUCCACGCCUGAAACCUAUCUUGAUACUUGAAAGUUGGAUCGGUUGGCCUCCCCUACGCAAGGAGAAUCUAUUGUCCUCAAUUUUUAUGAAAUAAAGGAUGCUCAUUGAAUGAAUCUUAACUUAUACGAUUUCAGAUAUUCAAUAAGAUUAUUAUGUUCUGUUUUCGAUGAAACAAAGUUACUAAACUCUCAUUCCAAUUUUUUUUCUGAAAUAAAAAAGGGCUUCAUAUAUAUUCCUAAAUCUGGAAGAUAACAUAUCUAUUUGGGACGAGCAGAGCCGAUAGAAUGAAUCGAAAGAGUUCCAAGCUUACCUGAUUGAUAGGCCUUUGUGCCGCGCACAUCACUUAGAUGGGCCCCGGAAAACAACGUAGGAAAGAGCGAAAUUUGUGUGAAAAUAGGAAAUUAAGAAAUUCAAAGGCUAAUCUUUCAUUAGAUUUGUAUUGGAUCUGAAAUGAAUCCUGUCUAUUCCUAUCCUAAAACCCCUCAACGACUAGACUUCUGGGUCUUUCAGUCAACUCAAUUGGGAUAUGUACGGAGUAUGCUAAUUAUUUUUGAGCGAGAGGAGCAUUGUUUUAAGGGAGGGAAAGCGUGGUUUUAUAUUAGACAGAAGUGGCUGAACCGCUGUCUCCUUCUCAUGUACAAAUCUGCCCGUAGCAUAGACUUGAUCGAUCACCACAUUUCUAUCCUCCUUUGCAAUCAUAAAACUUUGAGGGCUUACUUUGUAGGGCUUUUCAAGGAGAGAGCACAACCUUGCCCGGUCUUCACACUCGUCAAUUUCUUAAUGAAUGAAUCGUAUGGAUUGGAUUGAUACGUCUGCCUUACCAAUUCGGCGGAUGCUCGGAUUUUUUCAUUCGAAUAGAAAAAGGCCCUCGAUUCCCUUAUGUAUGUAGGGCGAAGGUGCUGUAAUGGACGCUGGUGGUUGGUACAAUAGUAUAGUAGAACGCGCCUCUUUUGCCGGAUCCCACACACCACUUAGAUUGCAGUACAGCCUGCUUCUCACAUUUCUCUUGAUCAGCUACUUAUUUUAUUCCCCUCAUCCCAUUAAGAAAGAACUAUCCGUUGAUAUCUUAGCCUAAAGGCCUAUAUUUAGAUCAAGACAACGAUUUUACUAAUACCAAAAAAAUAAGGGCUCACUUGCAGCUACUCAAAAAAAGAUAUGCUCGAAUGCUUUUGAGUUUUUCAUUUCUAUACCGAGUUGUAUGCAUGUGAAAAGGAUGAACAACCUAAUAAAUAGCAAUAGUUUAUUACGUGAAUAGAGGGGCACCACACACAUUAGUGGCCAAAAGGGGAAGAAGCACACUUCUCUCUUUAUUUUACCCAUAAGCAAAGGCAUGUGCUUCUCAUUGUCCAGGCUUAUGACUCACCUCAUGCUCCCCGACUCUAAGGGAGAGAAUGAAUGCACUACUUCUCAGUGCACUUGCAGGGGUUGCUCAUGCACUCCUUACAAACGGAUACUAUUUAGUGCAAGACAUAGCUUGCCCUUCUCUCGUCGGAUUGGGAGUGGCAUGCGAGUGCUAAGCCAACAAAAUUAGAUUCCAGGAACCUUUCUUUGUGACCUUUAGAAAAACCCCUCCCCCUUACUAGAUCAAAUAGGGCUUAUUACUUAAUAACCGAGAGAUAAAUGCAACUACGGGAUAAAAGCUGGGUAGGGUAGAGCCUUUUUUUAGUACCCGAAACCCAAAAACUCUUUUCCAGAGAUUGAAAUAAAUGCAUGAGCUAUGGGCCGCAUCCAUCGACUUUUAUACAAAUUGAAAUUCGGAAGUUAAGAAAGCAUUAUUCAAGGUUUUUUAACUGUAUAGCAGAUUGACCCGGCUUACCAUUAUAUUAAAAAAUAAAUGAAACUGAAGUUCUACCCCGCCUUCUCUAAUAAAGCCUUAACCUUCGGUGAAUAGUAAUGAGUCUUCACCGGUUCGGUGGCAUCUUUGUAAGGAUCUUCCUUAUGAAUCUGGUCUUAUCUCCAGAGGGCCUGCUCAGUCGACUGGUAGAACAAGGUCCCACUCCUUCUGGCCAACUAGGAUGGGACAAACAACGUCUUCAGGUCUUGCACAACCGAUACCUCUACCUCCAUUUUUUGCCGUGGAUUUUUUUAGCCCAUCAGGAGUGCGCAUCGUCUGGACGGGGAAUAAUUCAAUUUCUAGAAGUUCCCUCUCGUAUGUCACCUUAGGGCCUUUGGACGACUAAGUCAGCUCGGCUUCUCCUUCUGAAUCAGAUUCACUUUCGACGUAGAGCACACUUGACCCUGCGUCACUUGAUGUAUCAUCGAGGCAUAAAAACCUCUUCUGAUUCUGCGUUGCUUGCUGCAUCGAGAAUAGCUUCCCCUUCUGAACCUUCGUCAUUCUUUGAAGAGGGAAUUGCUGAUGAUUCCGGCCGGCUCUGUAGUUUCGAGGCUGGCUUAGAUCUUUCUGCCGUUUUGGGGAACAUCUUGGCCUUAACUUCUGCUUUGGUUGGUUCCCUUUGAGGGGUCACAGGGGCAGAAGGCUGACCGACGAACCAGGGUCUAACAGGAUGCGAUUGACCUUGUGAUUGUAAAUCUCCUCAAUCAGGGACGAUUGUGCUCAGUUGUUUUCACCAUGAGGUCGUCGUUAGUGAAGGUGACAGCAGCCGAAUACUGGGAAUACAAGGCUCCUUCAUGUUCACCUCAGCGAAGUGGCUUUGAUAUUUGUCAGAAUCCAGCAGAGCAGCGCCUGGACAAAGGCAGUCCUGAUAUCGGAUGACAGCAUCAGGGCAUCAUACACGCUGAGGAGGGCUUGAAUCUUCUUCAGGUUUUAUUUUAGAGGUUAGAGCAGCAGCAUGUACACUUUUGAGAUAGCAUUUGGUCUUAGGAUUGGUAUUGACCAAGUGAUCAACCAAGUGAUCAGGGCUCAAGAGUGCAACGUGCUAGACCUAAGACUUCAACAGGAGUGAUUUUUUAUAAUUUUUAAGAAUUAGAAAAGGUAUUUUUUUUUUAUAAAAAACGCCUUUAAUAAGUUGGUUGGAUAAUUUUAAAGGCUUAUAAUUAAAGAUAUCUUUUUUGUAAAAAAAUACCUUCAAUAAUCUUUAAUAAAAUUUUCAGGUGAUUAUUGAAGGCGUUGUUCCAUAAAAAUGCCUUUAAUAAUUAAUUUUAUAUUCAUUUCCUUGCCUUGAACAUAAGAAUUUGCAGAGGGCUGGUACACAGAACGAUUAAAAGCUACGUUAUUCAACCAAACAAACCAAACCCUUAAACACAUUUUUAGCAGACCAUUGGUUUCUUUCUCCCAUUCGUCACCAUCGACCUUAAACAAAUCACCAUUGCGAACCUCUAUUUUAACCGGUAAUUUUUUUUUUUUUAGUUUACUAUAUUAUUUACAAUAUUCAAUAGAGAAUUUUUGUUUUUUGGUUCCUUAAUAUUGACAUAUGCGUUUAUAUAUUUUCAUUAACAUCAUCGUCAGCAUAGUCAUCCAAAAUUCUAUUCAUAUUGCAAGUAUGCUAUUUUUAUGUAGUACACAUUAAAUAUUGUGGUUUGCUGAACCUUGUUGACUGAUAUUAUAUUGUCGAAUGAUAUUGUAUGAUAUUGGGGGUCUGAAUCAUAUUUCAUGUUGAAUGGUUUGCUGAAUCUUGAUAUUUGAUAUUGUUUUGCUCAAUGGGUCUGAAUGAAAUUGAGAGGCUGAAUAGUAUGCUGAAUGGUAUUUCUAAGAGGUUUGCUGAAGGGUGUGUAUUAGCAUAUUGUUGAAUGGUGUGCUAAAUGUUAUUUCUGUACAUAGUAUGGUAUUGGUUAUAUUAAAUUAAGUACAAUGAUCAAUUUAGAGGCUUAUAUUAUGUAAUUCGUAUAAUUAUGAUCAAUAUUGUAGGUAUUAUGGACUCCGAACAACAUCAUUCUCCUUUUAAUGAACAUGUAGAAGAAAGAAGUGUAGGCCAAAAAAGAAAAGGAAGGGGCCCAAAUAAACAAAUCAAAAUGACUGACACAAAAAUUCAUUUUGACUUUAAUCAAAGUGGGUAGCUUGUGUCAGAAGGAGCUGCUAAGAUGGCUAUUCAUAUUAAAGCCAUCGUCCAUCGAAGGAUUUCAAUUACGUACAUCGAUUGGCGACGAGUUCCUGAUGAUCUAAAGGAUGAGAUAUGACAGUCCGUUGUGGUAUGUUUAUUCAACAUUUUGUAAAAUUUGUUAAAUUAUCAUUUAAUUGAAAUUCAAUGUGUUGAUACUAAUUGUGUUAACUUAUUUAAGAACAGUUCAACGUCCCCAUUAAGUGUAAAGAGAUUGUGUUGUAAUAUGCUGAAAAAGCUUUCAGAGACUUUAAAAGCAGAUUGACAACCAAAUAUAUUUUAUUAUUGGCUGGUGAAGGUGAUGUUUUGGCUGUUCCACCUGCAACAUAUGCAAAUGUCAUAAGUGUUGAAAAUUGGAUAAAAUUUUGUUUAAUAUCGACUUUCAGAAGAUUUCUCGGUAUGCAAACCCAUUACCAAAAUAGUCCAAAUUUAUAAGUCUUUAUUCAAUAUAACCUUUAAUCUUCAUAUGUGAUUGACGUAAUUUCUUGAUUUUAUAGAAAAUUAAAGAAGAACAUCGAAACAUUCGGGCCAAACAACAGUAUCACCAUCAAACAGCAAAAAAAAGAUAUGCAAAUAUAAAGUAUGAGCUUGUAUGCAUUCACACAUUUGUUUUAUACUCAUUAAUGAAUAUUUAUGAAUAUUCAUUUCAUACAUUUGAUUCUUUUAUUACGAUAAUUUAAUAGAAAUCAGUAAGCUCAAACACAAAAGUUUCCAGAUGGGAUGUCUGGAAACAAGGACAUAAAUGGAAGGAUGAAUCCUUUGCAGAUGAAGCAACUGAGAAAAUGGUAAAAAAGAUUAUAUGUAUAAUUAUUUUUUUGAUAUAAUGUAUGAUUGACAUUGUGGUUGUAUAAAUGAGUGUAUACUAGCUUGUGUAGAUUUGUUCUAACAGCCCAACUUAUUAUUGUCUUUUAGGAUGAUUAUGCUGCCAAAGUAAAAUCUAGCGAACUAACAACCUAGUAUGGUGAAGAUUCUUUAUCUUUAGCAUUAGGAACUAAAGAAAGGCCUGGUCGGGUUCGUGGGAUUGGUAAAUUUGUCUUGUCAUCAACGUAUUUUGGUAAACAACCAAAAACCCCAUGAAUGAGAAAUACACAAUAUGAAGCACUAAUUGAGCAACAACAAUAAUAAAUUAAUGACCAGAAGCAACACCUUAAUGAUCAACAGCAAAGACUCGCUGCUUUGGAGUUUAUGUUGUAGCAAUGCAACAGGUUAUGCCAAUAGCUCGGCCUGAUAGCAUCGUCCCCGUACGAAAAGCUUCCGUUGCUAGUAAGGAAGUGAUCCCAUCAUCUGCUACCACCAAAGAAGUAUGAUAUUAUUUAUAAUUUGAAUAUUAAUUUGUUUAUUAUAUUGAUAGAUUUGAUUUUAAUACUUAUAUUUCAUUAAAUAUUGUAGGAUGAUGUUCAGACUCAAAGUAUGACCCUUGCCCAGGCUUCCAUGGAUAAGUUAACAAAAUAUUCACUAGAGCAUUUAUCUGAUGAAAACUUCAUAUCCAUUGAGUCUGAGGAAGACUUAUUUGAUAAAUAAUCAUUUUCUUUCAUUAGUGUGGAAGAGGUGAAAGAAUUUUGUGAAAUGGAUGAAUUAUCAGCUGCUGAAAUCGUUACUUAUAUGAGGUUAGCUUAUAAAUACAAAUAUGCACAUUCAAUAUGUAGUAAGUUAGUAUUAGGGUGUAAUACUAACCAGCAGUGUUGAUUGUUAUCGUGUAGCUUCCUAUAUAGAGAGCUGAAGGGGAGACAGUUGACGAAUAAAUUUAGAUUCAUUGACCCCAACUUCAUUAGUGAGCAGAGUGGCACAGUCGUGUAUCAUGCUAAUCAUGUGAUCCUAUGCAUGAAAAUACCAACUGAUUAUUAUUUGCUCUCGUAUAAUGCGCAGUAAGCUAUAUUCCAACUUUAAUUACUCCAACCUACUCCAUUCUAUGAUCUGAUGUGUAUUCUGAGUAUAUCAUUAUUAUUAUUUUGCAAUCGUCAUUGGGUGCUUAUUGUGAUUGAAACCAAAUCCUUAACGUCAUACCUUCUUAAUUCAGUUAAUCCAAUGGUGAUGCCUAACCCCGAUAUUCAAACUUUUAUAAAAAGGUAUUACAGUACUUUAUUAUAUUAUAUAUGUUUUGUUUCUUCAUAAGUAAUUUUAUUUAUGUUCCCACUAAUUUUUUUUCUUUUCAAUUUAGGGUAAUAUAUGCACUUAAUAAAAAGAUAAAGAAACCGAAAUGGGUGUCAUUACCGGUAAAUAUGAAAUAUAUUCUCUUAAUGUUGAGUUUGUGUAGAUAAAUAUUUUCUAAACCGACUCAAUUUAAUUUUUAGGUACCUCAUCAAUCCGAUAAUACUAAAUGUGGAUAUUAUGUCCUUCAUUUUAUGCGAGAGAUAGUAUUACAUGAUUUUAUGACCACACCAUAAAGGUUAGUAUAAAUUUCAUAAACUCGUUAUAUAUUCAAAAAAAUAAAAUGGUACAUAAUGUUCUCAUUUCUUAACAUUUACUUUGAUAUAUUUUUUUAGUGGAAAGGUAAAGAAAGCUUUACGGAAGAGGAGCUAGAUGAAGUCCGUAAAGAAUGGAUGAUUAUGUAUUGUCAUUUAUCAAUGUUGAUAAACCUUUAGGUUAGAUAUUGUUGGUUGAAUGUAAAUAUAUAUGAAACAAAUUGUUAUAAUAUUUUUAACAUGCCAUGUUGAAUGGAAACUUUAAGUUUGUACAUUGGGGGUAUUGGUUUAAUAUUAUUGUUAUACUUAAUAUGAAUACACUAUGUGUACUUAAUAAAUUACUAAGUACGAUUAUUUCAUAAAAGUAUAUUAAUAUGACAACGUUAUCAGUUUUAAUUUUGGAUGUGUGGUUAAUUUAUUGAAAUACAACAAUAUUCAUUAUGUAAAUUCCAAAAUGUAAUUCAUAAUAUUUGAUAUAUAAACCAAAUGUUUUCUGGGCAUAAAUAUACAACUAACAGCAAACAUUUUUUUGGGCAUAAACCUACAACUGACUUCACAUAUAAAAUAUUAAAUAUGUUUUUUUGAUGCGAUUAAUGAAGGCUUUUUUAGUAAGAAAACGCCUUCAAUCACCCAUAAUAGAAAACAUUGAAGGCAUUUUUUUUAUCAAAAUCACUUUCAAUAAUCCCCCCAGGAAAUUAUUGUGUGGAAUAUUAAAGGCAUUUUUGACAAAAAAUACCUUCAAUAAUACCAACUAAAAAUUAAUCGAAUGAAUUAUGAAGGGCGUUUUCCUAUGGGUAAUGCCUUCAAUAAUCUCUAACAAAAUGUUUAUGAAGGCAUUUUUGGAUAUAGCCGCCUUCAAUAAUCAGACCAUUAAAAUUUAUCGUUGGGAAUAUUAAAGGCGUUUUGAGCCAAAAACGCCUUCAAGCAUCCCAUCCAAGUUUUGUCUAUGAAAUAUUGAAGCCAUUUUUUACAAAAUUGCCUUUAAAAAUCACUAAAAAAAUUUACUAAUUAGAUUAUAGAAGGUGAGUUCGGCGAGUUCGGCCAAAAAUGCCUUCAAGAAUCGACUCCAUAUUUUUCCUAUGUAUUAUUAAAGGCGUUUCUCCAUAAAAAACGCCUUCAAUAUUCUAAAAUUUUUUUAAAGCAAUUGGUGAAGGCGUUUUUGCCAAGAAAAUGCCUAGAAUAAUCAAUAACAAAUAAUCUGUGCAAAAAACCCAAAAAAGGCUAAAGGAUGGAUCAAACCAACAAUUUUAUGAUAAACAUUCGUACGAUCCAAACAAUUUGAUAAGCUUAAUAUUGAAUGUAUUUUUGAACAAAAUAAAUUCAAUAAGCCUAUGAAAUUUUUUUGUCUAAAUAUUAAAGGCGUUUCUUGUAGACAGUGCUUUUAUUAAUCUCAUAUAAUUUUUUAUGACGUGAUUAUUGAAAGCUUUGUUUGCCAAAAAUACACCUUAACUAUUCACUGAAAUUUUUAAUAAAAAAUAUUCAAGGCAUUUUAGUCAAGAAACGCCUCUAAUAUCAAGUCUUGGGUGACGUUCAUAAGUAACAACGACGCUAUUUGAAUAUUUAAUGAUGUUUGGUAAUAAAUGCCUUAAGUUUUAUAAAAAUACGGAAGUUAGUGGCAUUUAUAAGUGAAAGCCGCUACAAAACUGCCACUAAUAUGCCAUUUUGCUGUAGUGUAUGAAUUUUUCAUACCUUGCACGCUGAACCUGCUAUGCUAACUCCGUUAAGAGAAAACGAAAGCUACAAAGAUCCUUAACAGCCCCGUCAUUGAGAUAACAUAUCUUCAAUAGGUCUAUGGCUUCUUUCAUAUUCACGUGUGCAAGAAGACCUAAUUUCUCUAAACUCGCAUGAUUUUUCUUUAUGAAUUCCAAUACAUUAUUAUUUAUCAACAAUCCUUGUGACUGAAGUCUAUUCAAGAUUUGGCACAUUUCCUUGUACAUAGGAUCAUGUAAGUGAAUAUUGAAAUUGUGUAUGUCACGGGAUGAUAUAACUCUAAAGGAAGAUUGAACUUUAAACUGAUUAUAUAAAUCAUUGGAAGGAUUGAAAAAGUAACCUCCUCUAAUAUCCGAAAACAUUCUUGGCAUCAAACAUUUAGAUUUCCAAUCUAACGGCUUGCAAACCAUAGGAAGAUUCAGUUUAACUGGGAGAAGGCAACAGUUAAAAUUACAUAUUACGAAUGAGUUUAAUGGGUAAUAUCCUUUUCCUUUUCUUUUCACAAUUGGUUUUAUCUCCUCUGUUGUGCAGGUAUCAAUUACGAAACAAUUUCUUUCUAGCAUGAACUCAAGCAAUUUGGUUCCUAUUUCAUAUUGUUGAACACGACUUUUCUUACUACUUUUCGCUUGACUACUAUCACUUACCGCUUGACUACUAUCACUUUCAGACAAAUUGUUGAUAAUCACUGAUUGUAUUCGAAACUGUUUUAUCUAGCCUGUCCAACAAUGUGGAUACCCUUACAACCGAGGAUUCUUGAAGACUGUUGUACAACAAUCCUAGCACAUAUAUGAUGAUAGCCUCCAGCGUAUAAUGACCUAAAUGACUAAUAUAACGAUUAUAAACAUCUGUUGAUAGGCAACUCUUUAAAUGAUCUUUAGCUGUGAUCUGAGCAUUAUCUAUCAAUAAGUUUAAUAACUGAGGAGUGCUUUUAAAGAUUCUAUUUUCAUCGAAGUUCAUAGUUAGUUCUUCAAUCAUGUUCUGUAAAUCCUUUAACUCACUAGAGGAGAACUCUAUAAAACCAUCAUUAUUAAUGGAUUGAUUCUUCUUAGAUUCAUUCAAUAACAUUAUAACACGAUCCUGAUAGCUAUAACAAUCUGAAUUCAAUUUACAUGAAACUUUUAUCUCCCUGUAGAAAUGAAGCCAAAAUUCAUUAAUGAUACGUUCUUUAUCGGUUGAAUAAGCUCUUCUGACAUUGAUAUCAUCUCUCCUCUCUUGGCUUUGUCUCAUUGUCUAUCUUGUAAUCGUUCAAUUCCGUGCUUCAAUUGAAGCAAGCUCCGUCCUCCGAAUCUUUUCUCUUCUCCCCUGUGAGUCAAGAAGGAAAGAUAGAUUGUCUUCGGACUUAUCUGAAAGACUGUAGUUCGAACUCGGAUUCGUUUCUUUUUUAAUCUAUUCUUUUUCGAAUUAUAUCAAGAUUGAAGUUCGAAAGAACUCUUUAUCGUUCAUAGUCUCUUCUCUUUCUUGUCUUACGAUAUUCUUAUUCAACUUUCAUACUUUAAUCGAUUCACUAAGCCAGAUCGCUAUUCCUGACUUGAGAGUCCUAUUUUCUUUCACAUUUUCUUAUAAGUAAGGAAGCAAUCAAAGGGAAGCGCGUUACUAGGAGAUAAAGAUCGCAUUCCCAACAUAGGAAAAUCUUACCCGCCUAUCGACCCUUACAAGAGAGCUUCGCCUUUCCUGAUCCUGAUAUUGGGGAGUUUCCAGUAGAGCAGAAAGGCUUAGCUCAAAGACUUGAAAGAGCUUGUUAGAGGAAAUUGAUCAAAGUCAAGGGUCGACCAUGGGGGGGAGAGUGAUACAGAGAAGGCUACUGCUACUGCGACAGAUGGUUGACUAAUGCUCCUACCGUUACAGAUAGAAAUUUGGGUGAUUGCCUGCCCAUGCUAGAACCAUGCUACCUUCCUUUACCUUCCUAUAAGCUGGCUAACUAAGGCCUACGGACCGAUUACCGGUAUACGAAUAUUGUUGGGCAGGAGACAGAAGGCAGAAGACCUCUGGUCGGGAAGGGAACUAAGCAAGAGAGAGUUGACCGUUGACAGGGCAAGACAAGACUGGCAGCUCUAGAUGGAAUAAAAGUCGGGAACCUUAUUCGUGGACAGACCAAGCAAGGGAUACUUCAAUCGAUUGCAGAUGCGAGAGUUGCAAGAGAUUCCAGGAGGACAGGAAGAGAGUAAUGAAUUGGUAGACUCUGACUUUCGUGAAGACAGAUCUGUUGGUCAAGUGAAAUGUUUUUUCUUUCAUAGUUAGAAGUAUCUUAGAAACUAGUGCUCCACCUAAAGGCCUAGGCCUAGGGGUGGUAGUAGCUAACAGAAGUAUGCCUUCGGGCCCCUCUCUGUCUUGGUAAGAUAAGAAAAGACCGAUAACUGAAAUCGAUUCAUGAUGGCGACUCCUUCCUACUUCUUGUGCCUUAACUCUCGCUUAAGGAUAUGCAUGAAUAAAGGCGUGUUGUCUUUCCUUUUUGCUCUUGCACCUCCCCUUUAGCACAAGUACUAAGUAAGCAAGCUACCUCCUGCUGCACCAUUCCUGUUUGCUUUCUUGCUUCCAGAUUCACAAAAAAAAAAAAAAAAAAUCUUUCCAAUAAGGAAAGCGAUCUUGGACAGAGGACUUGAAUCCGUACCGUAUAGUAAAAAAAAGACAAGAAAGCACAUAACUGACCAUCUUUAAAGAUGAAGGCAUCGGUCUUUUCUGACGAGAAUGGGUUGUGAAUAGCAUAGCAUGGAUGAACCUAUCUUCAGGAAUGAAAGCUAUGUAGUACGAAUCACAUUCGAUUGGUAGAUUCCUCUGCCCUGAAUGAGGUUUUUUCCUUCCGGCUGAGAGGAAAAGUGCUCUUCACUUCAAGCCGCUUUCAAAAGAAACAGAGGUUCAUGAGCGUGAGGGCAUCGUGAGAGGAGUCAUAGGUAGACCUGAUUGAGAGUCUUGAACCCUGAUUUCUUCAUAAGAUAAAGGACCAAGAGAGUCUUUUCAGAUAUGGGAUUUGUCACGCUUUCUAGUAUGCAUUACCUGAAAGGAACUUGGUCUAACUGGGACAAUCUACCUUUGGGUGUGGAUCCGUAGAUUAACCAUUUCACCUUCGAGUUGCUCUCCAGACUCAAUGAGGUCUAUCAGAUGGGAUUGAAUCUCACUGAUAGUAGAAUUGAGGAGAGAAAGAGAAGUAGAACUCAAAGCAACAGAACUCGUCAACACGGACCUGAAAACGACAGAGUCUCAAGGUGUUCAGUCCAGGGGGGAGAGAAACUUGAACCCGGUAGAACUUCUCAUUCGCUAGUUCCCUCGUAGCUUCCUUCUCUUCAUUCUCCGGUCUUCAAGCCAAAGAAGCUUCACCGGGAGGUACUCGUAAUAGAGAUGCAUAGUAUUAAGAAGAUCAGAUCAUAGUCUAGGAUAAAGUAAAGACAAAGACUAAGUAAUAAAAAAAAAUACAAUAAAAAAAAGAGUGUCAACAAUAGGUAUUGUAUUUUGAUUUGUCCCCUUUGUCCCCUCGGAUCGGAGCGCACCAUGGGAUGCUUUGUGAACAGCCCCCUCUGCAGGUCCCGCUGCUGUUAUAUGAGCUACCCCUCUGUUCAAUACCGAUACCUGUCAGAUUCCAUAGCUGAAGAAUCUCUUGGGGAGGCCUUAUCCCCGAGAUUUGGGGGAGUCUUUGAGUCGGCGCUUCCAUAACAUAAAGCAGAGUAGAUAGCACACAUAAUGGUUUGCCAGGAGCAAAGCUCAGAGCUCAGCUAACGGAGUCAGGUCCGGCCCUUGACUUGAUAAUACUUAUUCACAUUGUCUUGCUGAUUGACUGAAGCGGGAAGAACUCCCUGAUGACCGACCAAGGGACUUAGCCGAACCGGGUCCUAUCCUUGUUGUUCGUCAACCUUGCCUUCUCAAUGUUCGGAUGAACAUGCAUUCUUUUCGAUCUUCUACUCAGAUAGACUUCACACUAAGCCAAUUUGUUUGAUUUUCACGAAUAAAGAAGGGGAUAAAGAACGACAUCUGUAAACUCGGAUAGAGCCUUGUGGCAUAGAACGCGGCUACUUUCUUUUCUUAUGAAAUUGAUAGUUGGAGGCAAAUGUGAAUGACUUUUUGUUUUUCGUAAAACAAUUGUUAUUAAUAAUUUGUAUAUUUAAAUAAUUAUUAAUAAUUUUUUAUUGAAAUAAUUAUUAAUAUUAAAUAAACUAAUUUAUUAUAUAUAAUUCAAAUUCUUAAUUGAAUUAUAAUUAAUAAUAUAUCUGUUAAAAAUAUAUUAUUAAUAUAUUUAAUAUUUUCUAUUAUAUAAGCAAAUUAUAAAUUAUAUAAGCAAUUAUAAUUUAUCUAGUAAUUAAAUUUUUAAUUAUAUAAGUAAAUAGUAAUGUAUAUUAAUAUAUAACAAUAAUAAAUAAAUUAUUAAUGUAUAAUAAUUUCAUUACUAAUAUUUAUUUAAAUUUAAUAAAUAAAUAACAAUUAUUAUUAAUUAAAUAGUCAUAUUUAAUUAAUAAUAUAAUUAAUAAUUGUUACUAUUUUAUAUAAAUUAUAAUUAGUUAUAAUAUUAUAAUACAUAUAAUAUAAUAGUAUAUAAUUAAGUAAUAUUAAUAAUAAUUAAUUAUAAGUACUAUAAUAAUUAGUAAAAAUCUUAAAUUGUUAUAUAUCAUUAUUGUUAAACUAAUUAUAUUAAUUAAACUAUUUAUAUAAUACAUUAUUUUAUAAUUAACAACUAUACUUAUUAAUUGUAUAACGAUUAAUAUAAUUAAUUUAAUAAACAAUUAGUUUUAAAUCUAAUCAUAUAAAAUAAUAUUAUAUUAUUAAACAAAAUUCAAAUUUAUUAACAAAUUAUUAAUUUAGUACGAUUUGAAAUAAAUAAAUGUUCAAAUUGUUAUAACUAAUUGAACUAGUAUGGUAAAUAGAUUUAUUUAUUAAAUCUCUUAUUAAUUUUUGAAAUAUUAAUAAAUUAAUAUUAUUUUAUUUCGAACAAACUUAUAUGAACAAAAACAUUUUUUUUACGACAAAACAAAAUGUCAUAACAAUUUGAAAUAGAUAAUUAUUCAUAUAACCUUAACUAUUUGAAUUGGUUCAGUAAACAAAUUUAUUUUUUAAAUCUAUCAGUUAUUAAAUUUCAUAAUAUUACUAGAUUAGUAUUAUUUUAUUUCAAAUAAGCUUGAAUGAAGAUAAAUAAUUGUAUUAUGACAAAACAAAAGAUCAAUUGGAAAUAUAUAAUUGUUCAAAUAGUCAUAACUAUUUGAACUGAUUCAAUAAACAGAUUUAUUUUUUAAAUCUUCUACUUAUUAAUUUUUCAAAUAUUAAUAAAUUAGUAUUAUUUUAUUAUGAAUAUUCUUGUAUGAUGAAAAACAAUUGUUUUACAACAAAACAAAAGUUCAUAAUGAUUUGAAAUAGAUAAUUAUUUAAAUGGAAUUAUUAUCUUAUAUAUACUUAAUUAAUCUAAUAAAUUAAUAGUGAAUAAUUUAUUAUAUAAAUUUAUAAAUCUCUUACUUGUUUAGUAUUAAUUAUAAGUAAGUUUUGAAUAUAUUGAAGAUAUAUUCAUUAUAUAAACAUAUUUAUUAUUAAUAUGACUAAAUAAAGGAAUUAUUAAUAAUUUAUUAAAUAAAUUUAUGAAAAAACAAAUAUUAUUAAUUUAUUAUAUUUAAUAUAAAAAAUAUAUUAUUUAUUCAAAUAAUAUAUUUAAUUAUUAUUAUAUAUAAUAAUUAUAAUCAUUAAUUUUAUUAAUUAUAAGUAAUACUAUUUUAUAAUAAUAUUAUUUGAAUGAUAUCUUAUACAUUAUAUUUAAUAAUAUAAAUAGUUAAUAAUUAAUUAUAUUAAUAAUAAUAAUUAUCUAUUUUAAUUAUCAAUAAUUUAUCAUAAAAGAUCAAAUAUACAUUUUAAAAUAUUUAUGAUUAUUUUUAAUAAUUAUUUAACAAAAUUCAUAAAUUAUAUUAUUAUUUCAUAGCUUAUUUAUUAAUAAAUAUCAAUAAUUAAAUAAUAAAAAUUAAAUAUUUUAAUUUAAAAUUUUUAAUUUUUAAUUUUUAACAUUCAAAAAAUUAAUAAACAAAAGUUAUGAAAAAAUAAAUCUGUUUACCAAUCAAAUUCAAAUAGUUAUGAUUAUUUGAACAAUUAUUUAUUUAAAAUCAUUAUUACCUUUUGUUUUGCCAAAAAACAAUUGUUUUAGUUCAUAAAAGCUUAUCGAAAAUAAAAUAAUACUAAUUUCUUAAUAUUUCAAAAAUUAAUAAGCAAGAGUUUAAAAAAAUUAAUUUGUUUACUGAACAAAUUCAAAUAGUUAUAACGAUUUGAACAAUUAUCUAUUUAAAAUCAUUAUGACCUUUUGUUUUGUCAUAAAACUAUUGUUUCAGUUCAUAUAAACUUAUUCGAAAUAAAAUAAUAGUAAUUUAUUAAUAUGUCAAAAACUAAUAAGUGAUUUAAAAAAUGAUUAUGUUUGCCAAAUUAGUUCAAAUAAUUAUGGUUUUUUCAACAAUUAUCUAUUUGAAAUCAAUAUUACCUUUUGUUUGGUCAUAUAACAAUUGUUUUUUAUCAUACAAGCUUCAGAAUAAAAUAAUACUAAUUUAUUAAUAUUUCAAAAGUUAAUAAGUAAGAAAUUUUAAAAAUAAACUUUUUUUGUUCUGUCAUAAAACAAUUAUUCAUGUUCAUACAAGCUUAUUCUAAAUAUAAUAAUACUCUGAAAAUUAAUAACUAAGAGAUUUAAAAAAUAAAUUUGUUUAUUGAACCAAUUUAAAUAGUUAAGAUUAUAUGAAUAAUUAUCUAUUUUAAAUCGUUAUGACCUUUUGUUUUGUCAUAAAAUAAUUUUUUCAAUUCAUACUAGUUGAUUCAAAAUAAAAUAAAAUGAAUUUAUUAAUAUUUCAAAAAUUAAUAAGAGAUUUAACAAAUAAUUAUGUUUAACUAACCAGUUCAAAUAAUUAUGAUUAUUUGAACAAUUAUUUAUUUCAAAUAAUUAUGACAUUUUGUUUUGUCAUAAAACAAAUGUUUUUAUCCAUAUAAGUUUGUUCGGAAUAAAUUAAUACUACUCUAUUAAUAUUUUAAAAAUUAAUAAUAGAUCUAAAAAAUAAAUCUUUUUAGAUAUCUAUUAAUUAAUAAAAAUCAAUAUUAAGAUAAUUAAUAAUAAAUUAUAAGUAUUUAUAAUAAUAAUUUAAUUAAAUAUUUAUAUUUUAAUUAAUUCAAAUAAUAUUAUAUUUUUAUAAAUUAAAUUUAAUAUUAUAAGUCCAAUUUUAAUUAUUUUAUUAUAAAUAUAUAAUAUAACCACUAUGGAUAUAAUUAUUAUAAUUAUUUGAACUGAUUUGAUAAACAAUUUAUGUUUUAAAUCUCUAACUUAUCAAUUUUUAUAAUAUUAAUAAAGUAAUAUUAUUUUUUUAGAUAAGCUUUUAUGAACUAAAAUAAUUGUUUUAUGAUAAAAUAUAAAGUCACAAUGAUUUUAAACAGAUAAUUGUUCAAAUAGUCAAAAAUAUUUGAACUUGUUUGGUAAAUAGAUUUUUUUUUCUAAUUUCUUACUUAAUAAUUUUCUAAAUGUUAAUAAAUUAGUAUUAUUUUAUUUUGAAUAAGCAUGUAUGAGUUGAAGCAAUUAUUUUAUGACUAAACAAAAGGUCAAAAUGAUUUGAAAUAGAUAAUUAUUCUAAUAGUCUUAACUAUUUGAACUGAUUUAGUAAACACAUUUAUUUUUUAAAUCUUUACUUAUUAAUUUUAGAAUAUUAUUAAUUUAGCAAUAUUUUACUCUAAAUAAGCUUGUUGAACAAAAAUUAAAUGUUUUAGGACAAAACAAAAAUCAUAACAAUUGGAGAUAGAUAAUUGUUCAAAUAGUCAUAACUAUUUGAACUGAUUCGGUAAAAAGAUUUAGUUUUUAAAUCUCUUAUUAAUUUUCAAAAUAGUAAUAAAAUAAUAUUAUUUUAUUAUUAUUAGUUAUUUAGAAGUUAUUCAUAAUACUUGGACUCAUACUCUGUGAAUUUCUUGUUUAGGUAAUAAAUAACUUUCUCUUUCUUGUCGGAUUCAUCUUAUAAUUUAAAUAAAUUUGUAUUUCUAAUAUAAUAUUUAUUUAAUUAUAUAAUUAUAUAAUAUAAUUAAUAAAUACUAAGUAUAUUUUUCAAUAUAUAAUAAAUUAGAUUAAUUAUAUAUAAUAUUAUAAUAAAAUUAAUAUAGUUUUGUUAAUAAUUAUUGUUAAUAUUUAUUUAAUUAUUAUUUCAAAUAAUUUAAAUAUAGUUUCUGUUAAUAUUUGAUAUAUAUUAUUAAAUUAAUAUAAUUAAUAUUAUCAAAUAAUAAUAUUAUUUAUUAAAAUUAUUAAUAUUUAAAUUAAUAAUAUAAUUUAUUUAUAUUACUAGAUUUAUUGUUGGAUUAUACAAUUAAAUUACUAUAUCAUAUAAAUAUAUUAGCAACAAAUAAAAUAUAAUUAAUAUUAAUAAACUAAUAAAAUAUUAUUUUAUAAAGUAGUACUAUCGAUUAGUACUUCUUAAAUAGUUUAUUGUUAUCGAAAUUACAGAACUAGUUAAGCUAAUAAUGUGAAAUAUUUAUGUUAAUAGAUAUAAUAAUAUAUUAGUAUUAAUAAUUAAUAAUUAUUUAAAAAUUUAAUAUAUUUAAUAUUAAUAUAAUUAAUAUUAUAUUUUUUAAGAUAAUAAUUUUAAAUAAUCAAUUAAAUAUCUUAUAUUUAAUUAUUAAUAACCUUUAAUUAUAAUUAAUUUACUUAAAGUAUUAUUUAAUUAUUAAAUAUAAUUAAUUUAAUUUAAUUUAAUAUUCUAUUAAAUAUUUAACAAUAAAAUUUUCUUAUUAUUAUUAUGCUAUUAAUUAAUUAUCUUAAUUAAUAAUAUUAUAUUGUUAUAUUAUAUUUUUUAUAAUAAAUAAUUAUAAUUAGUAAAUAACUAUAUAAAAAUUAUUUUAUAUAUAAUAGUAUAAUAACUUGAUAAUAUUAUAACUAUUAUAAUAUUAUUAUUUGAUAAUAUUAACUAUAAUAGUUGUAUUUAUUAAUAACUAAUAAUUAUUAUAAAUAUCUUAUAAAUUUUUAGUAAGUAUUAUUAAUAAUUUAUAAUAUUUGAUUUAUAGUAUAAUAUAAUAUUAUAUAAUUUAUAGUUUAAUAUAAAUUAUAAGUAACAAUUUAUAGUAUGACUAGAAUAAUAUAAUAUAUUAUGAUAAUAAUUAAUUAUUAUUAAUUAAUAUUUUAUAUUUAAUUUAUAAUUUAUAUUAUAAAUUAUUAAAUAUAAUAUAAUAUAAUAUGAUUUAUUAAUAAUAUAAUUAAAAUAUUUAAUUAAUAAUUUAUAAUUAUAAUUAGUUUUAUGAAUAACUUUUUAGUUGAUAUUACUAGUUAUACAUAUAUUACAAAAUAUUAUAAUAAACAAUUAGAAUACUAUAGUUAUAAUAAUUAUUUUAUAAACUAUAAAUAACUAUUAAUUAUUGUUAUAAUUAAAAAUAAAUAAGAACUUAUUAUAGUAUUAUACUAAUUUAUAUAUUUAUUAUAAUUAUUAAAUAAUUAUAAUAAUUAUAAUUAUAUUAAGAUAUUAAUAGUUAAGGUUAUAAUAUUAAAUUUAUAAGUUUAUACUUAUAAUAUAACUAAUAUUAAUAGUUAUAAUAUAAAAAUGACUAUAAUAAUAAUUAAUAUUUGAAUAAUUUAUAAAUUAUAUUAUAAUUAUAUAAUAUUAUAAUAGUUUAUUAUAAUAGCUUAUUUUGAAUAAAAUAAUACUAUUAAUACUUAUUAAUAUAUAAUAUAUUGAAUAAUAAUAUUAUUUAUUAUUUAUAGUUUAAAUUAAUAUAAAUUAACUAUAUUAUUAAUUAGUUUAAAUAUAAUUGUAUUAUUUUAUAAUUUAUAAAUUAUAUAAUAUAUUAUAUAUUAUAUAAGUUAAUAAUAUUUAAAUAUUAUUAUAUGUUAAAAUUAAUAAUAACUAAUAUUAUUAAUAAAAUAGAUUAUUAAUUUAAUCUUAUAAUAAUAUAUAUAUUAUUAAUAUAAUUUAUAAGUUAUUAUUAAAUUUAGUAAAGUAUUUAUAUAUUUGACUAUAUAUUAUAAAUAAUAAUAUUAGAUUUAUUUAAAAAUAUUAAUUUAAAACAAAUUUAAAUUAACAUAGUAACAAUAUCUAUAAAUUAUACUAAUUUAAAAAUGCUUAUAAAUUAAAUAAUAAAUAUUAUGUAAUAAUAUGAUAUAUAGUUCUUAGGAAUUUCUUACUUCUGCUUCAAAGUAAGGUACAUAACAUUAUUUGUAUUUUCAUGCAUAGAAUUUAAUCUAUAUUAUGAAAUUCAUUGCUCUUUUGAAUGAUAUAAAAAUAUCAACUAUUUCCUAUAAUUGACAUGUUAAUUGUAUUAUAACAAUGAAUAUUAUAACAUUUUCAUAUUUUAUUACUGACACAACAAAAAGAAAUAGCUUCAUUAAUUCAAUGAAGCAUCCUAAGACACUAGCAACUUUUAUAUUAGCUGCAUUAAGCAAAAUAUGAUUAUUAUUUUUCAUAGUUGGUGUUAUAAAUAGAUAGUCAUAAUUAUUUCAACUUGAUCAAUAAGAAAAUUCAUUUUUUUAAUUCUAUUACUCUUUAAUUUUUGGAAUAUUAUUUUAAAAUAUUAAUAAUAUUAAAUUUAUAUAUAUGAUUAAUUAUUAUUUAAAUUAUAUUUGAAUUAAUAUACUAUUAAUAUUACUACUUAAUAUUAAGUCUUGAUAAUAUAUUGAAUUAUAUAUUAUUAUUAAUUAUACUAUUGUUCGAAUAGUAUAUUAUAAAUUACAAAUUAUAAAUAAUAUCAAUUUAUUAAUAUUAGAAAUUAUUCAAAUAUAAUCAUAAAUUAUAAUAAUAUAAUAAUAUUAUUACUAUAAUAUGAGAUUAUAUAAUUUAUUAUUAUAUAUAACUUAAUAAAUAUAAUGAUAUUAAUAAUUAACAAUUAUUUUAUAAAAUUAAUUAUAAUUAAUAUUUGAUAUAGUUUAUAAACUAUUUUAAAAUAAAUUGUAUAACAAUUAAUUAAUUUAUUGUAUAAUAAUAUAAUAAUUAACAAUUGUAUAGUUAAUACAAUAAUAAUAAAUUAAUAAAAAAAUAUAUAAUUUUUAUUAUAAUUAAAUUUAUAACUUAUAUAUAAUAAUCUGUUAAUAUAAUUAUAACUUAUUAAUUAUUAACAUAAUAUAAACCAAUUUUGUUUUAAUAACAUAAAAUAAUAAUUAAAGAUAAUUAAUUCAAAUUUAUAGUUAUAAUUAUCGAUUAUAACUAAUCUAAUAAUUUAUAAACUAUUCAAAUAAUGUAUAUUUUAGUAUAACUAGUAGUAUUAACUAAUAAGUUAUUCAUAAAACUAAUUAUAAUUAUAACUAAUUAUUAAUUAAAUAUUUUAAUUAUAUUAUUAAUAAAUCAUAAUAUAUUAUAUUAUAUUUAAUAAUUUAUAAUAUAAAUUAUAAAUAAAUUAUAAAUUAUUAAUUAAUAAUAAUUAAUUAUUAUCAUAAUAUAUUAUAUUAUUCUAGUCAUACUAUAAAUUGUUACUUAUAAUUUAUAUUAUACUAUAAAUCAAAUAUUAUAAAUUAUUAAUAAUAUUUACUAAAAAUUUAUAAGAUAUUUGUAAUAAUUAUUAGUUAUUAAUAAAUAGAACUAUUAUAGUUAAUAUUAUUAGAUAAUAAUAAAAAAUUAUUUUAUUUUUUAAUAAUAAUUGUAUAUUUGUAUUAUUAAAUAUUAUAUAAAUAUUAGUAAUAAUUGUUAUUAAAUUAAAUAAGUAUUUAAUUAUAUAAAUAUAAUUAUUAAUUUAAUUAAUUAAUAAUUAAUUAAUUAUAUAAGAUAAAUUUUAAUUAUAUAAAUAUUAAUAAUUAGCUAUAAGUUAUUAGUAUAUUAUUUAUAAUAACAAAAUAAUAUUUUAAAUUUAUCUUAUCUUUGCAGAUAAUAACUAAUUACUACUUUAGUUAAUAUAACUAAAUUAUUAAUUAUUAUAUAAUUGUGUUUAUUAAAUAACCUUUUAUAUAAGUUUCAAAUUAAUAAUUUUAUAAAUAUAAUAUUAAUUUUAAAAUAGAUUUUAAUAAUUAAUUAUAAAUAAAUAAUAUUGCAAAAAUUAAAGAGUAACAGAAUUAAAAAAAAUGAAUUUUCUUAUCGAUCAAGUUGAAAUAGUUAUGACUAUCUAAACAAUUAUUUAUUUCAAAACAUUAUGACAUUUUGUUUUGUUAUAAGACAAUUGGUUCUGUUCAUGCAAGCAUAAGUUGAAUAAAAUAAUAUAAAUUUAUUAAUAUUCCAAAAAUUAAUAAGUAUAAUUUUAGAAAAUAAAGCUAUUUUCUGAACACAUUAAAAUAGUUAUGAUUAUUUGAACAAUUAUCUAUUUCAAAUCAUUAUGACCAUUCAUUUUGCCAUAAACCAAUUGUUUUUGUUCAAACAAGUUUAUUUGGAAUAAAAUAAUUCCAAUUAAUUAAUAUUCCAAAAUUAAUAAGUAAAAGAUUUAAAAAAUAAAUUUGUUUAUCGAGUGAGUUCAAAUAGUUUUGAUUGUUUGAACAAUUAUUUAUUUCAAAUUAUUAUGAUCUUUUGUUUUGUUAUAAAACAAUUAUUUCUAUUCAUACAAGUUUAUUUUGAAUAAAAUAAUACUAAUAUAUUAACAUUUUAAAAAUUAAUUAGUUUACCAAACCAGUUCAAAUAGUCAUGUCCAUUUGAACUAUUAUCUAUUUCAAAUUGUUAUGACAUUUUAUUUUGUCAUAAAACAAUUGGUUCUAUUCAUGCAAGCAUAUUUUAAAUAAAAUAAUAUAAUUUAUUAAUAUUCCAAAAAUUAAUAAGUAAAAUUUUAGAAAAUAAAGCUAUUUUGUUAAAUUAAUAAUUUAUAUUAAUAUACAAAUUAGUACGAGGAAACUAAUCGUAUUUUUUUAUAAUGUUUAUUUAUAAAUAUUUUAUUGUAGUUUUUUCCCUUUUUUAUAUUCAAUAUAUUCAAAUAGUUAUAAUUAUUUGAAUUGGUUCAACUAAUAAUUAAAUAAUUGUUAUUUAUAAUAUAUAAUUUAGUAAUAAUUAUAAACUUAGAUUUAGUAAAUUAAUUAUAUUUAAUUAUAUUAUAAUUAUAUGAAAUUAUAAUUAUUAAAUAUUAAUAAAUUAGUUAAUUAAUCUAUUAAUUGUUAAAUUUAGUUCUAUAAUAUUUGAGAUUAAGAAUUAAAACUUGUUAAUUAUGAAUAUUAUAUAAGUCUAAUUAAUAAUAAAUAUGUUUAUUAGUUUAAAACUAAUUAUAUAGUUAGUUUUAAAUAUAAUAUAUUUUAAUUAUAAUUAAAAUAAUAUAUAUUAUUACUAUAAUUGUUUUAAUUCUAUAAUACUAUAUUUAAUAUAUUAAUUACUUAAUUAAUUAGUUUUUAAUUUGUAACAGAAGGCCACUAGUUCUAAUCCAAUAAUUGUUAGUAUUGGAUUAAUAAUAUAAAUUGUAUGUUAAUUUUCAAAUAUUAUAGUUAAUUGACUUAUAACAAUAUAUUUAUAAUAUUAUAAAAAUAAAUAUUAUUAGUAUAAAUUUAACAUAAUAAUACUUUAGUUAUUUAUAUAUUAUAUAAUAACAUAAUAUAUUAUAAUAUAAUAACUAGAACUUAUUAUAUUAUAAUUUAAUACUAUAUUUAAUUAUAUAUAAUAAUUAUCAUAUAAUAUAAAUAAUAUUAUAAAUAGUUAAGAUAUUUAUUUAUUAAUAUCUUAUUAAUUAAAAUAAGAUAUUUUAUAUAUAAUAAAAUUUAGUUAUUUAUAUUAUGCUUAUAUUCAAUGAUUAAUAUAUUAUAUAAUGUACAUUAUUUAUAUAUAAUAAUCUUUAUUAUCAAUAAUAAAUAUUUUAAUAAGAUUAAAAUAUUAAUAUGAUAUAAUUAAUAGUUUAUUAAAUAAUUAUAAAGACUUGAAAUAAUAAUUAAUUUAUAAUUGAUAUUAUUUAUAUUAUAUAUUUAAAUUUAUAAAUAUUUAACAAAUAAUAUUUGUUAAGUAUAAUUAAUUUUAACUGAUUUAUUUUUAAAUCUCUUAUUAAUUUUGGAAAUAUUGAUAAAAUAGUAUUAUUUUAUUUUGCAUAAGCUUUUAUAUUGAAAUAUUCUUAUUAUUAAAUAAUAAUUAAUAAGUUUACAUAUAUUAAAAGGAAUUAAUAUAUAUUUAAUUGUUUACUAUAAUAUUAAAAUUAUAAUUAGAAUAAUUAUCUAUUUCAAAUUGUUCUUUUGUUUUGUGAUAAAACAAUUAUUUCUAUUCAUACAAGUUUAUUCAAAAUAAAAUAAUACUAAUUUAUUAAUAUUCUAAAAAUUAAUAGGUGGGAGAUUUAAAAAAUAAAUCUAUUUACCAAAUUAAUUAAAUUAAAUAUUUAUAUUAAUAUUUAAAUAUUAAUAUAAAUUAAUAUUAAUAUUUUAAUUUAAAUUAAUUUAUAAUAAAUUAUAUAUUUAUUUAAUAUAUUAUACAAAUUAAGUUAACAGAUAACUAUUUGAAUUAUAUUAAUAAAUAUAUAAAUUAAUAUAAUUAUAACCUUAAUAUAGAGAUUAUAAUAUUAAUAAUUUAUUAUCUAAUAAAUUAUUAUUAGUUAUCAAUUAAAUAUCAUAAUUAAAGAAUUAAGAUAAUUAAUUAAUAGCAUAAUAAUAAUAAGAAAAUUUUAUUAUUAAAUAUUUAAUAGAAUACUUAAUUUAAUUUAAUUAAUUAUAUUUAAUAAUUUGUCAUAAAACAAUUGUUUCUGUUCAUAUAGAAUUAUUCAAAAUAAAAUAAUUUGAUUUAUUAAUAUUUUAAAAAUUAAUAAGAGAUUUUAAAACUAAAUCUAUUUACUAAACCAGUUCAAAUAGUUAUGACUAUUUGAACAAUUAUCUAUCUCAAAUCAUAAUGAUCUUUAUUUUGUCAUACAACAAUUGUUUCCUUUCAUACAAGCUUAUUCGAAUUAAAAUGAUACUAAUUUAAUAAUAUUUCAAAAAUUAAUAAGAGAUUUAAAAAACAAAUAUGUUAGCCGAACUAGUUCAAAUAGUUAAGACAAUCAAAAUAAUUAUCUAUUUCAAAUCAUUCUAUCCUUUUGUUUAGUCAUAAAACAAUUAUUUCAGUUCAUACAAGCUUAUUUGGAAUAAAAUUAGUAUUUUAAACUUAAUUUAACCGUUAAUGAAAUAUAGAUAAUUAUAUUAGUUAAUUCAUUCAUACUGACAUAAUAGUUUUAUGAAUAAUAAUCAUAUAUAAUCUAUUAAAUAAUAAUUAAAUAAUUUAUUAAAUUUAAUAGCUUAUAAAUUAAUAAUAUAUUAUUUAUUAAUUUAACAUAAAAUUAAAAUUUUUUAAUUUAAUUGUAAUUAUAAAUAUAUUAUAUGAAAUAGUUAUUAUUAUAAUGAUUACAAUAUAUUUUAUUGUUAUCAGAUAAAUUUAUAAAAUAUUAUUAAAUAUUCAAAAUAUUAGUCACAUUUAAAUUAAUUAAAGGGUGUUAUUAUAAUAUAUAAUAUAUAAUUAAUUAAUAUUUUAAUUAUUGACUAAUAUUAUAGGAUAAAUAUUACAAAUAUUUAUUAACAUUAUUAUUAAUAUUAAUAUUUAUUUAACAAACAAUAAUAUUAGUCAUAAUGAUAAACAAUUGUUUAUUAUAUUAAUAUUAAUAUCUAUUGAAUAAUAUAUAUUAUUUAUAUAUAUAGAUAUUUAACUUAUAAAAUUAUUAUUACAAAUUUAUUUUAAAAUUAUUUAAAUAAUAAAAUAAUUAUAUUAAUAAGCAAUUGUUAAAAUUUAUAUUAAUUAAUUAUAAUAUAUCAUUGAAUUAAUGAAGUUAAAUAUUAAUUAUUAAGUAAAUAUGAUUUGUCAUGUAAAUAAUAUUUAUAUAAUAUAUAAAGUUAAAGUAUAUAUAUACAUAAUUUAUCAUAAUAUGAAACAAUAUUAUAUUAAUAAAUACGAUAUUAUUGUAUUUAAUUAAUAUAAUUUUUUAUGGCAAAACAAUUAAUUUAAUUAUAUUUAGUUUUAAUUAUUCACACAUUUAAUUUAUUUAUUAAAUAUAAUUAACUAAGGUGUAUAAUUAAUUUAAAAAUUAAUUAUUAAUAUAACAUUUAAUUAUCUAAUAAUAUUAUUAACAUAAUUAUAUUAUAAUUAUAAAGUAAUUAUAAUUAUAAUUACUACAAAUAUUUAAUAAUUAAAGUAUUAUAUUAAGUAUACUAUAAUUAUUAUAAGUAAUUCUAUUAUUGAUGAACCUGUUUAAUCUAAAUUGCUUAUUCGAAAUAAUUAUCAUUUUAAUUAUAUUAAAUUUAUUUAAUAAAUUAUUAAUAAUUCUUUUAUUUAGUCAUAUUAAUAAUAAAUAUGUUUAUAUAAUGAAUAUAUCUUUAAUAUAUUCAAAACUUAAUUAUAAUUAAUACUAAAUAAGUAAGAGAUUUAUAAAUUUAUACAAUAAAUUAUUAACUAUUAAUUUAUUUAUAAUAUAAUUAAUAUAUUUUAUAAGAUUAAUUAAGUAUAUUAGUAUUUAUAUAAUAACUAAUACUUAUAAUUUACAAAUUUUAUAUAUAAAUUUAAUAUAAUUAAUAGUUAAUUAAUUAUAAAAUUAAUUAUAUUAUAUUAAUGUUAUAAACUAAUUAUUUAUAUAUUAUUAUUAAACUAAUAUCUAAUUAACUAUUAAUAAUAUUAUUAAUAUUAAUAUGUGAAUUAAAUUAAUAUAAUUAUUAAUAAUCAAAUAAUUUAUUUAGUAAUAUAUCAUAUUAUAAUUUAAUUAUUAAAUAACUAAUAUUUAAAUAUGACAAAUAGUUUAUUAUUUUUAUUUUAACNNNNNNNNNNNNNNNNNNNNNNNNNNNNNNNNNNNNNNNNNNNNNNNNNNNNNNNNNNNNNNNNNNNNNNNNNNNNNNNNNNNNNNNNNNNNNNNNNNNNNNNNNNNNNNNNNNNNNNNNNNNNNNNNNNNNNNNNNNNNNNNNNNNNNNNNNNNNNNNNNNNNNNNNNNNNNNNNNNNNNNNNNNNNNNNNNNNNNNNNNNNNNNNNNNNNNNNNNNNNNNNNNNNNNNNNNNNNNNNNNNNNNNNNNNNNNNNNNNNNNNNNNNNNNNNNNNNNNNNNNNNNNNNNNNNNNNNNNNNNNNNNNNNNNNNNNNNNNNNNNNNNNNNNNNNNNNNNNNNNNNNNNNNNNNNNNNNNNNNNNNNNNNNNNNNNNNNNNNNNNNNNNNNNNNNNNNNNNNNNNNNNNNNNNNNNNNNNNNNNNNNNNNNNNNNNNNNNNNNNNNNNNNNNNNNNNNNNNNNNNNNNNNNNNNNNNNNNNNNNNNNNNNNNNNNNNNNNNNNNNNNNNNNNNNNNNNNNNNNNNNNNNNNNNNNNNNNNNNNNNNNNNNNNNNNNNNNNNNNNNNNNNNNNNNNNNNNNNNNNNNNNNNNNNNNNNNNNNNNNNNNNNNNNNNNNNNNNNNNNNNNNNNNNNNNNNNNNNNNNNNNNNNNNNNNNNNNNNNNNNNNNNNNNNNNNNNNNNNNNNNNNNNNNNNNNNNNNNNNNNNNNNNNNNNNNNNNNNNNNNNNNNNNNNNNNNNNNNNNNNNNNNNNNNNNNNNNNNNNNNNNNNNNNNNNNNNNNNNNNNNNNNNNNNNNNNNNNNNNNNNNNNNNNNNNNNNNNNNNNNNNNNNNNNNNNNNNNNNNNNNNNNNNNNNNNNNNNNNNNNNNNNNNNNNNNNNNNNNNNNNNNNNNNNNNNNNNNNNNNNNNNNNNNNNNNNNNNNNNNNNNNNNNNNNNNNNNNNNNNNNNNNNNNNNNNNNNNNNNNNNNNNNNNNNNNNNNNNNNNNNNNNNNNNNNNNNNNNNNNAAUAAGCUAUUAUAAUAAACUAUUAUAAUAUUAUAUAAUUAUAAUAUUAAUUUAUAAAUUAUUCAAAUAUUAAUUAUUAUAGUCAUUUUUAUAUUAUAACUAUUAAUAUUAGUUUAUAUAAGUAUAAACUUAUAAAUUUAAUAUAUAACCUUAACUAUUAAUAUCUUAAUAUAAUUAUAAUUAUUUAAUAAUUAUAAUAAAUAUAUAAAUUAGUAUAAUACUAUAAUAAGAUCUUAUUUAUUUUUAAUUAUAACAAUAAUUAAUAGUUAUUUAUAGUUUAUAAAAUAAUUAUUAUAACUAUAGUAUUCUAAUUGUUUAUUAUAAUAUUUUGUAAUAUAUGUAUAACUAGUAAUAUCAACUAAAAAGUUAUUCAUAAAACUAAUUAUAAUUAUAAAUAAUUAUUAAGUAAAUAUUUUAAUUAUAUUAUUAAUAAAUCAUAUUAUAUUAUAUUAUAUUAUAUUUAAUAAUUUAUAAUAUAAAUUAUAAAUUAAAUAUAAAAUAUUAAUUAAUAAUAAUUAAUUAUAUCAUAAUAUAUUAUAUUAUUCUAGUCAUACUAUAAAUUGUUACUUAUAAUUUAUAUUAAACUAUAAAUUAUAUAAUAUUAUAUUAUGCUAUAAAUCAAAUAUUAUAAAUUAUUAAUAAUACUUACUAAAAAUUUAUAAGAUAUUUAUAAUAAUUAUUAGUUAUUAAUAAAUACAACUAUUAUAGUUAAUAUUAUCAAAUAAUAAUAUUAUAAUAGUUAUAAUAUUAUCAAGUUAUUAUACUAUUAUAUAUAAAAUAAUUUUUAUAUAGUUAUUUGUUAAUUAUAAUUAUUUAUUAUAAAAAAUAUAAUGUAAAAAUAUAAUAUUAUUAAUUAAGAUAAUUAAUUAAUAGCAUAAUAAUAAUAAGAAAAUUUUAUUAUUAAAUAUUUAAUAGAAUAUUAAAUUAAAUUAAAUUAAUUAUAUUUAAUAAUUAAAUAAUACUUUAAGUAAAUUAAUUAUAAUUAAAGGUUAUUAAUAAUUAAAUAUAAGAUAUUUAAUUGAUUAUUUAAAAUUAUUAUAUUAAAAAAUAUAAUAUUAAUUAUAUUAAUAUUAAAUAUAUUAAAUUUUUAAAUAAUUAUUAAUUAUUAAUACUAAUAUAUUAUUAUAUCUAUUAAUAUAAAUAUCUCACAUUAUUAGCUUAACUAGUUUUGUAAUUUCGAUAACAAUAAACUAUUUAAGAAGUACUAAUCGAUAGUACUACUUUAUAAAAUAAUAUUUUAUUAAUUUAUUAAUAUUAAUUAUAUUUUAUUUGUUGCUAAUAUAUUUAUAUUAUAUAGUAAUUUAAUUGUAUAAUCCAACAAUAAAUCUAGUAAUAUAAAUAAAUUAUAUUAUUAAUUUAAAUAUUAAUAAUUUUAAUAAUUAAUAUUAUUAUUUGAUAAUAUUAAUUAUAUUAAUUUAAUAAUAUAUAUAAAAUAUUAAUAGAAACUAUAUUUAAAUUAUUUGAAAUAAUAAUUAAAUAAAUAUUAACAAUAAUUAUUAACAAAACUAUAUUAAUUUUAUUAUAAUAUUAUAUAUAAUUAAUCUAAUUUAUUAUAUAUUGAAAAAUAUACUUAGUAUUUAUUAAUUAUAUUAUAUAAUUAUAUAAUUAAAUUAAAUAUAUAUUAGAAAUAACAAAUUUAGUUUAAAUAACAAGAUUGAAUCCUGACAGAAAGAGAAAGUUAUUUAUUACCUAAGCCAAGAAAUUCAUAGAGUAUGCAGUCCAAGUAUUAUAAAUAACUUCUAAAUAACUAAUAGUAAUAAAUAAUACUGAUUUUAUUACUAUUUUGAAAAUUAUAAGAGAUUUAAAAACUAAAUCUUUUUUACCAAACCAGUUCAAAUAGUUAUGGACUAUUUUGAACAAUUAUCUAUCUCCAAUUGUUAUGAUUUUUGUUUUGUCCUAAAACAUUUAAUUUUUGUUCAACAAGCUAUUUAGAGUAAAAUAUUGCUAAUUAAUAAUAUUCUAAAAUUAAUAAGUAAAGAUUUUAAAAAUAAAUGUGUUUACGAAUCAGUUCAAAUAGUUAAGACUAUUAGAAUAAUUAUCUAUUUCAAAUCAUUUUAACCUUUUGUUUAGUCAUAAAAUAAUUGCUUCAACUCAUACAUGCUUAUUCAAAAUAAAAUAAUACUAAUUUAUUAACAUUUAGAAAAUUAUUAAGUAAGAAAUUAGAAAAAAAAUCUAUUUACCAAACAAGUUCAAAUAUUUUUGACUAUUUGAACAAUUAUCUUUUUAAAAUCAUUGUGACUUUAUAUUUUAUCAUAAAACAAUUAUUUCAAUUCAUAAAAGCUUAUCUAAAAUAAAAUAAUAUUUACUUUAUUAAUAUUAUAAAAAUUGAUAAGUUAGAGAUUUAAAACAUAAAUUUGUUUAUCAAAUCAGUUCAAAUAAUUAUAAUAAUUAUAUCCAUAGUGAUUAUAUUAUAUAUUUAUAAUAAAAUAAUUAAAAUUGGACUUAUAAUAUUAAAUUUAAUUUAUAACAAAUAUUAAUAUUAUUUGAAUUAAUUAAAAUAUAAAUAUUUAAUUAAAUUAUAUAUAAAUACUUAUAAUUUAUUAUUAAUUAUCUUAAUAUUGAUUUUUAUUAAUUAAUAGAUAUCUAAAAAGAUUUAUUUUUUAGAUCUAUUAUUAAUUUUUAAAAUAUUAAUAGAGUAGCAUUAAUUUAUUCCGAACAAACUUAUAUGGAUAAAAACAUUUGUUUUAUGACAAAACAAAAGGUCAUAAUUAUUUGAAAUAAAUAAUUGUUCAAAUAAUCAUAAUUAUUUGAACUGGUUAGUUAAACAUAAUUAUUUGUUAAAUCUCUUAUUAAUUUUUGAAAUAUUAAUAAAUUCAUUUUAUUUUAUUUUGAAUCAGCUAGUAUGAAUUGAAAAACUUGUUUUAUGACAAAACAAAAGGUCAUAAUGAUUUAAAAUAGAUAAUUAUUCAUAUAGUCUUAAACUAUUUAAACUAGUUCAAUAAACAAAUUUAUUUUUUUAAAUCUCUUAGUUAUUAAUUUUCAGAGUAUUAUUAUAUUUAGAAUAAGCUUGUAUGAACAUGUAUAAUUGUUUAUGACAGAACAAAAAAUGUUUAUUUUUAAAAUUUCUUACUUAUUUAACUUUUGAAAGAUUAAUUAAAUUAGAUUAAUUUUAUUCUUGAAGCUUGUAUGAUUAAAAAACAAUUGUUAUAUGACCAAACAAAAGGUAAUAUUGAUUUCAAAUAGGAUAAUUAUUGAAAAAACCAUUAAUUAUUUGAACUAAUUGGCAAGCAGGGAAUCAUUUUUUAAAUCACUUAAUUAAUUUUUGACAAUUAAUAAAUUAUAUUAUUUUUAUUUCGAAUAAGUUUAUAUGAACGUGAAACAAUGUUUUAUGACAAAACAAAUGUUCAUAAUGAUUUUAAAUAGAUAAUUGUUCAAAUCGUCAUUAACUAUUUGAAUUUGUUCAGUAAACAAAUUAAUUUUUAAACUCUUACUUAUAAUUUUUGAAUAUUAAGAAUUAGUAUUAUUUUAUUUUGGAUAAGCUUUUAUGAACUAAAACAAUUGUUUUUGGCAACAAAAAGUAAUAAUGAUUUUAAAUAAAUAAUUGUUCAAAUAGUCAUAACUACUUGAACUUGAUUGGUAAAUAGAUUUAUUUUUUCAUAUCUUUUGUUUAUUAAUUUUUUGAAUGUUAAUAAUUAAAAAUUUUAAAUUAAAAUAUUUAAUUUUUAUUAUUUAAUUAUCGAUAUUUAUUAAUAAAUAAGCUAUGAAAUAAUAAUAUAAUUUAUGGAUUUUGUUAAAUAAUUAUUAAAAAUAAUCAUAAAUAUUUUAAAAUGUAUAUUUGAUCUUUUAUGAUAAAUUAUUGAUAAUUAAAAUAGAUAAUUAUUAUUAUUAAUAUAAUUAAUUAUUAACUAUUAUAUUAUUAAAUAUAAUGUAUAAGAUAUCAUUCAAAUAAUAUUAUUAUAAAAUAGUAUUACUUAUAAUUAAUAAAAUUAAUGAUUAUAAUUAUUAUAUAUAAUAAUAAUUAAAUAUAUUAUUUGAAUAAAUAAUAUAUUUUUUAUAUUAAAUAUAAUAAAUUAAUAAUAUUUAUUUUUUCAUAAAUUUAUUUAAUAAAUUAUUAAUAAUUCCUUUAUUUAGUCAUAUUAAUAAUAAAUAUGUUUAUAUAAUGAAUAUAUCUUCAAUAUAUUCAAAACUUAAUUAUAAUUAAUACUAAACAAGUAAGAGAUUUAUAAAUUUAUAUAAUAAAUUAUUCACUAUUAAUUUAUUAGAUUAAUUAAGUAUAUAUAAGAUAAUAAUUCCAUUUAAACAAUUAUCUAUUUCAAAUUAUUAUGAACUUUUGUUUUGUCAUAAAACAAUUGUUUUUCAUCAUACAAGAAUAUUCAUAAUAAAAUAAUACUAAUUUAUUAAUAUUUGAAAAAUUAAUAAGUAGGAGAUUUAAAAAAUAAAACUGUUUAUUGAAUUAGUUCAAAUAGUUAUUACUAUUUGAACAAUUAUAUAUUUCCAAUUGAUCUUUUGUUUUGUCAUAAUACAAUUAUUUAUCUUCAUUCAAGCUUAUUUGAAAUAAAAUAAUACUAAUUUAGUAAUAUUAUGAAAUUUAAUAACUGAUAAAUUUAAAAAAUAAAUUUGUUUACUGAACCAAUUCAAAUAGUUAAGGCUAUAUGAAUAAUUAUCUAUUUCAAAUUGUUAUGAUAUUUUGUUUUGUUGUAAAACAAAUGUUUUUGUUCAUAUAAGUUUGUUCAAAAUAAAAUAAUAUUAAUUUAUUAAUAUUUCAAAAAUUAAUAAGAAAUUUAAUAAAUAAAUAUAUUUACCAUACUAGUUCAAUUAGUUAUAACAAUUUGAACAUUUAUUUAUUUCAAAUCGUACUAAAUUAAUAAUUUGUUAAUAAAUUUGAAUUUUGUUUAAUAAUAUAAUAUUAUUUUAUAUGAUUAGAUUUAAAACUAAUUGUUUAUUAAAUUAAUUAUAUUAAUCGUUAUACAAUUAAUAAGUAUAGUUGUUAAUUAUAAAAUAAUGUAUUAUAUAAAUAGUUUAAUUAAUAUAAUUAGUUUAAUAAUAAUGAUAUAUAACAAUUUAAGAUUAUUACUAAUUAUUAUAGUACUUAUAAUUAAUUAUUCUUAAUAUUACUUAAUUAUAUACUAUUAUAUUAUAUGUAUUAUAAUAUUAUAACUAAUUAUAAUUUAUAUAAAAUAGUAACAAUUAUUAAUUAAAUAUUUAAUUAUUAAUUAAAAUAAAUAUGACUAUUUAAUUAAUAAUAAUUGUUAUUUAUUUAUUAAAUUUAAAUAAAUAUUAGUAAUUAAAUUAUUAUACAUUAAUAAUUUAUUUAUUAUUGUUAUAUAUUAAUAUACAUUACUAUUUACUUAUAUAAUUAAAAAUUUAAUUACUAGAUAAAUUAUAAUUGUUUAUAUAAUUUAUAAUUUGCUUAUAUAAUAGAAAAUAUUAAAUAUAUUAAUAAUAUAUUUUUAAUAGAUAUAUUAUUAAUUAUAAUUCAAUUAAGAAUUUGAAUUAUAUAUAUUAGUUUAUUUAAUAUUAAUAAUUAUUUCAAUAAAAAAUUAUUAAUAAUUAUUUAAAUAUACAAAUUAUUAAUAACAAUUGUUUUACGAUUAACAAAGAGUCAUUCACAUUUGCCUCCAACUAUCAAUUUCAUAAGAAAGGAAAGUAGCCGGGUUCUAUGCCACAAGGCUCUAUCCGAGUUUACAGAUGUCGUUCUUUAUCCCCUUCUUUAUUCGUGAAAAUCAAACAAAUUGGCUUAGUGUGAAGUCUAUCUGAGUAGAAGAUCGAAAAGAAUGCAUGUUCAUCCGAACAUUGAGAAGGCAGGGUUGACGAAUAACAAGGAUAAGGAUAGGACCCGGUUCGGCUAAGUCCCUUGGUCAGUCAUCAGGGAGUUCUUCCCCCUUCAGUCAAUCAGCAAGACAAUGUGAAUAGAUAUUCGAAAGUCAAGGGCCGGACCUGACUCCGUUAGCUGAGCUCUGAGCUUUGCUCCUGGCAAACCAUUACGCAUGCUAUCUUCUCAGCUUUAUGUUAUGGAAGCGCCGACUCAAAGACUCCCCGCCAAUCUCUGGGAUAAGGUCUCCCCAAGAGAUUCUUCAGCUAUGGAAUCUGACAGGUAUCGGUAUUGAACAGAGGGGGUAGCUCAUAUAACAGCAGCGGGACCUGCAGAGGGGGCUGUUCACAAAGCAUCCCAUGGUGCGCUCCGAUCCGAGGGGAAAAAUCAAAAUACAAUACCUAUUGUUGACACUUUUUUUUAUUGUAUUUUUUUUUAUUACUUAGUCUUUGUCUUUACUUUAUCCUAGACUAUGAUCUGAUCUUCUUAAUACUAUGCAUCUCUAUUACGAGUACCUCCCGGUGAAGCUUCUUUGGCUUGAAGACCGGAGAAUGAAGAGAAGGACUACGAGGGAACUAGCGAAUGAGAAGUUCUACCGGGUUCAAGUUUCUCUCCCCCCUGGACUGAACACCUUGAGACUCUGUCGUUUUCAGGUCCGUGUUGACGAGUUCUGUUGCUUUGAGUUCUACUUCUCUUUCUCUCCUCAAUUCUACUAUCAGUGAGAUUCAAUCCCAUCUGAUAGACCUCAUUGAGUCUGGAGAGCAACUCGAAGGUGAAAUGGUUAAUCUACGGAUCCAGACCCAAAGGUAGAUUGUCCCAGUUAGACCAAGUUCCUUUCAGGUAACGCAUACUAGAAAGCGUGACAAAUCCCAUAUCUGGAAAGACUCUCUUGGUCCUUUAUCUUAUGAAGAAAUCAGGGGUCAAGACUCUCAAUCAGGUCUACCUAUGACUCCUCUCACGUUACCGUCACGCUCAUGAACCUCUGUUUCUUUUGAAAGCGGCUUGAAGUGAAGAGCACUUUUCCUCUCAGCCGGAAGGAAAAAACCUCAUUCAGGGCAGAGGAAUCUACCAAUCGAAUGUGAUUCGUACUACAUAGCUUUCAUUCCUGAAGAUAGGUUCAUCCAUGCUAUGCUAUUCACAAACCAUUCUCGUCAGAAAAGACCGACGCCUUCAUCUUUAAAGAUGGUCAGUUAUGUGCUUUCUUCUCUUUUUUUUACUAUACGGUACGGAUUCAAGUCCUCUGUCCAAGAUCGCUUCCCUUAAUGGAAAGACCUUUUUUUUUUUUUUUUUGUGAAUCUGGAAGCAAGAAAGCAAACAGGAAUGGUGCAGCAGGAGGUAGCUUGCUUACUUAGUACUUGUGCUAAAGGGGAGGUGCAAGAGCAAAAAGGAAAGACAACACGCCUUUAUUCAUGCAUAUCCUUAAGCGAGAGUUAAGGCACAAGAAGUAGGAAGGAGUCGCCAUCAUGAAUCGAUUUCAGUUAUCGGUCUUUUCUUAUCUUACCAAGACAGAGAGGGGCCCGAAGGCAUACUUCUGUUAGCUACUACCACCCUAGGCCUUACUUCACGAAAGUCAGAGUCUACCAAUUCAUUACUCUCUUCCUGUCCUCCUGGAAUCUCUUGCAACUCUCGCAUCUGCAAUCGAUUGAAGUAUCCCUUGCUUGGUCUGUCCACGAAUACGGUUCCCGACUUUUAUUCCAUCUAGAGCUGCCAGUCUUGUCUUGCCCUGUCAACGGUCAACUCUCUCUUGCUUAGUUCCCUUCCCGACGAGAGGUCUUCUGCCUUCUGUCUCCUGCCCAACAAUAUUCGUAUACCGGUUAUCGGUCCGUAGGCCUUAGUUAGCCAGCUUAUAGGAAGGUAAAGGAAGGUAGCAUGGUUCUAGCAUGGGCAGGCAAUCACCCAAAUUUAUCUGUAACGGUAGGAGCAUUAGUCAACCAUCUGUCGCAGUAGCAGUAGCCUUCUCUGUAUCACUCUCCCCCUAUGGUCGACCCUUGACUUUGAUCAAUUUCCUCUAACAAGCUCUUUCAAGUCUUUGAGCUAAGCCUUUCUGCUCUACUGGAAACUCCCCAAUAUCAGGAUCAGGAAAUCGAAGCUCUCUUGUAAGGGUCGAUAGGCGGGUAAGAUUUUCCUACGUUGGGAAUGCUAUCUUUAUCUCCCAGUAACGCGCAUCCCUUUGAUUGCUUCCUUACUCAUAAGAAAAUGUGAAAGAAAAUAGGACUCUCAAGUCAGGAAUAGCGAUCUGGCUUAGUGAAUCGAUUAAAGUAUGAAAGUUGAAUAAGAACAUCGUAAGAGAAGAAAGAGAAGAGACUAUCAACGAUAAAGAGUUCUUUCGAACUUCAAUCUUGAUAUAAUUCGAAAAAGAAUAGAUUCAAAAAGAAACGAAUCCGAGUUCGAACUACAGUCUUUCAGAUAAGUCCGAAGACAAUCUAUCUUUCCUUCUUGACUCACAGGGGAGAAGAGAAAAGAUUCGGAGGACGGAGCUUGCUUCAAUUGAAGCACGGAAUUGAAUGAUAACAAGAUAGACAAUGAGACAAAGCCAAGAGAGGAGAGAUGAUAUCAAUGUCAGAAGAGCUUAUUCAACCGAUAAAGAACGUAUCAUUAAUGAAUUUUGGCUUCAUUUCUACAGGGAGAUAAAAGUUUCAUGUAAAUUGAAUUCAGAUUGUUAUAGCUAUCAGGAUCGUGUUAUAAUGUUAUUGAAUGAAUCUAAGAAGAAUCAAUCCAUUAAUAAUGAUAGUUUUAUAGAGUUCUCCUCUAGUGAGUUAAAGGAUUUACAGAAUAUGAUUGAAGAACUAACUAUGAACUUCGAUGAAAAUAGUAUCUUUAAAAGCACUCCUCAGUUAUUAAACUUAUUGAUAGAUAAUGCUCAGAUCACAGCUAAAGAUCAUUUAAAGAGUUGCCUAUCAACAGAUGUUUAUAAUCGUUAUAUUAGUCAUUUAGGUCACUAUACGCUGGAGGCUAUCAUCAUAUAUGUGCUAGGAUUGUUGUACAACAGUGUUCAAGAAUCCUCGGUUGUAAGGGUAUCCACAUUGUUGGACAGGCUAGAUAAAACAGUUUCGAAUACAAUCAGUGAUUAUCAACAAUUUGUCUGAAAGUGAUAGUAGUCAAGCGAAAAGUAGUAAGAAAGGUCGUGUUCAACAAUAUGAAAUAGGAACCAAAUUGCUUGAGUUCAUGCUAGAAAGAAAUUGUUUCGUAAUUGAUACCUGCACAACAGAGGAGAUAAAACCAAUUGUGAAAAGAAAAGGAAAAGGAUAUUACCCAUUAAACUCAUUCGUAAUAUGUAAAUUUCAACUGUUGCCUUCUCCCAGUUAAACUGAAUCUUCCUAUGGUUUGCAAGCCGUUAGAUUGGAAAUCUAAAUGUUUGAUGCCAAGAAUGUUUUCGGAUAUUAGAGGAGGUUACUUUUUCAAUCCUUCCAAUGAUUUAUAUAAUCAGUUUAAAGUUCAAUCUUCCUUUAGAGUUAUAUCAUCCCGUGACAUACACAAUUUCAAUAUUCACUUACAUGAUCCUAUGUACAAGGAAAUGUGCCAAAUCUUGAAUAGACUUCAGUCACAAGGAUUGUUGAUAAAUAAUAAUGUAUUGGAAUUCAUAAAGAAAAAUCAUGCGAGUUUAGAGAAAUUAGGUCUUCUUGCACACGUGAAUAUGAAAGAAGCCAUAGAUAUAUUGAAGAUAUGUUAUCUCAAUGACGGGGCUGUUAAGGAUCUUUGUAGCUUUCGUUUUCCCUUAACGGAGUUAGCAUAGCAGGUUCAGCGUGCAAGGUAUGAAGAAUUUAUACACUACAGCAAAAUGGCAUAUUAGCGACAGUUUUGUAGUGAUUUUUUACUUAUAAAUGCCUUUAGCUUCCGUAUUUUUAUAAAACUUAAAGCAUUUAUUAUCCAAACAUCACUAAAUAUUCAAAUAGCGUCAUUGUUACUUAUGAACGCCACCCAAGACUUGAUAUUAGAAGCGUUUCUUGACUAAAAUGCCUUGAAUAUUUUUUAUUAAAAAUUUCAGUGAAUAGUUAAGACGUAUUUUUGGCAAACAACGCCUUCAAUAAUCACGUCAUAAAAAAUUAUAUGAGAUUAAUAAAAGCACUGUCUACAAGAAACACCUUUAAUAUUUAGACAAAAAAAUUUCAUAAGCUUAUUAAAUUUAUUUUGUUCAAAAAUACAUUCAAUAUUAAGCUUAUCAAAUUGUUUGGAUCGUACGAAUGUUUAUCAUAAAAAUUGUUGGUUUGAUCCAUCCUUUAGCCUUUUUUUGGGUUUUUGCACAAAUUAUUUGUUAUUGAUUAUUCUAGGCAUUUUCUUGACAAAAACGCUUUCACCGAUUGCUUUAAAAAAAUUUUAGAAUAUUGAAGGCGUUUUUUUAUGGAAAGACGCCCUUAAUAAUCCAUAGGAAAAAUAUGGAGUCGAUUCUUGAAGGUAUUUUUGGUCGAACUCGUCUUCUAUAAUCCAAUUAAUAAAUUUUUUUGGUGAUUUUUAAAGGCGAUUUUGUAAAAAAUGACUUUAAUAUUUCAUAGACAAAACUUGGAUGAGAUGCUUGAAGGCGUUUUUGGCUCAAAAAGCCUUUAAUAUUCCUAACGAUAAAUUUUAAUGGUCUGAUUAUUGAAGGCGGCUAUAUCAAAAAAUGCCUUCAUAAACAUUUUGUUAGGGAUUAUUAAAGGCAUUACCCAUAGGAAAACGCCAUUCAUAAUUCAUUUGAUUAAUUUUUUAGUUGGUAUUAUUGAAGGUAUUUUUUGCCAAAAAUACCUUUAAUAUUUCACACAAUAAUUUUCUAGGGGGAUUAUUGAAAUUGAUUUUAGUAAAAAAAUGCUUUUAAUGUUUUCUGUUAUGGGUGAUUGAAGGUGUUUUUUUGCUAAAAAAACAUUCAUUAAUCGCAUCAAAAAAACAUAUUAAAUAUUGUAUAUGUGAAAUCAGUUGUAAGUUUAUGCCCAGAAAAACGUUUACUGUCAGUUGUAUAUUUAUGCCCAGAAAACAUUUGGUUUGUAUAUCAGAUACUUUGAAUUACAUUUUAGAAUUUACAUAGUGAAUAUUGUUGUAUUUCAAUAAAUUAACCACACAUCCAAAAUUAAAACUGAUAACGUUGUCAUAUUAAUAUACUUUUUUGAAAUAAUCGUACUUAGUAAUUUAUUAAGUACACAUAAUGUAUUCAUAUUAAGUAUAACAAUAAUAUUAAACCAAUACCCCCAAUGUACAAACUUAAAGUUUUCAUUCAACAUGACAUGUUAAAAACAUUAUAACAAUUUGUUUCAUAUAUAUUUACAUUCAACCAACAAUGUCUAACCUGAAGGUUUAUCAACAUUGAUAAAUGACAAUACAUAAUCACACCAUUCUUUACAGACUUCAUCUAGCUCCUCUUCCGUAAAGCUUUCUUUACCUUUCCACUAAAAAAAUAUAUCAAAGUAAAUGUUAAGAAAUGAGAACAUUGUGUACCAUUUUAUUUUUUUGAAUAUAUAACGAGUUUAUGAAAUUAAUACUAACCUUGAAUAGUGUGAUCAUAAAAUCAUGUAACACUAUCUCCCACAUAAAACAAAGGACAUAAUAUCCAUGCCUUCUUAUUAAAUGCAUAUAUUACCCUAAAUUGAAAAGAAAAAAAAUUAGUGGGAACAUAAAUAAAAUUACUUAUGAAGAAACAAAACAUAGAUAAUAUAAUAAAGUACUGUAAUACCUCUUUAUAAAAGUUUGAAUAUCGAGGUUAAGCAUCACCAUUGGAUUAACUGAAUUAAGAAGGUAUGGCGUUAAGGAUUUGGUGUCAAUCAUAGCACCCAAUGACGAUUGCAAAAUAAUAACAAUGAUAUACUCAGAAUACACAUCAGAUCAUAGAAUGGAGCAGGUUGGAGUAAUUAAGGUUGGAAUAUAGAUUACUGCGCAUUAUACGAGAGCAAAUAAUAAUCAAUUGGUCUUUUCAUGCAUAGGAUCACAUGAUUAGCAUGAUAUACGACUGUGCCACUCUGCUCACUAAUGAAGUUGAGGUCAAUGAAUCUAAAUUUAUUCGUCAACUGUCUCCCCUUCAGCUCUCUAUAUAGGAAGCUACACGAUAACAAUCAACAUUGCUGGUUAGUAUUACACCCUAAUACUAACUUACUAUAUAUUGAAUGUGCAUAUUUGUAUUUAUAAACUAACCUCAUAUAAGUAACGAUUUCAGCAACUGAUAAUUCAUCCAUUUCACAAAAUUCUUUCACCUCUUCCACACCAAUGAAAGAAAAUGAUUAUUUAUCAAAUAAGUCUUCCUCAGACUCAAUGAAUAUGAAGUUUUCGUCAAAUAAAUGCUCCAAUGAAUAUUUUGUUAACUUAUCCAUGAAAGCCUGAGCAAGGAUCAUACUUUGAGUCUGAACAUCAUUCUAUAAUAUUUAAUGAAAUAUAAGUAUUAAAAUCAAAUCAAAAAAUAACUCCACAAGCAAGGAACCGCUACUUUCCAAGCAUAUUAGCGAAAAGGCUCAUACGGAGGCAAGGGGGCCAAAAGCUUUAUUUGUUAGCUUCCCGAAAAGAGAUAAGAUGCGUCUUCAAAUCAAAGGGAGAGGAAGUAGGUUCUUGGCUGUCCUUUGGCCUGUUCCCCGAUCAGCUUUCAUAGACAACUAGUGACCGCGGGUGAGGGGCAUGAAGGGAAAGGUAUAAUCCGUCUUGCUUUCCCGAAACGCUAUCACCGAUACUCUACUUGCUUUCCAGUCUCACCCAAAAGUCCCUGAAAGGCCACUAAUUAGUAAGUCUCUAUAUUAUUUUUUAUUAUUAUACUAUAUUAAUAUUAAUGUAAGGUAUGUAGUUUUUUAAAAGAAUUACGAGAUUUGAAUUCAGGUUAAAAAGUGCGAGACACAGAAUAAAGAGUUUAUAAGGGAUUUAUAGAAAAUGAAAUGUGGAAUGGAUAAAGAGAAGAGGUUGAAUAUGAUGUCAACAAAGGGCCAAAAAGACAAAGAACUACCAGCGGCUCAACCGAAUUUCCCCGAUAGCCUACCAGUGAGAACUACUAGGCGGGAAGGGAUCUAGUCGAAUUAAAAAAAGUAUACAGUUUUCGAACCCAUGCAUGCUACAAGAAAGCUUGUAUUUCCGUCUGGUCCAAUAGAUGUAACUGGCACCUUUAAGGUCGAGUCUAAAGCCAUCUCUAAUGCCAGACGCUUCCUCUUUUGUGCUACUCCUCAUCUUGAAAUCAAGGCUGAACACAUGGAAUUCCAUGCUUUACUUCCUCAUUCUAAGUCCAGGGCUUACAAAGGAACGUCAGCCAUCAAAAGGCGUGGAAGCCCUGGUUCAGUUGGCAAUACUUUCAAACUACGCAUCCACUCACACUAGGAUCUCAAAGUGAAGAAAGCUGCUUGUUCUCUCUUUCGUGGUCAAAGUUCGGAGCUGCCGAAAUCUUGCCUCCAGUUCUGUUCAUAGGGAGGAUCUUUGUGUGCUGGUAUCAACCGAGAAAGAAAAUAUGGAGCUUGACCCUCUUUGAUUGAAUGCAAGGAUCCUAGGAGCUAGAAACCGCAUUUCAGUGAGCUCUUCAGCCAAUGUUCUACAAGCUGCUAAAGCUGCCGCACUUUUUCCUUCUCGAGGGAGGUGCUUCCUUGAUUACCCUGGAUUUAUUCUUCUCAAUUUCAAAAAAUACAACAAUAAAUGUUAUGCACUAAAAACUUCAGGAAGUUUCCUGCUAUUACGCCAAAUACGGGUUUCUUUUCAAUCCGCGCUCUCGCACUCAAACACUGUCUUGAGAUCAGACAAAAGACAGGGAAAGACUUAAAACAUCAUCAAUAUACACCACCUCCACGAUGUUUACAAUAAAAAAAGUAAUGGAAGAUGAGGUUCAUUGCUCACAGCUAUGUAACUCUAGCCUUAUUCAUACCGAGGGGAAUCACCUGCCAGCAGAAUGUCUGUCUGUCCAACAGCACCGGGACAACGGAACGCAAUUUUUGCCUCGUCCUCUCUUGAGAUUCAAAAAUGGUUAUACCCCACGUCCAUGAAUGACAGAAUUUAUUGCCCAGCUGCUCUGUCAACUAAAAGAUCCGCGAUUGCCAUUGGGUUAUUGUCUUUUGGUGGGGCAACAUUGAGACUCCGGAAAUGCUUUCUCUUCCGCCAGCCCUUGCUCUGGGCUUUUUGUUGGGGCAAAAAAAUACGAUAGAUAAGGAUCUAAUGCAAAGUUUUCUUCAUGCUUAUUCCAACGGGCGAUAAGGGACGGAACCAAUGCUGUGUAGAAAGAUGCAAUGAGGAACCUCUUCCCGGUCGAAAGCCGUGCAAAGACGUAAGAGGAUAUUGCAGCUUCCUCGUAACGGUAGAAAGAGGAAAGGCUAAGCGAAAAAAGGUUAACUUAGUGAGUUAUGGCCACUAGUCAUUUGGAUUUUUCCUUACUCAUGUAAGUAUUCUCAUUGGGCAUUUAACUAGCCUAUAUUUCCGCUUUCGCUUUCGCAUUUAAUCGUCUCCCUCCUUACCUUAGUCCGACCUAGCCUCUAUUGAUUGAGAAGGUUGAAGACUCCUUUUAUGCAAUUAUGAACUCCUUACCGUGAUAAUGAAGUUGUUGAUCUCGAAGAGGAACCCCUGUUCUCAGUUACUCAUCAAAUGGCACUCAUUCCAUAUCUUCGAUCAUUGACAAUGUUCAAAGAAAGGGUGGGACACUGAGGGGAAAUGGUGCUUUAUUGAGUUAGAGUUAUGAGUGGGCUAUAAGAAAGCUGUGAAAGUCAGCCACCACUAAAAAAUUUCAGAAGGAAGGGUAUACUUCACUGUAGUCUCACUAUAAAGUACUCUUGUUUUAUGCCCUUUUCUCUCUUUCUGCGCCGAAAGUAAGAAAUUGAGAAAUCCGCACUAACGAAAAAGCUGAAAAAAGCAAUGGCAGCAGCUAGAGUAGACUUGCUUCUCUCUUAUUCUAUUUUAUAUCACCCCUACUGCGGGAAGUAAGCGCUUAGUGCUACUACUAGAGUAGAGUCGUCUUAUGCUCUAUUCUUCGUUUUUAUAGAGUCCCUUACUGUAGUACAUGAGUUUUAUUCUAUCUCCUUAGCCUCUCUGAAAGAAAAGAAAGGAAAGUAAGAGUACUGCUCUCGCUCGAGCCAGCAAGCUGAUAAAGUACUGUGUGCGCUAACCUUGGUGAAAGUGUAACGUGACUAUCUGCCCCCAACUUUCUAUCUGUGGUUAGGAAAUUCUCUGUCCGUAUAAGUAGACUCAUUCCAUUUGCUACUCGAAAGCACUAAAGUCCACAUUGGAUGAAAAAAAACCUGUUUUUAAGGCAAAAGAAAGAAAGCAAUAGAAGAGAGGAGCAGCACCCUAAUUCCUAUGUUAUAACGUUCGUGACCCAUAGCCAAUGAAAUCCAAACUAGGAUCAUAAGAAAAGUCUACUGACUGACUGGUUGAUAACCAACAAUGAAAGGAUUAGGCCAGGACUCAUACGAUUCGAGUAGAAUGAAAGGCAAGGAUGAUAAGCUUUUCUCGCGUACUGGCUUUCUUCGCCGAGCAGGAAAGAGAAAAUCCAUUUCCUAUUAAGAGAAGCGAAGUCUAGUUCCCAACUCCCCCGCUUCUAGAUAAAGACAGACAAAAAACAUAAGGAAAGGAUUCAAUAAGCCAUUUUCGUUUUCUUUUUAGCUAGUGAGCUGGUUUUGGAUAAGGGAAAGUUUCAAUUGAUCAAUUUACAGGCUACCAGGGAAAUAGGUUUAGCAAAUAGAUGUGUCUUCACCUGAUGAAAUAGGACAGAAAACUGCUUUCACCAACACCGCUUCAAGAUCUCAUGGAUUGAAUUGUAUUCAAACGAAAGUAUUCUAUAUAGAAUACUAUAGCUUUCAUUAAACUACUAAAGAGCUUCUUCCUAAUGAUAAGAAGAAUCAUAAGAUAGACUGCCUGUAUUACCGCUUUCUUUUCUCUUACAGAAUAACUAAGCAUUAGCUUACACGGACUCCUCUAUACAAAACAAAAGGGAAUGGCUGAAAUAAAAACUCCGCUGGCAUUGGUGUAAUUGAAAUACCCGCUGGAAAGCUUAAAAAAAACCUCUCUUUUGAGUGCUGUUAAUACUGAAGUUAACGAACUCCCCACACUCAAGAGCAAAGAAAGACCCAUUUUUUCAUUUUUUAGCUUCCUCCUUCUUCGGUUGCCAAUGAACAAUGCAUCUCCGGAGCAAUGACCACGAAGCACACAUUCGGCGCAAAUAACUUAUCCUUCCUCAAGGCUUGCUAGUUUCCUGGCUCUUUCGAACCAGAUAUUUUCAAACCUGGCGAUGAGGUUAUAUUAUUAAGCAUUAGUAGCAAAUGAAGGCGAAGGCGAAGGAACCUCAGGAAGUGGACACAGGGUAACCAGAAAUGCUGAAGAGAUUAAAGCUGCAAUGAUGCCUUGGAUUCUUUUUUUGCUUCUAAGUGACAUGCCACAUGAGCUUUCUCAUCUCGUUGUAGAGCUGUCAGUUGUACCGGGACUUUGUGAAGAUGACAGAAGGCUUGUACAACUGCUCCCAAGGCUCAUGCUCUGCUCCAAGGAUAUUGCAGCAAACUUAAACCACCGGAGUUGGACCAGCUACUCAAUAUAGCUGGAGAGAAAGCAGCAGCAGCUAAAGAAGUCACAGAGGCAGCAACAAAAGCUGAAUCUCGCCUAGCUGGUCUUUGAGAGCAAUUGGCCAAACUCCAAACCCACUCUCCCACUUCAAUUCAAUCACUGAUUUCAGAUAGUUGUAUGUGAGUUGACUUUUUCCCUUCCACUUGGUAGAAAACAAUAUAAAAUAUGGGGAUUCCCAUCGACUAGAUAGGCUCUUUAACAGAGAGGUCGGGCUAAAAGACAGAGGCGGCCUGGUUCCUUGGUAGUAUGCUCCGGGGGGCGGGGGAUUGAUAGCUUGACCCGAGUUGAUUAGUCACAGCGACCCGUGGAGAGGAGGUGUCGAGUCCAUGCAGACUAUCAAUUAGUCUAGUCAUUUCAUAGAGGAUUUUUAGAGAAAAGAGCGAGUGAUCACCCGUGAGGAAACGAGCAUUGUAAAAAUCCUCAUUAUAAGAAGUUGAAAAAACGUUUUCACUCGGCCUUUUCCAUGAAGCAAUGAAGGAGAUUAGCAUUUUAUGUCCUGCACGCACACUCUAUCUCAAUGAAGGAGUUGCUCGACGGCAUUCAUCUGUCUUUUCGAAAGCCUUAGCCUUAGCGUCGCGCCCUAGCCCUACUCAGAACAUGAGGAGGGAAGUAGACCUUUUUUGUUAGUCAAAGUAAGGUCUUUUUUGAAUCACUGGCAUUUGAAUGAAUAGGAUUAUAACUUUCGGUGCCUUCAUUCCGCACUUGGUCCCUCUCGUAUUCCACCCGAGGGUUCCAGAGAUUGAUUCUAUACAUGAGAUUCCUGAAUACAGUAAACUCCCCAUGUACCAAUGUCCCCACUCCGGUAUCCCCAAAGUCCGAACUCUUUAAGCAUUCGUAUACGUAAGCGCUUUCUUUCGAGUGAAGUCGUUAAACGUAACAAGUCCAAGGGCUGGAGGAAGUGAAAACUGGCUCAACCUUUUUAACUUAAGCUUAAGGAGAGGAGGAUUAAUAAAGAAAGAUCUGAUUUGGCCACGGAACCAGCUUUGGGGGGAAUAGGGGGAGGCACUUCCUUAGGACAAGGACAACAUAAAGCUGUGCAGUAGGGAAUAAGGCAAUAGCUACAAGAAGAAAGAAGUCGGAAAGAGUACACCUAAAACAAGAGCUAACUAAGCGGUAGGCACCUGAAGACAGAAGAGCACCUGAAUAAAGAGCCAACCAUCUUACGAUCGCCCUGUAGUUUUCUUCGCUGGAGCGCAGGUUUUGAACCCCUAUCUUACUAAUCUAAUAAAGGGGAUUGUUGAUGCUAUGAAGCAUCUUAGAGUAUUCCAUUCCGUUUUUCAGCUGGAUCCGGGCCUACUAAUUACUAAUACCUGAAACAACUGUAUUUAGUAGAGAGAGGGGCUUUUUGCGAAAGGCUAUCAAUGUAUAUAGAUGAGUGUGCGUGCAGGGUGUAGGUGUACCACUUACGAGAAAGAACCCCAGGUCAGUAAAGCAGUUAACCAAACACAAGUAAACAAGUAAGUAGUUCGUCAGUCCUUCCUCCGACGCCUCCCGUUCAUUCUUUUUCAUUUCUUCAUGUUUGUUGUGUUGUUCCGUUCAUAGGUUCCAAGCCAGCCCUUCUUUAGAAGUCCCUCCUCCCUCUCCUUAAGUUAAGAAAAACAAGAAUGCUGCUUGGAUUGAACGAACAUUGUAAGAACCUUUAUAACUGACACCUUUGAUCCCCUCAGCAUUAAAAAGCAUAAUGCCACCCACGUUUUUUUUCUUUUGAACACGCCUGAAAACCCCGGGGAAGGGAUGAAAGGCGCCAUCUUUUUCUAUAACACCCUUUCUUUUCUCUAGUCUCUAGGCCUUAGUCUUCUACCUUCUAGUUUUCACUAUUCUCAUUUAGCUCCUGAUGUAUUGACCGAGUUUUAAGCUCCAAGCUUGAAAGCCUAUUAGUCUUCAACGCAAAGCAAACUCCUAAAACAGAUGUCGUUGAUCUGGAAUUCCUUUAUUUUAAAAAUAAUCAACUUCGCAAAGAGUAGACGAGGAUAGCACUUAAGCCAACGAAUACGAUUGAUCGGUCUGUUCUGCUAGCCGGUUAGCCCGAAGCCUAUUCCAAUAAGAACCGGCAGCAAUGGCUAUUGGAAACCAAACUGACCUCGCUCCAUUACUUGAUUUGUCCACGGCCUUCUGUCAUGAGCCAAUCUUGUAUAAGGCCAUGAUUAGGGCUUAGACUUUAAUGAGCCACCCAUGUAUAGGGUCAUGACCGGAUAAAUCUCUUGUGCUUGGAAAAGUGUCUCCAUUUCAAACAUUGUAAUGGUUAGUGGUAGCAUAACUCUAAAAUCUUUAAGACUCUUUAGGGGGGUGAGCGGGCAGCAUACUGUUGGGCUGUCUCAUUGGUCGCGAUACGGGCCUAAGCCAUCCACCAAAGGCUGUCCUCCUAGCCCUGGCGAUGGUGGGAAGUCCCGAUGUACUAUCCUUGAUUAUAAUAAAAUUCACCUCCGAUUCGAAUGUCCCGAAUGUUGCCUUGAUGUGUUUUUCUUUUUGUCGAUGUGAAUGUGCCUUCUUGUGUGUGUUUAAAAUUGAUCUCAAUAUGAAUGUGUCUUAUUGCGUACGCUUGGGACUAAUUGUGGCUUAUGGUUAUUUGUUCAGAUAUCGAACUAUUGAGGGCUGACUUGGGUGAGAGCGUCCAUUCAAGUGCUGUACGGUCUAUUGCUUGUUGAGAGAAAGCCUAGUCCGUGACACGUGAUAUCAGAGCUAGGUUGAAAAGUGCUAGAAAAUGAAAGAGAUGGCCACAAAUGGUGGACCCAAUUAUCAAUAGAGACUUAAGGAACUUGAGGUCGCGGUGGCCGUAGUGAAAACUCACAUGGUGACUAAAGAUCGAUUGAGGGAGAUCGAGACAACUCAGCGAGAGUUGUCCGAUACUCUCCAUAAUGUGAGCGAGGAGGCUAGAGAUGCCUUGAAUGUUCUUCAAAAGGAGUUUGAGGAGCUUAGAGCACAAAUGAGCAUCAUACAAAUGACUGUGGCUAGAUCGAGUUCGAGCUCGACGGAAAGGGGAAAAAGGGCCAAGGUGCCAGAGCCUCGAUGCUAUGAGGGGGUAAGAGAUGCCAAUGAGCUUGAAGACUUUUUGUUUGACAUGGAGCAGUACUUUUGAGUUGUACACACGGAUUCAGAGAAAGAUAAGGUAGCAAUGGUGUCGAUGUACCUCAUAGGGGAUGCCAAGCUAUGGUGGCGCUCCAAGUUUAUCAAUGACAAGUGUCUAAUUAAGACUUGGACGGACCUGAAACAAAAAUUGAAAAAUCAAUUCUUCCCUGAGAAUGUGGAGUAUAUGACCCGAAGGAAACUUCGAGAAUUGGUGCAAACAGGAACAAUGCAAAAGUUUGUGAAGAGUUUUUCUACCCUGAUGCUAGAUAUUCGAGACAUGUCCAAAAAGGACAAGAUGUUUUAUUUUCUUAAGGGCCUCAAGCCUUGGGCCAGGACAGAACUACAAAGAUAAAAAGUGCAAGAUGUGGCCACGGUCAUGGCUGUAGCUAAAUGUCUCCAUGAUUAUAAUGAUGGCUCCUCAAAACGAAAAAAUCCUCCAUCAGUUGGCAGUAACUUCAACUUUGAGAGUGGGAGAAAGAUGACUAGCUUGGACUGACCUUUCAGUGAAGGAUCAAACAGGAGGUCUUUUGGUCGAGAUAGCACCCAACCCAAGAUAAACAAUGCAGUGAUUUUCAAGCCUAGGGAACCACUAGCUUGCUUUCUAUGUAAGGGGUCGCAUCGGGUGGCUGAAUGCCCAACAGAGGAGCCCUUAAUGCCUUAAGUGCCUUAUCUCAAGAGUCCAUAAAAGCACCAGAGAUCGUUGAAGAAGUUGAAAAAGAGCCAACCAGGAUGGGUUCAAUAAAAUUCUUCAAUGCCUUUCAUACCCAGCUGAAUACAAUAAAGAAAGAGUAGGAUAGAAGCCUGAUGUAUGUGAACUUAAUGAUCAAUGAGAAGGCCACCAGGGCUGUGGUAGACACGGGUGCAAUCGAUACCUUCAUCACACCAGAAGAAGCAAAAAUGUGUAGUCUUCAAGUUAGUAAGGACUGUGGAUGAAUGAAAGCAGCCAAUUUACCAGCCUUUAAGAUCAGAAGAAGCUCCAAGAGUGUGAUGACCAAAUUGAGGCCAUGAAAAGGGAAGGUAAACUUUACAGUUUCCUCAUGGAUGACUUUGAUGUCAUCUUCAGAUUGGACUUCAUAACGUUGGCUCAGGUGAUCCCUAUCUCCGUCGCUAGUUGCCUGUUGUUCUUAGGGGAACAUCCAUGUGUGGUGUUGGCCACUAUCUUGCCAAAGAAUGAGAAGAAAAUGAUCUCAGCUUUACAGUUCAAGAAAGGGGUAAAGAGAGAAGAACCCUAAUUUAUGGCUAUAUCGAUUUACAAAGAAGGGUUGUGAGUGGAAUCGAUACCCGAUGACGUGGAAAAAAUGUUGAAAGAAUUAGAAAAGGUGAUGCCAGGGAUGUUGCCUAAGGUUUUAUCUCCUCGAAGAGCCGUGGACCAUGAAAUUGAGCUCUUCCUAGGAGUUAAACCCCCUGCUUGAGCCUCUUAUCGCAUGGCCCCGCCAGAGUUGGCCAAAUUAAGGAAACAGUUAGAUGAGCUUCUACAGGUCGGGUUCAUUAGACCAUCAAAGGCUCUUUUUGGAGUGCUAGUGCUAUUUUAGAAGAAACAUGAUAAAAGUUUAUGAUUAUGUGUUGACUACAGGGCCCUGAACAAAGUCACCGUAAAAAACAAAUAUCAUAUCCCUCUUAUAGUAGAUUUGUUUGAUCAACUAAAUCGGGUCAAGUAGUUUUCUAAAUUGGACUUGAAAUUUGGCUACCAUCAGGUCAGAAUCGCUAAGGGAGAUGAGCCAAAGAUCACUUGUGUAACAUGGUAUAGCACAUUUGAAUUUCUUGUUAUGCUCUUUAGACUGAUCAAUGCUCUUGUCACAUUUUGUACAUUGAUGAAUCAGGUGUUCCAUGACUAUCUAAACAAAUUUGUAGUCAUCUAUUUAGAUGACAUAGUGGUAUAUAGCUCUACUCUGGAAGAAUAUCAAGAACUCUUAUGCCAGGUGCUUUAAAGAUUACAAAACCACCAGUUAUAUGUGAAAAGGGAGAAAUGUACAUUUGCUCAGACCCAAAUCCACUUUCUCGGUCACAUUGUCGAACAUGGCCACAUUCGUAUAGACAUGAAAAAGGUUAGGACCAUCAAGGAGUGGACAACACCAAAGAAUGUUAGUGAACUUCGCUCAUUUUUGGGACUAGCUAACUAUUAUAGAAGGUUUGUAGAAGGGUACUCUUGCAAGACCAUGGCCCUUACAGAGCUAUUAAAAAAGGAGCAUAAAUGGUAUUGGACAAGUGAGUGCCAAAAGACCUUUGAGGGAUUUAAAGAUGCUAUUAUGAAAGAUUUUAUCUUAGCUCUCCCUGAUAUUGAAAAGCCUUUCGAAGUUCAGACGGAUGCAUUUGAUUUUCUUAUUUGGGGAGUGCUUUUACAACAAUGUCACCCAAUAGCAUUUGAAAGUAGGAAGCUAAGUGAAGCUGAGAGAAAAUAUAUAGCCCAAAAAAAAGAGCUCUUGGCUGUAGUUCACUGCCUGAGGGCUUGGCGACAUUAUUUGUUGGGUUCACACUUUGUCGUGAAGACAGACAAUGCGGUCGUUAGCCAUUUCUUCACCCAACCAAGGCUUACAGCGAAACAAGCUAAUGGUAAGAAUUUUUAGUAGAGUUCGACUUUUAUUUUGAGCAUACCGCUGGAAAGACCAAUCAAGUGGCCAAUGCAUUGAGCAGAUGAAUAAAGUUAGCAGCCCUUAGAAGAAUUACCCCAAUGGCGGCUAGCAGAGUCACGACAAAUAUUCGUAAGUUAAUUGAAGAUCAUUUAGGGAAGGACCUGCAGGCCAGUGCCAUCCUGAAGCUAGUUGAAGAAGGGAAGUCUAAGUACUUCUAGUAAGAAAAUGAGGUCUUAUAGACCAAGGGGCCCUGAUUGUUUAUGCCAAGAGUAGGAGGUCUGAGACAAAUGCUAAUGAGGGAAUGUCAUGACACACCAUGAGCUGAACAUUCGAGCUGGUAACGCACUUUGGCUUUAUUGAAACAGGGAUACUAUUGGCCUCAAAUGCGAUAAGACAUGAUGGACUAUACAAAGACUUGCCUCAUUUGCCAACAAGACAAAGUUGAAAAGAAAAAACUUACAGGCAUGCUUGAACCACUACCGAUGCCUACUAGACCGUGGGAAAGCGUUUAUCUCGAUUUCAUUUCAGGCUUUCCCAAGGUUAGUGAUCUUGGAGCUAUUUUGGUGGUGAUUAAUCGUUUCUCUAAGUACGCUACAUUCAUCCCUACUCACAAGUAUUAUACUACGAAAGACACAGCUCGAUUACUAUUUAAACAUGUGGUCAAAUACUGAGACCUCUCUCAAAACAUUGUAAGCGAUAGAGAUCCGAGAUUCACGGAAUCCUUUUGGAGAGAACUUUUCAAGAUAUUGGGGUCUCAACUUAACAUCUCCUCAAGCUACCACCCUCAAACCGAUGGUCAAACGAAACGGUUCAAUAGAUUACUAGAGGAAUACUUAAGGCACUUUGUUCAAGCUAAUUAGAAGAACUGGCAUUCGUUAUUGGAUGUUGCUCAGCUUUGCUUUAAUUCCAACAAAAGCUCUUCCACUAACAAGAGCCCGUUUAAGUUGGUCACCGGACAAUUAUCAAAGUUACCCCAUACUUUCUUAGAGCAAUAUAGAGGGAAGAAUCCGAGAGCCUUCAACCUCGACAAGGAGUGGAAACAAAACACUAAGAUGGCACAAGCUUACCUGGAGAAAGCAUCGAAGCGAAUAAAGAAAUAGGUAGACAAAGGUCAUAAGGCGCAACAAUUUCAAGUUGGUGAUUUGGUUCUUGUUCGACUAGUCCCUGAACAAAUCAGGUUCUUGAGAAAGAGAGAUUGCAGAUUAGUGCACAAAUAUGAGGGUCCAGUGAAGAUCCUUUCUAAGAUGGAGAAUGCUUCAUACAAAAUUGACCCACCAAAAUGGAUGAAGGUGCACUCAGUAUUUCAUGUGAGCAACCUGAAACCUUUUCAUACAGAUCUUAUAGAUGCUAGCCGAAAGGAGCCAACCAAUGCCACCAUCACCAUGAAGCCACCCUCAGAGUGUCGAGUCGAAGAGAUCUUAAUCGACAGGGAAACCAAGGUAUCUCGAAGACUAGUUCAUGAAUACUUAAUGAAGUGAGAGAGAUUAGGACUAGAAAAAACUAGUUGGGAAAAGAAACACGACCUCUGAAGAUUCAAGAGGAAAAUUGAAGAAUUUCAAGCUAACAAGUCGACGAGGACAUCGAUUAGAAUAUGUGAGGUAGGAUGCCAUGAGCCAACUUUGUAUAGGGCCAUGAUCGGGGCUUAGGUUGUCAUGAGCCACCCAUGUAUAGGGUCAUGAUCGGGUAGAUCUCUUGUGCUAGGAAAAGUGUCCCCAUUUUAAAUAUUAUAAUGGUUAGUGGUAGCAUAACUCUAAAAUCUCUAAGGCUCUUUAGGGGAGUGAGCGGGUAACGUACUAUUGGGCUGUCUCACUUAUCGCAAUACGGGUUUAGGCCAUCCGUCAAGGGCUAUCCUCUGGCCCUGGCGAUGGUGGGAAGUCCCGAUAUACUAUCCUCGAUUAUAAUAAAAUUUACCUCCGAUUCGAAUGUUUCGAAUGUUACCUUGAUGUGUUUUUUUUUUGUCGAUAUGAAUGUGCCUUCUUGUGUGUGUUUGAGAUUGAUCUCGAUAUAAAUGUGUUAUUGCGUACGCUUGGGACUAACUGUGACUUAUGAUUAUUUAUUCAAAUAUCGAACUAUUGAGGGCUGAUUUGGGUGGGAGAGUCCAUUCAAAUGUCGCACGAUCUAUUGCUUGUUGAGAGAAAGCCUAGUCCGUGACACCUUCCCAUUUGGCUAGAGGCUUACUUAAAAUGUGAAGGUGUCGAUGCAGCAGGUUUUGACUUGGAUCUUCGAGCAAUCUAUACGCUAUGCAUGCCUUUUGCUUUUAAUGCUAAACUCUAAAUUGAGGCUAUUAAAGAUCUACUUUUCCCGGGUAAAGGAAAGAAUAUGCUUAACACAUGUACCUUGGACUUUGCUUUCUAGAUUGAUCUUUAGCUAAAACAUCCUUUCUCUUGUUCCUAAAAGCGAAUUGGUGUCUUUUGAUUAGCUGUCACAUUUGGUCAAAUGACACAUUUAGAAGGUGUGAAAUUGGCCAAUGUGAAGUAGAAUAGGUAAUUCGAAAUUCAAUAUCAUAAGAGAAGAAGUUGACAUUCGAAAGAAGUAGAAGUUUCAUAAAAUUUUCUUUCUUCAUUAUCGCUUGAUAGUUGAUCGAGAAAGCUCCGCCCAAUAGAGCCUAACCAAGAGUGGACCGAAAUGGUCCCGUGAAGUCGAUCCCCGGAGCCCUAAAAGACUUUAAAAACCUUGAAGAUAGAUAGAACAAUUAUGAACAAUUUCAACGAUUCUAUUCAAAAUUUAGUAGAUUGGUCAAUUUCCUUGAAUCAAUAAAAACUAUCAAUUCUUUCAACUAGAUUAGAAGGGAAAACACAAACUCUUUGAUCUAUAAUCGGAAAGGGGGACUUCCACCAACAAUAGUGAAGGUCGCCCCUAUUAAGUAAGUUCAAAGUUCAAAGAAUGGCUUAAGAAGUGGCACAAGACAGAUUGAAAGCAAAGAGAGUGGGAAAGCUAACCCGUUCAUUGAAUCAGACCUUCGUCUUCAGGCUUCUACGCGAGGAACAUGCUUUUUGACAUCCAGUUUAAGCUAUGCCAAGAGAUUACACUACUUUGAUAAGGUCGGUUCCCUUGGUCAUUCUUCAGGAGAAGUCCCGAAACUGUCAAUUGAUAGGAUCAUUGCUAACCCAUUGGCUUCACGAGAUCGGAUAGCGCAUAAGAGGGCAUUUUCUGAAUGAGAAGAUUCUCUUUCUACACUCUAGACAUAUCCUGCCCCUUCUUUACUUGCCCGCCUCAGAAUAUUCCUUCCGGUGGGACGAAGUCGCAUUGAUUGAAUCGGCUCUGGCCGUCGCCGAAAAAGUGAGGCUUUACUUGACGAGUAGACCUUAGUUACCCGCUUAUUGCUUAUUAAGACCUGCAAGAAGCUGAGUUUCUUUGCUUUCACAGUAGUUGGAAAAAGUCAAAGCAGCAGACCAGUAGUCCCAUUAUCCACCUUUAGAGACAUUUUUGAAGAAGGUUCCGUUUAACACAUCUUGGCCGAGCAGGAAAUAAGUGCUUUGUCGGUUGAAGGUGCUCUCUUCUCUACUCCGUCACAUAGGAUACACUCUCAUAGUAUUCUCUGCAUCUUCUGUCUCGUCUCUUGGCUUUCUGGGAGAUAGUUGAAACCAACCAAACGGGACCAAAAGUAAAGCUAUCUCCCGCUCUAAAAGUAAAAGAGAGACUCCUUUAUUUUUUUAUCGUAAGUCAACUUUUAUUCAGUUUGACUUUGUUUGCCUUUCGGGGUUAUCAGUUGUUGAAUCAAAACUUUCGUCGUCUUGGCCCACACCCCGUUCGUUGGUGAAGUAAGCUAUCUUACGAAAACUAGCUUGUUUCUGUUGGGAAACACUACAGCUUUGAUACUAUUUGUUGGAAAAAUCACAGCUCUGAUACCAUUUGUUGGGCUAAAAGCCUCCAAUCCAAUCACACUAGCGAAAGCGAAAUCAAACAAUAAAUCAAACACAUAAGAGACAACAAUUUAACGUGAUUCGGUUCAACUGACCUACAUCCACGGAUGAGAAACAAGAUCUACUAGUUGUAGAGAAUUACAAACAUACAUCAUAUCAUUAACCUCACUCAACAAUCAAUACUCAUAAGACACUCUCAAUCUCCUUUAGUCCUAUGGAGUAUUCUCAACCCAAACAAACACAAACCCAAACCCUUGUGCACCCUUUCAACAUAACCAAACACAUACCCAUAUGCUCCCAUACAUCAUACCUAUGUGGACCCUCUCAAUCUCCUCAAGUCUACUCAUAAACAAACAUACACACCCAUAAGACGUAGAGCCCCAAUACUCCUAUGGGGUGUCUAUCCCACAAAACCCUACAACUCUCUUACAUCUUUUUCUCAUACCUAACCCUGUAUAGACUUCACCUAUUUAUAACCAUACAAACUUGCCCAUUAAGAAUCUCUCUCCUCUUAGAAUUCUUCUCCUGUAAGUCAAACUUGCCUAUUAAGAAUCCCUUUACUUUUAGAAUUCUUCUCUUGCAAGUCAAACUUACCUAUUAAGAAUCCUUUUUCUCUUGGAAUUCUUUUUUUGCAAGUAUUAUUGUCCAUCAAGUAAUAUCUGACAAAUCUCAAACAAAUCUCAAAUAAAUCUCUAACAAAUCUCAAACAAAUCUCUUAUGAGAUUUGAGUCAAUAUUCCCAACAGCUUCUAGUCCCCCGCCUCACUUCUCUUUAUAAGGCCCUUUGUCCCACUUCGGUAGAUAUUAUGUCCGACCAAAACUACUUGUGAGGAGCCGCAAAGUACCACCAUGUAGCUAGGGGGUAUGGGUCUCGGUACCGGUCCUCGGUGUAUAGCUGAUGCGGUGGGGUUAAAGAGGCUACGCUAUUGAGAAAGCUUAAGAUUCAGCAGGGGGGGCUGUAUCGUGGAAGUAAUGGCCUUGAUCUUUCAACUCUUCCAGGUAUGAAACAGGUCAUAAAGCAAGGGCUGCUUCAUCCGCCUUGAAAGAAGUCUUGUCUGAAACAACGGGCCCUUGUUCUACCAACCCAGUUUUUGUUUAAAAAAGAUAUCAUGCCGUUUCUCUGGAACCAACAACGGAUCUAUUUUCUCGAGAUAGCAUUUACCGAAGAAGGUUGUCUCAAAGCCAUAAUCUACCUCCAAAAAAAUUGGCAUAGACAUCUGAAUAAACAAAAGCUUCAGGCUUGACGCAGGCCUAAGCGGACUCAGCUAAAAUGCUAAAUGAAAAGUCAUAACUAACAGAAUAGGAGCACUCAUGAAACCUUGGAUGGUCAUCAGGUAUAAAAAGAAAAAUUCAGAAUUAAUAGAAUUGGAGGGAGUAGAAUUUACUGCUAGUAGAACAAAAGCCAGGAAAGAGGGUUGGAUGGAUAUUCGGGGGACCCAUGGUUUAAGUGUUUAAACUCCGAUCGUAUGUAAGGGUCUUUGCCUAUUCUAUGAAUUCACAUAAAAGGAAGACCUGACUAAGCAAGUUUCUGGGUUAUUUCAGAAGACAAAACCAAAGUCGAGGAAGGAGAAUCAUACGAGUCCUCCUUAAUUCACAAAGCCUAAAGUUGGCGUUAUAAUAUCUAUUUUAUGAAAAAAUAAAUAUAAAGCCGAGAUUGACUCUUUCUUAUCAACGAAAUCAUUAGAACGGUAGGCCCGGUGUCAUGAGCCAACACUUUUGUAUAGGAUCAUGAUCAGGUUUAAGUAGUCAUGUGCCACCCAUAUAUAGGGCCAUGAUCGGGUAGAAGUGCCAAAGCGAAGGAUAGGAUCUUUAGGCUAGGAAAAAUAUCCCCAUUUCAAACAUUAUAACGGUUAGUGAUAGCAUAGCUAUAAAAUCUCAUUUGUUCUUUAAGGGGAGUGAGCAGUUAGCAUACUAUUAGGCUAUCUCAUUGGUUAAAGUACGAACGUAAGCCACCCGUCAAGGGUUGCCCCCUGGCCUCGACGAUGGUGUGAAGUCUCGAUGUACUAUUCUUGAUAAUAAUAAAAUACAUCUUUUAUUCGAAAGUCCCGAGUGUUACCUCGAUGUGUUUUUCUUUCUCGAUAUGAAUAUGUCUUCUUGUGUAUGCUUGAUAUUAACUAUGACUUAUGGUUGCUUGUUCAGAUAUCAAGCUAUUGUUGGUUGACUUAGGUGGAAGCGUCCAUUCAAGUGCCGCACGAUCUAUCGCUUGUUGAGAGAAAGCUUAGCCUAUGACACGUGGUAUCAAAGCACAGUGUGAAGUGCUAAAGAAUUGAGAAAAUGGCCACGAAUGAUGGAUUCAACCAUCAACAGAGAAUUGAAGAGCUUGAAGCUGCGGUGGCCACUUUGAAAGCUCAUGUGCUUACAACCGAUCGUCUGAGGGAGAUUGAGAUGACCUAGUGAGAGUUGUCCGAUACUCUACAUAGCUUGAGUGAAGAGGCUAAAGAUGCCUUGAAUGUCCUCCAAAAAAAGUUUGAGGAGCUUAGGGCCCAAGUAGGCGUCUUAUAGGUAGCGGUGGCUAGGUCGAGUUCUAGCUCGGGGGAAAAAGGAAAAAAGGCCAAAAGGCCAAAUCUCCGAUGCUAUGAGGGGAGCAAGAGAUGCCAAAGAGCUUGAAAACUUUUUGUUUGACAUAGAGCAAGACUUUCGAGCCGUGCGUACGAAAUCAGAGGAAGACAAGGUGGCAAUGGCAUCAAUGUACCUUGCGGGGGAUGCCAAGCUUUGGUGGCGUUCAAAAUUUGUAAAUAAUGAAUGCCCUAUCAAAACUUAGAUGGACCUGAAGCAGGAAUUAAAAAAUCAGUUCUUUUAUGAGAACGUAAAAUAUAUGGUCCGAAAGAAACUUUGAGAGUUGGUGCAAACGAGAACAGUGCAAGAGUUUGUAAGGAGCUUUUUUACCCUAAUGUUGGACAUUAGAUACAUGUUUGAAAAGGAUAAAAUGUUUUAUUUUCUUGAGGGCCUUAAACCUUGGGCCAAGACAGAACUUAAAAGGCAAAAGGUGCAAGAUGUAGCCACGACCAUGGCUGCAGCCGAAUGCCUUCAUGAUUACAAUGAUGGCUCCUCAAAAUGAAAAAAUUCUCCAUUAGAUGGUAGUAACUCCAUCUUUAGGAGUGGGGGAAAGAUGGCCAAAGUGGACUAAACCUUCAGUGGGGGAUAAGAUAAAAGGCCCUUUGGUCGAGACACCACCCAACCCAGAGCAAACCAUGCAACAAGUUUCAGGCCUAGGCAACCGUUAGCUUGUUUCUUAUGCAAGGGGUCGUAUCGAAUGGCUGAGUGCCCUCAUAGAGGGGCCCUUAAUGCCUUGAGAGCCUCGUCUCAAGAUUUCAUAAAAGCACCUUAGAUAGUCGAAUAGAUUGAAAAGGAACCGGCCAGGAUGGGCUCGAUGCGAUUUUUAAAUACCCUCUGUACCCAGCUUAACAUGGUAAAGAAAGAAUCGAGUAGAAGCUUGAUGUAUGAGGACCUAAUACUCAAUGAGAAAACCACAAGGGCUAUAGUUGAUAUGGGUGCAAUCCAUACCUUCAUUACACCUGAGAAAGCAAAAAGGUGUGGUCAAGGUGAAUAAGGACUACGGAUAAAUGAAAGUGGUCAACUCACCAGCCUUCGCAAUCAGUGGAAGCUCCAAGAAUGUGUGACCAAGUUGGGGCCAUGGGAAGGAAAGGUAGACUUCACUGUUUGCCCCAUGAAUGACUUUGAUAUUGUCUUCAGAUUGGACUUCAUGAUGUUGGCUCAAGCGAUACCAAUCCCCGUUGCUAGUUGUCUGUUGUUCUUAGGGGAGCAACCCUGUGUGGUGCUAACCACAAUCUUGUCAAAAAAUAGAAAGAAAAUGAUCUCAACACUAUAAUUCAAGAAAAGGAUAAAGAGAGGGGAGCUCUCUUAUGUGGUGAUGUCGAUCUACAAGGAUAGGAUAGAGUUAGAUCCAAUACUCGAUGGGGUGGAAAGGGAGUUAGAAAAGUUUAAGAAUAUGAUGCCAGAACAAUUGCCUAAGGUUUUACCUCUUCGAAGAUCGGUUAACCAUGAAAUUGAACUUCUCCUAGGGGUCAAACCCCUUGUUAAGGCCCCAUAUCGCAUGGCUCCACCAGAAUUGGCUGAACUAAGGAAACAAUUGGAUGAACUCUUACAGGCUGAGUUCAUUAGGUCAUUAAAAGCACCUUUUAGAGCACCCAUGCUAUUUCAGAAGAAGCAUGAUGGAAGCCUACGAUUAUAUGUCGACUACAAAUUCCUAAACAAGGUCACCAUGAGAAAUAAGUUCUUGAUUUCCCUUAUUGUUGAUUUGUUUGAUCAACUGAGUUGGACCAAAUACUUUUUCAAAUUAGACCUGAGGUCUGGCUAUCAUCAAGUCAGAAUUAUGAAAGGAGAUGAACCGAAAACUACUUGUGUAACCCGGUAUGGCGCAUUUGAAUUUCUUGUUAUGCCUUUUGGACUAACCAAUACUCCCAUCACAUUUUGUAUCUUGAUAAAUCAGGUGUUCCAUGAUUAUCUUGACAAAUUCAUGGUGAUUUUUUGGAUAACAUAGUGGUCUAUAGCUCCAUUUUGGAAGAACAUCAAGAACACUUACGCCUAGUGCUUCAAAGAUUACAAGACCACCAGUUAUAGGUGAAAAGAGAGAAAUGUGCCUUUGUUCAGACCUAAAUCCAUUUUCUAAGUCACAUUGUCGAACAAGGCCACAUUUGAAUGGAUAUGAAAAAGGUUAAAGCCAUCAAGAAGUGGAUAACACCCAAGAAUGUUAGUGAGCUUCGCUCGUUUUUAGGAUUGACCAACUAUUACAAAAAAUUUGUAGAAGGGUACUAUCGUAGAACUACAGCCCUCACAGAACUAUUGAAAAUAAAGCAUAAAUGGUGUUGGACGAGCGAAUGUCAAGAGGUAUUUGAAGGACUGAAGGAAGCCAUUAUGAAAGAUCCUAUCUUGGCCCUCCCUGACAUCGACAACCCUUUAAAGUCCAAAUAGAUGCUUCUGACUUCGCUAUUGGAGGAGUUCUCCUACAAGCGUGACACCCAAUAGUAUUUGAAAGUGGAAAGCUAAGUGAAGUUGAGAGAAAAUAUACGGCCCAAUAGAAAGAACUCCUAGCAGUAAUUCACUGUUUGAGAACUUGACGACAUUAUUUGUUGGGCUCACACUUUGUAGUGAAGAUAGACAAUGCGGUAGUUAGUCACUUUUUCACCCAACCAAGGCUCACAGCGAAGCAAGCUCGAUGGUAAGAAUUUUUAGUUGAGUUUGAUUUUUGCUUUGAGAACACACUGCGGGAACAACCAAUCAAGUGGUUGAUGCAUUGAGCCGACGAGUAGAAUUAGCAACCCUGAGAAAAAUUACCCCAAUGACAGCUAGCAAAGUUACAACAGACAUUCGUAAGUUAAUUGAAAAGAAUUUAAGAAAAGACCCACAGGUCGGUGCCAUUCUAAAGUUAGUUGAAGAAAGAAAGUCGAAGUACUUUUGGCAGGAGAAUAUGGCCUUAUGGACAAAGGACCUUUGAUUGUUUGUGCCAAAAGCAGGAGGUCUGAGACAAAUGCUGAUUAAAAAAGGUCACGACACACCAUGGGCAGGUCACCCAGGUUGGCAAUGUACUUUUACUCUAUUAAAACAAGGCUACUAUUGGCCUCGCAUGCGACAAGAUGUUAUGGACUACAACAAGACGUGUCUUAUUUACCAACAGGAUAAAGUUGAAAAGAAUAAACUAGCAGGCUUGCUCGAACCAUUACCGGUGCCCACCCAAUUGUGAGAAAGCAUCUCUCUUAAUUUCAUAUCGAGUCUUCCCAAAGUGGGUGAUCUUGGGUCUAUCUUGGUGGUUAUUGACCAUUUCUCGAAGUAUGUUACAUUCAUUCACGCCCUUAAGUUUUGUAUUGCGAAAGAUACAGCUCGGCUAAUGUUUAAACAUGUGAUCAACUAUUGGGGCCUUCCCUAAAACAUUGUCAGUGACACAGAUCCAAGAUUCACGGGGUCAUUUUGGAAAGAACUUUUCAAGAUUUUGGGAUCUCAACUUAACAUUUCUUCAAGCUACCACCCCUAGACAGAUGGACAAACUGAACGGUUCAAUGGACUAUUGGAAGAGUACUUAAGGCACUUUGUUCAAGCUAAUCAGAAUAACUAGCCUUCGUUACUAGACAUUACCCAACUCUGUUUCAAUUUCAAUAAGAGCUUUUCCACCAACAAAAGUCCGUUCGAAGUGGUCACGGGACAACUACCAAGACUACCCCAUAGCUCUUUUAAGCAAUAUGGAGGAAAGAAUCCUCGAGCCUUCAACCUCAGUAAAGAAUAGAAAUAGAACACAGGGAUUGUACGAGCCUACAUAGAAAAGACAUCCUAGUGCAUGAAGAAGUGGGCAGACAAAGGUCGGAGAGCACAACAAUUCCAAGUUGGUGAUCUCGUUCUAGUCAGAUUAGUGCCUGAACAAACUAGGUUCCUGAAGAAGCAAGACCGUAGAUUGGUGCGAAAGUAUGAAGGCCUAGUGAAGAUCAUUACCAAGGUGGGAAAUGCUGCCUACAAAAUAAACCCAUCGAAAUGGAUGAAAGUACACCCAGUAUUCCAUGUGAGCAACUUGAAACCUUUUCAUGCAGAUCCAAGAGAUGCAAGUCACAAAGAGUCAACCAGGGUUGCCAUCACCAUGAAGCCACCAUCAGAGCGCCACGUUGAAGAGAUCCUAGCCGACAUAGUAUCCAGAGCAUUAAAAAGAUUAGUUCACAAAUAUUAAGUGAAAUGGGAGGGCUUAGGACCAGAAGAAGCUAGCUGGGAGAUAGAGCACGACCUUCGGGUAUUCAAGAGGAAGAUUGAAGAAUUUCAAGCCAACAAAUCGAUGAAGUCAUCGAUAGAAUAGGUGGGGGAAGAUGUCAUGAGCCAACGCUUUUAUAUAGGGCCAUGACUGGGUUUAGGUAGUCAUGUGCCACCCAUGUAUAGGGCCAUGACCAGGUAGAGGUGCCAAAGGGAAGGAUAAACCCCUUAGGCUAAAAAAAGUGUCUCAAUUUCAAACAUUAUAAUGGUUAGUGGUAGCAUAGCUAUAAAAUCUCAUUUGCUCUUUAGGGGGUUGAGCAGUCAGCAUACUAUUGGGCUGUCUCAUUGGUUAAGAUACAAAAGUAGGCCACUGGUCAAGGGCUACCCCCUGGCCCCAACGAUGGUGUGAAGUCUCAAUGUAUUAUUCCCGAUAAUAAUAAAAUACAUCUUUUAUUCGAAAGUCUCGAGUGUUACCCCGAUGUAUUUUUCUUUCUCUCGAUAUGAAUAUGUCUUCUUGUGUAUGCUUGAGAUUAACUAUGGCUUAUAGUUACUUGUUCAGAUAUCGAGUUAUUGUUGGUUGACUUGGGUGGGAAUGUUCAUUCAAGUGUCGUACGAUCUAUCACUUAUUAAGAGAAAGCUUAGCCCGUGACACCCGACCUGCUGACCCUAAAGACACGAGCUCAACAAUUUAAAUGCGUAGGAGCAUCAACCAUUUGUCGAAUCGAAAGCUUCGCCUACGACGUAACUCAGCGCGGUAAGCUCUAUUUUCCUGGCGCUUGUUUAAGGCGGUACGGUAUCUCAAUACUUUUUUUUCUAACUAAUAAAAUUGAAAAUAACAUCGGCUAGUGAGCAAACGAGCUUCGGAAUUGGAUCAAAGCCAAGAACCGAGGUCUGGAGUGUCCGGAUCAGACUAAGAAAAGAAGAAAGGUAAGGUGUUCGCGAUUUCGAAGAAGUAGCAUGUGCUCCGUUCUAGGCCGGCUCGCUUAGUCUUCAAUACAUCGUCAAUGGCUGCUAACGCCGCGACGAGGGCGCGACGGGUUGCCUUCGGAGCUAAAUAGAAAAAUGAUGUGCGCUAACCUUCCAACGGUCUAUCUGACUUCUGAAAAGAUGCCAUUUCACACCUCUAUGAUUGAUUAUGAAAUCAUCAUUCGGAUUUAGUAAUGUGAUCUUCAACCGGGUCAAUUAAGGCGGCUAGAUCGACCCACUCUAACUACAGCUAAACUUAAUUACAUAAAGUAAAAUAUAGUAAAGCCCCUUGUACCCAUAUAAGUGAAAAACCAUUACAUUGGAAAAUGACAGCUUCGGGAGGAUAGCGAAGCCUGCCUUAGGCUAGCGACGUGUUUCCGGGUAAGAAAAAGCGCGGGCGGGUACCUCCCUGACCCACUGAAUACAACAAAAUAAAGGGGAAGGACGUAACAUAGAAGAAGUAGGCUGAUCCAGAUCCAGAUAAGCAUCCUUUUGCCUUUAAUGUUUGGUAGGAGCAGCUGAGCAUAUGCUAGAAUUAGAAUCACGCGUAAUGAAGCGCUUGUCUUACUUAUCUAAAACAUACAAAAACCCUGCUACAAAUGAGCGGCAUAUGAACGGAACGAGACCCUUCGAAAGACGAGACUCAGAUCGGGGAUCAAAAAGCCCUUUCUUUACGUACUAUUCAUUUUCUGAUUUUGAAGAUUAUUUUUAUUCUGCAGGUGCAGAUUCGGCGUCGGCCUAGGCUUCUUUAUACCUUGGAUUUGGUACUAUAGCCUAUGCUUUAGGAACAGGCUCAGGCCACAUAGCUUAAGGUGGAUCGGAUCCUACAUACUUUUCACCUUUUCACACAGACAGACGAAAAAUUUGAAAACAAAUCAUCAACUUCAACUGCGGAAUGCCCCGGAUCACGGGUAUUCUUAUUGUGGUUAUAGACCCCAUAUUGGCUUGGCUACUGGAAUCAUUUAUUCCCCUCUUUUCUAGCUUCAGAUUUGGCUUAAGCUUCGGAUUCUUAACUUAAGAUUAGGGGGGAACAGGAGCUUUUGGUUUUGAUGCUACAGUGGUGAGUUUACACCCACCGAAGCGAGUGUGACAAACCAAGUUUUGGCUUUAGAAAGUGCUCCAAUGUUUAAAGCGUAAGACGAAUCUGAUAAAAAUAGGUAGAGACAGAACAAGGAGCAGGGCUAGACCACUAUAGGACAAGAUAAAAAGUAGCCUUUUGUCUCCGGGUGGAACCAACGAUUCGUUCUAUUUGACGAAAGAAGGCUUGUGGCUGAAGGUUCAUGGGACCUUACAUUGCUGAAACUGGACGGACGACUGGACCUUAACCUUUGAAGACGAGAAUUCGAAUUAUUAUAGAAGUAAAUAAGGUUUUCGAUCACUUCAAAUGGCAUAUUUAUUCGUUUUUUAAAAGUUCUAAUGAGACUUCUUUGUAUUUGCUUUUUUUCUUAGUUCUGAGCCUGGCUUAUGGCUGCUUCUUUUUUCCAACAAAAGAAAUAGAAAACCCCAACGACAAAGGAACGGGCAUUUUCGGUUAUUAUGCAUCGUGGCCUGUCUUUGCCCUCACUCACCAUUAUGUGGUGUGGUGGUUGGCCAAAUAGGUGUACCCAGAUACUCUAUUAGGUAUGCAGUACUCGGUGAUGAUAUUAUUACAGCUGAUGAGUCUGUAGCUAAAGUCUAUAAGCUAAUUUUAUAAGAUUUUGGGGUCACGAUCUCGACCCAAAAAUCGUUGAUCUUCGUUCAGCCGAGUUUGCUAAGCGAUUCCGAGUGAGAGGGUUUUUUGUGGACCUCAAUUCUAUUUCAAUUGUUAAUCUUGUGAAUAACCAUCACUUCUGCCUUGUAAUCGCCUUACAUUUAAAAAUAUUCAAUCAAUCAAAAGAUAAAAAAGAAAAAAAAAGACCAAGACAAUACGUACCUGAAUCUACACAGUAGGCAAAAAAAAGGCUCGGGACGAAAUCGAAUGAUUACCGCGCUCCGUCUCCGUGGAGCUCAAGACUAGUAGUGAUACCUGAUUGAUCGAUGCGUAGGAAGAUGACCCAUGCCAUUGGUUUUAGCUUCUGAUGCGAAUAGGCAAAUGGAAUCGAUAAACAAUUGCUACAUACGUUAUGUUAUGGAGCUCUGAUACCCCCAGUGUACUUAUUAACUGGUGGGAAUUUUAGUCUAACCGACCAGUGAAGCAGGUAUGGGGUACCUGAAUUCCUUUAUAUAUGAUAUUUCUGUUUAUGUCAGAGGUGCCCAAAGCUAGAAGCAAGAUUUCGAGUCGAAUAUUCAAAGCUUUUAAGGGCUUACCUGCUUUCUGUUCGAGAGUAGGAAUCGACUCUAAGAGCAGAGUCUAAGAGCAGAGUCCAACUAGAAGAGUGAAAACAACUAUAAGAUUAAGAUGGCACUGCAACUAGCCUAGCUUUGACUUUAUUUCAAGUCAGAAUGUUCUCCCGCUCGAAGAAUGUGUUCCUACCAAAAUAGUGGUUGAAGAAAGGACUGCUUUGCCCGCUGUUCCAGUAUUUGCUUGACCCCUAUCUAUCUAGAAUAAAUAGUCAGACCAGACUGGCUAGAAGCUUCCGGAGAAGAGUCACUCUACACUCUAAGAGUAAGCGGAAAGCCGCCCAAAAAUAGAAUAGUCGGAAGAAGCCUCUCGAAUCGGAACGGAAGUAAGCGCAGAGAUGGCACCACCGGUUUAGUUGAAGACUUCGCUUCUUUUUUUUAGGCUGAUUUCAUUUGGAAGCGUUGACAUUUUACUUUCGGGGAGCCGAUUUACUGGCGUACACCCUUUUGGGGAAACUUGAACAGGGCAAGAAAUCGAGAGGAAUUUUUCUUUUUUUUGUAUUUGCCUUCUCCGGCGUUCACUUCUAAAAAGGCAUUUUCUUAUAAAAGAAAGGAGGGGCCCAAUUUAAACUAGAGAUUCUGUCGGUUGAGGCCUGUUGACCAACUUGAAACUCUAUUGACGAUGAGAUUAGGCCUUUUAAGAAGCCUAGAGUAGAAUAGUCAGUGAGAGCUGAAAUUAGUCCUUUUUUUUCUUGUUUGCCUGUGAAUUUUACCGUUCUGGGAUAGCUAUAAGACUUCUAGUAGAAUGUAGAAUGGGAGGCCUAGAGGGGAAUAUAACAUCUUACUUUUUUUGAGACUUUGAUUACGAAUGCACCCCGGGGACACUAUCCUGAAGGGGAUGAUUCGCAAGAGCUUUCUAGUCAGUAUGGAUGUUCCCUUGUCUUUCUUUAUUGUCUUUCUUUGAGGGCCUUAACUAAAACUACUGGGAGAGGAAACUGAGCUCCGAAGCUUCCCUUAAAACCCUUUCUGUUUUAGAAAAGCUUCUUCCUUUUUGUAGCUAGUAUAUUACCUCCAUAAGAGGAAAGGCGGGGGAAACUGGGUUUGAGUUCCUUUCUUUGGGGGCUUUGCCGCCCGUUCCUAGACCUGAAGGGUCAACCUAGCUGGAAGAAUAGUAAUGAAAAUAGUGAAAACCAGAAGAUUAAGGCCCUUAAGCCUAGAGAGAAGCCUAUCUUUUAACGGAAAAGAAAAGAGUUUUUCUACCCUUUCUUUCUAUCUGAAUAGCCAGCUUCGGAUGUCGCUGGUCUUUUCUUGAAAUAGUAAGAUGCCACUGAUCCUUACAUUCUGGAAGGGGUAACCUAGAGGAAGAAGCUCAACUGGAAGGUUUGACCCACGAUUAUAGGAUGAAUACUAUGGAGAAUAGUAAACAGCCUAGCGUAGCGGCCAAGGAGCCUUUACUUUACAAUAAAAGAGUAACCGUAAGCUUGGGUGUCAUUGGUCUGUCUUUAGAUAAAUAUUAAAUGAUUGAAAUAGUCAGCUUCGUAAGCUUGUGAUAUCAGAAGUCAAGCUUGUCUUUCUUUGUUUGCUUUCUUUCUGUAUAUGGCAAAACCUAUAUAGAUUUCCUAUCACUUACUGGAUCUUCUGUCUGUAAGCAUUCCUUGUGUUACUAAUAGUCUAUAAAUUAUCCCGAAGAGGGGUGUUCUAGAAUGCCUAGAGAGAGGAAUCCUAGUUCUAGGCUUAUUCUAUUUUUUCUUCCCAUUCGUAGAGUCAGCCUAGUAAGCUUUUCUUUUUUUUUUCUCCCCUUCGCUUUCAGUAGGAGAUGGGGAUGGCGCAGUUUCUUCCCUCGAGAGAAGGAAACUAGGCUUCAAACAAAACAAAACAAGUAUUCAGGAUGCGGAGAAUCUUGCUUUAUAAGCUUGCCGCUUAGCUUAGUUGGGGGUCUUCAUGUCAAUGUCGAAAAAGAAGCUUCACUUAUCUUUCUAGCAGCCACAGAGACAAAACAAAGAGAAUGAGAUUCGGACUGGACUGGGAAAACUCAUUGUCACCGAAUCCUCUGAUUAUUUGAGUGGAAAGUUGCUGGAGCUUCACGAAAGGAAUCUUAUGUUGUCAGGGCAAAGAGCUUAGCUUAGAAUACAUGGAUACACGGGUACUGGUUCUCGAACGGACUCUGCAGGAUUAGGAAUUGGCUGUGGAAGCACUAUUUAUUAUUCAUUGAACUUAAUAAAUGAUCAGAGUUGUAUAGUGUUGCACUGCUACCACCUGCCCCAUGCAUAAGGGCUUAUCCUAAUCGGGGGCCUGGAACGGCAAUGACUGAACCACGCCUUAUGACGAAAGGGGAGAGAGUCCGAAGGGGAAGGUGAAUGCAGUUAAGGACUCCUCCACUGAAUUAUGGCAUAAGCGGCUUUCCCACAUGAGCGAUAUGUAACUCUUAUGGUUGUAUUCUUUCUCUUUCUGCUACUGUUCGAACGAACCUAGCUUCUUUUUCUCCUUCUGUAGCUUCUCCGUCUUUUCUUUCCAAACUGCCCUACAACAAACCAAGCGAAAUACCUAUUCUGCACCCUGAGCCCUUUCCUACCUUCGUCUCAAGCAAAAAUUAAGACUUCUGGUCCUAGUGAUGUCCAAAACAUGUCUUAGAAAAAGCUUUGAGAAUUCUUGGUACCCAAACACAUGGGAUUGUCUGUCUCUACACCCGGGGAAUAACCAACCGAAAGGAAUUUGUGAAGCACGUCAAGUCUGACGGAAAGUCUACUGCACAUGAUUCGACUCACCAUUAUAUGUCCUUCUUUUUCGCAAUUUCUAAGUUAAGAGUUCGUGUUCAGAAGACAUGGUAAAAGCUCGGGGUUUCAUCCUGCCUAAUCGUUUAUCUGAAGGAAGGCUAACUCGUCUGAUACAAGUCACUCAAAGUCACAUGCUUCAAACAAAUAAUUCGUUCUCUAACCGAUAAGAGCUGACUUUUUUCUUUCAAAUCGCUUGUUUUUAAGACACCCGAGCCCUCUAUCGUCUCGAGUUUAUGUGGUGGCUAUUAGUAGUGAUCUGGGACUAGGCCAAGGAUGGAUGGCGGUAUGAGAUAUACUAGGAAGACAAAUGAACCAAACCGGAUAAUUGGCUGAACCCUUCAAUCCUAUGAUGACAACCUUCGGAGUAGCGCUUGCAUGAACACAAGUUAAGGUAGCAUUCUCAGCUUAUUAAUAUAGUCGCUACUUCUCGAAGAGCAUAUACGGACAGUCUCCUAACUACGUGGAUAUUAACGAUUAAUCUCGCUAUCUUAUCGGUAUAGGACAAAGCUUAAAGUCAAUAAGUCAAUAAUAAGACAUCUUCUUAGUAAGGCCUCGGCUAACUUUUUUUUCUUAACCACCUCAUUCCUCGUACCCUUAAACAAUGGGAGUUAUGCCCUAAUCCCCACGCCCGAUAGCACAUGGGGAGAAUGAUUGGACCUAAACCUUUAAUUUAAAUAGGCUUGCCUCUUUUUCGGACUAGCUCGCAAAACCUAGACUCCUAUGGCUCGCUUGGAAAACGUUCGUACAUUGCUAACCUCUUAUUCUCCUCCUAUCCCCGAGCUCUUCUUGAAUCGAGGAGUUAAAGCUCAGCUAGGACAGUUCCUCUCUCCGAUGGAUAAGCGGGGAAUAGUAUUUGAUACGAUUUCUUAUCAGCCUUUCCUAAUCGGAGAGAGAACCAAUCUGACCGGGGGGGGGGGUUAUUUCUUCGUCCCAUCACUGGCAGUUGUGGUUCAGCCACCAAUAUCGGCGCGAGAGACAGGGAAAAAGAGAAGGUCGGUCCCGUACCCGAACAAAGGCUAGACCGAAGGUCCCGUCCCAUGGGUUAGGUGCUUAGCUGAAGGUGGAAGUCCAAAGCAACAUAAGAUAGAAGGCGAAGCCGAGGCAAGAGCAAGGGUUGAAAGACAAGAGAGAAGAAUUCUAUAUCCCUUAUUUGAUUUGUAGAUUAGAGUAUAUUCUUUAUAUCAAUGGUUGGUCGGUUUAGCCAUUGCUCCACUCAUCACAUCCAUGGCUAGUAGGUGCGAUUCAACCAUCCGUCACUCGUGGCGCAUUCGAGCUAAGAAUCCUCUCCUCGAUCGCUUUCCUUUGACUUGCAAUGAGGAAUAACAUCAAAACACAUUGGCGGCUGGUGCACGAACUCGUUGGUUUGGAUGCCUUAUCGAUGACCUGAGUGAGCAGAUAGGAUAAAUAAAAAUAAAUUGAUUUUCUUUAUUUGCGUCUCUUGAUUCAGUGUCUGCAUACUACGUUUAUGCGCCUGCCUAAGCAUAUUCUUUUCUUUUUCAUGACCCCGUCACACAGCUUAGGGCCCGCUGCUCCUCCUCUAGCGAGAACAGGGAUCGAAAAGGGGGCCGCCCUAGAAAGAUAGCCUCAUGGGUGUUUGGACGUAUGGGUUAGUACAGUUUUGGAAAGCAAACAGUACUCCGAUUGCCUAGUAGAUAAUGGAAAAUAGUACUACUCUACUCUGAUUGAGCUCACUUUAUUUUAUUCUAGUAUAAUAUAGAAUAAUAAGAAUAAGAAUAGGUCUCUGUCGAGCCUUAUUUAGACGCAAGCCUCCCCUAUCUAGUCGACCUAAUUACCGCAUCGCCUUACCUUCUCGAUCGCCAUCGCAAGGUUUCAAAGCUUCUAUGCAAAAAGAGUGUCCGCCACUAUUGGGAACAUCAAUAAGGGCACCUGUCCUUUUGCAUAUAGCACUCCAUCCUCUCCCUUGGGAAAUGCCAUCGAUCAAUUGAAGAAUGAUGCGAGCAGCACAACUCUUUCUUUCCUUUUUUUCUCUGUUGGAUUGGAGAAAGUAUUGGUUUCAGUUUCUUUGGAAGAAUUGAAUUCCUGUAAUAGACAUCGUUGGCCAUCCAUUUUCUCUCAUUCAAGCCAUGCCAGCAAAGGACUGAGGUAGGAGGUAGGAGACGAUAAAGGUAAAGAUAAGGGGUUGGUGUGUAACAGAGCUUUUCUAUCGAAGACUUAGUCUCGGCCAGAGGUUAGUUUGUUUUAUGGGCAUUUUUGUUUCCAUUUUGCUUAUGCGGUUAAGAAAAAGCACUCUUUUUGCUUCUUCGUCAAGCGUUUGAGCAGCUCUUUUUUCAGAAGAAGGAAGUGAUAUAUAUAAUCCGGGCUCUUCACCGUCAUAGUAUUCUUGGUUUAUCAAACCUUCAUCUUUCGCCCCCCCGGUUCGUACUGCUUCGUUUUAGGAGCGAGGUUGAGAGGUUUUUUGCCUCCUUAAAAAGAGGAAGGGAGGAUUGUCAUCUAAUCGUUGUAAUAAAUAAAUGGAUAACUCGAAAGUAACUCGUCAUGAGUCGAUCAGUAUAAAAAAAAAUUCGCAUCCUACUAGAUUCAAGUUCUCGCCUCAGGUGCGAUAGUUCGUAAGGCGGGUCUUACUAAUUCUUACCGAAACCUUAUUUGACUUUUGGGCCAAUCAUCGCCUUAACACUUCUUGUGCAUAUGCUCCGACGGAUAUAACGGAUCUAUCACGUCCUUGCAUGAGACUUUUUGAAUAGCUCCUACCCCAUUUAUUUGUUCAGCUAGUCUGAUCUUAGUGGAUCCCACCAACGGCUUCUUGUAGCCAACACUCUACAUACAUGUCUUUUGGUCAAUUGUUGAAACGAGCUAUGCAUCUUAUUGAUACUGCAUAAACGCUUAAACAGCUUCGACAGGAGCAAUAGCAGAAAGCAGAAACCGAAUUGUGAAGGACCUGUUCAAUGGAUGUGGGCAUUGGAUGUCCUUUAAAGAGGGAAGCAGUUACCAGGCUCUGCCCCGGUUGUUUUAUUUUAACCAAUAUAAUAAUACUUGAAUUGCGUAAAACAAACAUGAUCCUACCUUAGCCAGGUAUUGGAUUUGUGCAUGAAGUCUAUUAGCUUCUUGAAGGAAGACCAGGAUAGCAGACUAUGAAUACAGAGAUAUUUGUAGCUAGAGCUAGCUCUUUCACUAAGACGACCUUUCCCUUCGUUUAAAUCCAAUGGUUCAUUAAGGAUUUAAAAAACCUAACAAUCCAAUGGAAAGAGAAAGUGAACGAAAUUAUCAAAAAAUCCCAUGAGGCUAAGCGGAACAGGGUGGUGGGGGAUCUUUCAAUCCUGCCAUAAAGGGCUUAAUCGGCAUACAAGUGAGACAAUUUACUUCGCUCAGUGGGUUGGGAUCUAUCUCUUUCCUGAAUUUGUUCUUUUUCUGAUGUAUGCCCCACAAGGGGAGAUGUCAAUCUACAGAUAGUUAAGGUGCCAAAGUCGGUAAUCAACGUUCCUUUCUUUCUGGGUCGACCAGGUGGUUGAAUCCUUGUGAUUGAACUCUUGCAUCGUAGGUCUGGGGGUACUUUAUUCUUGUAUCUCUUGUUUAAGAGAGAGCCUUUUUCAAGGAAAAGCUAGUAAAUCAGCCUUAGAUUCUUCUUUCUUCUCCCUCACUGCUGAUUCAAUAGCUGCAGUAUCAAUUAAAUGGUGGAAAUCUCACUUGGAUGCUCACUGUAGCCAAUAAUGCCCAUGCCCAUGCUUAGAUGAUAACUGUGCAAAACCUAUACGGAGGGAACUGAAUUCCUAGUUAGAGUAGUUUCAUUAGGAACGAAACUUUUAAUAUAAGAAGAAGAUUGCGUAGCCAUCAUACGGUCGGGGGAAGACUAUCACUGACUUAGCUUUUUUACACUUACCUUUCUUCUGGUCUCACGAAUUGGAUUUGAAGCUACUUCUUAUUGAAGAUUGGAUCGAGCUGGAAAGCAUUCUGGCAGCUACAAUCUACUACAUAAGGUGGCAGCAAAUAGAAUUGUGGUGGAAGAAGCUAUGCUACCCCUGACUCUCAACCUGGAACAACAACCAUGGCAUUCUCUGCAUCAACUAUGUCAAUGGCUUGACUUCCCCUUCUUGCUAACAUCGGUUAUUCCGAAACAACCUCUGCUCGUACAUUCAAAAUAGUCUUCCUCCAAGAGCGAAAAUAGUUAUUCUUGUUGCCCAUAUUCCUUCAACAACAAUAGAUGCGGAUGAAAUAGCCGCAUUCGCUUAUGCUUAUUCGAUUCGGCCUAGCCUAUAUCUAAGUGAAUUUGUGAUAAAAUCUCUUCCUACUCGGGUCAGGCUUAACCGGAUAAAGGUUGAACUAAUUGCGUAAUAAGCUAGAGGCUUACCUCCACGAUUUACUAAAAGAAAAGGCAAGUAGCAUUGAGAUUUGCUUCGACUCCAAUAUCCUAAACUAGGAAGCGAACUAGAUCCUGAUGCACUACCUUUUGAAGCUGAUCUGGUACCCAAAGGCUCUUUUUUAGAGUCUAGGUAGGUUGAUUCGUAGGACGAGCGCCAAAGACCAAAGCCAGUUCUUUAAGAACUCAACCAGCCAUUGAGAAAGGCUUACCUUCUGUUCAUCUUCUUUCCUUUGGUGAAGCCAAAGCAUCAGACCAAUGAUGAAAAGCACUUGGAACAAAAGGAGAUAGAUGCCGAGAACAUCAUCACUGAGCAUGGGACACAUGAACUCAAGUGGCUUUUUAAGAAGGAACUCAAUUGGAGAGCUACUUUGAAUGAAAGGCGAUGUCAUGAAGAAUCUUUCGGUUCAGAGCAGUGCCCAAAUCUACCAUCUUUGCGUCUUCUCUUCUUCUUCAAUUAGUCUUUCGCUCCUAGGAUGACCCAAGACGACCUAGAUUCUCAUCAAAUCAAUCAAAUUAUUCAAAUGGAUAGAAUAACUUUCCACUAUUUUUUCUUUAAUGAGGAGCACUGGAAGUCAAGCUUUGAAUAUCUAUUAGAUCAAUCCCUUAUUUUGAUGCAUUCAUUGAUCACAGAAGAAGUGGUAUCUAUAAUCUAUAUAUGAAUCUAGGAAUUGUCUUUCUUCAUUAGAGAAAAAUGACUGCAAUUCCCCCUUCAUCCCUCUCUAUCUCCGGCCCUUGCCAUUAGUUAGCUUGCACUUACCUUGCCUUUCCCGCCUUCCUUGCCUUAGGGAAAGCAGUAAGUAGAGCGUGAAGCUGUGGUAAGAAUAUCUAUCUUGGUAACUCUAGAUUCUCUCUUGCAAUUCGCGAUGAGGUGAGAAGGAGGAGUGAGUCCUAAGCCGGGGCAGAAAGCCUUUGAAACUAGUUAAAAUUGAACUAACAAUCAACUAGGCAAUCCAGCUGACAUUGAAAGCAGAUGCCAUAAGGAAAGCGAUUCGGCUUAAGCGAGUGAAGUCACCCGAGAGGAGGAAUGCUGUGAUGACCCUGGCUUCUUAAAUAGCCUUUGGUUCGGCUGUCUCGUAUAGUUUAGAAAGGCUGCUUUUAGCUUGGAAGCCAAGUCUGUAGCAUAUGUAGGAAUGGGUGAAGCUCUUGUUCGAAGAGGAAUGCCUAUAGUUGAAUAAAAGGCAUAGUCUAAGCUUGAAGUAAAGUAGAGAAUCCGCUCUUCUAUUUGAACGAAUCCCUGAUCUACGACCAGCCUGCUGUCUUUGAAAGAUCAGAUUUGAACUCUUCUCGACUCUGAACAAAUGGUUAGCUUAGUCAAUUCACGAAUGCUUUCAGUUGCAGCUCUUGGGCCGCGCAUACAAGCCACUGCUGUUAGCUCGAGUCGUGGUGAAGCUGGUAUUGAAUUCGCCGUUGAAGGAAUAACCGAUGGGACGGUUCUUAUUUUUCUUGUUUCAUCCAAAAGUACCGAUGGUGGUGCUUUAGUUAGUCCAUAAGAAGCAUUCGAUUAGGAAAUAGCGUAAAUCCGGAGGGGACUCUCGGGCGAAAGGCACAAAAGAAUGAAUACCAGGUGUAAGCUCAAGGCAAGAUAGAACAGAGAGUAAAGUAAGCGAUCGAAAGCUGGAUUCCACAGGCAAACCAGACUGACUUACCACAGACUGUUGGGCAUAGAAUUUAUUUUCAAAAGGAAGAAUGAAAAAAAUUCGAAGAAUAGCAUAAUAUAGAUGUGUCUUUGGGAAUCCAAUUUCCUUCUUCUCUUUGGUUCUCAUUGGCAUAAUGCUCUAGUUCGACUAGCUUGAAGGCGGGCAAUUUUUCUUAACUAAACAGUAGGAAUUGGAUAUAGAGCUGCAAAAGCUUGACUUGGCUAGAGGGACCCGUUCGUUUACGUUAAUAAGAAUCGAAUCAAAGAAUCGGAAAGUUUCCCAAAGCAAGGGCAAUGGAUACCCUAACUGUCCCUGUAUCCGUUCUGUUCUCUUUUCAUCUUUGGUUUUUGAUGGGAUAGUGGUUCGCCCAAAGAAGAAGGAUAGAGGGGCACAGGAACGAAGGAAGCAAAGUUCAGAACUCCCGAUUCUUCUGCCUGGAGGUGGAGGCAUUUCUUCUCUUCUUCUUGUCUGUAUCACCCCGGCCUCUUAUUUUCAAUGUAGGAAAUUAGAGCUACCUUGAUCUUAGCGCUCCAUUUCUACAGCAAGGAGAGAAUAAGCCAUUUCCAAGAUCAAACUGUCCCCUCUUCCAUCUGUUAUCCGUUCGAAGACAAGAAAAGGAGAAAGAAGGAAUGGAGUCGAAGGCCAAUGACACUAGCUAAGUCGAAGGAGAAGAAACCCUUAUAAUAAUAAGAUAAUAAUAAGCAGAAACCCUAAGAAGAAAAGAAAGAGAACACAGCACGGCUAAUAAAAUGUGUAGUGUAACAGAAGAGGCUACUUUACCGAGGUUAGCAGGUGAGGAUCCGAAAGGUUAUUAAAUUUAAGCUAGUUUUCGCCAAGUCAGUAGAUCUAGUUUCUUAAGUAGAGCUAGUUUACUAUUAGUUUACUAUUAAGCCGUAUCUUGUUACUUAUGCUUACUAGGAUUUGCCAAGAGAGUCAUUUCUUCAUUCUUCAAUAGAACGGGUCGGGGCACUAAACAGAUGUGCAACAUAAGCAACUCGACUCAAAGGGUUAAAUAGAAUAAAUAGGCAGUUUUCAUUGACGAUAAGCUGGCGAAACCAGAGAAAAGAAGCUACACGCAAUAACCAACCAUAAUAAUAAAAUAAAAAGUAAACGGUUUUGAAACAACGGAGGAUGGCGACUUGAAUCUUUAAUCACUUUCAGAUACUCGAUUGACGCACUGAUAGAACGAAUAGGGGAGAAUUGAAAGUAGGUAUACUGGCGCUAAAGCAAAGGAACCCACAACCGGUAUAGUCACAGGAUCUACAAGAGAGAGCUUAAAGCAAGCUUCAUCAAUCCAAUCAGUCGAUCUAGUUGAAGCAGCAACAGAGGCACGUUGGGAAGUCAGUCUCAACAAAAGGUGUUGAUACGUCCUAUCCACAUAGAAAGCUUACCCUCUUCCACACAUUACCGGUGGAUGCUACAGCCGCUAUCACUUUGGCUGCAGGAGGGGAAUGGUUAAGUGAAACUCUCGACGUCUUGUUUGGUAAACGGGAUGUUUACCCAGGCGCCGUAGUCUUGCCUAACCGUUCGGCCGGAGAUGCCUUUGUAUGGUAUAGCAAGCUGUUUAGCUACUUGUAUCGAUUUGCCACAGUGUGGUUAGAUACAAUGCGCUGGCAGCCUCAGCUUGGCAGGAUGGGAAUGAAGGGAGAGGUUCGAAAGAGGCUCGAGCGACAGCGAGAGGUUCAAAGACGCUCGACUGAAAGGAGAGGGUUGAAGUGACUCGACCAACGGGAGAGGGAUUACUUGCCCAAGGUUUUCUCCCUCAGGGUUAACUACAUAGGGAGAAUCGCCUGGAGUCUCUUUCCUGACCUAGAAAGAUGCCCAAGCUCUUUGAUAGAUCAGAGUCUACUGUGUUGAUGGGCUUGUUCUCGAAUGCCCUCUUGCUAACCUAUAAAGAUGCCUAAGCUCUUUUGAUAGAUCAGAGUCUACUGUGUUGAUGGGCUUGUUCUCGAAUGCCCUCUUGCUGCUCGAGAAGGAGCUUUUGUAAGAGAUGGAAGGUUCAGGAGAUGGAAAAGUAGCUAGAGCAGGUUCCGGAUCAGGCAAGAGUGGUUUCAACCGGAGAAUGAGAAAUUAGAGCACUGCUGUUCCAGUCCUAGACUCGAGUUCUCGUCCUGCCUUACCAACAGGACAGACAGGUUUGCUAUUCGACUGUCGGAGGUUCGAAAUGAAUGGGGAAGGUUGAAGUAUACGUCACAUACGGAUAAUUUCAAGAGUGAGGCCUUUCAAGUCAACUUUCUCGUUGACGAGGAGGAAAGGCUAUCUUUGUUUUAUAUUUUGCACUCUUUUUCACUCACCUAUAAAAAACACCAUAGCACCUGAGCACUUUAAGCCAGUCUUUUUUUUUUCUUAGGGUCUGGCACUUCUUUCAACAUACUUGGAGUGAAAGAACCUGGUAUGAGCAGAAGUAGACUUCUUCUCUUAUAGUUAUCAUAAGUGGCUAGCCAAGCUCUUAUCCAAGAAAAGAAAAAAGCUUUCUCCACUCUAAAAAAUGGGACAACAGCUAGAAGUAAGAAUGGGAGGGCUAAACAUCACAUAAAAGAGUUGGCACAUCCGUUAUCUGUACUAACUCUAGCAGAUGACAUUCAAACACGAGUUUUAGGGGCCUGAAGAGGACAUAAAGCUAUCCCCGAAUCGUCUACUAAUUUCUUUUUUUCUUUUGAGAUGCGAAUGGAAUAUACAAAGAUGAAGAUGGAACUAAGCAGACAACGCACAGUAGGGGAGAGAAAGUAAGCCUUUAACACCAUUCUGCCUGAAAGAGCCUUUAUUGGGACAUCGCCAGGCCAGGCGACAUCUAAGGAAGAUUGACCACCGUCGAUUCCGUCAUGCUUUGAAUAGGAUACUUUCAUACCGUCUAUUGAAGACUAGGCGUCAAAUGCCCUCUUUAGGUUAGGAGGAGGUGCUCUUAAAGGAAUCUAUGUUGUUCUUGCCUUGCCUAAUAAGCUCUUUAAAAAAAGGGGUUGCUAAAAGAACUUACUUAAGACUAACCCAAUCCCUUUGAAAGUCUAGGAAUGAUAACUUUGGAAAGUGAAUAAGUCCUGAUUCUCCCCUAGCUGCACAUUCAUCGUAUAGAAUAGUAUGCCACAGUGUCCUUCAAAAUGCAGGUGGAAGGAAAAGGAACUCACCCUUCCCUACCCCCGAACACCUUCUGGGUUACAGAUAAGAGGAAUCGUAAGUAGUGUGAUAGCCUUCGCGUAGGUAAGGACCGAAGGGAACCUGCUAAACGGUUCACGAGCCGCCGAGAUCUAGAUUGCCAAGUGAACCCACAAAACUUUGUUACAGGCUGAGUGUCACGGUCCACGCGUUCCUUCUACUGCAAUCACGCGACCGUGCGGCACCAAGACUACUCAUAGUCAAGGUCAACCUUCACCAUGUCCAUUUUUUUUCUUCGCGGACUGCCCAAAUCCGAUCCUUCAAGCCGCAUGCUCAUGAGCCUUUUCUGGCUUUUGGCCCCGUAGGGUUGCUUAUUCCGAAUUCUAUAGAGAGGAACCCAUCUCUCAUCGCGCAUUGGCCCACGAUUCUCCAAGUGACCAUGAGCACCUAGCUCUGGCCGUAAGGCUUAAUGCUUCGAGCCCCGACCCUCGAAUCUCGUAGGGGCACACAGCCCCGGUUCUCUUGAUGUUAUUACAUCUUGGCAUGGUGAGAACCCAACACCACACCCGCACGUAUGAUACGCAAGCAUCCCCUUUACGCUGGUCAGCAGUCAGCUCGGAGCCUCUAGGCUCAACUCGUCCCACGGGACUCGAUUCUUAGGGCUUACGCCCUUUAGCAUCAGUAUUGGCCGCCCGCACGCAUGAUUGACACCCAACAUCAUGCUUAGUCCCGUAAGGGGACUCAGGUGGAUUGCCUCAGCUGCAACACACCAGCUGCCCGACUGGCCACUGGGGCUUAGCAGCGUGCCUGCCUGCUAGCCCGCGCAUCCUCUCGGCUCGAUGGCAUCCCUCCUACAUGAAUACCAUCGCAUGGUCCAGUCCCGCAAGGGUCCUUGGGUGGACUGCCCUAGCUGCAGCCCACCAGCCCGACUGGCCACAGGGGUCUAGCAGCAUGCCUGCUAGCUAGCCCGCGCAUCCCUUUGGCUCGAUGGUAUCCCUCCUACGUAAACACCAUCACCUGAUCCUUUCGGCUCGAGGAGGGGAAGCCAAGGGGCCUAACGGUCUCUACCGUCCAACCCCAUGGUUCAACGCAAAGGCACGAUACGAGGCCCGUCGGCCCCAAUCGCCCCCGGGUUUACCUUACCCGAGGAAACAUCGUGCCACGCUCGUGACCCUACGAUGUCUGCCCACCUAGACACCACGAGUGCCUAAGAGUUGCUCACUUCAGACUAGCCAGGCCCCCGCCUGCCCGCUAGCCAAGGGGGUGGUGGAGAGCUGACACCAGUCGUCUCCCUAUAAAGAGCGUUAGAGAUUUUCCCAAUAUGCUACCAGUGACUGUAAGAAUGUCUGAAACGGGGAUACUUUUCUGUCCAGCCACCUCAGGACCUUUCUCCGGCUAACUCAGGGCCCCGUAACCUUCCUCUUGGUCACCCAUGCUUCUUGAUUAUGCUCGUUGCUCCACCAACCCACUCGAAGGUGCCCGCACAUGGCUUAGACCGGCAGCACCUGACUGGCUAGCUUGUCCCAGGGCACCGGCGUACUGCCUUAUACUUACUUGCAUAUCUCAGGGUUCAGGACAUGGAUCGUCCACACACAAUGUCCCUAAUCUAUUCCCAUGCUCAGAACGCCCGCACAUUGCUUCCACAGAUGGCACCCGCCAGGCUACUUGGCUCGAGGGUGUCCAAUCACUGUCCCGAACUUCUCCGCGUAUCUUGUGGCCCAGGGCUCUCAUUGCCCCCACAACAUGUUAGCAUCAUGUUUCCGAACUCCGAAUGCACGCCCGCAUUCCUUGGAAUCACUUUCCCGCCAGCUCGAUCUCAACCGCUGCCCGGUUCAGGGUCAGUCAUGACAGGACCAGGGCCUGACCAUGACACUCUCCCCCACUUACUAUGUCGAUGCCCUCAUCGACGCCUAGACCACACCCAACUAUCUUGUUGCACACAGCUGACAUUUACUCAUAUGUCUCUCACUUGUGCCCUUAAGAAUUUGGGUUGAGGUCCCGUCACAUGAGGCACCGUCCACAGUACUCGUCCAUUGUUGAUGUAAAUAGGUCACAUUAUUGCACUCCUACCGCUCAGCUCGGUUCUUGCUCGAUCUGUUUAACCUUGUCUUGAUCGUUCCAUAUAGGCCAUACCAUGGCUUCAUUUCUUGAUCAUGUCAUGUUGCGACCUUGAGGUGCCCUCGUCGAUCAAUGACCCUCAGUAGAAUGAAUGACCACCCGUUUUGCCACUCAUUGGUGCAUCCCACCGGACGUGACCCCUCACACCAACUGCACGCUUAUAGCAUCAACCCACUGAUGUGCCCUUCUGGGCGUGGUGCUUAGGUCAACCGCACUCAUACGGCACCCUACAUGAGGACCCUAGCACAGUGGCAUUCAAGCACCUAGGUCAUCUCCCUACUUGGGUCCUCUCGGCCCCUUCAAGGUCACCUCUCUAGGUGUGGCCCUCUGGCCAACCGCCCCCAAGACGGCACCUUAAAACGCGCUAACUCGGUCUUUGCCCCCGGCUUAAACACUGUGCUCCAUUACCCAAGCUCCACUAUCUUGGCUCAGUCUCACGGGGAAUUGACAGGUCUCUCACACUUUUACUCGAAACUCAGCGCCGUAUUAUGCGUAACCAUAUCUCCUCGAUGGUUCUAUUGCUCGAUAAUUUUGACUCUGGCCCGUUUCCUAGGGCAUCUCAAGAUCCACUUAUGCUCGGAGAUCCACUGAUCUAACAGAACACCUAGUUCACUGAUUAGCUCGACUCGGGGAUUCACCCGCUCAAUCCUCAAGGCCUACUGACCUACACGCCUGAGGCCUUGUCAAUUGGCCAUUUCCCUUUUUGCUAGUCUCGCCUGAUUACACCCUGUUACGGCCCAUCGACCACCACAGCUCAUGUGAAGCCUUUCUCAUUGGUCAACACAGACUCGGUUUAUCGAUUCACAUGCCCCCGUGAUCCUCUGACCACGAGAACUCCUGGUCCACUGACCAUCACAGCACAUGGUCCACUGACCAUCCCACUUGUGGCUUCAAUCUUUGGCCACUCCAUACUCCUCUGUGCAAGAAUUCCAUGCUUGGACCCGAAUACUUCGUCUUGCGCCCCCACUGGGGCACCUGCACCAUACAGCAAGUGCACACAUUAGUAAUUAAUCUUGAAACUCGAUACCUCUUGCCCCUCAGGACAAGGUUCGCUCGACCCACGUGGCCUUAUGCAACACCAUUUCAUGGUGUAAGCCCCUUUUCGCAUCUCGAUUUCACUACGGUUCCUUCCACCGUAAAGGCAUCACAUGCCGCAACAUAUGCCAACACCUUUUUCUAGGUGAGGCUAGACUCUGGUGCCCUUUUGCUUGGCAUCCAAGAGUUUACUCGAGAGCCAUUUUACAUAGGCCCAUUAUUUCCCGCAGCACGCAUCGUUGGCUCUUUCCUGAGCCCUCAUAGGCACAAAACCACCUUCGCGGCUUAGUAGCUCUUUUUUAGCUUGGCACCACCUCGAUUUCACGACACUAGACCCGUACAUGGGGUCAUAUAAAUUCUCGCCACUGAGCCAACCUAGGCUUUGAUACCAAGUGUCACGGUCCACGUGUUCCUCCUACUGUAAUCACGCGAUCGUGUGGCACCAAGACUACUCAUAGUCAAGGUCAGCCUUCACCAUGUCCAUUUUUUUUCUUCGCGGACUGCCCAAAUCCGAUCCUUCAAGCCGCAUGCUCACGAGCCUUUUCUGGCUUUUGGCCCCGUAGGGUUGCUUAUUUCGAAUUCAAUAGAGAGGAACCCAUCUCUCAUCGCGCAUCGGCCCAUGGUUCUCCAAGUGACCAUGAGCACCUAGCUCUAGCCGCAAGGCUUAAUGCUUCGAGCCCCGACCCUCGAAUCUCGUAGGGGCACACAGCCUCAGUUCUCUUGAUGUUAUUACAUCUUGGCAUGGUGAGAACCCAACACCACGCCCGCACGUAUGAUACGCAAGCUCCCGUAUCAAGUUUACGCAAGCAUCCCCUUUACGCUGGUCAGCAGCCAGCUUGAAGCCUUUAGGCUCAACUCGUCCCACGGGACUCGAUUUUUAGGGCUUACGCCCUUUAGCAUCAGUAUUGGCCGCCCGCACGCAUGAUUGACACCCAACAUCAUGCUUAGUCCCACAAAGGGACUCAGGUGGACUGCCUCAGCUGCAACACACCAGCUGCCCGACUGGCCACUAGGCCUAGCAGUGUGCCUGCCUGCUAGCCCGCGCAUCCUCUCGGUUCGAUGGCAUCCCUCCUACAUGAAUAUCAUCGUGUGGUCUAGUCCAGCAAGGGUCCUUGGGUGGACUGCCGUAGCUGCAGCCCACCAACCCGACUGGCCACAGGGGUCUAACAACGUGCCUGCUAGCUAGCCCGUGCAUCCCUUUGGCUCGAUGGUAUCCUUCCUACGUAAACACCAUCACCUGAUCCUUUCGGCUUGAGGAGGGGAAAUCGAGGGGCCUAACGGUCUCUACCGUCCAACCCCAUGGUUCAACGCAAAGGCGCGAUACGAGGCCCAAUCGCCCCCAGGUUUACCUUACCCGAGGAAACAUCGUGGCACGCUUGUGACCCUACGAUGUCCGUCCACCUAGACACCAUAAGUGCCUAGGAGUAGAUCACUUCAGACUAGCCAGGCCCCCGCCUGCCCGCUAGCCAAGGGGGUGGUGGAGAGCUGACACCAGUCGUCCCCCUAUAAAGAGCGUUAGAGAUUUUUUUAAUAUGCUACCAGUGACUGUAAGAAUGUCUGAAACGGGGACACUUUUCUGCCCAGCCACCUCAGGACCUUUCUCCGGUUAACUCAGGGCCCUGUAACCUUUCUCUUGGUCACCCAUGCUCCUUGAUUAUGCUCGUUGCUCCACCAACUCACUCGAAGGUGCCCGCACAUGGCUUAGACCGACAGCACCUGACUGGCUAGCUUGUCUCAGGACACCAACGUACUGCCUUAUACUUACCUGCAUAUCUCAAGGUUCAGGACAUGGACCGUCCACACAUAAUGUCCCUAACCUAUUCCCAUGCCGGAACGCCCGCACAUUGCUUCCACAGAUGGCACCCGCCAGGCUACUUGGCUCGAGGGUGUCCGACCACUGUCCCGAACUUCUCUGCGUAUCUUGUGGCCCAGGGCUCCCAUUGCCCCCACAACAUGUUAGCAUCAUGUUCGCAAACUUCGAAUGCAGGCUCGCAUUCCUUAGAACCGCUUUUCCGCCAGCUUGGUCUCAACCGCUGCUCGGUUCAGGGUCAGUCAUGGCAGGACCAGGGCCUGAUCAUGACACUGAGCACGAGUGUCUUUCAAAACCAGAGAGGUUCAGUGACCAAUCUAGGAUUAUCGGAGAAGCAGUGAAUCUUCUUAGAAAAGUGAUGAGUGUGGUAUCUACGUGUCCCUAAAUUGAAAGAAAAGAACAAAAAGCAACAGGGGGAGUCUAUCGAUUCAAGGAUGAGAUUAGAUUGAGAAAGGAAAAAAUGCUCUUCUAUCCGGAUCUUGAUUUCGAAGAUCUUAGAUCGAGCAUCCUAAGCCAACUCACCAGAAUUCACAACUCACUUUUGACCGAAAGGAGGUGCCUCCAUCCAACCUUGAUAGUCUUAAAUGCUUCUUCCAUCCAAGCAUGAUAGUUGCAUUUUAUGGUCAAAACUCUAUCCCAAGAUGGUGAAUUAGACUCAGCCUAUGCUACUCGAUCCAUCGUUGAGAAAAGUCUCUUCAAUAACCGAGCCAUGGCCUUGAGUAGAGAGUCGAUGAUUUCGACGAGGCCCUUUCCUGCCUACUUGGUUCCUGCCAAGUCUUCUUUGUAGCACCAAGACUAAGUUCCUACCAAAAGCGGAUGGAACCCUAGGUUCGUCCAUCCUUCAAUCGGACGAACCACAUCUGUUCCAAUUCCAGAGGCUUUCUCCGAUCAAAGUCGGAUCCAAUGCCAAUCUUCGAUUCCAGAGGAAUUGAUUUUUUAGGAACCUUAGGCUGGAUGGUUUAAAGAUUUCGAUGCCCAGUCAAUGAAAUGAGAUUGGGAAGAAGCAGCUAACCAAUCUCAUUUAUCAGAUCAGUCCAUCGAUUUAAAGAUUCUUUUUUGCUCUUUCAUCCCCUCGUUCAAAGAGUUGAAGAUGGCUUGGCAGCAACUCUCUCCUAGUCUGAUCCGUCUAUCUGUGUUCACCUGGCCCGGCCGCUUUUGUCCCUUAUCACUCUUGCUUAUGGCUCUAUUUUUUCUUGACUGGCUGUACAAUUCGAAGGAGAUAGGACUUCAACCACUUAAGCAUAUCAAGCGAUUCAAGGAUCUAGGGUUCAAAAAGGUAGGUGGGGUCUUCAGUGACAGUAAAAGCAGUGAAGCUUUCAAUUGUAGUUCUCUUAUUUACUUAAGGUAAUGAACUUUUUUACCCGGGCAGCAAACAUAACUUUUUAUCCAAUUUAGUUAGGGGCAUUUAUCUUGAGUUUGAUUAAGCAGACAUUGUGUUCUCAAUCGGUGAAGCCGAUCUAAGAUAGAAAGUUCAUAAGUACACACAUCCGAAGAUUGGCUAGAAAGCUCAAACGGUGGAUGUCAAGAAGAACCUCCAACAAGAAGGUGAGAAAGAUCCGCGGCAAGGAAGAAGCAAAGCAAAAAGAUUCAAAGUUUUCCCUGAAAGCAUAAAAGAAAGUGACUUAAGGGGAGAGUCAAGUCAAAGCAGCCCUUCUCUUUCUGCUAUCGUUACUUACGGGAUGCAGCUUAUCUUGUUGAGGCGAGUCCGGUUGCUUCCUAAGUGAAUUAACCCAUAGUUACAUAGAUUCAAUAUCCCUCAAACCCCGCGCUAUACACCUCAACACAGUAAAAAGUACCAGUCUAUGCAUCUGGUCUUUCCUCAACAAUCAACAAUUCCUAUCCGUGUUACUAAAAUCCAUCCCAUGAAACAAAGGAGAGUUCAUUCUUGGGGUGAAUAAAAAGAGACAACUUUCGGGAUCCACUUCAAUCAAUUAUGGCAUAAAGGGCUUUCCAAUCCGUCUAGAUUAGACAACCUUCUUUUUAUGUUUGAUCAGGUGUGAAUGAAUAGUACUAAUGAUAUGUUCACAUCAUGACCUCUUGUUUCGGAUCAAUGAAGAUGGAAUCAACUACCUUCUUCUCUUUUGUUACAGCUUGCUUCUUCACUCGCUUUAUCAUGAGAAAAAGGGAUUUCUUAGCCCUGCAAGCACAACAUCCUAUCUUUAUGAAUCCAACCCUUUCCUUUCAUUCUAGGCCUAGUGUCAUGAGCCAACCUUGUAUAGGGUUAUGACUGGGACUUAGGUUACCAUGAGCCACCCAUGUAUAGGGCCAUGGCCGGGUAGAUCUCUUGUGCUAGGAAAAGUGUCCCCAUUUCAAAUAUUGUAAUGGUUACUGGUAGUAUAGCUCUAAAAUCUCUAAGGCUCUUUAGGGGGUGAACCAGCAGCGUAGUGUUGGGCUGUCUCACUGGUUGCUAUGCGAGCUUAGGCCACCCACCAAGGGCUACCCCCUGGCCCUGGUGAUGGUGGGAGGUCCCGAUGUAUGAUUCUCGUUUAUAAUAAAACUCACCCCGAUUGAAUGUCUCGAUUGUUGCCUCGAUGUGUUUUUCUUUUUCUCGAUGCGAAUAUGCCUUCUUGUGUGUGUGCUUGAGAUGAUCUCGAUAUAUUGUGUCUUAUUGUGAAUGCUUGGGACUAACCAUGGCUUAUGGUUAUUUGUUCAGAUAUCGAUCUAUUGAAGGCUGACUUGGUUGGGACCCAUUCAAGUGCCGCACGUCUAUUGCUUGUUGAGAGAAAGCUUAGUCCGUGACACGUGGUAUCAGAGCACGGUUGAGAAGUGCUAGAAAAAUGGAUGAGAUGGCCACAAGUGGUGGACCGAAUCAUCAACAGAGAAUUGAAGAACUUGAGGCCGCAGUGGCCGCAAUGAAAAUUCAUAUGGCGACUAAAGAUCGAGUGAGGGAGAUCGAGACAACCUAGCGGGAGUUAUCCGAUACUCUUCACAAUAUGAGCGAAGAGGCUAGAGAUGCCUUGAACAUUCUCCAAAAGGAGUUUGAGGAGCUCAGAGCACAAGUGAGCAUUCUACAAAUAGCUUUGACCAUAUCGGGUUUGAGCUCGAUGAAAAGGGGAAAAAGGCCCAAGGUGUCGGAGCCUCAAUGCUAUGAGGGGGCAAGGGAUGAUAAGGAACUUAAAAAUUUCUUAUUUGACAUGGAGUAGUACUUUCGAGCUGUACACACAGACUCAGAGGAAGACAAGGUGACAAUGGCAUCGAUGUACCUCGUAGGGGAUGCCAAGCUGUAAUGGCGUUUCAAGUUUAUCGAUGACAAGUGCCCAAUUAAGACUUGGACAGAUUUGAAGUGAGAAUUGAAAAACCAAUUUUUCUCUGAGAAUGUGGAGUAUAUGGCUCGAAAGAGACUUCGAGAGUUGGUGCAAACAGAAAUGGUGUGAGAGUUUGUAAGGAGCUUUUCUACCCUGAUGUUGGAUAUUCGGGACAUGUCCAAAAAGAAUAAGAUGUUCUAUUUUCUUGAGGGCCUCAAGCCUUGGGCGAGGACAGAACUACAAAGGUAGAAAGUGCAAGACGUGGCCACGGCCAUGGCUGUAGCUGAACGUCUUCACGAUUACAAUGAUGGCUCUUCAAAAUAAAAAAAUCCUCCAUCAGUUGGCAGUAGCUUUAACUUUGAGAGUGGGGAAAAGAUGACUAGGUUGGAUCGACCCUUCAGUGGGGGAUCAGACAUGAGGUCUUUUGGUCGAGAUAGCACCCAACCCAAGACAAGCAACGCAGGGAUUUUCAAGCCUAGGCAACCGUUAGCUUGCUUUCUUUGCAAGGAGUCGCAUCGGGUGGCUGAAUGCCCACACAGGGGAGCCCUUAAUGCCUUGAAAAACCUCAUCUCAAGAGUUUGUAAAAGCGCCAGAGAGCGUUGAAAAAGCUGAAGAAGAGCCAGCCACAAUGGGUUCAAUAAGGUUUCUCAAUGCCUUCCGCACCCAAUUGAACACUAUAAAGAAAGAAUAGAGUAGAGGCUUGAUGUAUGUGAACUUAACGAUCAAUGAGAAAGCCACCAAGGCCAUGGUGGAUACGGGUGCAACCGAUACUUUCAUCACACCAGAAGAAGCAAAAAGGUAUGGUCUUCAGAUUAGUAAAGACUAUGGACGAAUGAAGGUGGUCAAUUCACCAGCCUUUGCGAUCAGUGGAAGCUCCAAGAGUGUGACAACCCGAUUGGGCCCAUGGGAAGGAAGGUAAACUUUACAGUUCCCUCAUGGAUGACUUUGAUGUUGUUCUCGAAUUGGACUUCAUGAUGUUGGCUCAGGUCAUCCCUAUCCCCGCCGUUAGCUGUUUGUUGUUCUUAGGGGAACACCCAUGUGUGGUGCCAGCCAACAUCUUACCAAAGAGUGGAAAGAAAAUGAUUUCUACUUUACAGUUCAAGAAAGGGGUAAAGAGAGGGGAACCCUCCUUUGUGGCGGUGCCAAUCUACAAAGAAGGGUCGAAAGUAGAACCAAUACCUGAUGGUGUGGAAAAAAUGUUGGAAGAAUUCGAAGAGGUGAUGCCAGAGAUGUUACCUAAGGUUCUACCCCCUCGACGAGCAGUGGACCAUGAAAUUGAGCUCCUCCCAAGAGCAAAACCCCCUGCUAAAGCUCUCUACCGCAUGGCCCUGCCAGAGUUGGUCAAACUAAGAAAGCAAUUAGAUAAGCUGCUACAAGUCGGGUUCAUCAGACCAUCAAAUGCUCCUUUUGGAGCGUCAGUGCUAUUUCAAAAAAAGCAUGAUGGAAGUUUACGAUUAUGUGUCGACUACAGGGUCCUGAACAAAGUCACCGUAAAAAACAAAUAUCCCAUUCCCCUUAUAGCAGACUUGUUUGAUCAAUUGAGCCGGGCCAAGUACUUCUCCAAAUUGGACCUGAGAUUUGGCUACCAUCAAGUCAGAAUCAUUGAGAGAGAUGAGCCAAAGACAACUUGUGUGACACGGUAUGGUGUAUUUGAAUUCCUUGUUAUGCCUUUUGGAUUGACCAAUGCUCCUGUCACAUUUUGUACAUUGAUGAAUCAGGUGUUCCAUGACUACUUAGAUAAAUUUAUGGUCAUCUAUUUGGACGAUAUAGUGGUAUAUAGCUCUACCUUGGAAGAACAUCAAGAACACCUACGUCAGGUACUUCAAAGAUUACCAGACCACCAGUUAUAUGUAAAAAGGGAGAAGUGUGCAUUUGCUCAGACCCAAAUCCAUUUUCUCGAUCACAUUGUCGAACGUGGCCACAUUCGAAUGGACAUGGAAAAGGUUAGGGCCAUCAAGGAGUGGACAACAUCGAAGAACGUUAGUGAGCUCCGCUCAUUUUUAGGGCUAGCCAACUAUUAUAGAAGGUUUGUGAAAGGGUACUCUCGUAAGACCAUGGCCCUCACGGAGCUAUUGAAGAAAGAGCGUAAAUGGUAUUGGACGAGUGAAUGCCAAGAGGCCUUCGAGGGAUUGAAGGAUGCUAUUAUGAAAGAUCCCAUCUUAGCUCUCUCUGAUAUUGAAAAACUUUUCGAAGUUCAGAUGGAUGCAUCUGAUUUUGCUAUUGGAGGAGUGCUUUUGCAACAACAUCACCUGAUAGCAUUUGAAAGUAGAAAGUUAAGUGAAGCUGAAAGGAAAUAUACGGCCCAGGAAAAAGAACUCCUGGCAGUGGUUUACUGCUUGAGGGCUUGGCGACAUUAUUUGUUGGGUUCACACUUUGUCGUGAAGAUAGACAAUGUGGCUGUUAGUCAUUUUUUCACCCAACCAAGGCUUACGGUAAAACAAGCUAGGUGGCAGGAUUUUUUUAGUGGAGUUCAACUUUUGUUUUGAGCACACCGCUGGAAAGACCAAUCAAGUGGCCGACGCAUUGAGCAGGUGAUCAAAUUUAGCAGCCCUUAGAAGAAUUGCCCCAAUGGCAACUAGCAGAGCUACUACAGACAUUCACAAGUUGAUUGGAGAUCACUUAAGGAAGGACCCCGCAAGCUUGUGCCAUCCUGAAGCUAGUGGAAGAAGGGAAGUCCAAGUACUUCUGACAAGAAAAUGGGACCAAGAGGCCUCGAGUGUUUGUGCCAAGAGCAAAAGGUCUGAGACAGAUGCUGAUGAGGGAAUGUCAUGACACACCAUGGGCGAGACACCUGGGCUGGCAACGUACUUUGGCGUUAUUGAAAUAAGAAUACUAUUGGCCUCACAUGCGACAAGAUGUGAUGGACUAUAUGAAGACUUACCUCAUUUGCCAACAAGACAAGGUUGAAAGGAGAAAACCUGCAGGCAUGCUUGAACCACUACCAGUACCUACCAAACCGUGGGAAAGCAUCUCCCUCGAUUUCAUUUCGAGCCUACCCAAGGUUGGUGACCUUGGAGCUAUUUUGGUGGUGAUUGACUGGUUCUCUAAGUAUGCCACAUCCAUUCCCGCUUAUAAGUAUUGUACAGCGGAAGACACAGCUCGACUAUUGUUCAAACAUGUGGUCAAAUACUGAGACCUCCCUCAAAACAUUGUCAGCGAUCGAGAUCUGAGAUUCACAGGGUCCUUCUGGAAAGAACUUUUCAAGAUAUUGAGAUCCCAACUCAACAUCUCCUCCAGCUAUCACUCUCAAACUGAUGGUCAAACGGAACGAUUCAACAGAUUAUUAGAGGAAUACUUGAGGCACUUCAUUCAAGCCAAUCAGAAAGACUGGCCUUCAUUAUUGGACGUGGCUUAACUCUACUUUAAUUCCAACAAAAGCUCUUCCACCAAUAAGAGCCCAUUUAAGGUGGUCACUGGACAAUUACCAAGGCUACCUCACACUUCUUUGAAACAAUAUGAAGGAAAGAAUUCGAGAGCCUUCAAUUUCAGCAAGGAGUAGAAACAAAACACAGAGAUUGCACAAGCCUACCUGGAGAAAGCAUCAAACCGUAUGAAGAAAUGGGCAGACAAGGGUCGUAGGGCUCAACAAUUUUAAGUUGGUGAUUUGGUUCUUGUUCGACUGGUUCCUGAACAAAUCAAGUUCUUGAGAAAGAGAGAUCGUAGACUGGUGCGCAAAUAUGAAGGUCCAAUAAGGGUCCUUUCCAAGGUGGGAAAUGCUUCUUACAAAAUUAACCCACCAAAAUAGAUGAAGGUGCACCCAGUAUUUCAUGUGAGCAACCUGAAACCUUUUCAUGCAGAUCCUACAGAUGCUAGCCGAAAGGAGCCAACCAGAGCCGCCAUCACCAUGAAGCCACCCUCAGAGCGUCGAGUCGAAGAAAUCUUAGCUAACAGGGAGACCAAGAUAUCUCGAAGAUUAGUUCGGGAGUACUUAGUGAAGUGGGAGGGAUUAGGACUAGAAGAAACCAGCUGGGAGAAAGAACACGACCUCCAAAGAUUUCAAAGGAAGAUCGAAGAAUUUCAAGCCAGCAAGUCGACGAAGAUGUCGAUAGAAUAGGUGGGGAAGGAUGUCAUGAGCCAACCUUGUAUAGGGCCAUGACUGGGACUUAGGUUGCCAUGAGCCACCCAUGUAUGGGGCUAUGGCCGGGUAGAUCCCUUGUACUAUGAAAAGUGUCCUCAUUUCAAACAUUGUAAUAGUUACUGGUAGCAUAGCUCUAAAAUCUCUAAGGCUCUUUAAGGGGGUGAGUCGGCAGCAUAGUGUUGGGCUGUCUCACCGGUUGUUAUGCGAGCUUAGGCCACCCACCAAGGGCUGCCCCCUGGCCCUGGUGAUGGUGGGAAGUCUCGAUGUAUGAUUCUCGUUUAUAAUAAAACUUACCCCGAUUGAAUGUCUCGAUUGUUGUCUCGAUGUAUUUUUCUCUUUGUCUCGAUGUAUUUUUCUCUUUGUCUCGAUGCGAAUAUACCUUCUUGUGUGUGUGUUUGAGUAUGAUCUCUAUAUAUUAUGUCUUAUUAUGAAUACUUGAAACUAACCAUGACUUAUGAUUAUUUGUUCAGAUAUCGAUCUAUUGAAGGUUGACUUAAUUGAAAACGUUCAUUCAAGUACCGCACGAUCUAUUACUUAUUGAGAGAAAGCUUAAUCCGUAACACCUAAACUAGCAUAAGCGUUCAACAAAGGUCUCUAAUCCAAUCCUUUCUAUGACAAAAACAAGAACGAUUGGCAUGAGCGGCCCCCGGAGGCCUUGUGGGCAUACCGAACUAGGUGUCGGACUCCGACACCCUACUCGUAGGUCUUCGGAGGAGAGGAAGUUAUGCCCAUCGAAGAAAACCUCUUUUCGGGUAGCAAUCUAGGAAUACCUAAUGGAACAGGAAAGCGCAAUAAUCCGACUCGCGUGGUACGCCUCCUAUUAUCAACCGACGGACCAGGGGAAAGUUAGAGCCUAAAUGGGAAGGGCCCUACGUGUCAUCGAAAAAGUCUACUCAAAUGGAGCAUACCACAGCGGACUCUUCCUCCAUACUUUCCGUAAAGCGCAACGAAGGGAAGGAAACAAAAUGGAAUGCUGACUUACGUUGAGCAGGGCUAACCGAACUGGGCAACUUUCACUGCUUUCAUUUCCGAACAGAACUUCAACUCCCUUGAAAGGGACUAAAUCAAGGCAAGAGUGCUUUCUCGAGGGGGUUAGAUCCAGGUAGGAUCUUGCCAAAAAAAAAAGGGGUCUUUACCCUUCACGCCCUACUUUCCUUUCCAUGGUCUAGCUAACCCCUUAUUUGACCUAUCUGCCCGACCCAUUGGAACGGGUCCGGAUUCGCUGUAGCCAGCGGAUGACACGAAGGAUGUCGGACUUUUCUGUAGGAAGCCUACAACGUUAAAGUAGGUACCCGUAGAUACCAAAACGAACUAGCCACUCGUUUUCUUACCUACGAAAUUCUUGGCACUUGGGAGUGGGAAAAGGAUAUGAAUCAGAAGGCUUAAAUGCCGCUCCGUACCCCUCGGAAGAUUGAGAAUACAUCGUUGCUUUCAUUGCUUUUGAUCCCCUGGGCUCGGGAUCCAUGGGCAUUCUCUUAUAGAAAUAAUAACAGCGACCGAUUGCCUGCUUCGAUCCUCACCUUUUCCUUCGCUAAUGGGCACGGUAGUUCCCCGGAGUGGAAUCAGGUGGGAGAUUGGGAUUUUGAAAGAAACGGAGGGUUACGCUUCGCCAGGAGAGGCUGAGGACGAAAGAUCAGUUAAACUGGACUAGGAGAGUCGAACCUGGAAUGAGGUUGUUCUGAGCUUGGUUCCGAAUCAACAGCUGCUAUGCCUUGCGAUCCAGGUUAGUUGGUUGAGUUUUUGCGGUGGUUUUCUACACUAUUUCCACUCUGUGUGUAUAGCGAGUGUGCAGUUAGGAUAUUGGGUUUUAGACUGAUUUUUGCUUUCCCUGCUUCGACUUUCAUCGAGACGAGAGUGGCUUGAUGUUCUUCGUACAAGAUCAGAAAGUCUUUCUUCGUCUUGGUGAACUCUCUUCUUCAACUGACUAAGAAAGUGGAUUGAGAAACCUGCGCCCAAUGAGCCUAGCCUGAAAGAGGAAGAUUCUUAUCCGUGACCGAAAUGGUCUUGCAAAGCCGGUCCCCAGAUGGUGUAAGUCCUACUCAAUCAAAAGAAGCACAGGUUAGACAGACGCUCGACUGAAAGGAGAGGAAGGUUUGGGAAGAUAAUGACCGAAAGUAUACCACACAUCAAGCAGACCAAACCCUAUCAAAAUAGUCUUCUAUGCCCUGGAGCUGGAGCGAAAGAAGACAAUCCUGCUAUUUGAAUUCCACACAUUGACUGGAUCACCGUGGGAAUCCCUAAGGAAGCAUUGGCUGAGCUGUUCAAAGAAGAUGAGACUUCAAUGACUGAGACUGAUGUGAUGGUCACUAUGGAAGAAGCUGACUGUGAUGCUUCCACUAUUCUCUAUCCUGCUCACUCUGCCGAGGCUCUCCAGAACUGGGAGGCUGUGCCCAUUGUUCAGGGGAAUGAGCCGGGUUUUCGGUCAAAUGUUUAGUAAUCGAUUAUUUGUAAUUUAUUUUAAGACAUUUUUAUGUUUUAUUAUAUUAUAAAUUAAAUAAAAAAUUUUUAUUUUAAAUUUAAUUAAAAAUUAUUUUUUUAUUUUUUUAUUUUAAGAUGUCAAAAAAUUUUUCUUUAUGAUCGAAUGAAUGUGACUGUCCUUGAGACUACUGGCUAUGAAUCUGCUGUCGAGAUUGAUUCUGAUGCAAUGGGAAUUGAGGUUGACAAGACCGAAGGAGCUAAUGAACCACCUGCUGAAAUUAUUGAGGAAGUUGAGAGGUUCGAGACUAGAUCUUUACCAAACAUUGAACAAACUGAGACCUGUGGGAACCGAGGCAAACCACCGAGAGUGACAAGGGCUUAGCGGCUUUUCACCGAAAAAGGAUCUGAUCAGAUUCCUCACAGAAUAUCAAGAUGUCUUCGCUUGGUCAAAUGAGGAUAUGCCCGGAUUAGACACCAAGAUUGUGGUGCACAAGUUGCCAGUCAUGCCAGAAUUCUCACCAGUAAAGAAAAAACUUCGAAGAAUUCGUCCAGAAUGGAGUAAUAAAGUGCAAGGAACAAACAAAAAAGGCCAAAUUCAUCGUCGUCAGCACUUAUCCAAUCUGGCUCUCUAAUGUUGUACCGGUACAUAGAACCACCAAACAGAAAAUCCAAUCAAUAAGCAGGUUAGGAGAACAAAUCGAAUAUCCCGUGCGUACGAAUAAACAAUAGCUUCCGAUAGCCGAAAUUCUUUUCUUCGGGAAGUUUCCCUCUGCGCAUCUAACAAUUCUUGCUUGCGAUCUGGAGAGCGAAGUAAAUAAGGGUCUUCCCCGCCUUCUGCUAUCUUGAAUGGAAGUUGAUUCUUAUUUGCAGUCUUCGAGUCGGAUGGUUGUCCCUUCUUCUCAACAGAAUCCUAUAGACAAGAAAGAAUCGAAAGCAGUCCUUUGCGCAUUGUCUUCUUCAUUGCAUUGGAUGCCUUUCUCCCCUACCCCAAUCCCUAGCUAGCAGCAAUCAUUCCCUCACCUGUCCCAUGUUGGGAAUCCUCUUUUGCUCGUGGAUAUCUAAUGCUAGAAGGCAACAUCCAACAUAGCCAUAGAGUGGCUUACCCAACAAGUAAAGACAUCCAUGCAAACCCCUGAAAGUCUGUCUUCUUUUAAUGAAUGCCCUAGGCCUUCUUCAUUCACUUGCGCAACCCUCCCUAAUAGCCUAUGGAUGUGCAGUGGAUUCUCGAACAAAAACAGCUUGCAUUCUAAUUUCACUAGUGGCAAAAAAGGCUAAUCCCGGUUAUUCCCCCAAAUAAAUCCCCUCUUCUGCUUUCGCUUAAGGAAUAGAUUAAAAAGCAUCCGAUUUGCGGCAUCAAUCCGAUAAGGAUCUCAUGAGUGGAUCACUAGAAGGCUUGGGCAUGAAAAGAUUCGUUGAGUAAGAUUCAUGUAUAUAGGCUAUUUGCCUUGUCUCUGCCUACUGUAUAAAACAGGGGAAUAGGGAAUCCUCUAGCACCGCGCCCAUGGUGUGAGGAAGCUUGGCACGCACCGACCGAGACUGCAUUCCUACCAUUAGCAUGAACUCUGAACUUCCCGGGAUUCACUUCUUUAGGAGUGAACGAAGCCAAGUGGCUCAGUAACCUUUCUUUGUCGAUUGGGUCCUGGUUCUAGGGCGCCCUCGUAACGUGAAGAUCAGAGUCGCCUCCUCUACUGCAAAGAGAAAGAGACUGAUUUAGUGAAGUCUGGCAUCUGCUCUUUUGAACGAAUCCGGUGAUAGUCCUUCCUUGGCUUCUACUUGAGUUGGUCGAGGUCGAUAUUUUCUUGGUUUUUUUUUCUUUGUACCCAUAGAUCGGAGAAUGUGAAAAGCUUUCUCUAUCCGCUAGGCGCAUCUCUUCUUUCACUCUUGUUGAAUAAGAUGUUCUUCUUCUUGCCUCUCUAGCCUUUAGCACAGCAGUAGGAAUUGUCCUAAUCGUUAGGUCUACCCGCUUUGAAUCUGUUGGAGUAAGGGCAAUUGGUCUUGGUGGGUAGGGCAUUCUAAAGGCAUUCAUUUCUUCCUCGCCCAGUCAGUCAGGUCGGGACCAAGGAAGCUUGGGCUCUCUUUCCUCUAUGGCAAUUUUUGGUCCCAGCUAAACAAGAGAAAGAGCAUCUAUCCUAGCUGCGGUAAUGCCGAUUCCAAGACCAGUGUAGGCUUGCUUCGCAUAGGCUACACAAGCUAGGUUCAAGCUUUCAAGCAGAAAGGCAGACGGGAUGAUCAUUAUAAUACGAUGCUAGCACCUGAUUAGCAAGAAAAGCUUUCCCUGCUCUGCUCUUAGCAAUGAUCUGUCUAGGGCUACUUUCAAAACUUCGGAUUCUGUAAUAAGACCCUCUUCAUGGGCAUUCUUCGACUUAGAAUCAAAUUCAUACCCGUCAAUCUCCGAUGUGGGGGUAGAAUCUGCUCUUACAGUUGCCGGUGUAAGCAAUUCAAUCAGAAUAAGCUGCUUGAGAAUCUAGCUAUUUCCUGCCUGAAUGUCCGGGGAGCCGGAAGUGAAUCGUAGAGCAGCAGGUUUUUUAGUAAAAGAAGAUGGUAUCGAAUGAGACAAGGUUUAGAAUCCAUAGUUAACCGAGGAAAGACAAUAACAAAAAAUAGUAGAAGAGAUCGAUCCACUAGCUUGGCAGUAGGACUUGUUUCAGCUAUUCACAAGGAUUGCUCAACUAUAGGUAGGCGUGGUAGCAUGGUUGUGAAAAAAGACUUGACUUCUGCUCUCGGAAUAAUAAUACGAAUUGCUCAAGUUGAAUUGCUUUUUUCUUUCGAUAAUGCCUUCAAUGCGGGUUGAAGGAAGAAGACAGCAGGUGUAUGGUAUAGCUCUUAUCUGUUCGCUCCUGUCGACUCUGAACUCAUGAUGGAGGAUGGGCUACUGGAGAAAGGGUGAAGACCGGGCGGGCUGGCAGGCGACAAUAGCAAUAGAGUGGCCAAGCGUUGACAGAGAGGAGACUUUUUCUAGCAGAAAAGCAGACUGACCCGAUUCUAAUUAUAUUCAUAUCAGACAGGGCAGAGAAUGGAUUCAAUUAUCAACAUCAUCUAAGUAAGAAAAGCAGCAAAGAACAUGAGUAGCAGAAGCAUAGGCUUUGUGGUUACCGGGCAGAGGGAGGGUAGUAAACACCUUGCCUCAUCAAGCCCAUCCACAUCAAUAGCUCACUAUCCACCAACAUAAAAAUAAGGGACUGGCGAAUCAGCUGUUAAGUAGCCACUCUUGUUAGUGCCUACUGGAUUGACUGCUUUAAUGCUCUUACUGUUCUUGACGAAGCUCCUGGUGCAAAUGAAAGAAAGAAGAAUGAUCUCCUCCCGCAAUUGAAGAAGAAUCUGCUGCUAGUCUUUUAGCCAUAGACGCUCUUGAGUAAAUAUCAUCUGUGGUCCUAUCAGCUCAACCAGUUGCCGGUCUUGUUUGCGUAGUAAAUGGUUUUUUUGGCUCCAUACGGUGUUUGAGAGGAAGCUGCUAUUCUAAAAUCUGGUCUGUCUGUAAGCAAUUACCUUUCCUGUCUUGCUUUAGUCGGUGACUCUAUGCCCUCUGCUUCGACUUCAAAUGUGAGAGUAGAAUCGGUUGUGCUAGAAUCCGCUCUAACCGUAGCAGCUCUUAUCCUAUCUGCUCUUGGUCUUAUAACCGGUGGUGGAGGAAGAGAAGGAGACAAAGUUCAUCGAAAAAGAAAUAGAGAUGGGAAAAUGCAAUCAAAGAGGAAGAUAAAAAUAUCGUAAGAGAAAAAGUUUCAUAAUAUGUUCGAAAGAAAUAAAAUAAAAAUAAGAAUAUUGUAAUUGUUUCGUAUUGUAGAAGUUUCAUAAAAAUAUCGUAAGUAAUUUCUUGUUUCAUCGAACUGCAUUAUCGGUUGAUAGUUUCAUAAUACGUUCUUUCUUUCUUUCUGAAAGUUGUGAUCGACAAACCCCCAUCCAAAGAGCAAUGCCAAGAGUGGACUAGGCCUAAUGGCGGUCCCGCAAAAUCGAUCACCGGGGCUAAGAUCUUUUUUGAAGAAAGAUAGCACUUAACAAUAACUAUAUGAUUUGAGGGAAGAUAACUUUAAGCAAUGGAAACUCUCACGGCGGGGUAUCUAACCCGGAACCUUCUAACCAAAAAGGACGAAAAGGAGAGGUUUGAAGGGGAAAGUUCUCUAACCUGGGAAAAAGCCAACUCUUUUAUCUUUUCUUUUCCACGAUGAUAAUAAAGUCUGCCAGAAUACCAAAGUGAACUUAAGUUUAAGAAUUUGAAACUAUCUGAAAGAAGGAUAAUUGUAUUCCGGUUUUUUUCUUUCCUUUCGUUAUCUAGUUCCAUUCCUUUCCUUUCAGUAGCUUCGUUCCUCUCGCUCCUGGCUCGUGUUGCCUGUGCGAAGCAAGCCUUCACUAGUCCAUAAGAGAACGAGUGAAAUAGAUAUCACGAGAAAGAGAAAGGGUGGAAAGUAGGAGUAGAAUAAGAUGGAAAGCAAUCGCGUUCGGGAAAAGAGUUUGCUGAUGAAGACUAUCCCUUAAUCAGAUUAAUAGUUGAUGUGACGUUCUGGACCGGCCACGAGAGAAUAGGAUUUAACGAAGGCAUGUAGCGACCUCCCUUUGGUCGCCUUGCUAAAGCCCUGCAGAGUGAAAAGUGAAAACUGACUUGCCUUACAAAAAAAAAGCGAAGCCCAUGUAUACUGGUAAAAAGAACGGCUAUAAGAAUCAUAGAAAGUAAUAAUGCCAUUCCACGUAUGAAAUCACUAGCGCUUCACAUCUUUUAAACUCGAGACUUCUCCGAAGACGGCAGAUAAUAUCUCAAAGUGGAUACUCUGGAAAGAGCUGAUUCUAUGAUUUGAAUCUAAAUCAGAUACUCGAAAAGAGAUAAAAGGUCUGGUCUGCUUUUCAGUUACUCCCCUGCUACCUUCCCAGAAGAAGGAUAAGGCUUUCCUUUUGAGUUGAAGAAAGGAGCUAAGCUGGUAAGAGACCUAUACCUAUGGUUGAUAAAAGAGAAUAUCUGGCCUCAGAGCUUUCGCUACGCAUUUGAAAACGUAACAAUAUAAGACACAUCGUAGUGCUAGAAAAGACUGAUGUGACUUCCGAGCUUAAAAGCCUUAUUCUAUUAGUUCAGUCAAAGCCUUGCUCUUUACAGAACACAUGGGAAAGAGCAUUUUCUAUCUCUGAGUGAAUCUGAACUUACGGCUUUACGCAAACAAGCCAAUCAUUUCUACUUAGUUCAACUUCUGGGUCGAAGCCGAGGGGAGUAGGGUCUAUGAAAGCAAAUGGGCAUUAACGCGCCUUUCAUCGGUCAUUGAAGGAAAGCGUUUAUGGAGCAACAUGUAUCAACGUGUUAUCUGCCAUGAGCUAAUCUUGUAUAGGAUCAUGAUUAAAGUUUAAGUUGUCAUGAAUCAUUCAUGUAUAAGAUUAUAGUCGGAUAGAUCUCUUGUGUUAAAAAAAGUGUACUCAUUUCAAAUAUUAUAAUGAUUAGUUAUAGCAUAGCUUUAAAAUCUCUAAGACUCUUUAGGGAAGUUAACUGAUAGCGUACUAUUGAGCUGUCUCACUGAUUACUAUACGGGCCUAGGUCAUCCAUCAAGAGCCGCCUCCUGGCCCUGGUGAUGAUGAGAAGUCCCGAUAUAUGAUUAUCAAUUAUAAUAAAAUUCACCUCGAUUGAAUAUCCCGAAUGUUAUCUCGAUAUAUUUUUCUUUUUCUCGAUGUGUUUUUUUUUUCUCGAUGUGAAUGUGCUUUCUUGUGUGUACUUGAGAUUGAUCUCGAUAUAAUGUAUCUUAUUGUGAAUGCUUAGGACUAACCAUGGGUUAUGGUUAUUUGUUCAGAUAUCGAACUGUUGAAGGUUGACUUGGGUGGGAGUGCCCAUUCAAGUGCCGCACGAUCUAUUGCUUGUUGAGGGAAAUCUUAGUCCGUGAUACAUGGUAUUAGUGCACAGUUGAGAAGUGCUAAAAAAUGGAGGAGAUGACCACAAGUGGUGGACCCAAUUAUCAACAGAGAAUUGAGAAACUUGAGGUCACGGUGGCCAUAAUGAAAACUCACAUGGUGACUAAAGAUCGAGUGAGAGAGAUCAAGACAACCCAGCGGGAGUUAUUUGAUACUCUCCACAACAUGAGUGAUGAGGUUAGAGAUGCCUUGAAUAUUCUCCAAAAGGAGUUUGAGGAGCUCAGAGCACAGGUGAGCAUCUUACAAAUGGCUGUGACCAGAUCGGGUUCGAGCUCGACGAAAAAGGGGAAAAAGGCCCAAGGUGCCGGAGCCUCGAUGCAAUGAAGGGGCAAGGGAUGCUAAAGAGCUUGAAAAUUUCUUGUUUGACAUAGAACAGUACUUUCAAGCUGUACACAUAGAUUCAAAUGAAGACAAGGUAGUAAUGGCAUCGAUGUACCUCACAAGGGAUGCCAAGCUAUGGUGGCACUCUAAGUUUGUCAAUGACGAGUGCCCAAUUAAGACUUGGACAGACCUGAAACAAGAACUGAAAAAUCAAUUUUUCCCUGAGAAUGUGGAGUAUAUGGCUCGAAGGAGAUUUUGAGAAUUAGUGUAAAUAGGAACAGUGCGAGAGUUUAUAAGGAGCUUUUCUACCCUGAUGUUGGAUAUUCGAGACAUGUCCGAAAAGACAAGACAUUUUAUUUUCUUAAGGGCCUCAAGCCUUGGGCUAGGACAGAACUACAAAGAUAAAAGUGCAAGACGUGGUCACGGCCAUGGCUGUAGCUGAACGUCUCCAUGAUUAUAAUGAUGGCUCCUCAAAACGAAAAAAUCUUCCAUCAGCUGGUAGUAGCUUCAACUUUGGGAGUGAAAAAAAGAUGACUAGGUUGGACUGGCCCUUUAGUAAGGGAUCAAACAAGAGGUCCUUUGGUCGAGAUAGCAUCCAACCCAAGAUAAGCAACGUAAUGACUUUCAAGUCUAGGCAAUCGCUAGCUUGCUUUUUUUGUAAGGGGCCACAUCGGGCGAUCGAAUACCCACAAAGAGGAGCCCUUAAUGCCUUAAGAGCCUCGUCUUGAGAGUCCGUAAAAGUGCCAGAGAACGUUGAAGAAGUUGAAGAAGUUGAAGAGAAACCAAUCAGGAUGGGUUCAAUAAGGUUCCUCAAUGCUCUCCACACCCAACUGAACACAAUAAAAAAAGAGCAGGGUAGAGGCAUGAUGUAUGUGAACUUAAUGAUUAAUAAGAAGGCCACCAAGGCCAUGAUAGAUAUGAGUGCAAUCGAUACUUUCAUCACAUCAGAAGAAGUAAAAAGGUGUGGUCUCUAGGUUAACAAGGAUUGUGGACGAAUGAAAGCGAUCAAUUCGCCAGCCUUUACGAUCAGUAAAACCUCUAAGAGUGUGACAACUAAAUUGGGGCCAUGAAAAAGGAAGGUAGACUUUAUAAUUUCUCCAAUGGAUGACUUUAAUGUCAUCCUUGGAUUGGACUUCAUGAUGUUAGCUCAGGUGAUCCCUAUCCUCACCUCUAGCUACUUGUUGUUCUUAGGGGAACACCCAUGUGUGGUACUGGCCAAUAUCUUACCAAAGAAUGAUAAGAAAAUGAUUUCAGCUUUAUAGUUUAAGAAAGAGGUAAAGAGAGGGGAACCCUCUUUUGUGGCCAUGCCAAUAUACAAAAAAGGGUCAGAAGUGGAAUCGAUACCUGAUGGCAUGAAAAAAAUGUUGAAAAAAUUUGAAGAGGUGAUGCCAGAGAUGUUGCCUAAGGUUCUACCCCCUCAACGAGCAGUGGACCAUAAAAUUGAGCUCCUCCCAAGAGCAAAACCCCUUGCUAGAGCCCUUUACCACAUAGCCCUGUGAGAGUUGGUCAAACUAAAGAAACAGUUAGAUGAGCUUCUAUAAAUUGGGUUCAUUAGACCAUCAAAGGCUCUUUUCGGAGCGUUAGUGCUAUUUCAGAAGAAGCAUGAUGGAAGUUUAUGAUUAUGUAUUGACUACAAGGCCUUGAACAAAGUCACUGUGAGGAACAAAUAUUUCAUCCCUCUUAUAACAUAUUUGUUUGAUCAAUUGAGUCGGGCUAAGUACUUUUCCAAAUUGGACUUGAGAUCUAGCUACCAUCAGGUUAGAAUCGUAGAGGGAGAUGAGCCAAAGACCACUUGUGUAACAUGAUAUGGUGUAUUUGAAUUUCUUGUUAUACCUUUUGGACUGGCCAAUGUUCCUGUCAUAUUUUAUACAUUGAUGAAUCAGGUGUUCCAUGACUACCUAGAUAAAUUUGUAGUCAUCUAUUUAGAUGACAUAGUGGUAUAUAGCUCCACUCUAGAAGAACAUCAAGAACACUUGCACCAGGUGCUUCGAAGGUUACAAGACCAUCAGUUAUACAUGAAAAUAGAGAAGUGUGCAUUUGCUCAGACCCAAAUCUAUUUUUUCGAUCAUAUUGUCGAACAUGGCCACAUUCGAAUGGACAUGAAAAAAGUUAGAGCCAUCAAAGAGUAGACAACAUCGAAGAAUGUUAAUGAACUUUGCUCAUUUUUUAGACUAGCCAACUAUUAUAGAAAGUUUAUGGAAAGGUACUCUCGCAAGACCACGCCCCUUACAGAGCUAUUGAAGAAGGAGCAUAAAUGGUGUUAGACGAGUGAAUGCCAAGAAACUUUUGAAGGAUUGAAGAAUGCUAUUAUGAAGGAUCCCAUCUUAGCUCUCUCUGAUAUUGAAAAACCUUUCAAAGUUCAGACGGAUGUAUUUGAUUUCGCUAUUAGAGGAAUACUUUUACAACAACAUCACCCGAUAGCAUUUGAAAGUAAAAAGCUAAGCGAAGCUGAGAGAAAAUAUACGGCCCAGGAAAAAGAGCUCCUGGCGGUAGUUCACUGCUUGAGGGUUUGGCGACAUUAUUUGUUGGGUUCACACUUUAUCGUGAAGACAGACAAUACGAUCAUUAGCCAUUUUCUCACCCAACUAAGGCUUGUAGCAAAACAAGCUAGAUGGUAAGAAUUUUUAAUAGAGUUUGACUUUUAUUUUAAGCACACCGCUAGAAAGACCAAUCAAGUGGCCGAUGCAUUGAGCAGGUGAACAGAGUUAAAGGCCUUUAGAAAAAUUACCCUAAUGACGACUAGCAGAGCCAUGAUAGACGUUCGUAAGUUGAUUGGAGAUCAUUUAGGGAAGGACCCACAGGGUAGUGCCAUCCUGAAGCUAGUGGAAGAGGGGAAGUUCAAGUACUUCUGGUAAGAAAAUGGGGUCUUAUGGACCAAGACCCUCAAUUGUUUAUGCCAAGAGCAGGAGGUCUGAGAUAUAUGCUGAUGAGGGAAUGUCACGACACACCAUGGGUCGAACAUCCGGGCUGGCAACACACUUUGACGUUAUUGAAAUAGGGAUACUAUUAGCCUCACAUGCGAUAAGAUGUGAUGGACUAUACAAAGACUUACCUUAUUUACCAACAAGAUAAAGUUGAAAAGAGAAAACCUGCAGGCAUACUUGAACCACUAUCGAUACCUGUCAGACUGUGGGAAAGCAUCUCUUUCGAUUUCAUUUCGAGCCUACCCAAGGUUGGUGAUCUUGGAGCUAUUUUGGUAGUGAUUGAUCAGUUCUCUAAGUACGUCACAUUCAUUAUCGUUCAUAAAUAUUAUACAGUGAAAAACACAGCUCGACUAUUAUUCAAACAUGUGGUCAAAUACUGGGACCUCCCUAAAAACAUUAUCAGCGAUAAAGACUCAAGAUUCACGGGGUCUUUUUGGAGAGAACUUUUCAAGAUAUUAGGUUGUAACUCAACAUCUCCUCAAGUUACUACCAUUGAACCGACGAUCAAACGAAACGGUUCAAUGGAUUACUAGAGGAAUACUUAAGGCACUUUGUUCAAGCUAAUCAAAAGAACUGGCCUUCGUUAUUAGACGUUGCUCAACUCUGCUUUAAUUCCAACAAAAGCUCUUCCACCAAUAAGAGCCCAUUUGAAGUGGUCACUGAAUAAUUACCAAGGCUAUCUCACACUUUUUUGGAACAAUAUGGAAAGAAGAAUCCAAAAGCCUUCAACCUCGAUAAGGAAUGGAAACAAAACACGGAGAUUGCACAAGCUUACUUGGAGAAAGUAUCAAAGUGAAUGAAAAAAUGGGCAGAUAAAGGUUGCAUGGCUCAACAAUUCCAAGUUAGUGAUUUGGUUCUUGUUCGACUAGUCUCUGAAUAAAUCGGGUUCUUGAGAAAGAGAGAUCGUAGAUUGGUGUGUAAAUAUGAGGGUCUAAUGAAGAUUUUUUCCAAGAUGGGGAAUACUUCUUACAAAAUCAAUCCACCAAAAUGGAUGAAGGUGCACCCAGUAUUUCAUGUGAGCAACCUGAAACCUUUCCAUAUAGAUCCUACAGAUGCUAGCUGAAAGGAGCCAACUAGAGCCACCAUCACCAUGAAACCACCCUCAAAGCGUCGAGUCGAAGAGAUUUUAGCCGACAGGGAAACUAAGAUAUCUCGAAGACUAGUUCGAGAAUACUUAGUAAAAUGAGAGGGAUUAGGACUAAAAGAAACCAGUUGGAAAAGAGAACACAACCUUCAGAGAUUCGAAAGAAAGAUUGAAGAAUUUCAAGCCAGAAGUCGAUGAGAACAUUGAUAGAAUAGGUGGGGGAGGAUGUCAUGAGCCAACUUUGUAUAGGACCAUGACCGGGGCUUAGGUUGUCAUGAGCCACCCAUGUAUAGGGCCAUGAUUGGGUAGAUCUUUUGUGCUAGAAAAAAUGUCCCAAUUUCAAAUAUUGUAAUGAUUAGUGGUAGCAUAGCUCUAAAAUCUCUAAAGUUCUUUAGGGGAGUGAGCUGACAGUGUAUUGUUGGGCUGUCUCACCGGUUACUAUAUGGGCCUAGGCCAUCCACCAAAGGCUGUCCCCUGGCCCUAGUGAUGGUGGAAGGUCUCGAUGUAUGAUUAUCGAUUAUAAUAAAAUUCACCCGAUUGAAUGUCUUAAAUGUUAUUUCGAUGUGUUUUUCUUUUUUUCGAUGUGAAUGUGCCUUCUUGUGUGUGCUUGAGAUUGAUCUCGAUAUAAUGUGUCUUAUUAUGAAUGCUUGGGAUUAAUCAUGGCUUAUGGUUAUUUGUUCAGAUAUCGAACUAUUGAUGGCUGACUUAGGUGGGAGUGUCCAUUUAAGUGCCGUACGAUCUAUUAUUUAUUGAGAGAAAGCUUAGUCUGUGACACUGUCCUUCUGUCUCUGAUCCCCAAUAUGAGUGAGACCAAGAUGGCUGACUGGAGUGCCACAAAGAAGCUGGUCAUGUCAUGGCUUCUCAAUGCAAUUGAGCCUACAAUUGCUACCAGUCUUAUGUUUAUGGCAUCGGCAAAACAGGUAUGGUCCUUUAUCUCCAUGAUCUUUAUUCCAUAGGAAAUGAAGCUAAGAUAUUCCAGCUUGAAUAAUCAGUCCCAAAUCUUAGUCAGGGGGAUAUGACUGUUGCUGAGUACUAUACUCAACUUAAGACCAUAUGGUCAGAGAUCUUCAACUAUCAACCAGUUAUUUCCUGCACUUGUGAUUGUUCCAAUGCCCAAGGAAAAGAAAACAGAGGUUAUGCAAAAGUGAACUUCCCCUUUUUUUUUCACGUAGAGCAGGUUUUCCCUCAAUGUAGAGGCCUUAGUUGUUCCCUAGGUACUCCCCAGAUCGCGAGUACUGAUAGAUAUUGGGUCUAUCCAUCGGCCUUCUCUAAUAGGGCACUCAACCAUCCCAUGGUCAAGUGCGCAAGAAAAAAACUAAAGCAAGAACCAGACCGAUCCACCAAUCAAAUCAGUGAAAAACGCUCUCCAUUUUCACUUGGCUUGAAGGCUUACACAAACCAAAGAAGUGAAAAAAGAAAUUUCGACAGGACUGAAAGCACCAAGUCAGAAAGAAACGAGCAAGUGUCGUGUGCAAGUGUGGCUUUCAAGCUUGUCUCCCUGUUGCCUUAAGCCUGGAGACCGGGGGUGCUUAGGACCAGAGGUGCUUGCAGACCGGAGGUCGCGGCAGCUUGCUUGCUAAGGUACGAACUAGUGCUGGUAAAUGAACGAACCUGUGAAUUCAAGCGGCAGAACUUUGGACUUACAACAUAGGGGCUCCCUGACGAUCCCGAACCUUCCAACCAAAAGUGAUGGGUAUGUGUUGUUUCUUGGCACUCUCUUUCUUUGUUAUGCCAACCUAAAAAGAGAUAGGGAUACGGAGCUUGACUUGAAAACAAACAAUUGGCACUGCCCCCCUAUCACAACAAGGCAGAUAGGGCACUUUUUGCCUUCAAAAAAAAAGUCCAGGAUACGAAAACAAUUCCUCUCAAAAAAAUAAAAAGAGCGAUUGAGAGUGGAUUUUAGGUUCUAUAGUGUCGAGAAGGUAUUCGCCACCGGUGACCGUACUUUCGUAAAAGCAUCAUUGGGCGGUGGUUCCUCUCUUUUCUCUUGAACCUCGAACAAAAAAUAGAUCUCGCCAUCAGCUCGACUAAGAGUUCCAAAUCGAAAAAGUAAACUGAACUUGACUUAAGACGAAGGAACCGAGCGCCGAAAAAAAUCGCUUUAAAAAGGCUUCAAACUACUAGUCAUUAAGACUACUAUGAAAUAAAAGUAAGGAAGUCCUUUUCUUGACUUGGCCUGCGUGCAUUAUACCUACCCCCUUUUUCAAAUAACUUUCUUUCAAUCUCAACAAAGAAAUGAAAGCAUAACUCUUUGCUUGUUGUCCUCUUACUCUUUUAGCCUGCCUUGUGGGGGUUUCUCGGGUGUCUACGGCGGAUCCGAUCAGUCUCGUGAUGAAGAGAAGUCUUUUCCAAUCUUCCACGUUGAAAGGUAUCGUCACGACAACUAAAUUUGCCCGGUAAACUACUCGGGACUCCCCAUGGUUUAGUAAAAGGGAGGGGAGAUUUUCUCUUCAUCCGGGGGUUCAUUUCAUUCAUUAUGAACUCAAAAGUUGUUGGCUGAUUAGUGAGGUCUUAAAAACUUCAUACAAUAAAUGAUCAGCCAUUCCAUUUGUGCUUUCAGCAAGUAGGCGACGCGAAUCUAUGGUUUCUAUGUUUCAAUCGGAUACCAAUUGCUUGGAUGCGUUUGAAAGCCUCGAGAUUACUUGCAGAAAAAAUUCUUUCUAGGUUUGUCUUGUGUCUCCGUAACAAAUGGUCCAUUUAUUGAUGGGCGAACGACGGGGAUUGAACCCGCGCGUGGUGGAUUCACAAUCCACUGCCUUGAUCCACUUGGCUACAUCCGCCCCUACCCCCACACAGGUUUCAGUCUCUAUCUACGAUCAGAUCCUUUCUGAACCCCCCCUAUGACCGCUAUCAAAGAGAAGCUUUUUCCUAUACGCAAGUCUAUUGUUGUGUUUUGGGAAGAAAAGCUUCAACAAGUAGAAGCUUCCUGGAAAAGCUUCAAACAAAGAGGUUGGGCUGUUCACUUCAUUGAUUUGACUUCACUUUACUUAAGAUUAAAGAUAGGGGCCGGGCGGGCAGUGAAGGCUCGUUUAGUAGACAGCCAGCUACGGCUUUGACGAGCAGCAAGCGGAGCUUGAAGAAGCGAGCCCCUAUCAGAGAAAGCCAUUGCGCGCUAGCCCCUUGUUUGUAUAGGAUUCCAAACCUGCGCACCCUUAAACUACAAGCUUUGAAGCCCCUACUUUCUUUAUGGGAUAUUUUAAGAAGCCCCUUUCUACAAACCUUUCCAUAAUAGUUGGGAAGCUCGAAGAGCUUUCUUCGCAUGCUUGAGCGCAUCUUUUCCCUUUCUAUUAGUAAGGUUGUCAAAAGGCUUUCCUUGAGUUCCUUUAUGACUAAACGUUUAGAAUAGGGGUAGGGGGGCGCUAACGAGCAAGAAAAGGCCCCAACCUAUAGAUAGGCUAACGCGCCUUUACUAAUAUUAGAAUAGUUGGCGCUUCUUUCUCAAAGUCAAGUUUCUCGCUUGUUGCUUUAGAAAGAUUGCGGGGGCGCUAACGCGACCUUCCUUCAGCUGGCUCCGCCCUAUCUAUUCAUCUCUUUUUUCAAAUGGAUAUUUGGGGAUCUCUCUUGUUUAUAGAUCUUGAAACCAGAUCAAUAUCCAUUUUUCAAUAGUUCUUUCUAUCGAUAAAUAGAAAGAUAUAGAUCUCUAUCUGGAUCUAUCUCCAUAUCUAAAUAUGGAAGAACCAACCCAACAAGGGCGUAACCAACGGAAGGUUCUCGCCCUGUCCCCGACAUUGUUCUCCGACGAUGGCCCCUGGGCGAAAGGGGCCACCAUUCUCUUUCUUUCUUCAAUCGUUCCGAUCAGGACAAGUGGGUUGGUUCGUUUCGUCCUCCUAUCUACGCAAUUCUCUGUCUUCGUUCGUGAUCAUGUUAGGCGAAAGGUAGUUGUAGAGGAGCGGCUGUGAAACGGCGAUUCCCCCCUUUCCAUUGAAGUAGGGGGGGCCUCCUUCCCCACCAUUCCGGCCUAUUAUUGAUAGGGAUUUGACCGAUGCUGAAGGUAGCUUGCUUACCAAGCCACCCACUUGAGAAGCUAGUCGCCAGAAAGAAGCGACGAGGAAGCGAAGCUGUCGUAGAAGCUUUGCCCCCCCUGUAGUCGUAGUACUCGGCUCGUCGCUACUUUGAUUCAAAAGGUAACCGACGGUUCCCGACUUUCUCCGGUUUCCGCAACCGUAACCAUUUGUCACUCCAAUUACUUCAUCCAAAAACCUUUUUUUAGAGCUAUAAAAAAAGUCAAGGAUAAGCUUGCAUUCUAGAAGCGGUAGCUUCCCGCCUCCUUCAUUCCUACUGCCUCCUUCGGCCCUUCCCUUUUCUAAACCUGCCUCAGAAAAUGUACAAAGUGGACCGCUGUUUGGCUGACCCUCUUAUUCCCAUUCGGGUUGGGUUGACCCAAAAGUCAAGUAAGAAGGAAUGGAACCACUGGAGAGUCGUCUGCAGUUCACACUUGGGCAAAGACAACUUACUUUGAAAGCGGAACACGAACCGAUUGGAGCUAUUCCGGGUUCUUAUUUUUCGUAGCGAAAUCAAGGUUUAUGAGAAAGUAAGCGAAGUUUCUAUGGUGUUCUACCUUUGCGUAGUCCCGGUCCACAGUUCCAGGCUCCGUCCCUUAGCCUAGUCUAUAUCUACAGCUGACGCAACUCCGUACCGACGCCUUACUACUACAACAUUAAUUAACGGCUAAGCGAUUUCAUAACCUGAGCUUUCCUUAACCAGCUGACCUUACGAAGUAAGCUUAGCCUCCCUUUCUUUAUAGUUCGACUAAGUGACUUCGUAACCUUAACGUACUUUCUUUCUUACUUUAGCAUAGGCCUUCGCCACUUCAAACGGGCGCUUCGCCCCUAUUUUCUUUUUUUUUUUUUUUUAGGGCCUUACUUAUUCUGUUCAGGGGGGAUGAAAGACAAAGAAAGGGAUCAGGGGGCUUUAUGAUCGGAGAAAGGGAAGGGGCGUGGUUGGUGUGUUACUGGGUCGGUGGGGAACCCAUAGGAAGGGGGGACGACCCGCCGAAUUCACAUCAGAAAUCGCCAACAUGAACACAAACGAAAUCUUGAAUUGCGUAUAGAAACAAAACGAACCACUUCUAUUGUCGGAGCUGAGGUAUAUGAAGAAUGGCUUUUUGGUCCCUUUCGUCCAGUGGUUAGGACAUCGUCUUUUCAUGUCGAAGACACGGGUUCGAUUCCCGUAAGGGAUAGGUACUCAUUCCCGGCCGCUUUCAGUUAGUGUUCAUUGCUGAGUGAUCGCUCGCUAUCUGGCUGGAAAAGGUGGUCCGGAAGCUUCCUUUCUCCCAGCAAGCAAGACGAGAUCACCACUUCUCUCAGUAAUGGACUUCCUUUCAUUCUUUCUUAGUCUUAGAUGUCCUUUCAUAGAUUCUCGAACCUCCGAGAGACAGAAUCUCCAUGCAUGCGUUCUUUCUCUCCUCCCCUCCCUAAUACCUAAUACAUAGUUCCGUCUAUGGAGCCUAAAGCAACAACCAUGGCAUGGCAGUAAGAAGUAAGUUGGCCUAGUCUCUCGCCCAGCUUUCGCCUUCUUCAGUGGCCAAGUUGAAGCGUUCAACGGUUCUUCGGCCUACCGCCUUUCUUUUUUUUUCAAGGUUGAGCUUGUUCAAUUGAAGCUAAUGCUAUGCUGCCCUUCCCUUGUUCAAGAGAAAGCGAGGACUUUCUUUUCUUUUUUUUUAGUUACCGACCUAAACAAAAGAGAUUAGCCUCUUGAUCGAUCGAUUGAUUGGAUCGAAGUACGAAGUACGAAGUACGAAGGGGUUGAUUGAAGUAUGAGAUCAGCCCAAGACUAAGGCCGAGCAACUAGCUGCUGCAAGAUUGGACGUCUAUCUAUCUCACCACGCCCCCUACUCCUAUAAGGGCCGGUGGAAGGAAUGCUCUGCUCAUCUUUUCUUACGGCUCGUUACCGCAGCGCUCGUUCGCCCCUUCGGCUUUUUCAAUUCAAAAAGGCCUGGUAAAUAGCGUCUUGAAGCAAAGGCAUUAUUGAACGAAAGAGAUGCCGGGUCGGUCAAUUGCAUUAGGUAGGAGAUGCAGGACCUGUCUUAACCGCAAGUGCAUUCGCUAUUCGAUUCCAUCCUCGAUCCCACAAAAUUUGGAUUCCUUUGUAUCUCUUCUUUACUUUUAAGUGACAAGGGGGGUGACAAACGGUAUACUUUCUUCUCUAUGUCGCCGUCUCAUCAAUGAGCGUAGAUUGAUAGAGAUGGCUUUUGUGCUGGUCAAUCUGUAUCCCAUUCUUCAGGUAGAGUUUUGUUUGAUCAUAGAUCGGCAGGUGACCCGUCCUUUCUCCCCCUUUCGUCAUAAGGCGUGGUCUGACUCUGAGAAAAACCAUUCCUGUGUUUAGGUCCCUACUAAGCAGAAUUCGUAAACUAUGCAAGGGCUAUUUGUUGACUUUUUUAAGAAUUUUGAACAAGAAAAGCAAAAACAAUUCUCAACGCCCUUACGAGGUAGUGAUGAGUUAAACUACUCGUGUUGGCAUGGAAGUCAGCCCGGUAAACUGAUUCCAUUCUGCUACUAGGGUUCCAAACCUUCCCCUUAGCUCUAGAAAGACGUUUCCUUAUCAAGAGAUGCUAAAGCUAUUUAUAGUUGUUUAAGUCGGAAGGAGGGCUUUGGGCAAAGAGCAACUGGAAAGUACUUGACUUCAGUCCCAGUACUGAAAGACGUGACUUCAGGAGUUUCUUUCGGAAGGAAAGACUUCGUUUACUUCCUGCAAAUUUUUUUUGUAAGAACUAGUAGAAAGAAAGGAAUUAGGAAAAAAAAUGGGUAGGCCUUCUGAGCAGUCAUUUAGGGGCCUUGUUAGCGACCCUUCAUUCUUCCCUAAGCUGUCAGAGUCCGAUCGAAGCGAGCAAGAGAAAGAGGAAUCAUCGCUCAUAGAUGUGAAUUGAGCCGAAUUCUUUUUAAUUAGGCUUUCUAGUAUGGUCCCUGUCCCGGGUAAGGUCUGAUUGUUAUCCGCAAGUGUUGUUUAGUUUUGACCGCGGGAAGAUGAACUUUCCAAAAAUGCUUAUUUGGUUGGGAAAGAGAGGACUUCUGACUCCGAGCCUACCCUACCCAAAAACAAGUUUCAGCUAUUGAUGUAGCCUCUUGUCGCUACUUACUAGAGGAAUCCCUUCUAUACCACUUAACAAAAGCAAAAAUCCCAUCAAGAUAGAUUGAAUCGACGACCUAUACUUCAACUAAAGGCACAAGGGAAGAAAGAGUUCAAGAGCACAGAACAGAGGAAAUGCACAUGGGUCUCCUUGAAUAACGAAGUCUAAGAUAAAGAAAGAAAGGUAGAGUGGGCUUCUAGUUGCUCUGCUUGGAUUGGCAUGGCUGUCCCCCUUUGCUGGUUGAGGCUUGGUGUCACGGAUUAAAUUUUCUCUCAACAAGUAAUAGAUCGUGCGGUACUUGAAUGGACGCUCUCAAUCAAGUUAGCCUUCAAUAGAUCGAUAUUUGAACAAAUAAUCAUAAGUCAUGGUUAGUCACAAGCAUUCACAAUAAGGCACAACAUAUCGAGAUCAAUCUCAAGCACACACACAAAAAGACAUAUUCGCAUCGAGAAAAAGAAAAACACAUCGAGACAACAAUCAGGACAUUCAAUCGGGAUGAGUUUUAUUAUAAACGAGAAUCAUAUAUCGAGACCUCCCACCAUCACUAGGGCCAGGGGAGCAACCUUUGGUGGGUGGCCUAAGCUCGUAUAGCAACCGGUGAGACAGCCCAACACUACGCUACCGGCUCACCCCCCUAAAGAGCCUUAGAGAUUUUAGAGCUAUGCUACCAGUAAUCAUUUAAUAUUUGAAAUGGAGACACUUUUCCUAGCACAAGGGAUCUACCCGGCCAUGACCCUAUACAUGGGUGGCUCAUGACAACCUAAGUCCUGGUCAUGGCCCUAUACAAGGUUGGCUCAUGACAUCCUCCCUCCACCUAUUCUAUCGACGUCCUCGUUGACUUGCUAACUUGAAAUUUUUCAAUCUUCCUUUGAAAUCUCUAGAGGUCGUGCUCUCUCUCCCAGUUGGUUUCUUCUAGUCCUAAUCCAUCUCACUUCACUAAGUACUCCCGAACUAGUCUUCGAGAUAUCUUGAUUUCCCUGUCAGCCAAGAUCUCUUCGACUUGACGCUCUGAGGGUGGCUUCAUGGUGAUGGCAGCUCUGGUUGGCUCUCUUCGGCUAGCAUCUGUAGGAUCUGCAUGCAAAGAUUUUCAGAUUGCUCACAUGAAAUACUGGGUGCACCUUCAUCCACUGUGGUGGGUCAAUUUUGUAAAAGCAUUCCCCACCUUGGAAAGGACCCUUACUGGACCUUCAUAUUUGCGCACCAGUCUAUGAUCUCUUUUUCUCAAGAACCUGAUUUGUUCAGGAACUAGUCGGACAAGAACCAAAUCACCAGCUUGAAAUUGUUGAGCUCUACGACCCUUAUCUACCCAUUUUUUCAUCUGCUUUGAUGCUUUCUCCAGGUAGGCUUAUGUAAUCUCUGUGUUUUGUUUCCACUCUUUGCUAAGAUUGAAGGCUCUCGGAUUCUUUCCUCCAUAUUACUCCAAGAAAGUGUGGGGUAGCCUUGGUAGUUGUCCGGUGACCACCUCAAAUGGGCUCUUGUUGGUGGAAGAGCUUUUGUUGGAAUUAAAGCAGAGUUGAGCCACGUCCAAUAAUGAAGGCCAGUUUUUCUGAUUAGCUUGAACAAAAUGCCUCAAGUAUUCCUCUAAUAAUUCGUUGAACCGUUCCGUUUGACCAUCGGUUUGAAGGUGAUAGCUUGAGGAGAUGUUGAGUUGGGACCCCAAUAUUUUGAAAAGUUCUCUCUAAAAGGACCCCGUAAAUCUCGGAUCUCGAUCACUGACAAUGUUUUGAGGGAGGCCCCAGUAUUUGAUCACAUGUUUGAAUAAUAGUCGAGCUGUGUCUUCUACAGUGCAAUACUUGUGAGCGGGAAUGAAUGUGACAUACUUAGAGAAUCGAUCAAUUACCACCAAAAUCGCUCCAAGGUCACCAACCUUGGGUAGGCUCGAAAUGAAAUCGAGGGAGAUGCUUUCUCACGGUCUGGUGGGUACUGGUAGUGGUUCAAGCAUACCUGCAGGUUUCUUUCUUUCAACCUUAUCUUGUUGACAAAGAGGCAAGUCUUCGUAUAGUCCAUCACAUCUUGUCGCAUGUGAGGCUAAUAGUAUCCCUGUUUCAAUAACGCCAAAGUGCAUUGCCAACCCGGGUGUCCCGCCCAUGGUGUAUCAUGACAUUCUCUCAUUAGCAUCUGUCUCAGAUCUUCUGCUCUUGGCAUAAACACUCGAGGCCCCUUGGUCCAUAGGAUCUCAUUUUCUUGCUAGAAGUACUUGGACUUCCCUUCUUUCACUAGCUUCAGGAUGGCACAAGCUUGCAGGUCUUUCCUUAAGUGAUCUCCAAUCAAUUUGUGAAUGUCUGUAGUGGCUCUACUAGCCACCAUUGGGGUAAUUCUUCUAAGGGCCGCUAGAUCUAUUCGCCUAUUCAAUGCAUCGGCCACUUGAUUGGUCUUUCCAGCGGUGUGCUCAAAACAAAAGUUGAAUUUCGUUAAAAAUUCCUGUCACCUAGCUUGUUUUGUCGUAAGCCUUGGUUGGGUGAGAAAAUGGCUAACGACCGUAUUGUCUGUCUUCACGACAAAUUGUGAACCCAACAAGUAAUGUCGCCAAGCCCUCAAGCAGUGAACCACCGCGAGGAAUUCUUUUUCCUAGGUCGUAUAUUUCCUUUCAGCUUCACUUAGUUUCCUACUUUCAAAUGCUACCGGGUGAUGUUGUUACAAAAGCACUCCUCCAACAACAAAAUCGAAUGCAUCCGUCUGAACUUCGAAGGGCUCUUCAAUAUCAAGGAGAGCUAAAAUGGGAUCCUUCAUAAUAGCAUCCUUCAAUCCCUCGAAUGCCUCUUGGCACUUACUCGUCCAACACCAUUUACGCUCCUUCUUCAAUAGCUCUGUGAGGACUAUGGUCUUGCGAGAGUACCCUUCCACAAACCUUCUAUAGUAGUUGGCUAGUCCCAAAAAUGAACGGAGCUCACUAACAUUCUUCGGUGUUGUCCACUCCUUGAUGGCCCUGACCUUUUCCAUGUCCAUUCGAAUGUGGUUACGUUCGACAAUGUGAUCGAGAAAAUGGAUUUGGGUCUGAGUAAAAGUACACUUCUCCCUUUUUACGUAUAAUUGGUGGUCAUGUAAUCUUUGAAGUACUUGGUGCAGGUGCUCUUGAUGUUCUUCCAAGAUGGAGCUAUAUACCACUAUAUCGUCUAAAUAGAUGACUAUAAAUUUGUCUAGGUAGUCAUGGAACACCUGAUUCAUCAAUGUACAAAAUGUGGCAGGAACAUUGGUCAGUCCAAAAGGCAUAACAAGAAAUUCAAAUGCACCAUACCAUGUCACACAAGUGGUCUUUGGCUCAUCUCCCUCAACGAUUCGGACCUGAUGGUAGCCAGAUCUCAGGUCCAAUUUGGAGAAAUACUUGGCCCGGCUCAAUUGAUCAAACAAGUCUACUAUAAGGGGAAUGGGAUAUUUAUUUCUUACGGUGACUUUGUUCAGGGCCCUGUAGUCAACACAUAAUCAUAAACUUCCAUCGUGCUUCUUCUGAAAUAGCACUAGCGCUCCGAAAGAAGCCUUUGAUGGUCUGAUAAACUCGACUUGUAGCAGUACAUCUAACUGCUUUCUUAGUUCGACCAACUCUGACGGGACCAUGCGGUAGGGCACUCUAGCAGGGGGUUUCACUCUUGGGAGGAGCUCGAUUUCAUGGUCCACUGCUCGUCGAGGAGGUAAAACUUUAGGCAACAUCUCUAGCAUCACCUCUUCGAAUUCUUCCAACACUUUUUCCACACCAUCAGGUAUUGGUUCUACUUUCGACCCUUCUUUGUAAAUUGGCACCGCCACAAAAGAAGGUUCCCCUCUCUUUAUCCCUUUCUUGAACUGCAAAGCUGAAAUCAUUUUCUUCCCACUCUUUGGUAAGAUGUUGGCUGGCACCACAUAUGGGUGUUCUCCUAAGAACAACAAGCAACUAGCGGCGGGGAUAGGGAUGACCUGAGCCAACAUCAUGAAGUCCAAUCCGAGGACAACAUCAAAGUCAUCCAUGAGGGAAACUGUAAAAUCUACCUUCCCCACCCAUGGCCUUAAUCGGGUUGUCACACUUUUGGAGCUUCCACUGAUCGUAAAGGCUGGUAAAUUGACCGCCUUCAUUCGUCCACAGUCUUUAUUAAUCUGAAGACCACACCUUUUUACUUCUUCUGGUGUAAUGAAAGUGUCGGUUGCACCCGUAUCCACCAUGGCCUUGGUGGCUUUCUCAUUGAUCGUCAAGUUCACAUACAUCAAGUCUCUACUCUACUCUUUCUUUAUAGUGUUCAAUUGGGUGCGGAGGGCAUUGAGGAAACUUAUUGAACCCAUCCUGGCUGGCUUCUCUUCAGCUUUUUCAACGCUCUCUAGCACUUUUACGAACUCUUCAGACGAGGUCCUUAAGGUAUUAAGGGCUCCCCUGUGCGGGCAUUCAGCCAUCCGAUGCGGCCCCUUGCAAAGAAAGCAAGCUAACGGUUACCUAGGCUUGAAAAUCCCUGGGUUGCUUGUCUUGGGUUGGGUGCUAUCUCGACCAAAAGACCUCUUGUCUGAUCCUCCACUAAAGGGUUUGUCCAACCUGGUCAUCUUUCCCCCACUCUCAAAGUUAAAGCUACUGCCAGUUGAUGGAGGAUUUUUCUGUUUUAAGGAGCCAUCAUUGUAAUUGUGAAGACGUUCAGCUGCAGCCAUGGCCGUGGCCACAUCUUGCACUUUCUAUCUUUCUAGUUCUGUCCUCGCCCAAGGCUUGAGGCUCUCAAGAAAAUAGAACAUCUUGUCCUUUUCGAACAUGUCCCGAAUAUCUAACAUCAGGGUAGAAAAGCUUUUCACAAAUUCUCGCACCGUUCCGAUUUGCACCAACUCUCGAAGUCUCCUUCGAGCCAUAUACUCCACAUUCUCAGGGAAAAAUUGGUUUUUUAAUUCUCGCUUCAGAUCCGUCCAAGUUUUAAUCGGGCACUCGUCAUCGACAAACUUGAAGCGCCACCACAGCUUGGCAUCUCCUACGAGGUACAUCGACGCCAUUGUCACCUUGUCUUCCUCUGAAUUUGUGUGUACAGCUCGAAAGUAUUGCUCCAUGUCAAACAAGAAAUUUUCAAGUUCCCUAGCAUCCCUUGCCCCCUCAUAGCAUCAAGGCUCCGGUACCUUGGGCCUUUGUCUCCUUUCCAUCGAGUUCGAACCCGAUCUGGCCACAGCCAUUUGUAGGAUGCUCAUCUGUGCUCUGAGCUCCUCAAACUCCUUUUGGAGAAUGUUCAAGGCAUCUCUAGCCUUUUCGCUCACAUUGUGGAGAGUAUCGGACAACUCCCGUUGGGUUGUCUCGAUCUCCCUCACUCGGUCUUUCGUCACCAUAUGAGUUUUCAUUGCGACCACCGCGGCCUCAAGUUCCUCAAUUCUCUGUUGAUGAUCCGGUCGACCACUUAUGGCCAUUUCAUCUAUUUUUCUAGCACUUCUCAACCGUGCUCUGAUUCCACGUGUCACGGACUAACAUUUCUCUCAACAAGUAAUAGACCGUGCGGCACUUGAAUGGGCGCUCCCAACCAAGUUAGCUUUCAAUAGAUCUAUAUCUGAACAAAUAACCAUAAGCCAUGGUUAGUCACAAGCAUUCACAAUAAGGCACAACAUAUCGAGAUCAAUCUUAAGCACACACACAAGAAGGCAUAUUCGCAUCGAGAAAAAGAAAAACAGAUCGAGGCAACAAUCGGGACAUUCAAUUGGAUAAGUUUAUUAUAAACGGAAUCAUACAUCGGACCUCCCACCAUCAUCAGGGCCAGGGGGACAGCCCUUGGUGGGUGGCCUAAGCUCGCAUAGUAACCGGUGAGACAGCCCAACAUUAUGCUGUCGACUCACCCCUUAAAGAGCCUUAAAGAUUUUAGAGCUAUGCUACCAGUAACCGUUACAGUGUUUGAAAUGAGAACACUUUUCCUAGCACAAGGGAUCUACUCGACCAUGACCCUAUACAUAGGUGGAUCAUGGUAACUUAAGUCCUGAUCAUGACCCUAUACAAGAUUGGCUCAUGACACUUGACCUUUGACUCUGCUUGCCUCUACUUUUCAUGUCAAGCGUACAAGUGUUGUUUAGUGGGAUUUACCUUUCAAGACAGGAAUUGUUUUUCAUCUUAUCGGAAAAGACCCUGUAUAAGUCGACGUCUUAACCUGACUUCCUGAGCUCAGUUGAUUGUUGAAGCAGUAGCUCUGGAUCGAGAGCUGGAUGCUUACCUUAUUAUUAUUAAAAGGGGAAAGGCGUAGGCGUAGGCUAAAAGAAAGCAUCUUCCUCUGGGCGUGAAGCGCUAUGUUAGUCUUUCGUCUCCUACUUUAUUUGUUUCCCCCUUUACUGAAAAGGUCAAAUCGGUUCCCUCCUUACACAAACCAGAUAGAGUUGGUUUCGAGUGUCCAUCAUGUUGAUGGAUCCUUUCUUAACGAUUUUCUAGUUUAGAGAAAAUCUUUCAUUCUCGAUUCAAAUCAAUCCAGAUUCAGAGUCGGCCAUUUCUUCUGACACUUGAUCUGAACUUUCAUUAUGGUUACGGUGCUUUGCCUCCUCUCCAAGAGGACGGGGACUCGCAGGCAAACCCGUUAUUCAAGGGGAUGAAUCAGGUGCAGGGGUUAGCUUCGGAUUCGUAUAGGUGAUAUAAGAAAGAGCAUGUGGGGUUUUUUUACUUCCUUAAAGGAGAAGCCAAUGAAUUCUGUGAUUUGACUAUUCUCGGUAAAGUAGUUAAACAGCUAGUGGCGUGUAUCAAAGGUUAUCUUGUGCGUCUGUUUGUAGGAGAUUCAAAAGGCUUUGAUUGUGUAAUAAUUUUGUGCUUAUUAGGUCCCUGUUUUUUUUUUUUUUUUUGAUAAAUGAAAAUAGUGUCCAUUGAGACCAACUAGUUAUAGAGUGACCGUUUACACACCUUCUCGGGCCAGUGUAGUGGUCCCAUUAUGACAGUGAAACGAUCAAAAGAUGCCGAUUAGAAAGGCAGGGCCGAAGCUUUACUAAUAAGGACUAGUCUUGCUUCUCCAGCUCCACCAGAGCAUUUAAAAAGAGCGCUCGGGAAUAAAGCCUAAUCAAAGCGGGCAAAGAGAAAGAUCGUGUAACUUGACAGGUGCAGCCACGACGGCUUGUUCCUCAACCGCAGUAGUUCUUGUUCUUCUUCUUUCUCAGAGGUCGAUUCAGCAGCUUCAGUGACCUCCAUGCUUAGUCUUUGUAUUGCAGGUUCUAAUCCUGAAAUGGAUUCUUGUGGGCCAGUCUCGGGAGGGAUAGCUUCGCUCCUGGGUUCCAGGGAUGGCUCCAUCUCGGUUGUGGAUCUAAUCAGCUCCAUCAGACCGCCCGCCUCCACAGUGAAGCUUCCGGCCACUGCUUCCACAGCAGGACAGGAGUAGAAGUGAGCGCUUCAGGUGGAUAAGCUUCGACGCUCUCAACCUGGUUUGGAUCGUUUGACUAUGGCUCCGCGUUCUUUACAAUCAAAAGCUCGAUCACGAGGGUCCAAAUCAAGGUCUCCAUCUCGCCUUAUUAAAUAAGUUCGGGCAAAUCUACAUUUGAAGAAGUUAUAGGUAUAGGUCGGGAGAUGGGAUUGGAUCCGGAAUUAGAAUUGGCUUUGCAUCAUCUGGAACUAAAUAAGCUUCGGGUUUUUGAUUGAAAUUAGAAUCUGCAUAUGGAAUUCGAACCGGGCUACCCCAUGAUCGUGAUAUGAUAUCAUCAUUAGGUGGUGAGAAAGCACGCCUUAUGACGAAAAGGGAGCAUUACGUCCGAUCAAGACACCAGUCUGCCCGGUGCUGCGGAAGAAAUUAGGUACUGAACUGAGGUUUAGCAGUGCUUAUCACUUAGGAUAGCCAGACUCCAGUCAUCGGUUUACUGGAAGACUUUUUGAGGAGCUUAGUGCAAGGGAGACCGAGCAAGUGGGAAUAAGUUCUCCCAACUGCAAAGUUUGCCUAUAAAAAUGAUGUGAAUCGGCCUAUGUUAAGUAAGGGGGGAAGUAACCAUUCGAAGUGGUGUAUGGUAAGAGGAUUAACAAUAAGGGGAAAGCACAGCGAUCAAAGCUUUGGUUUAGGGCCUACUUGGUUUAAACGAAAGAAGAGAUCUUUCUAGUGAAUCAGUUCCUAGAGGGUUCCAAACUGAGCCUUCCAAUAUGAGAGCGAGACAAGCAAGCCUAACCCAUCCAAUGAAGGAAGUGACGUUUGCUACGAUCAAUAUCCGAACAACACCUUGACUUUAAAUCUAGAUGAUGGGAGGACCCCCUCUCCUGCGUGAUUUGAUCUCUUUCCCAUUUGUCGAGUCGAGCUAUCACCCCGAUUGGAAUAGAUAUACACAGCCCCUCUACCCCCUACUCUAGUCAGCUUUCUAUCUCUUUCUCCAACCUUCGAUGAUCCUCCAGCAGGCAAAUCAUAAAAGUCAAGAAGAAGUGAUGGGCCUGAUCUUCCGAUAUCGAUAUCUGAUAUCCAUAAGCUAGCUCUUGGUUAAGAAAAUCCUGCUAUAAAGAGGGAGUUGGCAGAGGUAGAAUCGGCAUCUGUCUCGCCUGCUGGAAAGCUUGACUUGGCUAUUGAAAUCAGCAGCAGAUGUUCUCAAAUCAACAACAUUAAGAAGAAUACGUUCUUGGAAGAAUUUCUACUAUAAGGGAGGAGUUCUCAUACCCAGUUAAAUGAUGUUGGAGUUUUCCCGCCUCAAGGGGAAUACUUUUUAUAAGCUCUUCUGUCUCUUGGCGACUCGGAACGAAUGCUUGAAUCCGCUUCUGUCGUUAGAACGAGAAUAGCUCAAGUGGAAUCUCUUUCUUUUUGGAGGGUUCCGGAAUUGAGAGAGUCAAGUCAUAUAUGGCAUUCAAAUCGCCAAAUCGUUAUCUUCUCUUUGUCUAGAGUAAGUUGGUGUGAAUUCAACGGAGGUAGAGGAUCCACAAUCAUUAGCUCUGGUUCACAGGCAAGUAGUGAGGGAAUUGAGUUUCACUCUUGAGAGAUAGCCAGAUAGUGUUGAGAGCUACCCGUAGCAGUCGUAAGGUAAGGCCUCCCAUCCCAAUAAGAGUUCAGUCGUAAGUCUGCCCAUUCAACCAUUUUUCUGGGAAUUUGAUACAAAAGGAAAAGGUAGUUGAUCGAUUCCGCCCUUUAGCUUGGCACGUUGAUGGAAUAAGUGCUCUUCUCUCUUUUUCUAUCCCCUCUUAUACAACUAUAGAAUACAGAAGAAUGACAUUCCCUUCCCCGAAAGCCUAGAAGUAAGCCAUAACUCAACACGAUGCAAGGAAUAGCUAUCGUUUCGUGCCCCAAUCCAAGCACGGGAUGAGACUGACCAACUGAUCCUAGUGGCUCUGGGUCAGGUCACGAACGGUAUUAGAUUGAUUUGAGCUCUAUCGUCCCAUCCUCUAACUAAACUAGUCCACCAGCGAAGGUAGGCAACUUACUAAGUAGAGUCUCUAAUGUUAGCAAGAUCCGCUACGCUAUUGAAAGGCUCUUAGUUGCUUAUCCGGGAUUAGAAAAAGGCGUAACUGCUCUUGUCUCUUCUUUCAAAGAAAUUCCUCCAGUUUACAGAGAUAUGAUCGUAAAAUAAGUGGAAUUACAAAUAAAACUGAUUCCACUCAAGCAAGAAUAGUUUCUCCUUCCCUUGCUUCUGUCUUCCUCUAGCAACCGAUUCUUUUAUUUUUAACUGACUGAACCAUCAGGAGGGUAUUCUCAAGCAGCUGAUUCGAUAGCAUUUGUCCGGAUUCACCAAGAGCUUUUUCUUUCGUUGAGCAGCAAUCCCCUUCCCUUCUUGAACAAGCCAUUCAAAGAGGGCAUGAGAUGACAUCUUAUUCUAUGUCAUUUGCUUUCCUUAGGACUUUUCUAGGCUAAACCUUGUCUUUCUCAUUGGCAUUGACCUACAACCUUCGACAGUUGUUAGUUGUGAUUCCGCUUUCAUGUCUUGGAUUGAGCUUUCACUCCAGCCCUUCUCCAUUCGAUCUAGUGGGAGUCUUAAAGGUUGCAUUCCUAAAGGCAUCUAAUCUUUCUGCGCCUGUUGCAGAUUUCUUUUUAGCCUUUAGUUCUCCUGCUUUCGCCUGCUUUCGAGCGAGAAAGAGUGCGUCAGUCUUCACCUCCAAUUGCGCAAGCCCUGACAGUUUCAGUCUUUCUCUUGAGAGUUCCCCUCUUCCAAAGCAUCGAUUCCAGCCAUUGGUAGUUCGCUUAAUCCAAUUGAAGAAUAAAGGCCAGCUCGCUUUCUUUCAAGCCAACCUGUUGGAGUUCUUUUCCUUCACCCUGCCAAUCUUUCUGCUUUUGAGCGAGCCCCCAAUUGCAGUUCUCUUUAAGGCAGUUUCAGAAAAAAGGCCUUCUAUGGCGAUAGGUGAAUACGGUCCAGCCAAUAGUUCCUAGGGAGGAGGGGGUCGGUCUUUCUUGUCUCUAAGGGUUUUCCCAAUACCAGCAAUCCCGAGAAUAACGUUAGUUAAGAGCACUAAUAUUAGUAGUAUCAAUACCGAAUGGUCUAAAGCACUAAGGCCUAGCAGGCAGAGUAGGGUUAUAGGGAAGCCCCUCCAUUCAUAAGUGCUAAUUCCUCUAGAGCCAAUCCCAAUCUGUCCUUUAUGGAUAAUAUAAAAAGUAGGUAAAUAGUUAAUAAAUAGUUAACUCAAAGACUUCAAGGGCUAUUGCUAUCAGUGAUACCAAUCUCCUUCCAAGCGAGCUUGCAGACCAUGUGCUUUCCUUGGUUCUCCUUUCUUAUCCUAAUGCUUGCGAGCCUCUUGCAGUUCUCGGGUCAUCUUUAUAGUAAGUCCAUGUACCCGCCUUUC
rnacentral:lncRNA from 1 species